rnacentral:lncRNA from 1 species
CAGGAAGGACAAGGACUCCAAAUUCAGGCUCAUUCUUGUUGAGAGCAGGAUCCACCGUCUUGCCCGUUACUACAAGCGCACCAAGAAGCUCCCGCCCACCUGGAAGUAGUAAGUUACUCUGGUCCUUUUACCUUUUACCUAGCUAGGUUUACUACAACUGAACGUGUGAACUUGCCAAUGCUAAUCGGUUAGUAUAUUAGUACCUAUUUUGUGUUACACCAGUUGAUUCAGUCCUGCAUGUUUACAAAUUACUAUGUAGAAAGCUUCAGGUUGGUCAGCUGUGCUACUCAAAUUGCAUUUUAUGUGGAAAGCUGCCUGUCCUGUUAUCCUUUAAAGUAACUAAUUAUGCUUAACAUGUGGCUGCUGUGUUCUGAGCUGCUGUAUGCAUAUCUGUAUGCUAUCUUGGUUUUUAUGGGUUUAGGGUUGUAAACGCAUUAAACGCAUUCCACUCAGUAGCUUAUUUAAUCAAGAGUGACAUCUGUUUGCUUCAAGUUUAGGUGAAAUUGACUAGUGCCAACAGAAUGUGUAUAGACCUGAAACCAUGUGCCUCUUGUUUGGUUGGUUCAUACAAGAGUAUGCAACUUGAAAAGAAGAUUUGUUUUAUUUUUAUAAAAUGCUUCUUAGGAAUUAAGUUUUACUUUGUUGUGGUAUUAGUUGUUAGGUUGGGUAUGGUAGGCUGGUGUGUGCAACUUUUUUCUGUUAUUUCAUUAAUGGGGUUUUUGCUGGAAUUUUCAAGCAUUCCCACAAAUACAUUUCAUCUUUGGUGUGAUGCUUCCAUACUCUAGAUAGUAGCAGAAGUGGAGAAUGGGCCUGUUUCAUUCAUCUGUGCUUGCAUUUUUGCUAAGUUGCUUUGCGCUCUGGAUGGGUUAUGCCUUUUCAUACCUGCAGUUGUUACGAGUGUAAUCUGACAAUUUAUCCUUGAUUGUCUGCAGCGAGUCUACCACUGCCAGCACUCUGGUGGCUUAGGAGGGCUCUUCAUCUGGUGUGCUCUUACCGGCUUCAGGAUGGUCUUGUUCUACAUAUUAUCAAUUUCAUGUAACGCUUUUGAGUUUGGAGCGAUUUAGAUGAACAAGAGACCAAAUUUUCUAUGUUUACUUGGAGAAUCCCAUAAACCAUUUUUGGUUUUGCAAUUCUGUCUGGUUCUGUUUAGUGUCUAUCUACAAUUAAUCAGUUAAAAUUAGACAUUGUGAUAUUCGUGUUGUCUGAUCUGAGUGAGUGUAAUCGCUGCUUUCAGUGCACUCAAGCUCGGAUAGUUUGACUAUAUGGUUAUUGCACAUCCGCCUAAAAAACUGUCACGUUUCACUUUUAAAAGCAUGCUGUCAGCGGAACCAACGUAUAAUGUGUGCUAUUUUGAUUCCAGCCUAAUAUAUUUAUAUACCAAUAUACUCCUAAAUAUAUCUCUUUCUAGAGAUUUCACUAUGAACCAUAUAUGGAUGUAUAUAGUGCAUUUUAGAGUGUAGAUUCACUCAUUUUGCUCCGCCUAUAGCCCGUUGUGGAAUUUUCACAAACACUUAUAUUUAGGAACAGAGGGAUUUGAUGCAAUCUUUUGGUUGCUAGACAAUGUUGUGACGAUUAUGCAGAAACACACAGAUCUGGCCUUUCAUAGGAGAACGUUAAAAGGGUUGUGACGAUUAUGCUAAAUAUUGGUGAAUGCACUGGCGAAGUUAAUAAAAGUGAGACACGCUGCUAUGCACACUAUUUUGGGAAAUGGCACAUGUCCAACCAUCCAUCCAUGUAAAGUGCACCACACCACCGGAUUGACAAUCAGAGCCCGCGUUAUGCGCCGCGCGCAAAAAACCUGUUUGUCACGCGCGCUUCGGCUGGUUUAGCGCGGCCGCGAGCGCUGGCUCCAGCAGCCGCGCUAUAAUGCAGCGCCCGCGCGUCGCUCCAGCAGCGCGUAAAAAUACAAUGCGCGCGACUCGCUGGGCGCGUGCGACUUACAGCAUGGGUUUGGAAACAAUUAUAAAAUACAAUGAACAUGUGAAAUUUGUCCACAAACAUCUUCCAACCAAGUCAUGCCCACAAGUUCAUACCCACAAGUUCAUCCAACCAAGUUCAAAAUGCAAAGUAAAAGUUCAAGACAUAUAAAUGAAAGACACAUCAAACAUCUUCCUCGUCUUCGUCCUCAUCUUCCGAAGACGAUUCUUCCGCCUCCGAAGAUGAAUCUUCCUCCCUAUCCUCAUCACGCAUCGCAUCACGUGAAGCUCCGACGGUGUUGGCAAGAUCUUCAACGGCAUCUUCACGGGAAUGUGUGUGAGGAGGCACAUCAAAAGACAUUCCACCCAUGGCCGGAGGUGCACCCAUGCCUCCCAUGAGAGUAGCGAAACUCAUGCCUCCCAUGGCGGCCAUAGUGUCAGAGGGUGCUCCAAAGCCACCCAUGCCUCCCAUGGCGGUCGGAGGUGCGCCCAUGCCUCCCAUGGCGCCCAAGCCACCCAUGCCUCCCAUGGCGCCGAAGCCACCCAUGCCUCCCAUGGCGGCCGGAGGUGCACCCAUGCCUCCCAUGGCGACGAAGCCACCCAUGCCUCCCAUGGCGCCGCCACCCAUGCCGCCAAGGCCACCGCCACCCAUUGUGCGGAUCAUGGCUCUUUUUUGGAUCAAGACUUCUUCACGAGCAAGGUUGACAUAUUCCUUUUGCGCACCAUUGAACGAAGAUGUGUCCAAGAAGAACAAGUGCUUCUCCCAUUCCAACAACCUAGAUCGCUCUUCCAUGCCCACCUUCCUCUCCUCCAAUGCCACUUUCCUCUCCUCGGCGGCCACCCUCCUCUCCUCGGCCGCCAACCUCCUCUCCUCGGCCGCGGCAUCUUGGUUCCUUGCCAUUUUCCUCACCUCGUUGGCUUCUUUUCUUGCCUUCACAAUAGCUUCCAUAGCAUUUUUGAGCUCAUCAUCUCCUUUCCUCUUCUUCUUUUUGGUUUUGUCUUUCUUGCACCCAUCCGGUCAUUUUGGCUUCGAGUAUGAAACCGAGUUGGGUGUGGGGCUUCUCUUGCUGUCAUCACUUGAUGCAUCCUCCUCCUCAUCAUCAUCCACCUUGCGUUUGUUGCUCAAAUGCAAAUCAUCCAAACCAUCACGGUUUUUCCAUUUCUCAUUAUUCUUUAACACUUCAUAGCAAUGAGACAAGGUAAAGAACCUUCCUUUCUUGAUCUUCCCCUUCUUGGUUUUCCUCGUCUCUUCUUUGAACAAGUUUUGUGCAAUGUUGUACUACAAGAAAAACAAAACAAGUUAGCACUUCGGACACCAAAAACAAGUAUGAGAUGAACAUAUAUGAGAUGCCACUUACUCUAUCAUCCUCAUUUGUGCCACUUGGGUUAAUCUUGUCAACUGACUUUUGUGCGGCCGCCCACUUUUGACAACCGGAGUUGAUUGUGGACCAUCGGGACCGAAGUGAUCUCUCCGAGCGGUCAAUUCCACUCAUGUUGUGAGCAUCAAAGUAUUCUUUCAUUCGCCCCCAAUACGCAUCUCUACUUUGAUCACCUCCAAUGGAUGGAUCCCUUGACACUUGCAAAUAAGUAUUGCAUAGUAACUUGUCAUCGUUGGUGCUGUAAUUGCCCGCUCUUCCUUUCGGCGCGUCGACAAUGCCCUCACCCUCCUCGUCCACCUCAAACUCAUGGUCUUCCAAAUGGAUGUCAUUGGUUUGAGACCAAUGCGAAUUGUUGGACCCAACACCCAUAGUUGACAUGUAUGCAUCAUCAUUGAGACUACAAUUUUUUUGAACAAUGCAAAUAAGCUAUCUAUAUGUGAUGAUGCAUUGAAAAACAAAAAGAAAAUAAAAGUUAGAAUUUUUUUCACCUUGGGGGCAUUUCGUCGAACACAUGGUGCGCGUUGGCGGCCGACUCAACGAGUGAGCUCGUUGGCGCUUCGGUAGCCGUCGCGGCCGUCGAACGCCCUGCAAGCUUCUUUCCCCUUGCCUUCGUGCCACCGGAGCCGUCCGCCGCCUUGUUUUUCUUCGCCGAAGUUUUGCCCUUCUUCGGCCGCCCCGCAUUGGGGAGCUUCGACGGUGCGGCGGCGGCACGGGACGGCGCCGGCGCGACGCCACCCGUCGCCGUGGUCAUCCGCGGCGGCAAGAANNNNNNNNNNACAGCGGGGAGAGCGGGGCACCGAUGUGCGCGUCCAUGGGUGGCGCCGGUGCCGGCGCGCGCGGGGCGUAGGAGGAGGAAAGGAGGAAAGAAGAGAGUGCGGCGCGAGCGGUCGAGUGUGCCGCACGCUGUACAAGGCGCCCGAAAUACGCCGCGCGGGAUGGCGUUUCCGACAGCGCGCCCAACUCGGUAUAGCGCGCGCGCUGUUAUUGCGCGCCCGCUGGAGCGACCCGCCGCGUUGCGCACGCGCUAAAACCGACGAAUUUGCGGCGCGGCGCUAGUUUAGCGCGGCUGUUGGAGAUGCUCUCAUGCGAGGAUCAGGACAGGAAAGUGUCGGAUGUAAGGGGUGACCCAUUUUGUCCGUGGGCGUCUGUUUGGGUCGGCGCGGAUAGAAAAGUCGGCCCAACGCAUCGACCCAAACGGACGCACGUUCGCUUUUCGUUCGUCUACCGGCCCAUUUUUGAGCCGGAUUUGCGUCAGCGCGGACACGAGACGGAUGCGCGCGCGUUCGUCUUCUCCUUCCCCCUGGCCUGCUCGUCGAUGGCAGCCUCCACCAUUUUCCUCCCCCCCUUUCCCCGCGCGCACUCCCGUCGCCCGCCAUGGACGACUACCUCGACGCCGGCCUCGCCUCCCUCGCCUCGUCCGGCAUGACGACUGCCACCUCCGGCAAAGGCAAGCCUCAUGCCCCCCCGCAAGACCGCCACCGUGCCCAAGCCGAAGAAGACGCCAACGCCCGAACAUCGGGCAAGGGAGUCGGCGAAGAGGAAGGGCCGGAGGUACGUGACAGACGCGAGGGAUGAAGCCAUCACGGCGGCCGUCGUCGCCGCCGCCGCAGCAGCAGGAGGUCACCAAUGCGAGCGUCGCAGCGGCAACGAGGGAGGCGCUAUAUAUGCUAGGGUUAAACCCUAACCAGCAAGGCCUCGUCAACGUCGCUAUGGUCGCGGCCAGCACCGGCUCAUAUGCGCUGUCUCGGAUGGUGCUGCCUGACUCGCCCCGUGCGUCGACGACACAACCGAUACCCGGCUUCCACGUCUAAAAGUAGGCCUCCCGCCUCUCCGAGGAGUGCUCACCCGAGGUGAGCGUGGUGGCGCCUUCCACGCCCGUGCCCGCGCCUAUCGACCUCAACGCCACACCGGUGGCGGUGGCUCAUCAUCCGGAGGCGCAAGGAAACACACGCGACACAUGCCAGCCGACAUGGAGGGCAUGAUGAGCAAGAAGGACUCAAGGGAGGAGGAGCGCCGACGAACAAAGAAGAACAAAUGAACGCCUUCAUGAAUAUCCAAAGGAGGAGGCUUGAGAUGGAUGCGAAGAAGCAAGCCAAGAUGCUUGAGAUGGAGGCGGAGAAGCAAAUCAAGAUGCUAGUGAUUGAGGCUGCCAAUGCCAAGACCAAGGCAAAAGAAGUGGCUCGCGCGAGCAUGAUGACCGGGGUGGAGACCAUGAAGGUGGAUCUCAACACUGUGUCGCCAAGGAAGAGGCCGUGGUUCGAGAAGAUGCAGGCCGACAUGCUCAAGUUCGACGACGAGUGACCAAUGGCGGCGAGCGCCAUCCUUUUUUGUAAGUUGGCAAGUGUGCUGACAUGAUCACGGCCGUGAUGGCAUGGUCGAACUCCUGCCUCUUUUUUGUGUGCUGGCAUGUGUGCCGGCCGAUGGCAAGUGCGCCAGCAAAACUGUGUGUUAUUUUUCUGAAGCUGGCAUUGUAUGCCGGAGCUGGCAUGGUGCUGGCAUGAACUUUCAGGCGACGACAUGGCCGCUGGCAUGAACUAUGGCCGCGGGACUUCUUUCAAAAUUUGCGUGCGUACAUGAAAUAGGUCGGCGCGUUGGGCGCACUGCCGAGCCAAAUCUCAAACGGGGCGGACGCCGAGCAGGCGACCGACCCAAACAGACGAAAAGCGGACAAAAGCGUCGUCCGUUUGGGUCAGCGUGUUGGAGUUCCUCUAAUUCAUAUAAUUCAGAAGAGGAAGGUCGGUUGAGUACUUUAUUGUCAGAAUAGGUUUUGUCCACUUCAUUGAAUUUAUGUCAUUGAUACAAUGGACUUGCUUGCCAGGGUGCUGAGUUGUUAAGACCCCGCUCUUGAGUGGAUAAAGCAGCCAGCGGAGGUGAAGCCUAAGAGCAAGAAAGAGCAAGAAAAGAGAGCUCGAAACUUCUUUCCAUUACAUUCACAACUUGCCACUCUAGCCAACGCACCCAUUCUUGCUCACUUUCCCAGUAUUCUUGCAUGUAUCUUUGAAAAGGGCGAGGUGUUGUUUAGGGUUCCUACCCCAUUCAACAUUUUGCAUUUUGGUUGCUUUCUCUUUUGCAACUCUUUUAUAGCAAUGACCUUCAUAUUCGUAGGCUAACCCAGACAUCCAUCACUCUCAGAAAAAGGAUGCCAACACCAUCGAGACAAAAGGCAUCGGUAUUCUCUAAUCUAACUUGAAUUCAGAUCAAUAAUCAAUAGGCACAAGAAGAAGGCAAGAGUGCGGUUUUGGCUAAAAUCAACUCUAUGAGGAAGGAAGAACUCAGCGGUGACUGUGGGACAAUGAUUGUAUCAAAAUUCAGAGGUGAAACAUGCAAAUCUUUAAUGAUGCAAUGCUAGCUAAGAAAGUAUUGAUACUAAUUAAGCAUCCUGAAAGCUCUUGUGCACGAGUCAAAGGGUUGUUUGGGACUGUUUUGCUCCCUAAAAUUCAUCUCCGCUUUAAAAAACGCAAGCCGAGGUAGCUUCACGAUAUGUCGCUCUACAAAAAAUCUAGGGUUAGGGUUAGAAUCCGGGGUACAACCCCUGUUUUUGUGAAGCUCUUAAAGGGGUGCUAAAAAAACUCUAGAAGCUAGAGUUGGGGGAAAUUACCCACCACUACCAUUAGUAAGUGGACAUCCCUUUGUUUUUCCCACGACAUCCAAUCAAGUAGAUCAUUUUCCACCAAAUUUCUCAUUUUUGAAGCUAGAGCUAGCUGAAAGCCAAACACGAUAAACUACUCUUUGGUGGAGCUGCAACUCCUAUAUGGAACUGCUCCAAAGUACAAUUGGUGGAGUGAAGCUGAUUUUGGUGAAGCGAAGCAGUCCCAAAUAGACCCUAAAGGGACAAUAUUUGUGAUCCUUGUACUGCCACAUGGUCCUUGUACUGCCUCUUAUACAUCACCUACUCAUGCAAAUCAAAGACUUCAAAGCUCUUAUGAUCAUGCUCUCAUUAUCAUUUGUCCUAGAGGUAGAUGCUCUUGAAGUGUACAUUCAUAGUGUGUUUUCACCAUCUUCAUCUUCGUCGCCUCCAAAGUUUUUUUCAACCAAAAUCUUCACCAUCUCAUGACGAGUUGAGGUGGCAAUCAUCUUCAAACAAGCUGCUCCGACCCAACAAACCUUCACAUGCCCACUCACCUCCACCUUAGUUUGACGUUAGCUAGAAUCAUAGUUUAAGAAAACCGAACCGGCACUAGUGCAGGCGACUGCUAUACAAACUGUUUUUUACCCCCUUUCUGCGAAAAAGUUUUAAACCUCCGUCUUGCUUGUGUGUGCGAAGGGGGGGGGGGGGGUCCUUCCCACACGACCCAGAAACCGUCGGGAUAGAUCCUCCGGUCACACACGCGAAGCAAAAAGAGCUCGUGUGCUAUCGGCCCAGCCAUCGCAGACAAUUAUGCACGCCCAAUUAUUUUCGUUUGUAUGUACAUCCCACAGUGAAUUCCAGACAAACUUUUCCUUUCGUAUGUACAUCCCACACAGUGAAUCUGAGACAACGUUUCCGUCCGUACGUACAUCACACACAAUUUUCUCCAUCACAUCGUCUGUGAUAGCGUUGCCAUUGCAGACGAUAUUAAUAAUGCUAUCGUUUGUGUUAUCGAAUGCAUCACGCACGGUGCCUAGAAGAAACCAUGUGGCAUAGGCUGCCCAUCACACACACCUCUUAUGUGGAAAACCUUUGUGCAAGGUGGCCUAAUGCAAAUAGUAGUCCACAUGAAGUCAUGUGUGAUUGUUUAUUGAUCCAACACGUUUACUUCCUAGAAACGGUGUGGGCUAUCUGAGGUCAUCGCCCAUGGUGUUGUCUCAAUAACCGUUUGCAAUAGAAAAACCCAAUAAGCAGGCUAAUUGGCCUAUUAUUUUGAAUCCGUUAGUAAUCAAAUUAACAAUUCAUAUUAAACACACAAUAUAUUUCAUUUUCGUAUUACGGAACCAUGAUUUCAUAAUUGAAAUACAUCAAGUACAACAUCAUAUAGCUUCAACACUCACUUACACCAUAUAGGCAUAUAGCUAUCUACCCCAUUACACAACAACACCAAAUUUCACAUGCAACAUCUAAAACCUUUGGAAAUUAACAUCAUAGACGGUAGAUAGACAGAUGAAUCUUAAUUGGAAAACUGCUGAAGUGGAAGGUGAAUAUUGAGCCUUCGAUGUUGUUGAAGGUCCUUGCAACUUUAGCCCAGUGCCAGUGGAUGAUUGACCGCCCAUACUUCAUCCUCUUGAGGAAGACUUCAAUAUUGUAUCGUGGGUGUUGUAUGAAUAUCUUCCUUGCCUCUUGAUUAUACAGGCGGUUUGGGAGGCAAUCAUCAAUGGACUACUUUGGAAAGGUCUGAAAACAAACAUAUGCAUAAAUAUCUUCUCUAAAUUUUGAAAUGGCGCAAAGGAAUAAGAAAACAAGGUAUAAGAGUUAGUACCAUCCUGUAGUUCACUGAUGUCUUCUUCAUUGUGCAGACAAAGGUCUUGUUCUUUUUCAUCGCUAGUUUCUUUAUCCUAACAAUCUUUCUGAGUUUCUUGACUUGACUGAUAUUCAUGGACAUCUCAUUUCCCCAUAUGCAAAAUGGGUCGAACAGUGGGUCAAAACCUCUGACAGCAGGACCUACAUGUGCAAGACCAAAUUAUUAAAAACCUAAAUAUUAGAAUGGUUUCUGCAAUUGCACAAUAAUGUGCUAUUAGCCAAAGGACCAUGCAUGUGCAAACCUUGGUGGUAAACCUCAGUGCCUCCCAUUGUUUCCCUGCAACACAUAUAAGUUAGUUAUUGAUCAGGUUAAGUGAGAGUUGGCAUACUAUCAGCAAAAUAUGUUGAUGUAAAAUAAACACAUUGCAUAUUCAAAAGAUUAAUUCGAGCCACAUGGAAAAACCAUUUAUCCAAACCAAGCAUGCUUAAGAACUAGGAAAUAUAUGAAUUGUAUAUGUUUCUCAUGUAUUUAGUACAUCCAAAUUCGAUUUAUUUCUCACAUGCAUAACAAUACAAAAUUGUACCCACAACAAUUGAACAUCGCACCACAACAAAGAACCAAACAGCUAACUGAACACCACAACAAAUGAACCAAAUAGUUAACUGAGCACCAUAUUGCACAAUGGAACAUACUAAAAGAUCAGACAGAGACAGUUAACCAAACCAAGCAUGCUUAACAACUUGGAAAUAUAGCAAUUGUAUUUGUUUCUCAUGUAUUUUGUACAACCAAAUUUGAUUUAUUUCUCACGUGUAUAACAAUACAAAAUUACACCCACAAGAAUUAAACAUCACAUUGCAGGAUUGAACCAAACAGUUAACUAAACAUGACAAAAAAUCAACCAAACAGUUAACUGGGCACCACAUUGCACACUAUAUAGAAACAAUACACAACACGAUUCACUAGAAUUUGUAAAGGAAAGGCAGGAGUAGCACAUGCAAUAGGUAAACCGAAUAUGCUUAACCGGCGUAGCUAGCUAGCUGAACAUAGGUCCUUAUAGUGAGCUAAAAAAACAAGCUACUCCUUAUCAUCGGAGAUAUCGGUGACGAUGGGCUCCUCAGACUUGGAAGAGGGCGAGGCCUCCACAUCGUGGGUGCCCUCCUUGAGUGGUGAGUUGCCUGAGCUGCUCUAGGCACCAACCUCCUAGCUCUGGAGUUGAGGUAAGCACGGGCACACCGAGAAAACACCUCGUACUCUUCGUUGAAGGCACCGACGGUGGCCUCGAGAAAACACCAUGAACUAUCGUUUAAAGCAGGCAACUGUGUGGCAGCAUCCGCGAGGCAUCACCGGUGGCCCCAACGGCGAGGUGCUCCUCCAAGAUCUAGGGGUCAGCACGCAUGGCAGCCAUCGCGACCUCACCCGCGCGUCCGACUGCGAUUUGCUUCUUGCUACUUCUUGAGCUUGCAUUGGUUUUUCCCUUGAAGAGGAAAGAGUGAUGCAGAAAAGUAGAGAUAAGUAUUCCCCUCAGUUUGAGAACCAAGGUAUCAAUCCAGUAGGAGGUACACGCAAGACUCCAAUCUAUGCACCUGCACAAACAAUCAAACACCUGCACCCAACGCAAUAAAGGGGUGUCAAUCCCUUCAUGGUCACUUGCAAAUGUGAGAUCUGAUAGAGAUAGAUAUAAAAAAUUACUAAAACGUAAAACAAAUAAAAGUAAAUAAAUUGCAGCAAGGUAUUGAUAACCCACAAGUAUAGGGGAUCGCAACAGUUUUCGAAGGUAGAGUAUUUAACCCAAAUUUAUUGAUUCGACACAAGGGGAGCCAAAGAAUAUUUGCAAGUAUUAGAAGCUCAGUUGUCAAUUCAACCGCACCCGGAGAUUAGUUAUCUGCAGCAAAGUGAUGAGUAGCAAAUUAGUAUGAUAGUUUUGAUAGUAGUAGAAAUAGUAACAUUAACAGUGAUAGCAAUGAUUUUAUAGCAAGUGUAACAGUAACAACAACAAUAGUAACUUAUCAAGAACAAUACAAGAGAAAUUCGUAGGCAUUGUAUCAGUGAAUUCAUUGGAUGAUAUUCAUCAUAUAACAGUCAUAACCUAGGGCGAUAUGGCACUAGCUCCAGUUCAUAAAUAUAAUGUAGACAUGUAUUCCGUAAAUAGUCAUACGUGCUUGUGGAAAGAACUUGCAUGACAUCUUUUGUCCUACCCUCCCGUGGUAGUGGGGUCCUAUUGGAAACUAAGGGAUAUUAAGGCCUCCUUUUAAUAGAGAACCAGAACAAAGCAUUAAUGCAUAGUGAAUGCAUGAACUCCUCAAACUACAGUCAUCACCGAAAAGUAUCCUGACUACUGUCACUCUGGGAUUUACGGAGUCUAACACGUAAUAGGUGAAUAUAAGUUGCAAAAUCGGAUCUAGAACAUAGAUAUAAUGGUGAUAACAUAAACGGUUCAGAUCUUAAAUCAUGGCACCCGGGCCCAAAGUGACAGGCAUUAAGCAUGGCAAAGUCAUAUCAAUAUCAAUCUUAGAACAUAGUGGAUACUAGGGAUCAAGCCCUAACAAAACUAACUCAAUUACAUGAUGAAUCUCAUCCAACUCCUCACCGACCAGCGAGCCUACAAACGAAUUACUCACUCCCGGUGGGGAGCAUCAUGGAAUUGGCGAUGGAUAAGGGUUGGUGAUGACGAAGAUCGAAGAUCCCCCUCCCUGGAGCCCCAAACGUACUCCAGAUCUGGCCUCCCGAUGAAGAACAGGAGGUGGCGGCAGCUCCGUCUCAUGAAACACAAUAAUUCUUUCUCCCUGAUUUUUUCACCAAAAAUAGGAAUUUAUAGCGUUGGAAUCAGGCUCUACAGGGCUACCAGGUGGGGACAACCCACCUGGGCGCGCCAGGAGGGGGGCGCGCCCUGGUGAGUUGUGCUCACCUAGGGCCCCCCUUCUGGUGGUUCUUGGCUCUAGUAUUUUUCUUUUAUUCCAUAAAAAAUCUCCAAAAAGUUUUGUGCCAUUCCAAGAACUUUUAUUUCUGCACAAAAACAACACCAUGGUAGUUCUGUGCUACUUCUUGAGCUUGUGUUGGUUUUUCCCUUGAAGAGGAAAUGGUGAUGCAACAAAAUAGAGAUAACUAUUUCCCUCAGUUAGAGAACCAAGGUAUCAAUCAAGUAGGAGGCACAAGCAAGUAUCCAAUCUAUGCACCUGCACAAACAAUCAAACACUUGCACCCAACGAGAUAAAGGGGUUGUCAAUUCCUUCACGGUCAAUUGCAAUGUUGAGAUCUGAUAGAGAUAGAUAUAAAAGCUCACUAAAAUAUAAAACAAAAUAAAAACAAAUAAAUUGCAACAAGGUAUUUUUGGUUUUUUUGGUUUAUAGAUCUAAAAAUAUAUGAUGGAAAGUAGACCCGGGGGCCAUAGGUUUCACUAGAGGCUUCUCUCUUGAAGGCAAAUAAUAUGGUGGGUGAACAAAUUACUGUCGAGCAACUGAUAGAAAAGCGCAAAGUUAUGAUGAUAUCCAAGGCAAUGAUUAUGCAUAUAGGCAUCACGUCCAUGUCAAGUAGACCGAAACGAUUCUGCAUCUACUACUAUUACUCCACACACCGACCGCUAUCCAGCAUGCAUCUAUAGUUUUUAGUCAUAAAAAACGGAGUAACGCCUUAAGUAAGAUGUCAUGAUGUAGAGGGAUAAACACAAGCAAUAUGAAAAAAACCCAUCUUUUUAUCCUUGAUGGCAACAAUAUAAUACGUGCCUCGCUACCCCUACUAUGUCACUAGGUGAGGACACCACAAGAUUGAACCCAAAACUAAGCACCUCUCCCUUUGCAAGAAAUAUCAAUCUAGUUGGCCAAACCAAACCGAUAAUUCGAAGAGAAAUACAAAGAUAUUGAUACAGACAUGCAGCUAUCCAGUAUUACUAUCAGUCCUACUGUUCUGGUCGAUAUGUUAGUCACGCAGAGAGAGGCAAGAGAGGGCAAGCUAGAGCAUGAGAUAGUGCAACGUAAAAAUAGAAGAGAACGGGAAGAUGUCCAGAUCGCAUGCAACAUUAUCUAUUUGGCUGUUUGGUUUCCACGAAUUAAAAGAUCAAGUUGUUUGUUAGUUGAGUACAAGGAUCAGGUCAGGUACGUGCCAGCCCGUAGCUCGGCUAUGGCAUGGGAAGAUCAAUCUGAUUAUUUCUUUGCAAGGAAUCGGCCACCUGAACGACCAAGAGUUACACGCACAAGGAAGUUUAUCAGGUGGAAAAUCAUGAGUUUAAAGGAGUCUGGGUGGGGGCCACCACAUUGGAAAAAACAGACCAAGGAGCAAACUAAAGAUGCGUACCAAAAAAUAAGAGUCCAAGUUAGGAAUAUUUGUAUCAGUUUUAUACCGGUUGGUUGUUUGCUAAAAUAUAAAGCACAUAAUCUAGGAGAGGGUUAGACGUGAGAAAGAGUCCAUAAGUUUUAGGAAAGCUAGCUUGGAUGCGUGUAUUUUGUUAGAUGGUUUGGCUAAUAUAUAAAGCCUGGCGCAUCAUGGAAAAAGGUUAGGUUAUUUUGAGAUGAAUUAGACACUUGUGUGUUUUUCGGCCGUCGGCCAUUAUCAAGUUUUGAGAAAUCUUGUCAAAAGUCUCUACUGGCAUGUGAGUUCCUGCGACGCGACGCGUAGGAGAUUACAAGCUGAACCUAUACGGUUCGGUCAAGUUAUUCCUUCAGAUCGAGGGGUUGGCGUGUUUUUUUGCGAGGUUUGUGAACAUCUUUGUAAACCCGCAUCUAGUUCUUGCUGCGAUGGAGUUCUGUGCCGUGAAAGAUCGGGCCAACAACGGAUCGACCCUCAUCUCGAGGUUCGCUUCUCAUCAGAUAUCAAAUCAUGCAUAUAAGAAUUCAGUGAAGAUUCAAAUAAUAUUCAUAGAUAAUCUGAUCAUAAAUCCACAAUUCAUCGGAUAUCGACAAACACACCGCAAAAGAAUAUUACAUCAGAUAGAACUCCAAGAACAUCGAGGAGAACAUGGGAUUGAAGAUCAUAGAGAGAGAACAAGCCAUCUAGCUACUAGAUAUGGACCCAUAGGUCUAUGGUAAACUACUCAGGCUUCAUCGAAAGGCCAAUAGGGUUGAUGUAGAAGCCCUCUGUGAUCGAAUCCCCCUCCGGCAGAUCGCCAGAAAAGGCCCCAAGAUGGGAUCUCACGGGUACAAAAGGUUAUGGCGGCGGAAAAGUAUUUUUGUGGAUGCUUUUGAUGGUUUGGGAAUAUUUGGGAAUUUAUAGGCCGAAGAAUAGAGUUAGGAGAGAUCCAAGGGACCCACUGAAGGAAAUAUGCCCUAGAGGCAAUAAUAAAGUUGUUAUUUUAUAUUACCUUAUUCAUGAUAAAGGUUUAUUAUUCAUGCUAGAAUUGUAUUGAUCAGAAACUUAAAUACAUGUGUGAAUACAUAAACAAACAACGUGUCUCUAGUGAGCCUCUACUUGACUAGCUCGUUGAUCAAAGAUGGUUAAGGAUUCCUAACCAUUGACAUGAGUUGUUAUUUGAUAACAGGAUCACAUCAUUAGGAUAAUGAUGUGAUUGACAAGACCCAUCUGUUAGCUUAGCAUAAUGAUCGUUCAGUUUUUUGCUAUUGCUUUCUUCAUGUCAAAUACAUAUUCCUUCGACUAUGAGAUUAUGCAACUCCCAAAUAUCGGAGGAAUGCCUUGUGUUCUAUCAAACGUUGCAACAUAACUGGGUGAUUAUAAAGAUGCUCUACAUGUAUCUCCAAAGGUGUUUGUUGAGUUGGCAUAGAUCGAGAUUAUGAUUUGUCACUCCGAGUAUUUGAGAGGUAUCUUUGGGCCCUCUCGGUAAUACACAUCAUAAGCUUGCAAACAAACGACUAAGGAGUUAGUCACGAGGUGAUGUAUUACGGAAUGAGUAAAGGGACUUGCCAAUAACGAGAUUGAACUAGGUAUGAAGAUACCGACAAUCGAAUCUUGGGCAAGUAACAUACCAAUAGACAAAGGGAAUUACGUAUGUUGUCAUAACGGUUCGACCGAUAAAGACCUUCGUAGAAUAUGUAGGAGCCAAUAUGGGCAUCCAGGUUCCACUAUUGGUUAUUGACCGGAGAGGUCUCUCAGUCAUGUCAACAUAGUUCUCGAACCCGUAUGGUCCGCACGCGCUUAACGCUCGUUGACAAUAUAGUGUUAUAUGAGUUAUAUUAUUUGGUGACCGAAUGUUGUUCGGAGUCCCGUAUGAGAUCACGGGCAUGACGAGGAGUCUCGAAAUGGUUAAGAGGUAAAGAUUGAUAUAUAGGACGAUGGUAUUCGGACAUCGGAAGUGUUUUGGGGGGGGGGUACCGAGUACUUAUCGGGGUCACUGGAAGGGGUUCCGGGCACCCCCGACAAAAAUAUGGGCCUUAUGGGCCAAGAGAGGGAACACACCAGACACAAGGGGCUGGUGCGCCCCAUAGCAGGCCGACCUAGGAGGAGAAGGAAAGAUGGGAAGGGAAAGGAAAGUGUGGAGUAGGACUCCCCCUUCCUUCCCUCUCCCCCCUCUUUCCUCCCCCUCGAUUAUAUAUGGUAGGGGGGGCGCGGCUUGGGAGGGACUCCAAGUAGGAUUCCUCCUACUUGGGUGCCUCCUAUGGCUUCUCUUCCCUCCCUCCCACCUAUAUAUAUUUGGGAGGGGGGCGCCUAUCACACAUCAGACAGUUACCUAGCCGUGCGCGACGCCACCCUCCAUCGUUUACACUCUCGGUCAUAUUUUUGUAAUGCUUAGGCGAAUCCCUGCAGAGAUAACUUCACCAUCACCGUCACCACGCCGUCGUGCUGACGAAACUCAUCUACUACCUCGAUGUCUUGCUGGAUCAAGAAGGCGAGGGACGUCACCGAGCUGAACAUGUGCAGAACUCGGAAGUGCCGUGCGUUCGAUACUUGAUCGGUUGAAGCACGAAGAAGUUCGGCCACAUCAACCACGUUGUGAAACACUUACUCUUCGGUCUAUGAGGGUACGUACACACACUCUCCCCCUUGUUGCUAUACAUCUCCAUGGAUAGAUCAUUGCAUGUGCAUAGAUUUUUUUGUUUUCCAUGUAACGAUUCCCAACAGUGGCAUCAUGAGCCACGUAUGUGCGUAGAUGAUAUGCAUGAGUAGAACACAAAGAGUUGUGGGCGGUGUUAGUCAUACUGCUUACCACCAACGUCUUAUUUUGAUUCGGCGGUAUUGUGGGAUGAAGCGGCCCGGACCAACCUUACAUGUCCACGCACAUGAGACCGAUUCCACCGACUGACAUGCAACUAGUUUUGCAUAAAGGUGGCUGGCGGGUGUCUGUUUCUCCUACUUUAGUUGAAUCAAAUUUGACUACGACCGCUCCUCGAAGAAGGUUUAAACAACAAACUUGACGAAUCACCGUUGUGGUUUAUGCUGUAGGUAAGAAUGAUUCUUUCUAGAAGCCCGUAGCAGCCACAUAAAACUUACAACAACAAAGUAGAGGACGUCUAACUUGUUUUUGCAGGGUAUGAUGUGAUGUGAUAUGGUCAAGACAUGAUAUGAUAUACAUUAUUGUAUGAGAUGAUCAUGUUUUGUAAGAUAUCAACAACCUACAGGAGCCUUAUGGUUGUCUCUUUAUUGUAUGAAAUGCAAACACCAUGUAAUUGCUCUACUUUAUCGCUACGAGUUAGCAAUAGUUGUAGAAGCAAUAGUUGGCGAGACGACCACGACACAACAAUGGUGAUCAAGGUGCCGAGCCGGUGACGAUGGAAAUCAUGACAAUGCUUUGGAGAUGGAGAUCAAAAGCACAAGAUGAUAAUGGCCAUACCAUGUCACAUAUUUUUGGUUGCAUGUGAUGUUUAUCUUUUAUGCAUCUUAUUUUGCUUAGAACGACGGUAGCAUUAUAAGAUGACCCCUUCAAUAAAUUUCAAGGUAAAAAUGUUCUCCCUAAGUAUGCACGGUUGCUACAGUUUGUCGUUUCGAGACACCACAUGAUGAUCGGGUGUGGUAGACUCUACGUUCACAUACAACGGGUGUAAGACAAUUUUACACAUGCAUAAUACUUGGGUUAAACUUGACGAGCCUAGCAUGUGCAGACAUGGCCUCGGAACACUAGAGACCGAAAGGUCGAACGUGAAUCAUAUAGUAGAUGUGAUCAACAAAGAGAUGUUCACCAUUGAUGACUACCCCAUCUCAUGUGAUGAUCGGACAUGGGUUAGUUGAUUUGGAUCAUGUAUCACUUAAAUGACUUGAGGGAUGUCUAUUUAAGUGUGAGUUCUUAAGUAAUUUGAUUAAUUGAACUUAAUUUAUCAUGAACUUAGUCUUAUAGUUUUGCAUAUCUAUGUUGUAGAUCAAUGGCCUGAGCUACUAUUCCCCUAAAUUUUUAUGCGUUCCUAGAGAGAAAGCUAAGUUCAAAGGUGAUGGUAGCAGCUACAUGGACUGGGUCCGUAACUUGGGGAUUAUCCUCAUUGCUGCACAAAAGAAUUAUGUCCUUGAUGCACUGCUAGGUGAAAGGCCUACUGUAGGAGCAGAAGUUGGUGUUUUGAAUGUUUGGCAAGCUUGAUCUGAUGACUACUCAAUAGUUCAGUGUGCCAUGCUUUACGGCUUAGAACCGGAACUUCAAAGACGUUUCGAACGUCAUGGAGCAUAUGAGAUGUUCCAAGAGUUGAAGUUAUUAUUUCAAGCAAAUGCCCGGGUUGAGAGAUAUGAAGUCUCCAACAAGUUCUAUAGCUGCAAGAUGGAGGAGAACAGUUCUGUUAGUGAACACAUACUCAAAAUGUCUUGGUAUUAUAAUCACUUGACUCAGCUGGGAGUUGAUCUUCUAGUUGAUUGUGUUAUUGACAGAGUUCUUCAGUCACUGUCACCAAGCUACAAAGGCUUUGUGAUGAACUAUCAUAUGCAAGGAAUGAACAAAACAAUUCCUGAGCUCUUUGCAAUGCUUAAGGCCGCAGAGGUAGAAAUCAAGAAGGAGCAUCAAGUAUUGAUGGUUAACAAGACCACUAGUUUCAAGAAAAAGGGCAAGGGAAAGAAAGGGAACUUCAAGAAGAAUGGCAAGCAAGUUGCCACUCCCGGGAAGAAGCCCAAAGCUGGACCCAAGCCUGAAACUGAGUGCUUCUACUACAAAUGGACUGGUCACUCGAAGCGGAACUGCCCCAAGUAUUUGGCGGAUAAGAAGGAUGGCAAAGUAAACAAAGGUAUACUUGAUAUACAUGUUAUUGAUGUGUACCUUACUAAUGCUCGUAGUUGCGCCUGGGUAUUUGAUGCUGGUUCGGUUGCUCAUAUUUGUAACUCGAAACAUGAGCUACGGAUUAAACGAAGAUUGGCUAAGGGCGAGGUGAUGCACUACAAAAAAUACACUUCUGUGAUGAUACAUGUUUGUCAUAGUAGGUCAUGUUUUCUGUCAUGCAUGUACAUCCAUGACGAUUUUAUGACAGAAUCAAGAUAGUCAUACAUGUGCUGUCGUAGAAGUGUUCCAUGACAUUACCAAAAUUAUCAUCACAAAAGUGUUGACUUCCAUGAUGAUAAAUGGCGCAUCAUGGAAGUGCUCUUGUCAAGGGUAACCAACACAUGGCAUCCACCGUAACGGGUCGCGUUAAGCUAUCGGGUCCGGUUUCGGAUCUGAUAACCCGUUAACAGCCUGGACCAAUGGGGAUCUUCCACAUGUAAAAUGCUCAUUGGCCGGAGGAAACACGUGUUGGCUCACCGUUGGGACAGAUGUCAUUCACUCAUUGGAUAUGAGGCACCUAUGAUAUGUCGACACGUGGCACGACCCAACAGUGGCCCAUUCCGGUGAAAAAGGCCGGCCUAGUAAAAAUUAGCAGGCCGACCCAUAUAAGGCCUACUUGUGUUAGGUCCAUUUAAGCCCACGACCCAUACGAGAUGUGCCAAUUCGGCCCAUCAGCGGCCCGUUAACGAUUUGACACCAUUGCAGCCCAUCGUCAGUUCGAGCCCGUUAACAGCCCGCUAUAUAUUUGGGCUCAAUAUCGGCCCGAUGUGGUUUCGGCCUGUUAACGGCCCAUUCAAGGGAUGGGCCAAUUUUCAAGAUGUACGUCUUUCGGUCUUUUAGCCACCCAUUUAAGUGUUGGGCCAAUUUCCGACUUGGUGUGUCUUUCAACCUAUUGACGACACAUAAAUGAGUUGGGCCAUUUAUAGUCGGACCUGAGUUUUGGCCUUUUAACGGCCAAUGAUCUUCGUGGUCCAACAUCAGCUCGGUUUCUCUUUCGGCUUGCUAAAGGCCCACAACGCAGUUGGGCCAUAUACAAUACGACUUGACUUUCGGCCUCUUAGCGGCCCAUGCUCUUCAUGGUCCAGUACGAGCCCGUUGUCUCUUUCGGCCUGCUAAAGGCCCACAGUAUAGUUGGGCCAUAUGUAGCCGACCUUAGUAUCGGCCUGUUAACGACCCGUGAAAUCAAAUGGGCCCACCUCUUUCCUGCUUCGAUGUCGGCCUGUUGACGACCCGGGAGGUAACAGGGCCGACCAUUAACUUUCGGCCUGGUAACGGCCCAUUAACUUAAUGGGCCCACUAAAGUUCGAACAUGUUUGUAGGCCCAAUUAGAUAAUUUAAGCUCAUUAUGAUGAGCAAUUAUGCACAUGACCAAAACCGAUCAAUCAAAGGCCUAUGAGAAUUUUGGCCCCUGCGAGCCCAUUAGGGAAGCCCAUUAAGGGCAGUGGGCUGCUUCCUUCAUAUAGGGCCCAUGACUGUUCGUGCUAACUAAUAAUUUCACUGCUUUUUUAGCUUCCUAGCAACCAUUUAGCUGGAAUGUGAGGGACACUAAGCAAAGGUACAACAUACAGGGAAAAACGUUGCACAUCCAACAUAUAUUAUAGGAAAUUACAUCCACUGGGUAAUCAAAGAUUGAUGCUAGUGCAAACAAAUGAACAAAACCUAACGAUCUACAACGUCACAAUCUGCAACCUCAGCGUGGAUGACGCCCAUAAUCAUGUGGGAAAGUUCUUCAUGCUUUGCUACACUGUCUCUGAAAACAUUGACCAGUUGUUGUUGCACAAGAAUGUGCACCUCUGAUUCCUCCACCAUUUCAUCAUCGCUUCAGCCAGUAAUUGGUUCACAAACAUACAUUUUUUCGUUGCAUUCGAGAUAGAGGAAACUGAACAGAUUCAGAUGGCGAUUUGUGCAGGCUUGUAUUACUGAUAGUGGAGAGUGUCUCGACCACUGCAUCAUUACAUAAAUUAGGAGGGGAACCAAAUGGAUUAAUCAAGAGAUAUUGCCAUAUUACCUGGCCUAGAUUUAUUGGAAAGAAACAAUGGGGUUGCCUUUCCGUUUUUAGAGUUUGUCUUCUUAUCUUCAGCAACCUGCACCAAAUUAACACACUAGCAUUGCUAUCAUUGGCCAGGUCAGAUAAUAGGAAAGCAACAUUGACACAACGAACAUUUGGGCAACCAGACCACACCAGCCUACACCAAAUUAACACAAUAUGGCACAACUAUCAUCAGCCAGGUAAGGUAAUACGAAAGCAACAUUGACACAAUGAAUGAAUGGGCAACCAGAGCAACACUACAAUUCAGUAAUGUGCAUGAUAUGAGAUAGUACACUCAUGCAACUCAGUAUGCAAAACUACCAGGCAGUUUUCCUUACAAAAAUCAACAUUGUCGCCUUUAAUUAUACAUUUUGCUAUAACUAAAUUUAGAUCAGAUAAAGGUUGGAUUCAUGCCGAUUAUCAAAAUACAUGUUGAUGUAAAAAUAUAGUGAUAUACAACAAGUACUUACAUCAGCAUUGGAGCACAGAGAAUUCCCGCAAGAUACUUUCCUUGAAUACGACCCUAGUGGAGAAAUUCUUCUAUCUUUAAGCUUAUUUUCUAAAAGAGAGAUGGGUAAGAAACAUGUAGAAAAUAUGAUCAGAAUGCUAUAAAAUUUCAUGAUGCGAGGAUACACACGCGCUUCUUAGAAUGGAGUUGACAUAUUUUUCCUGGACUGGAGCGGACUAGUUCUUUGGCCACUAGAAUCUGCUUAUUAUCAGUAGGAGUUGGGUUUCUCUGUGUUGGAGCAAUAUCUAUGAAAACUGGAGUUGGUUUACUAUCUCCUGGCGUUUGAAUCUUUUUCAAAGACCUUGUUUGUAACCCUUCAAAUUCUAACAUAGUCGUCUUCCCCUUGCAUGCCUUAUAUAGAAGAAUGGUGCUUCAAUUAUAAAACAUGCUACAACAGAGAGAUGGAAUAGGUACUGAAGAAUAGAAAGGCAUGACACAUUGACAUGUAUUCCCUCCAUCUAGAAAUAAAUGGAUGGGUCUAGGCGUAUUUCAGUUCUAGAUACAUCCAUUUUUAUCCAUUCUGCGACAUGUAAUCCGGAGGAGGGAGUAUGAUGUGAGAACUAGGGAUACGAUAGGACAACAAUGUAAAAAACACUAGUUGAAUGUAAAACUAUAUACUAGCGGAAUACAUACAGAAAAACACUAAGGCAACAUAUGCGUGUAUGAUUGGGAAACUAAGAUGGCAUUGCAACAGACCACUAGAACAACACUUCAAUGUAAAAAAAACAUGGUAUGGUAGACAGAUGAAGUACAUACUGAUGAAUAACAAUGCAUAAGAUAUUCAGAAGCAUGAUGUCCGAACUAAGCUGAUGGCAUUGCGAUAAAGUAGAAUGACAAUACUUGAAUUUGAAAACAUGUUAUCAUGAAUGGAAUAGGUACUGAAAAAUAGGAAGGCAUGACAUAUUUACAUGCAUGAUCAACAGGCUAAGCACAUGGCAUUGCAACAGAGUAGAUGCACUCCAGGACAUUAUAUGCAUGCUGUACCCAUAUCACGGGCCAAGUUAGAGCAAUGACCUUGUGGGGUGAAUAGGAUUCAUCAUCUUUCUACAAGUCUUCUGAAGAACUGCCUUUCCAUGUUCCAUCAUAUUGGGUAUCAUUGACGUCAAGUUUGUUGGCCGUACAUUGUUCCGUGAGGUUCUUGUGGAUAAAUCAGUGUGUGCAAUUAUAUCUGACAUGCAUGGAAGACAAGUAAUAGUUAGAUUUAUGUAAUGAGUGCCUAUAGGAGAUGACAUAAAUAGUAGGACUGGGGUUAACUCGCAGCAACAGGUCUCAAAAACUAAAGGGAGAACCCAGAUGAAAGCUACAAAAUAUGUAUCGUUUGUACUCGAUAUUAACUAGAUGGCACACAAAAGUAUUAAAGAACAACAUAGGUAAUACUAGAAGUGGUAUAAUACUAUAAUCACCAGCCUGUGGGAUAGCAUUGGCUGAUGGAUGAUAACUAUGGAACAACGUAACCUAAAGAACAAGUCUCUUAGCUGAACUAUAGAACAAUGUUAACUCCUGAACAACACCCGUAAGAGAUCAGCAUGAAUAUACAGUGAAAUGUGAUAAUCUAUUUUCCAUGCUUAGAUGAAUAACAAAGCCAUAAAUGUUGCACACAAGUAAGAUGAGGGUAUAACCUAUCUGGCCGCCAUCCAUAGGAGUGAGCAUCAUGUGCUGACUUGUUGAUAGCCCUGCAGUUGUUGUGUCUGUCCAUGUCGGGCAUGCACAUUCGAUGCAGGGAACUAUUGAGUGGGGACUAUAGCUCCCUUCUGGUGUAUGCUUCCCUUGUUGGAGUAGUUGCGGUGAGUCGGAAGAUGGUGUGGCUGAAGAUGCAGAAAACGCAUAAUGUUAAGAACGACACAAUCUCUGACCUGAAAAAAGUACCCUAAGAGAUCAACAAUAAGGUACGAGAGUGUUCACACGUCUGUUGACUGAAGACUAAAUUGGGGUCACACAAUUUUAUUUAAUUUUGGUACUGUCCGAUCUACGCCGGUUGGCUUGAUGGCUAUCUUGUGCCUCCCGGCUGACACUAUUCAGAAUCUUCCCUGAAGAGCCAGCGACCACCGGUAGAGCAUCCUGCCUCUGCCUUCCGUGGCCACGAGAGCUCCGACCAAAACACCGCUCCCCGCCCCACCGCACUACCGUGGUUGCGCCGCCCCCGGUCAAUCCACAAAGACUCACCGUCAUCCAGAUCUAAUGGCGGCAAUACCUUCAACCCACACAACUCUAAGAUAGCCAUCUAAGCGCUGCUUCCACAACGAACUUGCGCCCCCGCUCCCUUAUGUUAGACACCAGCCAACCGGCAGCCUAGGAGCUCCGCCACCUCGAGGGUAUUGCUUCCCAUUGGGAAUUGAUUGGCCCAGAAUAAAAAUUCAGACAACUGACACCUAUAUAAAGUGAUUUGAGAUGAGGGUACGACCUAUCUUACGGACCGGUGAAGUAGGCAUAUCCAGCUGUCGAGUCGGUGAGGCCGGCGCGGUUGCGGUGGCUACCGGUGGCAAGAAAGCAGAGAUGUUACAAUGGUCGAUGGCUAUAGGGAAGCAGCACCGGGGCCCUAGAGGCAUCUGAAGUUGGAGCCGCUCUGGCGCCGUGCACACGACGGGGGUGAAUUGGCUCCGGUACGGUUCACGCGAUCGUCGUCGAGGCAGCUCUGGCAACACGAAGUAAGAGGCACAUGACCCAGUGCACGACGACAAAUGGAUAACACCUCCGGCAUUGGGGAGGAGGGCGGCGGUGAAUUUGGUGCGGUGGGGGCGCCAUGGAGGAGGGGCUGAGGUUUCGCGGCUGGGGAGAAGGGAGCUUCCGGGGAGAAGGUGAUUUGGCGCCCACGAGGUAUGAAUGGGGAAUUGGGAGGGGGAACCAUGUCUUGCGAACGCAUUUGUCUGAAAUGUGUGGGGGGAGGGGAGUUACAGUUCUACCCCUGCCUUUAGGCUUUUGGGCUUGGGUCUAUGUACUGAUGGUCGGGGAUAGUAGAGUAACUUUGCUUCUCCCAAUAACGGGCGCGAGCGAUUUCAGGCGAGGAGGGCGUGUUUUGAAAUAGUGGGCGCGGGCGAUUUUGGGCAAGGAGGGCGUGUUUUGAAAUAGUGGGCGCGAGCUAUUUCGGGCGAGGCAGGCGUGUUUAGAAAUAGUCGGCGCGAGCUAUUUCGGGCGAGGGGGGCGUGUUUUGAAAUAGUCGGCGCGAGCGAUUUCAGGCGAGGAGAGGGUGUUUUACCGCCCAUGGUUUAUGAAUUAUUCAGCACAUGUCAUUUUGGCCAAGGAGAAGGCGCGCUUGGAUGAAGUUACGAACCUACCCUCGAUGUACAACGGGCCAAUUGAUGCGUGUCCCACAUAGGCCGGUAAAUCGGGUCUCCCAUUUAUUUGCUUGGGCGAAUUCCACCAAGCAGAGGGUGUUUAGCGGUUUGUUUAGAUUUUGGGAGAACGAGCAUCCACGUCUACCUUACCAAGUCGAUUCGAAUCAGAUUUUGAAAUAUUAGCGUGCCACUUCUUUUUUAGAUGGAGAUGAUGCUGGGGACUAAUGUGUUUUUACAUGCUCAUUGCUAACGAUUUAUUAUUUACUAUAUGACAAAUAAUUGACCCACUCAAAAAACGGGAAUCAAACCCAAAAUGAAAUAUCUCGAUUCAAUGAAAUAACUCGUUCACCAGGUCAAAAUAGUCAACUAAAUCCAAAAUUGAACACCUCAAUCGAGUAGCAUGUUGUACAGUAUUAUAGUACUCCAUGAACAUGUUGAGAAUCAAAUUAAUGAACUUAUUUUAUACGCAUAUCUCCGUUCAUGUGUGGAUUGCAGACAACAUGUUCUCCAAUUUAAAUAUUUGAAUGCAAGUUUAUAUUGAAACAUGGUUUAUAUCAGUCUUUGAUGCAUAAAACGCGACGUCCCCCUCUCCUGGACUCCUGCUCUCUCUCUCUCUUGCCAACAAUCUUCAAUUCUAUGGCACGCGUCCAAACACAAACCUUGUUGGUCCCUCUCCCUCUCUCUCUCUCUCUCUAUCUCUCUCUCUUUAUGUGUGUGUGGGGUCUUUCUAGUUCACAUGCACACUCCAUGUAUAGGUCUCUCUCGCACACUAUGUAUGAUUCUCUAGUCCAAGCUAAAUAUCUUGGGUGCACUCAUCGUCCGCACACAAAUUCCCUAGCUCAUUGCCCGUAACUCUCUCACGCACCACUCUGCCAUCUCGGAGCUCUUCCCUCUCUCUCUCAAACUCUCCAUCUCCAUGGGUCACACAUACACAUGCAUAUCUCACUCGCACUUGAUAGACCCAUCUAAAACUCUUUCUCUUUCUCUAUCUAUCUCUCUCUCUCUCUCUCUCCAUCUCACACGCACACAAACACAAUCUCACGCCUAGCCAAGUAUGAUGGUCUCUCACUCAAUUGUAGGCACACGCAGCCCCCCUAUAUGUAUAUGACUAGCUAAUUCUUAGUCUCCAUCCCAAACAUGUGCAUGGUCUAUCUCAAUUUCUCUCGGGGCGUCUUUCUAUCACACACACACCACGUCCCUCGAUCUCCCACCCAUAUAGUCCCCUCACGAUCUCGAGGGGGUCUCUCUAUCACAAACACACCCUCUCUCCCUCCCUCCCCAUGCAUCCAUCUUCUCAAUGUGUCCCUCUCGACCUUUGUUCCUUGUUGGCCAGACCUCUAUUGGACAUGUGCUAUAGGGGUGUCUCUCUCCGUUGCAAACAAUCACGCACUAUCUUCGUGUAUCUCCUCACCUCACUUUUCUAUCUCGGAGAUGCAUGCGUGAUAUGUUUGCAUAAGAAACGAACACACACACUCUCUCUAAUUUAUCGUUUGUUGUCCCUUUCUCUUUCACACACAUACUCUUUUUGCACACUCACUCAUUCUCCUUCACACACACUUGAUCUCUCUCUACUUAGGCCCUCUCUUUGGUCCAUAGCAUAUAGAUUUAUUGAAAAGUCAAACAUCACAAAGUUUGACCAUGUACGUGGAGAAAAACAUUUACAUCUAGAAUGGUAAACAUAUAUCAUUAGAUUCAUAAUGAGAUGUAGUUUCAUAUGAUGUAUCUUUGGUAUUGUAGAUAUAAAUAAUAUUUGCGUAAACCUGGUCAAAGUUUACAAAGUUCGACUUCUAAAAAAAUUAUAUACACUGCAUUAUCGAGCGGAUGGAAUAUCUCUUUCCCCCUCUCAGCUAUCUGACGCACCACUCAGCCGUAUCGGGGCUCCUCUAUCUCUCUCAAACUUUAUAUCUCCCUGGUUCACACAUACAAAUAUCUCGCUCGUGCUACAUAGACCCAUCUAACACUCUCCGCCCUUGUUAUCUCUCUAUGUGACACGCACCCCCCUAAGUACCAUAAUCCCUCACUCCAUCAUAGGCGCACACACUCCGCCCUAAGUAUGACUAUCUCUCACUAGCCAUCAAGAACACAUGUAUUGUCUCCUUCAAUCCAUACGUCUAUCUCGAUAUCUCUCGGGGUAUCUUCUAUCGCACACACACCUUGUCACUCGAUAUCCCACCCAUGUAGUCCCAUCAUGAUCUUCAGGGGAUCUCUCUAUCAGAAACAUACACUCUCUCCUCCCCAUGUCUGCAUUUUCUACAUAUGUCUCUCUCGACCUCUCUCCCUUGUUUGUCAGACCUCUCUUGGCCACAUGCUAGGGAUCUUUCUCUCUCGGUUGCAAACAACCACACACUAUCUCCUCACCUCGCUUCCGUUGUCAAGGAUGCAUGUGUGAUAUGUUUGCAUAAGACACACACGCUUUUUCUCUACUUUUAUCAUGUGUUAUCCAUGUCUCUUCCACACACGCACACACACUUUUUUCAGUCACUCUUUCUAUUUCUCUCUCUCUCUCUAGUUAGGUACUCUCUCACGUCCAUAAGCAUAUGGAUGUUUUGAAAAGUCAAACCUCAGAAAAGUUUGACCAGGUAUAUGUGGAGAAAAACAUUUACAUCUGGAACGAUCAUUAGAUUCAUCAGAACAUGUACUUACGUCAUACUAUCAUUUAUCUUCGGUAUUGUAGAUAUAAGUAAUUUCUUUAUAAACUUGGUCAAAGUUUCAAAAGUUUGACUUAGAAAAAUGUAGGCACUACAUUAUCGAAUGGAGGGAGUAGCUCUUUCUCUAUCUCUACUAUCUCUCACGGGCCUCCCCUCUCACUCGAACUCUCUAUACCGAGGGAUUAUACGGUCAUUGUGUCAACGUAUAGCUCCGUAUGUUGUUUAGUUGACUGGUCAACCAGUCCACAUGCUGCCUUGUCAGCUCGUGUUCUCUAUCUUCAUGUGCUGGCUCAUGUGGCAGUGGGUGAAAGUAACUAAACUAGAGGCCCAUCUGACGCGUGGCGAAGUAUACAAAGUUGAAACCACCCGAGGUAGUGAUACGUCUCCAACGUAUCUAUAAUUUAUGAAGUAUUCAUAAUGUUAUAUUAUCAAUCUUGAAUGUCUUACAAUCAUUUUAUAGCAACUUUAUAUCAUUUUUUGGGACUAAUCUAUUGACCCAGUGCCCAGUGCCAGUUGCUAUUUUUUGCUUCUUUUUUACAUCAUAGGAAAUCAAUAUCAAACGGAGUCCAAACACUCUGAAACUUUUUGUGGAUUUUUUAUGGACCAGAAGACUACCAAUGGGCCAUAGCAGCACCUGGGGGUGCCCCGAGGGGGGCACAAUCCACCAGGGCGCUCCCCGGUGGGUUGUGUCCACCUCGGUGGCCUCCCGCACUCCCUCUUCGCCCUAUAAAUUCUCAAACAUUCCAAAAACCCUCAUGGAGACCCUAGAUCAGAAGUUCCGCCACUGCAAGCCUCUGUAGCUACCAAAAACCAAUCGGGAGCCCAUUUUGGCACCCUGCCAGAGGGGGAUAUCAUCACCAGUGGCCAUCUUCAUCAUCUAGGCGGCCACCACGAUGAGGAGGGAGUAGUCCACCCUCGGGGCUGAGGGUUUGUACCAGUAGCUAUGUGUUUAAUCUCUCUCCCUCGCGAUCUCGAGAUGUCACGAUCUUGAUAUAUCAUGGGUUUGUUAACGUAGAUGGAUCAUAUGAUGUUUCUCCCCUCUCUACUCUUGUUGUGAUAAAUUGAAUCUUGACCCUUUGAAGUUCUGUCAUGUCGGAUUGAAUGUUCAGAUUUGAGAACACAUGAUGUAUAUCUUGAGGUAUGAAUACUUGAGGUGACAAUGGGGUAUCAUAUUGAUUCACUUUAUGUAUGUUAUGGCGCUCAACUUGCGGAUUCCCGCAGUGACAUUGGGGUAAUCUAUGCAUAGGGGUUGAUUCACGUUCUUAUUAUCUUUUCUCUGAUAGAAACUUUGGGGUCUCCUUGUAGUUCUUUGUGUGGAUUGAAUAUUAUGAUCAUGAAGUUGUUUGAUGCAUAUCAUAGAAUUAACUCACGGAUACUUGUGGUGACAUUGGAGUACCUAGGUGACAUUAGAGUUGGUUGAUGUGUGUCAUAUGGUGUUAUGUUAGUACGAACUCUUGGUUAGAUUGAUCGGAAAGAAUAGCUUUGCAUUAUUUUAGUACAAACUCUAGGACAGAUUGAUCGAAAAGAAUAGCUUUGAGGUGGUUUCGUACCCUGUAAACCAUUUCUAUCUUUUGUUCUCCGCUAAUAGGAACUCAUGAGUGAUUCUUUAUUGCACUUUGAGGGAUAAUCAUAUGAUCCAACUAUGUUAGCAUUGUUGAGAGAUUGCACCAGUGAAAGUAUGCACCCUAGGCCUCAUUUUCCAUCAUUGCAAUACCGUUUGUGUUCCGUUUAAUAUUUACUACCUUGCUAUUUUUCCAUUAUUCGCACUACAAAAACUCAUAUCUACUACCCAUACUACACUUUUAUCACCAUCUCUUCGCCGAACUAGUACACCUAUACAAUUUGCCAUUGUAUUGAGUGUGUUGGGGACACAAGAGAUUUCUUGUAUUUGAUUGCAGGGUUGCUUGAGAGAGACUAUCUUCAUCCUACGCCUCCCACGAAUUGAUAAACCUUAGGUCAUCCACGUGAGGGAAAAUUGCCACUGUCCUAGAAAACUCCGUGCUUGGAGGCCCAACACGAGUCUACAAGAAUAAAGUUGCGUAGUAGACAUCAAGCUCUUUUCUGGCGCCGUUGCCGGGGAGGUUAGGUAAGCGGCACUCACACCCCAUCAAUGAAGCUCUUUUCUGGCACCGUUGCCGGGGAGGUGAGUGCUUGAAGGUAUAUCUUUAGAUCUUGCAAUUGAAUCGUUUAGUUUCUUGUUUUAUCACUAGUUUGGUUUAUAAAAGAAAACUACAUUAAAAUGGAUUGAGGUCGCAUCAUAUUAUUGAUCAUCUUUAUAAUAUCUUUCUUGAAAAUGAUGGAUCGAAAAAUUGUGCUCAAUUUUUAGAAGAAGAAGUCAAUAAAAUGUUUGGCACAAAAUAUUUGAAUGAUGAGCAUGAUUGAAUGUUGUUAGUAUGAAUUAUUUGAAUACCCAAAAUGCUAAUGGUGAUUGCACAAGUCAGGACAAAAAUGUUUCUUAUAAGCAUGUCAAUUUUUGUGGAGUGCAUAAAGUUUGUGAAGACAUGCCUUAUAGGGAAGAUAGAUUUUGUAAGAAGCAUAAACAUGAUAGAACCAAUUCUUUGCUCAAAAAGAUAGAUGAAUUUGCUACAAAAUUAUGCUCUCUUUGUCCUAUUACUUGUGAACUUUGCAAUAAGUUUCCAAUGCAUGCUUUUUCUUGAUCGAAUCAUAUCCAAAUAUUGCAAUAACUUGAUCACCCUUGAACUUUAUAAUGAGCUUUUUCUAUUUUUGGGGAGUGAAGAAUUGACAUAUAAAAAUAGUUGGUUUGAAGUAUUCAUUCUCACGGACGACAUUGAAACUAAACAAAAAAAUAUCUAUAUGUUUUGCAUGGUAAAUUGCAAUGAGAAUGCUUAUAGUUCCAACUAUAGAAAGAUGGGAAACCCCAUAGAAUAUAAAAGGAAUACUAAUGAAAGGGUAAAUAUGUCUACUUUCCCUCCUAUUGUCUCUCAUGAUGAAAUAGAUAAUCAGGAGGAGCUUCCUAUCCAAUCAAUCUCUUCAACAAGAAGCUUGAAAAAAUUAAUUAAACUCACACAUGAUGUGGUGAAGAAGAAGAAAAGAAGAAGAAAGAAUAGAGGUAAAAAGGCAUCUCUCCCAAAUAGUGUUGCUCCUAUCACCAUCGUGCCUCAUGAAAGUGAAUCAAAUAUGUUGAUGGAGGAUGAUGAUAUUGAGUAUAAUUUUGUGAUGCCUACUUCUUGUUGUGAUGAUUAUGCUUGGGAAGACAAUGAUGUCUUUUAUGAUCUUGAAAAUCUUUUUGGCACUUGCUUGGAAGAAUAUGAUAAUGCUUGCUAUACUAUUGGUGCCAUUCAUGCUAUUGAUAAGAAUGAUUAUGAUGAUAUGCAAAACCACAAGCUUGGGGAUGCUAUGUUUGAUGAGUAUGAAACAUCUGAAGAUUUAUUUGCUAAAAAUAAUGAUUGUCCGAAUCUUGGGGAUGCUUUUCAUAAUGAAUAUGAUCCUUUGAUUCCUUCUACUUUCAAUAAGAAAAUUUAUUAUGAUGAUAGCAUGCCUCCUAUUUAUGAUGAUUACAAUGAUGAAAGUGGGUUUGGAAGAGUGUCAACUCUAGGUAGUAGUGAUCCCACUAUUUUGGAGGGUGUUGAAUCUUAUUACAAUAUUGAUGAAAGUGGAUUUGGAGAGGUCAUGACUUUAUUUAGUGAUACAUCCACUAUUUUGGAAGAGGUUUCAAUUGACUGAUGACAACAAAGUUGCUACUUAUGAUGAUUAUUAUGAUGACAUGUAUGCCAUAUAGAGUGAUAAAUCUUCUAUACUUUUGGAUCAUAAAAAGAAUGCUUUAUGUGAUGGUUAUAUGGAUGAAUCUAUUCAUGACGUUCUGAAAAUUAUUAUGGGAGAGGAACUUAUAAUUCAUGAUGCUCUUCUUAUGUUUCAACUUUUAUCUUUUAUGCGAGCAUCAUUGAAAUCAUCAUGCCUAGCUAAAAGACAUUAAAGAAAAUCGCUUGUUGGGAGACAACCCAACACUUCCACCUUCAUGCCCGUUCCAGCACCCUGCAGGAGGGGGAGAUCAUCAACGAUGGCCAUCUUCAUCAUCCCGGCGACCACCACGAUGAGGAGGGAGUAGUCCACCCUCGGGGCUGAGGGUUUGUACCAGUAACUAUGUGUUUAAUCUCUGUCUCUCUCUCUCGCGCGAUCUCGAGAUGUCAUGAUAUUGAUAUAUCAUGGGCUUUGUUAACAUAGAUGGAUCAUAUGAUGUUUCUCCCCUCUCUACUCUUGUUGUGAUGAAUUGAAUCUUUACCCUUUGAAGUUUUAUCAUGUCGGCUAUAAAAUCUAUCGGCCCCAAUUUGGAUCAAGUUGUUGGAUUCCUUACAUGCUUUCAGUGCACAGAGAAGCUACUCAUCGAGGUGAAACUUCUUUACUAUUAGUAAAUGGUAAUCACAACGUAGCUCAAUUUUUUUUGUAAUUUUCCCAAAUUAAGUCUAGUGUUCAAAACUGCAUCUACGCACUGCACCGAAAGAAAUGUUUUUAGUAUUUUUUCUCACGUGAUCACCAGUAUCAUUUUUUAUUGUACUAUUAGUAGCCUAGGCUAGUCAUAGUGGCAAGUAACUUAGACUAGUAACUCUAUGGUUACCCUAAGAGCAAGUACUACCUCCGUCCUGGUUUACUCUUCCUAUUUUGUAGUAUCAAAAUUUGACCAUUGAUUUAACUGACAAAAUGUUAAUGCAUGUCACUAAAAAAUUAUAUCAUUGGAUUUGUAUUUGAACAUAAUUUCAAAUGGUAUAAUUUUUGGUGACAUGCAUUGGCAUGUUCUUAGGUAAAUCUAUGGUCAAAAUUUUACACUAAAUACGAGGUAGUACAAAAGUGGGCUAUAACUGCCCUCCACUAUGUAGGCCAAAACACGUACCAAAUUCACUUGUGAUGCAUUUGGCAUCGAUGCCCCUCCAUUGCUCACAUGGUGCCCCAAUCUGGAUCACUUACUCCGUGCCAAAUUAACUGACGCAAUGGAAAAACACUUGCGUUGGAGAGGGAGAGGACUGAGGCAAUAAAAAAAACUUGUUUGGGAGAGUGAGAGGCUGGUGUAGUUGGUUUGAUUUAUUUGUUUAUACAUGUGGGUCCGUGUGCACAGUGGUGCCAACUCUCUCACAUCGCUAGCACUACAAAAAAAGACACAUCCGUGACAUUUUGGGCCGAACAAUUUUUUUCUAUCAUACUUAUGACACUUCUAUGACGAUAAUUGUGACAAAACCCGGUAUCAUCAUAGAUGUGGUGGGCUCCUACUUCUAUGACAAAAAAUCAUGACAGAAAAUGGGCUUUUCAUCCUGGGCGGGCCGAAGAUGCAGUUGCAUGACAUUCUUUGGGCCGUCCAUGACGGAAAAAACCAUGGUAGAAGCGAGGGCGAGGAAAAUUUCAGGGAAUUCCCAGUUACGGUGGGUGGACGGGGGCCGAGCGAUGUGCGUUUCUCUCGUACCGUACGCACGUGGGUGCGAGGCGUUGGGCUCUAACUGAACCCGAGCGAGGCGUUACCUAACUGAAUCCGAGCGAUUGCACUAUAGGCUACGCGUUACUGAACCCGAGCGAUCGAGCGAUUCCUUCGCUACUGCUACUAAUUGAAGCCAAUNNNNNNNNNNNNNNNNNNNNNNNNNNNNNNNNNNNNNNNNNNNNNNNNNNNNNNNNNNNNNNNNNNNNNNNNNNNNNNNNNNNNNNNNNNNNNNNNNNNNNNNNNNNNNNNNNNNNNNNNNNNNNNNNNNNNNNNNNNNNNNNNNNNNNNNNNNNNNNNNNNNNNNNNNNNNNNNNNNNNNNNNNNNNNNNNNNNNNNNNNNNNNNNNNNNNNNNNNNNNNNNNNNNNNNNNNNNNNNNNNNNNNNNNNNNNNNNNNNNNNNNNNNNNNNNNNNNNNNNNNNNNNNNNNNNNNNNNNNNNGCCAAUCGAUGCUGCCUCUGGAUGAACAGUGACCGUUGCUGGGGGGGGGGGUUGGAUGAACAGUGAGCAUUGCUGGGGGUUGGGUGGAUGAACAGGACCCUGUGGUCUUGCCUCUGGAUGAACAGGACCUCGAUGGAUCGAGCCGGUUGGCUGGAUGAACAAGACCCCGUGGAGGGAUGGAUGAACAGGAUGACCCUGUGGAGGGCUGGUUGAACAGUAGUCGGUGGAGGGCUGGAUGAACAGUAGCCCAUGGAAGGGUGUUUGAACAGGAGCCCGUGGAGAGGGCUAGUUGAACAGUAGCCGGUGGAGUAGCGCGCGGUGGAGGCUGGAUGAACAGGAGCCCGUGGAUGAACAGGAGCCCGUGGAUGAAAAAUUGCAGGUGGAGGCUGGAGGAGGUCGACGGUGGAUGAACAGUAGCCCGUGGAGGCUGGAGGAGGUCGACAGUGGAGAUGAACAGUAUCCCGUGGAGUCCCGUUUUGCGGUACGCCACACCCCUCCCGAUGAACAGGACCCCCGUUUCGACCGUAGUGCUCUAACACAAAUCCGUUUCCUCCGUUUUGCGGUACGCCACACCCCUCCCGAUCAACAGGACCCCGUUUCGACCAUAGGAGGUCCAACAGUAGUCCGUUUCCUCCAUUUUGCGGUACGCCAGACCCGUCCCGAUGAACAUAAUCCCGUUUCGACCGUGGCCAGUCGAACACAAGGCCAUUUACUCCGUUCUGCGGUACGCCAGGCCUCGUUUCCAUCGGCUAUUCCGUCCAAGCCGGUUGGCUCCCACGCGUCCAGUUGCCUUCGGAUGAACACGCCGCAUUCCGUUGCCUCCCCAUGAACACGAUGACGAUGCAGUUUCUCCGUUCCACCCAGCCAUGUACACGAGUCCUGGCCGUACGUAUGCACGAGUAGGCGUUUGAGACCCCGCCCGUAUGUACGUACGUGGCUGUAUUUACUUUCUUGCAUCCUGGCCGUUGUACGUACAUGUACAUGCUACGUGUGCGCCUCUACUAUGGCACGUGCGCGUCUACAUCAACCAGUAUGUACGUACACGUUCGCGACCAGAAUGACGACACUACCUAUGCUUUGACCAGGUGGGUCCCGACUGUCAGGCACUUCCUUGCGUGCGAAGAUGUAGCUGGUGGGUCCCAACAGUCAGGGGGGCGAAUCAUUUUUUUUGCCCGUAAUAUGGACGCACUUCCUUGCAUGCGAAGAUGUAGCUGGUGGGUCCCAGCAGUUAGGGGGGAACCAUUUUUUUGUGAAAUAUAGUGGCCCGUCCGGUGGAUCCCUGCUGUCAGGUGGAUGAAUAAUUAUUUUGCGCAUAAUAAGGAGCCAAUUCCUUGCGGCUGCCAUGGACCCAGCUGUCAGCCUAUCAACACAUAGUACUCUUCCGAUGGAAGUCAUUCCUUGACCAUGUUGACCACGCCGCACCGAGAGCACCAGGGCGGUGGACGACAGCGAGGCCUAGGAAGGGGACGACACGGAGCCGGGGAAGACGCGGCAGUGGAUGCCCAUGCGUAGAGGAGUAUGAGGGUUCACUGGUUCGGCUCGGUGUGAGGCUGCCGUCGCCGUAGAAUAACAAGGGGUGCAGAUGAGUAGAGUGAUGGCCUGGCCAGCGGUGGGAGUAGUAGGGGGCGGUGAGGCCUCCACGGCAUCACAGCCGGCCACGGGAGGCAGGAGCACGCAGCACGACCGACGCUGGUUUGGGUGGCUGCAGCAAGAAGACCAGAGGUUGAAGAAGCACUACGGCCGUUGGAUGGACAUUGUACGGUCACUGGAGCUAGAAUCGUUCAUAUUGACUAAGUUGACAAAGCCCUCUGUCCCCAUCAACUUAGUUAGCCCACAAGUCAGCCUCCCACUAUGGUGGGUCCCAGCUAGCAGGGGGUAUUCAUUUUUUUGUGCGUAAUAAGGAGACACUUCCUUGCGUGUGAAGAUAUAGCUGGUGGGUCUGACCUGUCAGCGGGGGGAACGUUUUUUUCCCGAAAUACAGAGGCCCUUCCAGUGGGUCCCAGCUGUCAGGUGGAAUCAUUAUUUUGUGCGUGAUAAGGAGGCAUUUCCUUGCUUGCGGCCAUGGACCCAGCUAUCAGCCUCUCCACGCAUAGUCUACUUCCGAUGGUGUCGUUCGUUGACCAUGUUGACCACUCCGCGCUGAGCGCAUCCAAGGUGGUGGACGACGGCGAGGCCCCGGACAGCAAUGAGCCGGAGAUGGGAAGACCUGGGAGUAGAGUCACAGACGGAGAGGUGUACGAGGGUUAACUGGUUCUGGUGCGGUGUGGUUUGGCAGUCGGUGGAGAAGAACAAGAGGUGUGGAGGGGUGGAGGGAUGGCCUGGCCAACAAUGCAGUAGUGCUUCACAGCGAAGCGUGCUAAGCAGAGCUGCUAGCAGCAGGAGGCGGGAGCAGGUGGUCCCGGCGGCGCUGGAGGAAGAAGACGAGAGAUUGAAGAUGGAUGCCUGUCAUUGGAUGUAAAUCCAACGGCUAACGAUGUCAGAAUCAUUUGUUGACUAAGUUGACAACGACUUGCGUUGGCUUCGACCUAUUGGCCCACAUUUUAGCCUCCAAAAAUGUGGCACGUAUUCAACCCAUUUUUUUCAGAAUUUACAGCCUUUUUUUACGGGGUAGAAUUUACAGUCAAUUUGAUAUUUUUUCGAAUUACAGUCCAUUAGCUGGGCUAGUUGAACAAAUAAUGUAGCGUCCAUGCGGCCCAUUUAUUUUUUUCCUAAAGAAUUACAUGCCAUUUGCACUUUCUCGAAAUAGACGAUUUUGGUGGGCUGAUUCUAAUUAUAAUGGGUUGGGCCAACAAUGUUAUCAAAAAAUAAACAGGGGCUGAGCAUUUUUGUUAUAAAUAUAUUUAAAUAAUAAGUGAUUUAUUAGUACAUUGGCCCUGUAAGUGCAUCUAGUGCCACCCCUAGUUGGUUUUGGAGUAUUGACGACAAAGUUGGUUGAGGGACUAAUGCUUUUGUGAGAAUUGCAGGAUAACGCAGGUAGUGUCCCUCAUUGAUUCAGUUUACCUACUGGAGAUGACCCCUAAAAAUGUAUGAAGACAUUGAAGACAAUGGUGGUAUGAGAAGAUAUUCAUAUUGAAGACUGACAUGAGAAGACAUUGCGUGAAGACUAUGGACCGCGAAGACUGUGUGGCUUCGUUGUUUCCUUUUCUUCUUUGUUGAGUCAUAGGAACCACCGUACUGUUAAGUGGGGUCCAAGUGAACUGAGUCAGAGUGACUGAAAUGAUGCUCAACCCAAAUCCUAUGUCUUCGAGCGAAGACAAUGAGAGCAAAUCUUAUCCAGAGCUGGAUGAGUCGGCUUUGCUUGUAGCCCAAGUAAAGUUGUUGCGUGUGAUUGAAAUCUGACUGUUGGAACACGUGUCAGUUCCUUAGUGACCCAGGGUCAUUUCGGACAAAUCAGGUCGGGUUGCCUUGUGGCUAUAAAUAGCCCACCCCCUACACCAUAAAUUGGUGACUGCUCAGAGUUAGUUUACGGCUUUUGUCGUUUUGAGAGCAACCCACCUCGAAGCCUUUGAGAGAGAAAUCCUUGCGAGGACAAAGCCCAAACACCCAGAUCCAAAGAGUGUUAGGCAUCACUGAAGUCUUUCUGUCUGUGUGACCUGAAGACUUAUUACACUUGAGGACUGUGUAUCCUCCAGCCGUUUAGGCGUCGCGUUCUGAGCAUCCAAGAGUCAUUGUGGAUUGCCGGGUGAACGAAGUCUGUGAAGGUUCGGAAGUCUACCUUGAAGACUUACCAGAGUGAUUGGGCGAGGACUAAGUGUCCUUAGCUCAAGGGGAAUAAGGUGAAGACACGGUCUUCUGAGUUGAAUCUCAGCCUCCCUAACCAGACGUACAGUUGUCACAGCAACUGGAACUGGUCCAACAAAUCAUGUGUCUUCAACAAGUGACUGGUUCUAUCUCUUCCCUCCUUUACUUUGAGUUUGCCUUCGUGAAGUCUUUGCUUAUCUGUCUUAUCUGAUUGACUUCAUUGCUUGACUACUAUUGUUGAUUGGCUUCAUACUAUCUUCCAUCCUGAUCCUACUACAUAGCUGCUAUUAGUCUUCGUACGUUAACGCUAUUGCAUACUUGACUAUGGCUUGCUUGUUGUAGUUUAUCUUCCGCUGCAUAUCAAUUAGGUCAUUUCUAUUGUUUGUCUUCGAAACUUCCACGUUUUGAAGACUCUGAUAAAAAUCGCCUAUUCACCCCUCCCCCUCUAGUCGAUAACUAGCACUUUCAGGGAUGAAUAGGAGACCGAGCAGUUCAAUCCACCGUGCCCUAACUUGGCGACAGAGGACACCUACGGCGGCGACGGAGAGGACGAUGCCCGCGGCCGGCGUGAGGACGGUGUUGGAGAAGUCGUGACAGCUAAGCGCUUCGUCACCGGCGUUGUUGAGAGCUAGCGGUGGCGCUAGGGUUUUGACGAGGUGGAGAGGUGGAAGAAGGUUUUCUUGACCGCAGGGGACAUGUAUUUAUAAGUAGGUGUGCAGCACAGCACAAUUACACAGGUGCCCCUGUCUGUUCACAUCCGUGGGACACGUGGCAAGCAUGCAACAUACUCAGAGUUGUCCCACGUUCCCACGCCCGCCAAGUUUGUCGGAUGGUCGUUCCGGCUUCUCUGGAUUUCAAUCAAUAAGGAUGAAUCAUUUAACUGACUUAAUGUUUGUCUCUGUGUCUUCUGCUGACAAGGAUGCAGAGAAGACAUUCGACAGUUUCAACAGAAUGCAUAUGAUUUGGACAGAUAGAGUUUGAGAUAGUAAGCAUAGAGAGAUUAGGGUCCGAUCACAUUCACUUAGUUCAAAAGAUUCAACAAUGAAGACAUAGCUAUAAGUGAAUGCUGUAGAGGACAGAAUACUAGUGUGUGUGUGUGUGUGUGUGUAUAUAUAUAUAUAUAUGAGAAAGCAAUCAACUCAACAUAGUGAAGUAAAUCAUGAAGAUAAGUUGAAAGUUGAAGACAAAUCAAUAUGCGAAGAUAUUCUACAAUAACACCAUGAGUGAAACACUUCAAACCAAGAAAUUUGGUGGUGGCGUUACCCACCGUAUAGGAAGUAUUAGACCCAGACACGGCGCACAAUUAUCGUGGCGCUUCGAAGUCAAAUUCCACGUUAAUGUAUUCACACUCAGAAUGUAAGUCUUCAUUGAUUGAAGAUAUACUUUACUUCGUGUGUUGUACAUCUAAGUCAUCAACAUGCAUAAGUGUUAGGAUGUGUGCCUGUUCACAGGACAUUUGAGGAUUCCAAGAUAUUUAGGUCACAUCGUAACUUGCAAAACCUCUUCUCAUCGAGGGGCUUUGUGAAGAUAUCUGCCAAUUGCUCUUCAGUGUUGACAUGAAUGAUGUCAAUAUCUUUCUUCAUGACAUGAUCUCUGAGAAAGUGAUGACGAAUUUCAAUUUGCUUUGUCUUCGAGUGCUGAACUGGAUUGUUGGCAAUCUCGAUGGCGCUUUCGUUGUCGCAGAAGAGAGGUACUUGCUUCAGAUUGAUGCCAUGGUCCUUGAGAGUUUGCUUCAUCCACAGAAGCUGAGCACAACAAGAUCCAGCAGCAAUGUAUUCAGAUUCAGCAGUUGAGAGUGAUACACAGUUUUGCUUCUUUGAAGACCAACAGACAAGUGAUCGUCCCAGAAAGUGACAUGUUCCAGAUGUAGACUUGCGAUCCACCUUGUCACCAGCAUAAUCAGCAUCCGAGAAUCCAACCAGAUCAAACCUUGAGCCCUUUGGAUACCAUAAUCCGAGUGUUGGGGUGUAAGCCAAAUACCUAAGAAUUCGCUUCACAGCUAAGUGAUGUGAUUCCUUUGGUGCCGCUUGGAAUCGAGCACACAUGCAAACACUAAGCAUAAUAUCUGGCCUAGAUGCACAUAGGUAAAGUAAAGAACCAAUCAUGGAGCGGUAUACCUUUUGAUCAAACUCUUUACCAUUGUCAUCGGGACCAAGAUGAUGUUUGGCUGGCAUUGGCAUCGUGUAACCUUUGCAAUCUUGCAUUCCAAACUUCUUCAGAGAGUCUUUGAGAUAUUUUUCUUGAGAUAUGAAAGUGCCAUUUCUUUGCUGACGAAUUUGAAGACCAAGGAAGAACUUCAGCUCACCCAUCAUGGACAUUUGAUAUUGCUCUUGCAUCAUGUAUCCAAACUCAUCACUAUACUUCUGGUUGGUGCAGCCGAAGAUUAUGUCAUCCACAUAUAUUUGGCAUACAAACAGUUCACCAUCAUAUGUCUUCGUGAAGAGUGUGGAAUCGAGGGAUCCUGGUUUGAAGCCUUUGCUCUUCAGGAAGUCUUUGAUUGUAUCAUACCAAGCGCGAGGAGCUUGUUUGAGGCCAUACAGUGCUUUGUUUAGUGUGUACACCAUAUCAGGAUGUUUUGGAUCUUCAAAGCCAGGUGGUUGAGCAACAUACACUUCUUCUUCAAUCUUGCCAUUUAGGAAAGCACUCUUCACAUCCAUUUGAUAUAGCAAGAUGUUGUAGUGAUUAGCAUAGGCUAGCAGUAUGCGAAUAGCUUUAAGCCUUGCUACAGGAGCAAAUGUUUCAUCGAAGUCAAUUCCUUCAACUUGAGUAUAUCCUUGAGCCACAAGACGUGCUUUGUUUCUGACGACUUGACCAUGCUCAUCUUGCUUGUUUCGAUAUAUCCAUUUAGUGCCAAUAAUGUUAUGCUUGCGAGGGUCAGGGCGCUUGACAAGUUCCCAAACAUUAUUCAGUUUGAACUGUUGAAGUUCUUCUUGCAUGGCUUGAAUCCAUUCAGGUUCCAUAAAGGCUUCAGCAACUUUCUUGGGUUCAGAUAUUGAUACAAAUGAAAAGUGCCCACAGAAAUUUGCUAACUGUGUUGCUCUUGAGCGAGUAAGCAGACCAGGUGCGUUGAUGCUAUCAAUUAUCUUCUCAAUUUGUACUUCAUUUGCAACACGAGGAUGAACUGGACGAAGCCCUUGCUCAUGCUGAUCAUUGUCAUCAUUGGGAAGAUUGUCUUCGGUCUGAGCAUUGUCUUCAGGUUGGUUUGGUGCAGAAAUGAUAAGUUCCUCUUCAGGUAGUGCUUCAGAGGGCAUGAUUUCACCAGUUCCCAUCAGCUUGAUAGAUUCACUGGAAGGAGCUUCAUCUAAUGUGCUUGGCAGGAGCUUCAUCUAAUGUGCUUGGCAGGAGCUCUCGUUGUGAACCAUUGGUUUCAUCAAAUCGCACGUCCACAGUUUCAACGAUUUUGUAGUGGAAGAGGUUGAAGACUCUGUAAGAGUGAGAAUCCUUUCCAUAACCGAGCAUGAAGCCUUCGUGAGCUUUGGGUUCAAAUUUUGACUUGUGAUGGGGAUCCUUGGUCCAGCACCUAGCACCAAAGACUCUGAAGUAGCUGACAUUUGGCUUCUUGCCAGUAAGGAGCUCAUAGGAUGUUUUGCCCAGAAGCUUGUGGAUGUAGACACGGUUGCUGAUGUGACAUGCUGUAUCAAUAGCUUCAGGCCAGAACUUUCUUGGUGUCUUGUACUCGUCGAGCAUUGUUCGAGCCAUCUCAAUGAGGGUUCUGUUCUUGCGCUCAACAAUGCCAUUUUGCUGAGGUGUGUAUGGAGCAGAAAACUCAUGAGUGAUUCCCAUUGUAUCCAGAUAGAGAUCAAGCCCGGUGUUCUUGAAUUCAGUGCCGUUAUCACUUCUGAUAUGCUUGAUCUUGAUGCCAUAGUUGUUCAUUGCUCGAUUGGCGAAUCGUCUGAAGACAUCUUGUACUUCAGUCUUGUAGAGAAUUAUGUGCACCCAUGUAUAUCUUGAGUAGUCAUCAACAAUGACGAAGCCAUAGAGACACGCUCUUGUUGUGAGGGUAGAGUAGUGAGUAGGGCCAAAUAAGUCCAUGUGCAAUAACUCGAAGGGUUGAGAUGUCGUCAUGAUUGUCUUCGAGGGGUGCUUGGCCCUCGUCAUCUUUCCAGCUUUGCAGGCACCACACAAAUGAUCUUUCUUGAACUUGACACCUUCGAUGCCUAUGACAUGCUUCUUCUUGACGAGAGUGUGUAAGUUCCUCAUGCCAGCAUGCCCCAGCCUUCGAUGCCAGAGCCAGCAUUCUGAAGCUUUUGCAAGAAGACAUAUGGCAAGCUGUGGACCUGCUGAGAAAUCUACCGUGUAUAGAUCACCUUUCCUAUACCCUUCAAAGACUAGAGACUUGUCAGAUUCCAUUAGUACAAGGCAACGAUAUUUUCCGACUAUCACAAUCAUGUUUAAGUCACAAAGCAUUGAGACAGACAUUAAGUUGAAUCCAAGGGAUUCAACAAGCAUCACUUUAUCCAUGUGUUGAUCCUUUGAGAUUGCAACUCUACCUAGACCCAAUACCUUGCCUUUACCAGUGUCAGCAAAUGUGAUUUGACUCUUGUCGGAUGGACGUAAGGUUGAGUCCAUGAGAAGACUUCGAUCACCAGUCAUAUGAUUAGUGCAUCCGCUGUCCAUAAUCCAUUCUGAAGCACGAGGUGUCAUACCCUACAGUGCAGUUAGGAGGAUAUCCUUCACAAGGUAUGUUGUGAAGCAUAAGCAUUUGAUGUACACAUGGAUUAUCAUAGCUCUUAGCAUAAGGUUAGAACUCAUAGUAUGACUGGUGAGCGAUUCACAUGUGAAAUAUAUGGUAAGAUCAUUUUAUCAUGCGUCCCUUAUAGUGUUUUAGGUCCCCGGCAAUAACAUCGGACACCUUUGAUUGCUGGCUGGAGACCAUGUUCUGCAAAAGAGAGUUAGUUCUUCUUCACCACCCACAUCUUUAGGGGUGGCUUAGAAGCAAUGAGUCUAAGUGCAGCAUCUGAGAAUUUCGGCUUUGGAGCCCUAGCAAAUAGCCUUGCAGGAGAUGAAUGAUACUCAUAUGAAUAAGUAGUAAAGUUCUUAGGCCUAUGAACAUAGCGGUUUGAAGACACACGCUCAUAUUCAUAAGUUUGAGUAUGAUUUCCCUGCAAAUCAUUGGCGUUAGGGUGACUCAGGUGAGUCAUGUUUCCGUAUGAAGCCGUUGGACCAUGUGACGCCUUUGGUUUGGGGUUUGUCUUCUUCCCUGGUGGUGUCAUGACAACAUUCACAGGAAGAUUCUUAAGACAGCUUUUGGGAACCCAGAUCUUCUUCAUAGGUGGUCCAUUCCUGCAGUUAGUAGCAAUAUACCUGGCAAACACUUCACCAUUCUGAUUUUUGAACAGUUUAUAGUUUGCAUUAAAGGAUUCAUCAAUGAUAAUAGGAUUAGCACAGGUAAAGCCAGAUAAAGUGGAUGGAUCCACUGAAGGUUCCUUUGCAGCAACCCAUGUGGUUUUGGGAUACUACUCAGGCUUCCAGUAGGAGCCAUCAACAUUCAUUUUCCUCUCGAACCCAACACCCUCUUUCCUAGGGUUUCGGUUUAGAAUCUGCUUUUUGAGGACAUCACAAAGUGUCUAAUGCCCUUUUAGACUUUUGUACAUCCCUGUUUCAAGCAAUGUCUUCAACCUAGCAUUUUCAUCAGCAAUAACAGUGGUAUCGUCCGUAGAGGGGUUAGUUUCCACAUCAGUAGUUGAAGACAAUGCAACAGCAGCGGCAUUGGAACAUUCAGCAACAAAGGUAGCGUUAUCACGCGCAAUGCAUUCUAGACAUGGUGGUUCAAAACCAUUCUGUGUAACACUGAUUUGUUGAGCAAGUAAUGAAUCGCGCUCCUUCAGAAGAUCUCCAUAAUCCACUCUUGACUUUUCAAGAUCUUGCUCUCUUUGAAGACAUUCAGAAGAAAGUUUCUCAUGAUCAGACAAGAGAGCAUUAUGUUGAUCUUGAAGGGCGUCAAACUUGGAAUGAAGUCUUUGAAGACUCUCAGCCAAAGCUUUUGACUGAUCCAUUUCUUCGCCCAACAUAUCAUCGCUCUUACUAAGCAUAUUUUGAAUCUUUUCCAAAGCUCUUUGUUGUUUAGUGGCAAGGGAAGCAAGUUUGACAUAGCUGGGGCCAAAUUCAUCACCUGAUUCAUCAUCACUGGUUUCAGAGAGGUAGCAUUCAGUUACCUUAGCACCCCCAGCCAUGAGGCAUGGUGAAGAUGAGGACGAUUCAGGUGGAAAGGUCAUCUCUUUAAGAGACUCCUUGUAGUCAUCAAGCCAAGGAUCAUGACGAUUAAGAUGACCUUCAUAGACCUCAGAAAGCCGGUCCCAGAUUAGCUUCGCGUGAUUGAGGUGCAUGACGUUCCUGAACUGAUUUCGGGAUAGGCAGGAGCAGAUGACAUCCUUCGUUGUGAGGUUCAGUAGAGUGUACUUGCGAAUGUCAUCAGCCUCCGCCAUCUUGCAUAGAUCGGUAAGACCAAUCUCAGUGACGGUCCACAACUCGUUGUCCAUAGCCAUGAGUCGCUUCUUCAUCAUGGCUUUCCACCGAGGAUAUUCAUGACCGUCAAAGGUGGGGCAAGAUACAUUCCUCAAUCCUGCAGUCGACAUAGCUAAACUCCAGGUGGUUAAACUGAAUCACACAGAACAAGGGAGUACCUUGCUCUGAUACCAAUUGAAAGUGCUAGUUAUCGACUAGAGGGGGGGUGAAUAGGCGAUUUUUAUCAAAGUCUUCAAAAUAUGGAAGUUUCAAAGACAAACAAUAGAAAUGACCUAAUUGAUAUGUAGCGGAAGAUAAACUACAACGAGCAAGCCAUAGUCAAGUAUGCAAUAAUGUGAACGUACAAAGACUAAUAGCAGCAAGGUAGUAAGGAUCAGGAUGGAAGAUAGUAUGAAGCCAAUCAACAAUAGUAGUCAAGCAAUGAAGUCAAUCAGAUAAGACAGAUAAGCAAUGACUUCACGAAGACAAACUCAAAGUAAAGGAGGGAAGGGAUAGAACCAGUCACUUGUUGAAGACACGGGAUUUGUUGGACCAGUUCCAGUUGCUGUGACAACUGUACGUCUGGUUAGGGAGGCUGAGAUUCAACUCAGAAGACCGCAUCUUCACCUUAUUCCCCUUGAGCUAAGGACACAUAGUCCUCGCCCAAUCACUCUGGUAAGUCUUCAAGGUAUACUUUCGAACCUUCACAAACUUCAUUCACCGGCAAUCCACAAUGACUCUUGGAUGCUCAGAACGCGAUGCCUAACCGGCUGGAGGAUACACAGUCCUCAAGUGUAAUAAGUCUUCAGGUCACACAGACAGAAAUACUUCAGUGAUGCCUAACACUCUUUGGCUCUGGGUGUUUGGGCUUUGUCCUCGCAAGGAUUUCUCUCUCAAAGGCUUCGAGGUGGGUUGCUCUCAAAACGACAAAAACAGCAAACUAACUCUGAGCAGCCACCAAUUUAUGGUGUAGGGGGUGGGCUAUUUAUAGCCACAAGGCAACCCGACCUGAUAUGUCCGAAAUGACUCUGGGUCACUAAGGAAUUGACAUGUGUUCCAACGGUCAGAUUUCAAACACACACGGCAACUUUACUUGGGCUACAAGCAAAGCUGACUCAUCCAGCUCUGGAUAAGAUUUGCUCUCAUUGUCUUCGCUCGAAGACAUAGGAUUUGGGUUGAGCAUCACUUCAGUCACUCUGACUCAGUUCACUUGGACCCCACUUAACAGUACGGUGGUUCCUAUGACUCAACACAGAAGAAAAGGAAACAACGAAACAACUCAGUCUUCGCGCUCCAUAGUCUUCACUCAAUGUCUUCUCAUGUCAUAGUCUUCAAUGUGAACAUCUUCACACACCACCAUUGUCUUCAAUGUCUUCAUACAUUUUUAGGGGUCAUCUCCGGUAGGUAAACCGAAUCAAUGAGGGACACUACCUGCGUUAUCCUGCAAUUCUCACAAAUGCAUUAGUCCCUCAACCAACUUUGUCGUCAAUACUCCAAAACCAACUAGGGGUGGCACUAGAUGCACUUACAAUCUCCCCCUUUUUGGUGAUUGAUGACAAACUGGUUGAAGUUUUCAACGGGGAUAAAGUAUGUGAAAUUGUAAAGGAUAGGAAAUUGUCUUCAUAAGUAGCAAGGGCUCCCCCUGAAGAUGUGCAUAUAGGUAAUUUUGCUUUUGGAUUGCAAAUGCACAUGGCAGGUUGUAUUUGUGGAGAUCCACUUCAACUUAUGAAGAUAAUUCAUCAUGCAUGAAAUGAUAUAGUAUAUAGGAUGACAUGCAUAAUGAAAAAUGGACGUCUGCAGGAUGAUCUAAGUGCGGAAGUUAUCAUCGCACAUGCAGAAUUUAUCGUCGCGUCACAGUAAAGAAAAUAAGUAGCAGAUAACCAUCAAGUUUAGGUGUUACAACUCAAAGAACCAAAUGUUUUAAAAAGCAAGAGUUGUAAGCACGAGGCAAAAUAUAAUGCAACUGCCCAUAUGAACCCGCUUGAAGACUAUCAAACUCAUACACUUCUCCCCCUUUUGUCAGUAAUGACCAAAAAGGUUUGAAGACAUAGAGCAUCUACUCAUCCUCAUGAGGAGUAGUUGAAGCAGCAAGGUUGUCGUUGUCGUUUGGCGGUGCAGACGAACUUGGUGCAGUGUUGAUGCGUGUAGAAGUAGGAGGUGGUGAAGUAGCAUCAUCUUCGUCAUUGAUCACUCUCGCAUUGACAUUUGCCGCGGAGGAAGAAUAUUCAGAGUCUUCAAGAGAUGGAGUGCGACGUAGGACAGCAGUCUGUGGAGGAGUGGAGUCAAACUGGAAUCUUUCAUUGAAGCCAUCGUCUUGAAGAUCUGCUUCAGCACUAAGCAGGGUCAGGCUCUUCCAUGAUCGCCGGCAAGUUUCAUGAGCAACAAAGGCAUUCUUGGUGGCAAGGUUACGAAUGCGAUUGACAUCCACCAAGAGGCUUUGCAUCUGUCUCUUGAGCCAAAAGUGAUGUUUAUCCUAUUUCUGAUGAAGGGCCACAAGAAGUUCUCGUUCAUUGAGAACGCGAGAACGCUUCCGAGGCCUUUGGGCAAUGGUGCUUUCAGUGGCUUCAGUAGGUGCUCGAUGAGGCAGACGAGUAUUUCCAGCCAAUGGAUAGAUUCAUGUUGCUGCUUGAACACCUUCAAUGGGUUGAGUGAAGCUUUGGUGCUCGGCAUUCUGAAGACAAAGAGGCUUCUUGGCCGGUUCAGGGUAUAUAGCUUCAACUGACAUAUCAACCUCUGGUAGAAAAAUCACAUGAUUGCGAGCAGAAGGUUGAUAGUUGACAGCAGAGUGUCGCUUGAUGAGGCGCAUGACCCAUGGAGCCUAAAACUUCAGACCAAACAGGUCAGAUCCAGAAGCAGCAAGUUUCCUGAUGAAGAAAUCUUGCGCAUUGAAGCUGAUGCCAUUGAGAAUUUAGAAGACCAAUGUCUUCAUGGCUCCUUCGAGUUUUGCAGCUGAUGAAUGUCCUUUGAUAGGCCAUAGAGUCCGCCUGAUAAUAUGAUAUAUUGUGCAUGGCAGAUACUCAAGAUCUUCAACAAAGAACUCUGUUGGAUAUUCAGCAUCACGUGGCAAAGGCUUCAUCAUGCUCAACAUCUGACUCAUAUUGGGUUCAGGCUUAUGGAAGAUGCUUUCCAGAGCAUUUCGGUGAUUUUGACAACCAGGUUCAUAGAGUUCUCUGGGAGUGGAUAGGCCUAUAAGCUCAAUGAUGUCGAGAGCUUUGGCUUCAUGAUGAACAUUUCCUAUCAUCCACUCGAGAACCCAUGUCUUGAUAUCUCUGUUGUAGCCGCGAAUGUGUAGAGUAGCAUAGAAUUGAAGCAAUAGCUCUUCAUUCCAUUGUUCUUUAUCUGUGACAAAACUGAGCAGUCCAGCAUCACGAAAGCAAUCAAGUGCUUCUUCUAAGUAGGGCAGUCCAGUAAUGGCUUCAGUGUCGAGGCGCAUAUGAGGGAAAAUGCGCCCUUGAUCAUACAGAACGCAUGAGUAAUAGCUUCGCUGCUGAUGACUCCAGAACCGAUCUGAUGAUAUUCUUGGCUUCGUGUAGGGGUUCUUUGAGCUGUCAAAGAAUGUGUUGUGGCUCUUGAAGCCAUUUGCAUUGAAAGACCCUGGUGAGUUUGCAGUACCAGGAAACCUUGGCAGUCUUGGCUUGAGCUUCUGGACCUGAGGCCUAUGCUCAAUGUGAUAGUCAAAUUGAGGACCAGAGACAUUAGGCGGAGGGACUAGAACGGGCCAUCUUACUGUGAUUAGCUCGCCAUGGUUGUAUGCUUGCUCGAUUGUAUAGGGCCUUGGUGGCGGAACAGGAGCAGUGGCAGCAACUGAGGCUUCAGGCUGCACAACAGGUGCUUCAGGAGCAGUUGCCUCAUUAGCUUCAGGUGCAGUGGCCUCAUUAGCUUUAGGCACACUGGUUGGUUCAAGCUCCACAUUAGCGUCAGCCAUGACAACGUCAUCGGCUUCAUUGUCGUUGGUGGUGGCAGCUUCAACAUUUUCAACCUCCACUUGCUGAGCUGGAGGGUCAGGCACAGACACGUUCACUUCAUGAACUUCUUCUUAUGGAAUGGGGGGAGUAGGGACACGUUCUUCUUGUCGUUCGUCUUCGGCUGAUGCAGCCGGAUUGUCUUCAGCAACUGGUGCUUCAGACUCAGAGACAUUCACAGCAGGAGUGGCUUCUGAAAACACUUGACGUGCAACAGGUUGAUGGUGCACUUCUCCUUCUGGAACGCUCGAAAGAGGGACUUGAUGCCUUGGUCCUUUGCGAAGCCUGCGAAGUGCUGGCAACGCCUUUGGAGAUGGAGUUGGCUGGGCCUCAAAGUCUUCAUCUUCUUAUUGCACGGGUGGUGUAGCUGGUUGUUGUUGUUGUGGAGUACUUGGGGAAUCUUGUUCUUGCGGGCGAUCAUCCCAUGAAGCAUCCUGAGCAAUUGGCGUCAGAGGACGACCAAUGCUGAUGAUUUCGCUGUUUGUACGAACAGGCGAUGAUACCACAUUAUAUUCAAUUUGAGGAAGAACUUCAUCAUCUUCAACAUUGUCAUGAUGACCAAGGUCUUCAGCAGCGGUGGGAUCAACUGCUGGAAUCUCUUCAGCUUCAGGAGCCUUAUGAAAGCAGGCUCAUGAACAGUCAUGCGAAGUUCUUGGGUAGUGGAUGCGGGAUGAACCACUAAGAUGGGUUCAACAACAAGGGGCUCUGUGGGAGCAGCCCGAUUCUUCUUAGUCUUGCGCUUCUUCUUGGAGGGAGCGGCAUCGGAGGCUUCAGUAUUCUUCCUCUUUCUGGCUUCAACAUCGGCAGCCCUCGUCUUCUUCUAUUAUGAAGCGGUUGUGGUGACCUUUGGCUUCGAGCCAGUCAUGCUGCUUGGAAAGAUAAUGCGAGGGGCUUCUUGGCUUGAAGGUGCAGGCUGGUCAGCAGGAAGCUUCUUCUUUUUCUUUGCAGCCAUCCUGGGGUCAAUGCCAGGACGACCAAGUGACUUGCGCUUCACAGCCUCAUUGUAGGCAAGCACACACUUAUCAGCCAAACUCUUCAUGCGCUCACGAGAGCCUUGAGCUUCUUGGCGAUUCUUCAGAAAAGCUUCUUUAAGCUCAUGCAGCAUGACCUUGAAGUUUCUGACGUCUUGAACACUGAGCUUCGCCACAUGCUUCUUGAAUUGAGCCUUCUCAUAAUCAAUUUUGUUCUUCAGCUCAACGAUGCGCCGAGCAAGAGCUAGCUCAAAAGCAAUGGCACCAUUGAAAGAGACGCUGAGGCCAAUGGGAAGCUGCAAAUCUUCAAAGCUGAGAUUUGGUGUGUCGAACCAUUCAUCAAUGAAGUUAUGGAGAACGGCCACAUCAAAGAGAGGCAAGUUGUUGAAGAUCUCAUCUUCUUCCUUGCUCUUGAUCAGUUGUUCAAGGGCAUCAUCAGCAAGAUCUUCAUCACCGGACAGAUCAAUGGGCUCUUCACGCAGAAUAGCAGCAGGAGUCAAAGCUUGAUCAGUACGCCUAACAAGUUGCUUUUUCUUCUCCGUCUUCUUGGAGAUGCGGGAUUGAUCUUCAGACUGCACACUGGCUUCAGGAGGUGCAGUGGCCAAUGGCUUCACAUGAGAAGCUUUUGAAGGUGCAGCUGAUGAUGAAGCCUUAAUCUUCUUUGGCUUCUGUGGCCUUGGAGUAGGAGCUGGGGCUUCAUCAGAAUCAGCAUCAUUUUCAGAAUGAUCCACUUUGGCACCUUGUACCAAGAUGUAGGAGAUGAGGCCAUCAAGGUUUGCAAAGGGGCCAAUUCUGUUUUCUUCAGCUUCACGUGUGCCAUCCUCACGGGGAGCAGAGGGGCCAGGAUUGAAGUCUAAUCCCCAUGACUUCUUGUUUUCCUUUGCCGAAGCCUUAGCAAACUGGAGGUUGCGCUUGAAGAGAUUGUCGUCACGACACUAGAGCAAUGAUGAUGGGUCGACUUCUUCAGGAUGUGGUCGAUGGACCAUGCAAGGAUAGAAUUCUUGCGCAAUGGCUUCAGCUUUGUUCUUGGGGGGAAGGACUCGAUAGAGAAUAUCACCCCAAGGGCUCUUGAUAGCAUUUUUCUCUGCGUACUCCUGGGUGACGAACUUGUACUUGUACCACUGUUCAGCCCAAUAGCGUCGAAUCCAUUGGAUUCGAGUCUUGCGCUGAUUGUAAUCUUCUUCAGGAUCUGUUUUAUAUAUUUCUGCAAGAUCAUCAGGCAGAUCCUUUGAAUUCCCCCCAUGACGCUGUCUGCCACCCUUCCUGACAGAUUUCUCCAUAGCCAUGAACUUCAAACUGAACAGUUUCAAUAUGUUCAAAGGCUUCAAAGGCUUUCGCUUGCUGGUCAGACAGGAACUGGCUUCAGGAGAAUCAAUGUGUUUCUAUAAGAAUUCUGCAAACAAAUGCAGACUAUGAGAACCUAGGGAUUCUCCCACGGACAUGUACCUGUGACAGCAUUAGAGAUGCAAGGGAAGGGGAAGAGGUCAUAUGCAUUCUCAGAAGAUUUUGAAGAUAAAUCAGUUUGAAGACAUUGACCUUAUGAUGCGAAGACAUUCACUUAUAUGAGGUGAGUUGGUUCCAGAUUUGUACCAAUCCGUGAAUAAGUACAAGUGAGGAAUCAAACUAGAUAGGAAAUCUAAGUGAAUAGACUAGGCAUUAUGAGAUGCAGACAGAAUAGAUCUAACAUUGAGUAGGUAGAAACCACUUUCGGCAAAUAGGAUGAAUCUAUGAAGAUCAAAAAGGUGGUAAAAAUAGAGUUAUAAUUACCGCACGAAGAACUGCUAGAAGGGAUGAAUAGGAGACCGAGCANNNNNNNNNNNNNNNNNNNNNNNNNNNNNNNNNNNNNNNNNNNNNNNNNNNNNNNNNNNNNNNNNNNNNNNNNNNNNNNNNNNNNNNNNNNNNNNNNNNNNNNNNNNNNNNNNNNNNNNNNNNNNNNNNNNNNNNNNNNNNNNNNNNNNNNNNNNNNNNNNNNNNNNNNNNNNNNNNNNNNNNNNNNNNNNNNNNNNNNNNNNNNNNNNNNNNNNNNNNNNNNNNNNNNNNNNNNNNNNNNNNNNNNNNNNNNNNNNNNNNNNNNNNNNNNNNNNNNNNNNNNNNNNNNNNNNNNNNNNNNNNNNNNNNNNNNNNNNNNNNNNNNNNNNNNNNNNNNNNNNNNNNNNNNNNNNNNNNNNNNNNGGGGGGGGGUGGUGAAUAGGCGAUUUUUAUCAAUGUCUUCGAAAUGUGGAAGUUUCGAAGACAAACAAUAGAAAUGACCUAAUUGAUAUGCAGCGGAAGAUAAACUACAACAAGCAAGCCAUAGUCAAGUAUGCAAUAGCGUUAACGUACGAAGACUAAUAGCAGCUAGGUAGUAGGAUCAGGAUGGAAGAUAGUAUGAAGCCAAUCAACAAUAGUAGUCAAGCAAUGAAGUCAAUCAGAUAAGACAGAUAAGCAACGACUUCACGAAGACAAACUCAAAGUAAAGGAGGGAAGAGAUAGAACCAGUCACUUGUUGAAGACACAGGAUUUGUUGGACCAGUUCCAGUUGCUGUGACAACUGUACAUCUGGCUAGGGAGGCUGAGAUUCAACUCAGAAGACCGUGUCUUCACCUUAUCCCCCUUGAGCUAAGGACACUUAGUCCUCGCCCAAUCACUCUGGUAAGUCUUCAAGGUAGACUUCCGAACCUUCACAGACUUUGUUCACCUUGGAUGCUCAGAACGCGACGCCUAACCGGCUGGAGGAUACACAGUCCUCAAGUGUAAUAAGUCUUCAGGUCACACAGACAGAAAGACUUUAGUGAUGCCUAACACUCUUUGGCUCUGGGUGUUUGGGCUUUGUCCUUGCAAGGAUUUCUCUCUCAAAGGCUUCGAGGUGGGUUGCUCUCAAAACGACAAAAGCCGUAAACUAACUCUGACCAUCCACCAAUUUAUGGUGUAGGGGGUGGGCUAUUUAUAGCCACAAGGCAACCCGACCUGAUUUGUUCGAAAUGACCCUGGGUCACUAAGGAACUGACACGUGUUCCAACGGUCAGAUUUCAAACACACGCGGCAACUUUACUUGGGCUACAAGCAAAGCUGACUCAUGUAGCUCUGGAUAAGAUUUGCUCUCAUUGUCUUCGCUCGAAGACAUAGGAUUUGGGUUGAGCAUCACUUCAGUCACUCUGACUUAGUUCACUUGGACCCCACUUAACAGUACGGUGGUUCCUAUGACUCAACAAAGAAGAAAAGGAAACAACGAAGCCACAUAGUCUUCGCGGUCCAUAGUCUUCACGCAAUGUCUUCUCAUGUCAUAGUUUUCAAUAUGAAUAUCUUCUCAUACCACCAUUGUCUUCAAUGUGUUCAUACAUUUUUAGGGGUCAUCUCUGGUAGGUAAACCGAAUCAAUGAGGGACACUACCUGCGUUAUCCUGCAAUUCUCACAAACGCAUUAGUCCCUCAACCAACUUUGUCGUCAAUACUCCAAAACCAACUAGGAGUGACACUAGAUGCACUUACAAUCCCAUCUAGCAGUUCAUCGUGUGGUAAAUAUAACUCUAUUUUUACCAGCUUUUUGAUCCUCAAUGAUUCAUCCAAUUUACCAAAAUUGGUUUCUGUCUAUACAAAGUUAGAUCUAUUCUGUCUGCAUCUCAUACUGCCUAGUAUAUUCACUUAAGCUUCACAUCUAGUUAGAUUCCUCACUUGUACUUAUUCACGGAUUCGUACAACUCUAGAACCGACUCUCAACAUAUAAGUGAAUGUCUUCGCAACAUGAGGUCAAUGUCUUCAAACUGAUUUAUCUUCAAAAUCUUCUGAGAAUGCAUAUGAACUCUUCCCCUUCCCUCGCAUCUCUAAUGCUGUCACAGGUACAUGUCCGUGGGAGAAUCCCUAGGUUCUCAUAGUCUGCAUUUGUUUGCAGAAUUCUUACAGCAACACAUUGAAUCUCCCGAAGCUAGUUCCUGUCUGACCAGCAAGAAAAAACCUUUGAAGCCUUUGAAUCUAUUGAAACCAUUCAGUUUGAAGUUCAUGGCUGCAGAGAAAUCAGUAAGGAAGGGUGGCAGACAGCGUCGUGGGGGAACAUCAAAGGAUCUGCCUGAUGAUCUUGCAGAACUUUACAAGACAGAUCCUAAAGAGGAUUAUAAUCAGCGCAAGACUCGAAUCCAAUGGAUUCGACGCUAUUGGGCUGAACAAUGGUUCAAGUACAAGUUCGUGACCCAGGAGUACGCUGAGAAGAAUGCUAUCAAGAGUCCUUGGGGUGAUAUUCUCUAUCGAGGCCUUCCCCCCAAGAACAAAGCUGAAGCCAUUGCGGAAGAAUUCUAUCCUUGGAUGGUCCGUGGACCACAGCCUGAGGAUGCCGACCCAUCAUCAUUGCUCUGGUGUCGUGACGACAAUCUCUUCAAUCGCAACUUCCAGUAUGCUAAGGCUUCGGCAAAGGAAAACAAGAAGUCAUGGGGAUUACACUUCAAUCCUGGUCCCUCUGCUCCCCGUGAUGAUGGCACACGUGAAGCUGAAGAAAAUAGAAUUGGCCCCUUUGCAAACCUUGAUGGCCUCAUCUCAUACGUCUUGGUACAAGGUGCCAAAGUGGAUCAUUCUGACAAUGAUGCUGAUUCUGAUGAAGCCCCAGCUCCUCCUCCAAGGCUGUAGAAGCCAAAGAAGAUUAAGGCUUCAUCAUCAGCUGCACCUCCAAAAGCUUCUUGUGUGAAGCCACUGGCCACUGCACCUCCUGAAGACAGUGUGCAGUCUGAAGAUCUUUCACGCAUCUCCAAGAAGACGGAGAAGAAAAAGAAAAUCAUCAAGAGAACUGAUCAAUCAUUGACUCCUGCUGCCAUUCUGCGUGAUGAGCAUAUUGAUCUGUCCAGCGAUGACGAUCUUGUAGAUGAUGCUCUUGAGCAACUGAUCAAGAGCAAGGAAGAAGCAGAGAUCUUCAAUAACUUGCCUCUCUUUGAUGUGGCCGUCCUCCAUAACUUCAUUGAUGAAUGGUUUGACACACCAAAUCUCAGCUUUGAUGAUCUGCAACUUCCAAUUGGCCUGAGCGUCGCCUUCAAUGGUGCCAUUGCUUCUGAGCUAGCUAUUGCUCAGCGCAUCGUCGAACUGAAGCACAAGAUUGACUAUGAAAAGGCUCAGUUCAAGAAGCAUGUGGCCAAUCUCAGUGUGCAAGAUGUCAAGAACUUCAAGAUCAUGCUUCACGAGCUCAAAGAGGCAUUUCACAAGAAGUGUGAGCUAGAGGCUCUCGUGAGCGCAUGAAAAAUCUGGCUGACAAAUGUGUGCUUGCCUACAAUGAGGCUGAGAAGCGCAAGGCUCUUGGUCGUCCUGGCAUCGACCCCAGGAUGGCUGCAAAGAAGAAGAAAUCGACUGUCCAAUCUGCACCUUCAAGGCAAGAUGAACCUCGCAUUGUCUGCCCAUGCAGCAUGACUGGCUCGAAGCCAAAAGUCACGUCAACCGCUUCAGAACAGAAGAAGACGAGGGCUGCAGAGGCUGAAGCCAGAAAAAGGAAAACCUCAGAAGCCUCUGAUGCUGCUCCCUCCAAGAAGAAGCGCAAGACCAAGAAGAAUCGGGCUGCUCCCACAGAGCCCCUUGUUGUUGAACCCAUCUUAGUGGUUCGUCCUGCAUCCGCUACCCAAGAACUACAAAUGACUGUUCAUGAGCCUGCUUCCACAGAGGCUCCUGAAGCUGAAGAGAUUCCAGCAGUUGAUCCCAUCACUGCUGAAGACAUUGGUCAUCAUGACAAUGUUGAAGAUGAUGAAGUUCUUCCUCAAAUUGAAUACAAUGUGGUAUCAUCGCCUGUUCGUACGAACAGCAAAAUCAUCAGCAUUGGUCAUCCUCUGACGCCAAUUGCUCAGGAUGCUUCAUGGGCUGAUCGCCCGCAACAACAAGACUCCCCCAGUACUCCCCAACAACAACAAGCCACACCAUCCGUGCAAGUUGAAGAGGAUGAGGACCUGCCCACUCCAUCUCCAAAGGCGUCGCCUGUAUUACAAAGGCUUCGCAAAGGACCAAGGCCUCAAGCCCCUCUUCCGAGCAUUCCAGAAGGAGAAGUGCACCAUCAACCUGUUGCACGUCAAGUGUUUUCAGAAGCCACUCCAACUGUGAAUGUCUCCGUGUCUGAAGCCCCAGCUGCUGAAGACAAUCCGGCUGCAUCAGCCAAUGACGAACGUCAAGAAGAACGUGUCCCUACUCCCCCCAUUCCUGAAGAAGCUGUUCAUGAAGUGAACGUGUCUGUGCCUGACCCUCCAGCUCAGCAAGUGGUGGUUGAAAACUUUGAGGCUGCCACCACCAACACCAAUGAAGCCAAUGACAUAGUCAUGGCUGAAGCUAAUGCGGAGCCUGUCCCAAGCACUGUACCAGAAGUCAAUGCUGAAAUGCUCCUGAAGCUUCUGUUGUGCAGCCCGAAGCCACCAUUGCUGCCGCUGCUCCUGUUCCGCCACCAAGGCCCUAUACAAUUGAGCAAGCAUACAACCAUGGCGAGCUAAUCAUAGUAAGAUGGACCUUUCUGGUCCCUCCGCCUACUGUCUCUGGUCCUUAGUUUGACUAUCACAUUGAGCAUAGGCCUCAGGUCCAGAAGCCAAAGCCAAGGCUGCCAAGGUUGCCAGGUACUGCCACAUCUGUCGGGUCCUUCAAUGCAAAUGGUUCAAAAGCCACAACACAUUCUUUGACAGCUCAAAGAACCCCUACACAAAGCCAAGAAUAUCAUCAGAUCGUUUCUGGAGUCAUCAGCAGCGAAGCUAUUACUCCCGCGUUCUGUAUGAUCAAGGGCGCAUUUUCCCUCAUAUGCGCCUCGACACUGAAGCCAUUGCUGGACUGCCAUGCUUAGAAGAAGCACUUGACUGCUUUGGUGAUGCUGGUCUGCUCAGCUUUGUGAUAGACAAAGAACAUUGGAAUGAAGAGCUAUUGCUUCAAUUCUAUGCUACGCUCCACAUUCGCGGUUAUAACAGAGAUACAAAGACAUGGGUUCUCGAGUGGAUGACAGGAAAUGUUCAUCAAGAAACCAAGGCUCUUGACAUCAUUGAGCUUACAGGCCUAUCCACUCCUGGAGAGCUAUAUGAACCUGGUUGUCAAAACCACCGCAAUGCACUGGAGAGCAUCUUCCAUAAGCCUGAACCCAAUAUGAGCCAGAUGUUGAUCACGAUGAAGCCAUUACCUCAUGAUGCUGAAUACCCAAAGGAGUUCUUUGUUGAUGACCUUGAGUAUCUGCAACGCACCAUAUAUCAUAUCAUCAGGCGGACUCUAUGGCCUAUCAAAGGACAUUCAUCAGCUGCCAAACUUGAGGGAGCCAUGAAGACAUUGGUCUUUUACAUCCUCAAUGGCAUCAGCUUCAAUGUGCAAGAUUUCUUCAUCAGACAACUAGCUGCAUCUGGAUCUGGACUUUUUGGCCUGAAAUUCUAUGCUCCAUGGGUCAUGCGCCUCAUAAAGCAACACUCUACUGUCAACUAUCAACCCUCUGCUCGCAAUCAUGUGAUCUUUCUACCAGAGGUUGAUAUGUCAGUUGAAGCCAUAUACCCUGAACCUGCCAAGAAGCCUCUUAGUCUUCAAAAUGCUGAACACCAAAGCUUCACUCAGCCUAUUGAAGGAGUCCAAGCAGUAACUCGUGUCUAUCCAAUGGCUGGAAACACUCGUCUACCUCAUCGUGCGCCAACUGAAGCUACUGAGAGCACCAUUGCUCAAAGGCCUCGAAAGCGCUCUCGGGUCCUCAAUGGCCAAGAACUUCUUGUGGCUCUGCAUCAUAAACAGGAUAAGCAUCAUUUUUGGCUCAAGCGUCAGAUGCAAAGUCUCUUGGUGGAUGUAAAUCGCAUUCGCAAUCUUGCCACCAAGAAUGCAUUUGUCACUCACGAAACUUGUCGGCGAUCAUGGAAGAGUUUGACCCUGCUCAGUGCCGAAGCAAAUCUUCAAGACGAUGGCUUUACUGAACGAUUCAAGUUUGACUCCACUCCUCCACGGAAUGCUGUCCUACGUAGAACUCCAUCUCUUGAAGACUCUGACUAUUCUUCCUCCGCGGCAACUGUAAAUGCCAAUGUGAUCGAUGAUGAAGAUGAUGCAACUUCACCGCCCCCUACUUCUGCAUGCAUCGACACUGCACCAAGUUCGUCUGCACCGCCAACCAACAACGACAACCCUGCUGCUUCACCUACUCCUCAAGAGGACGAGUAGAUGCUCUAUGUCUUCAAACCUUUUUGGUCAUUACUGACAAAAGGGGGAGAAGCAUAUGAGUUGAUAGUCUUCAAGAGGGUUCAUAAGGGCGGUUGCUUUAUAUUUUUGCCUAGUGCUUACAACUCUUGCUUUUGAUACACUUCGUUCUUUGAGUUGUAACACUUAAACUUGAUGGUCGUCUGCUACUUAUUUGCGUUUCCACGUGUGAUGAUAACUUUUGCACUUAGAUCAUUCUGCAGACGUCCAUUUUUCAUUAUGCAUGUCAUUCUCUUAGCUAUAUCAUUUCGUGCAUGAUGAAUUAUCUUCAUAAGUUGAAGAGGAUCUCCACAAGUACAACCUGCCAUGUGCAUUUGCAUUCCAAAAGCAAAUUAUUUAUAUGCACAUCUUCAGGGGGAGCCCUUGCCACUUAUGAAGACAAUACACUAUCCUUUACAAUUUCACAUACUUCUUUCCCGUUGAAAACUUCAACCAGUUUGUCAUCAAUCACCAAAAAGGGGGAGAUUGUAAGUGCAUCUAGUGCCACCCCUAGUUGGUUUUGGAGUAUUGACGACAAAGUUGGUUGAGGGACUAAUGCGUUUGUGAGAAUUGCAGGAUAACGCAGGUAGUGUCCCUCAUUGAUUCAGUUUACCUACCGGAGAUGACCCCUAAAAAUGUAUGAAGACAAUGAAGACAAUGGUGGUGUGUGAAGAUGUUCACAUUGAAGACUAUGACAUGAGAAGACAUUGAGUGAAGACUAUGGAGUGCGAAGACUGAGUUGUUUCAUUGUUUCCUUUUCUUCUGUGUUGAGUCAUAGGAACCACCGUACUGUUAAGUGGGGUCCAAAUGAACUAAGUCAAAGUGACUGAAGUGAUGCUCAACCCAAAUCCUAUGUAUUCGAGCAAAGACAAUGAGAGCAAAUCUUAUCCAGAGCUGGAUGAGUCAGCUUUGCUUGUAGCCCAAGUAAAGUUGUCGUGUGUGUUUGAAAUCUGACCGUUGGAACACGUGUCAGUUCCUUAGUGACCCAGGGUCAUUUCGGACAUAUCAGGUCGGGUUGCCUUGUGGCUAUAAAUAGCCCACCCCCUACACCAUAAAUUGGUGGCUACUCAGAGUUAGUUUACGGCUUUUGUCGUUUUGAGAGCAACCCACCACGAAGCCUUUGAGAGAGAAAUCCUUGCGAGGACAAAGCCCAAACACCCAAAGCCAAAGAGUGUUAGGCAUCACUGAAGUCUUUCUGUUUGUGUGACCUAAAGAAUUAUUACACUUGAGGACUGUGUAUCCUCCAGCCGGUUAGGCCUCGUGUUCUGAGCAUCUAAGAGUCAUUGUGGAUUGCCGGUGAACGAAGUCUGUGAAGGUUCGGAAGUCUACCUUGAAGACUUACCAGAGUGAUUGGGCGAGGACUGUGUGUCCUUAGCUCAAGGGGAAUAAGGUGAAGACGCGGUCUUCUGAGUUGAAUCUCAGCCUCCCUAACCAGACGUACAGUUGUCACAACAAUUGGAACUGGUCCAACAAAUCCUAUGUCUUCAACAAGUGACUGGUUCUAUCCCUUCCCUCCUUUACUUUGAGUUUGUCUUCGUGAAGUCAUUGCUUAUUUGUCUUAUCUGUUUGACUUCAUUGCUCGACUACUAUCGUUGAUUGGCUUCAUACUACCUUCCAUCCUGAUCCUUACUACCUUGCUGCUAUUAGUCUUUGUACGUUCACAUUAUUGCAUAGUUGACUAUGGCUUGCUCGUUGUAGUUUAUCUUCCGGUGCAUAUCAAUUAGGUCAUUUCUAUUGUUUGUCUUCGAAACUUCCACGUUUUGAAGACUUUGAUAAAAAUCGCCUAUUCACCCCCCCUUUAGUCGAUAACUAGCACUUUCAGGCCCUUAAAUCUUACCAAGUUUUUGUACACAAUCACUAGGAUUUUUGUGCCAAAAAAUACAGGAUUUUAUUGUUAAGAAAUUAUUUUUAUAAGUUAAUAAGAUGUGGGAUAUUGUUUUCUUACAUAUGUAAGUAUCUGUUAAAUAUAUGAUGGCAAUAACAAUAAUAUAUAAGAACAUAUAAAAUAAUUUAAAUAUAUAUAAUAUAGUUAGAAGGGAAACAUAAGUUGGACCAGGCAUUCCUAUUCUUAUAUACAAAAAUAUAACAGACCUCUGUGUUUUCUUCAAAAAAAUACAUAAAUUGAGCCGCCGAUGUUUCAAGAAAAAUAAAACCUCGAAUGAGAGGUCCAUAGGCCGGUCGAUACAUGACGACCCUCAAGAAAAUACAAACCGACAAUGUCGUGGGCUGCGCCUGUUAAAAAAGAAAGCCUAGACGGGGCAACCCAAAACCCAGCUGAUACUUGCUGCCCUAGUGAUAAUAAAUGAUACCUGCUAGCUCCCCGGCUUCGUUGUGAAUUUAUCUCCUAUAGCAACUAUGUUGAACGACCUAAAAAAUGUAACUAUGUUGACAAACCUAUGGGCCCCAAUGUCAGUGUAGCAUUAGGAGGAAGUAUUUUUUCGAUGAGGCACUUGCUUGCAUACGGCCAUAGACCUGGUGGGUCCCGACUGUCCGCCUCUCCACGUAUAGUCCUCUCCAGAUUCCUCUCGUUUGUUCAGAAUGUUCACAACGGCAGGCAACGACGUCGCGGUGAGCGCACAAAGGCGCAGGAGGGGAUCCGACCACCGAAGAAAGUGCCUUAUUAGUAAUGAAACAACUGAACUAGCCUAGUGGCCAAGUGACACUACCCAACAGCUAUUCCGCCCGGGUUUGAUUCCACCUGCGCAGGGAAAAUAUCUCCAAUUUUUUUGCAUCUUCCUUUAUUGACAUGUGGGUCCCCAUUGUCAUCUACGCACACCAUGUCCAACACUUGCCAAAACUUCGUUCCUCGUUUUCUCUGUUUUUCGCACACUCGACAUUGUGUGGGCAUUUUGAAACUAGCAUAUCUUUUUGACUGUGCAUCAUAUGAAGAUGUGCUAUGCAUGAAUGUUGAUCAACAUGAUGUUAACUGGCUAGUAGACCAUGAAUAAAACUUCCAACAUGAUGUUAACCCUAUUUGAAAAGGCCGUGUUAAUAUAAAUGCUCUGCCUCUGAAAGUUGCAGUUUCUUAUCUGAAAUUGAACUUGCAGUUUCUUCUCUGAGAAUCGCAUUGUCUGCACUUUUAUACUCCUAUGAAACUAAAUUUUUUUAAGUGCUAAAAAUAGAUCUCUAGAAUUCAUAAAAUACUUCAUAUGCUCAAUACUGCAAAUCUGAAAUUCAAAAGACAUUCAUAUCUGAAAGUACUCUCAAAAUACACAACACAAAACACAAUUCACAACCUGCAAAUACUGACAACCCUAAGCUCCUCCUGACAAUUCACAACCUGCCCGACUAUUGGGCUAGGGGGUAGUCCCCUCCUAUUCCUCAGCGGCAGACAACCGCCCCGUGAUACGAUGUGAACGGCGAGGGAGAGGAUGGCGGGGAAGCAUUGUCGGGCCAACUACUUUUCUCCUCUUAUAGUUGGGUUAGGUUGACGAAGACUCCACCGGCUCGCUCUGGCACGACACCCUCACAAACAACACCCUGUAGAUGCUUGAUCCUUCAAUCUCUGGUGGAUGCUCCAUCUGGGAUCGAUACUCCCACCACCACUCCCUCACGAUCGGAUUCGGUGAGUCUGUUUGCUCCAUGGCCUAGAGGAGCAGCUCUAUGUACUCCCACGCGACUCCCUUCGGGAGUAUCGCUGCCUUUUCGCUCUGUUGCAGAUAUUUGGCCAUGGAUGUCGCCGUCGCUGCUAGUUGGUCCUUGUUUUCAAACCAAGACUGUAUCUCCAACAUCCUAGCUAGCUUCACAAGGUUGCCUUCUGCGAUCCUCACGUAUCAGUUGUACUCCUCCAUCGAUCUACUUCUCCACAGCACCUUCACUCGCCGGCAGUGGUUUUUGAAUGGAAGAGGAGAGGAGCAGUGCUGGUUUUGGAUUAGAACGAGGGAGGAGCGAUGCUGGGUUUGGAUUGGAACAAGAGAGGAGGGGCGAUGGUUUUGAAAUGGAAGAGGAGAGGAGCAGUGCUGGAUUUAGAUUGGAACAGGAGAGGAGCGGCGGUGGUUUAAGAGGAGAAGAGCGGAAGAGCGGCGCUGGUCUUGGAAGUAUUUUUUUGUUUUACGUAUUUUGGGUCAAAGUUUGACCACGUACUGUAUUUGACAAGCAAAAUGUGAAUGCAUGUCACCAAAAAUUGUAUCGUUUGGUUCGUACCUGAAUGUACUUUCAAAUUAUAUUAUUUUUGCAACGUAUAACAUAUAUUUUAUUUGCGAAAAUCAUGGUCAAUUAUGACCCAGAAUAAAAGGGAGACUAGUUAAUGUGGGGUCGCUUUCUUAAUUGAAGGGUAAAUUGAUUUUGAUUUUGAUCCAGUCAUAGCGCGCUGGCCCUCUCGUCCGAUCCUAAAUCGCUGCUGCAUGCUCCUCUCCCUCUUCUCCAUUGCAAAACCACCUCCUCUCCUAUCCAUCAUCUCCAUUCCAAAACCACCAUCUCGCCUCUCCCUCUUCUCCAUUGCAAAACCACCUCCUCUCCUCUCCAUCUUCUCCAUUCCAAAACCACCGUCUCGCCUCUCCCUCUUCUCUAUUGCAAGACCACUGUCUCUCCUCCCAUCUUCCAAAGCUAGCACCGGACCACUCAGAAGGACAUUUAUGGAGAGGAUGCAGCAGCAAAUUAGGCAGAUCGCCGGCGGCGACCAGGCAAAGUUAGCCAGGUUGAAGGAGAUCCUUACUUGGUUUGACAAUGAGGUGGAGAUUUCGAGGACGGUGAGGGCCAUGUGGCAAUGUAUGCAAAAGAGCGAGACAGCGGCAAUGAGGGCGACGAUGUACAUGUACUCGGCGACAGUCACGCCGCGGUCCUCCGAGUUCAUCGAGUAUCUCCUCUGUGCGAUGGAGCAGACAGAUUCGCCCGAGGCGACAGUCAGGCGGAGGUGGUGGGCGUACAGGUCGAAGGUCGAGCACCCAGAGGAUAACGAAUCGGUCGAGUAUGGUGUGCCGUUCGUGAAGGUGCAGAGCCAGCCGGAGCCACAGGAGUAUUUGUUCUCCCACCGCAAGAGGAGGCCGGAUGGCGCAACGUCACUUCCCCGUUGUUCUCCACGGUUCCCUAGAUGCUCGUAUCGUUUCAACAACGGCGGUAGGGUUUAAGGUAAGCUUCGCACUAACCUAAUCUUCCACCUGCUCAUGCUUACAAUUAGUGUGACAGCUAAUGAAAAUCAUGCUUACAAUCAGUCUCCGAGUACUACGCCAAUCACCCUAAAAUAGCUUUGGACCUUUGGGUCAAAGUUGUCACACUGUGUACAAAUAAACAAAAAUAGAUUGGUGCUUCUUUCAGAAAAGAGUACUCCCUAGAAAACUGCCAAUAUAAGCUACUAGUAUUUGGUUAGAGGAUUUGCUGCCGAGAAAGAUCCGUCCACAAAGAGCGCCACACAUCCCACUGGUGGUGGAUGCCCAUGCGUGCAUGGAGCAUGGUUGGUGUCAGUAAUUUUUACUUGGCACACCUCGCACUCUGCAUAUAUGUCGGUUUCAUACGUACAUUUGUGCCACCAAAAUGGAGCUGAAUAACCCUGUUUGCACAGAUAAUGAAAAAGCGUGAUUACAUUAUAGUGGCACUAGUUGAUGAAACACACAAAAUAAAUAGUAGAAAAUAUUGCGAUAGUAUCAUAGUAUGCCAUGCUGCGAGGGCGAGAUGGGCCCUGCGAUGCCUCAUACGGUACGCCUCAUACUGGAAAUCGUCCCAAGUCUCCCAGAUACACCUUCUGCUAGUGAUGAACAUCAGUGUACAUCGCUAGUACAAGGAGGGGCCUUGAGACAUUCAAAGCUCUAUUUUUGUGCAGAUCAACUAAAAUUAAGCACCCCAGUUUGCAGAAACUCUUAAACAUUAACAAUGGGACUAGUUGAUGAAACAUACAUUAACAAAGAGAAGCACUUUCUUUAUCUACAUUGGAAAUGAAAUGAUAGAGAGGACACUCGCUCUAUUUUAACUGUAUUAUUACUUCAUUUUAUCAGUGACACUAGGGUCGAGCAGGUGGAAAAUGAGGUGUACCGUUCGUCGCAAGGAUGAAGGCCGGGGGUGCUUAGACUAGGAUGUUGAAGCUCGCUCUUUCAGUCCCUAUCUCCCCCCUGAUGUUUCUGUGGUAGCAUUUGGGUUGUAAUCCAAACUUGGUCGAGCUGGUGCUACGCCCCUUACCUGCCUAGCUUAUGUGGCGAACUUGUCUCCUACUAGUACUCAAUCCGUUCUAGUAGUAGUUGCAUAACUGCCCGUUUACACUGAGAUGUUGUCGGAUAAUGGUUCUCUAUGGUUGGAUUUCUUUAAUGAAAUCAGAGGGAACCCCCUCUUUCAAUAUAUAUAUAAAACAGUGGCACUAGCAGUGCCAAAACAUUGCCUCAAAUUAAUAGUGCCACUAGAUUAAGGUGCAAAAUAAUAACAUUACUGCUUUAUCAUGGCAGCGCCAAAACAGUAGCACAAGAGUAGGAUUAACAUGUAGGAUCUUUGGCAAACGGUCAGACCAAAAAGGAACAUACCUCGUGAUGGGAACCAUAUCUGUAGUCAACGCCGUCGUAGAAGGGAUGACACCAGUCACCAACAUGGAUGAUUCAAUUCAUGGGACCUUUUGGUGCAAUUCACCUAAAAUGAAGCAAUGUCCAAUGAGCUAGCAACUUCUUCUUAUUUAUUUUUAAGAAAAGGGCUCCAGCCCCGGUUCCAUUUCCACCAGAAAACGAAACCCACAUAGCUUCUUCUUCAUUAGUUGCAAUAAAAUUGAGCAACGUCAAGGUUAGUUGUGAAGCUCCUGGAAUGUUCAACUAUAAUUUGGAUAUCAUUUGUGCAGUUCAACUAAGAUCGAGCAUGAAAUGUAUAUCUCUAUUUGCACAAAAAAGGUGGAAAGGAGGGUGACUAACAAGUGAUGAAACAUGCAUCAAAUGAAAAGAAGCAGGUUCCUUAUCUGAAUGGCAAUCCUACAAGGACAGUAGCAAUUUCUAAAGCAGCAACAUUGCUAGAUAUUAGUGUGGGCAUUAGGAUUAACUAUGACAACCGUUAAAUACAACAUUACUUUAAUGGUGCCAUUGCUUCAUUUUACCAGCAACAUUACAUUAACAGCUGCUAUGGAGUCGGUAUUUGGGCACGGGAGAGUAGGAGGACCAGGACAGUUGCAUUUCUAACAAAAAGAAGCAACUUAUCUUAAUGGCAAAUUUAGCAAGACAUGUAAAAAAGUGCCAUUGAUUCAUAUUACUGGAGGCAUUACAUUGAAAACAACAUUGGUUUAAUGUGUCCUUACUUUUAACAGUGCAAUUGCUACAUUUUACGAGUGGCAUUACAUAAGAGUGGCUUGGGGCAACAAACAUCAGAACAAGAUAUCUGGUUUGGUCCCAUUUUUGUUUGGUAUAGCCACCUUAUACUGUGUGAGGCUAGCAAAUCUAGUGCUGGACUUACUCUGUUGACUUGUCCCCCAAUCCCCACUUUCUUUCCUGUUUCAACCAAUAGAUCGGUUUUAUAUUGAGUUUGUACUAUGUUUCCAUUUAUUUCCCUAUUAGACAUAGAGACCAGUUGGAUAGCUAGUCUCUACUACUUUUCGCCCCCAUUAUUUCCUCUUUCGACCAAGUCCUAGAUUCAGGUAACAAAUCUUUCCCCGCCGCCACCCCCUUUUUUCCUUGUUUGAAAAAAGUAGUACUAGAUUCGAGUGCAUGAACUAGUUUUACCUCUUAACCAUAAAAAUUUAGGUGGUUUUCAUACAGCCAAUCGAUCCUAUCUAUGAGGGGGCCUUUGAAAUAGUAAAAGAUACAAAUGCAGCGACGUUAGGAGCUCGGGAAGUAGAGCAAGGCCGGUUUCGAAGGAAGUUAUACCUGAGGGUCGCCGGGAUGUCGCUAGGUGGGUGGCGGGAGGCCGGAUCUGCCCACACUACGGCAACAGGGAAGAAAGGGUUGGAGGCCCUCCCUCACCAGCGGUGCUUGGGAGAGAACGGCAAGGCAUGCUGAUCGGGACGCGCCGACAGUGGGUAAGAGCCAUCGCCGAGGACGACCGCGUGAACGUUGCACCUUCUCACCUUCCCCGACGGAGAGGAUUCGACUGGAUCUGUGACCAGCGGUGAGCAGAGAGAGAGAGAGAGUGUGACCACCGUUGUCGUGUUUAGAUCUGGAGAGGACGGGACAGUGUGAAGAGAGCAACAUUAGCAAGCAAGCACAGAGGCUCCUGCCUAUAUAGUGGAGUACUAGUUUUCUUUUGUCUACCGGAGCCGGCUUGACCUCAUCAAUGAUUGUCGAGAAGUCUUCAUGCAUGUGCCCCAUAGGCAUAGUUGUCGUCAUUUUGAUCUGAAGCACCGGAUUGUAACAUAUAACACAAAAAAUGCCACAUGACAAGAAAUCAUAAACUCACUGCCCAAAGGAGACAACAUGAAUCCUGACGGACAAACUAGACGAGGAUCAAAGUUCAAAUUAAAGAUAAACUCGUAGAAAAGGGGUCCAUCAAUAGAUGUCCUAAUUAACAUAGCCCGCUUGACCUAGAUGGCAACCGAGUAGUCUUCGUGCAUGUGCCCCCAAUGACUAGCCCAACUCAGUUGUCGCUGUUUUAACCCUCACAGUGAUCCGAAGUACAUGACACCUAAUUUUGCGAGAUGACUAGAAACCUUUUUUUAGAUUUCUCACAAGAACUAUAGCCCUGUACAACACUGCCUGCAUGAUAUGUAGACGAUGGCCAAUCCAGGCGUGUCUGCUGGAGUCUGGUCACAUGCAUGCACAAACUGAUCUUCCGUGUCUUGUAGGGAUCGUCCAGGCACCAACGUAGUACAACACUUCUCUAGUACUAUCGCUCGUCUCUCUCUUCUAUUAACUCACCCGACUUACGGGGCCGGGGAGUGUGCCUAUGGUCGGUUCUCAAUUGUGGUUCCACAUGCGUGUGCAAACGCAAUAUGAUGCGCAUUCCAUUCGGAGAGCAGCGUGCCAGACUGACCGACCGUCUGGGGUGCGACGUGAACGCGACGGGCGUGUUGUAUACUCCGUACAUGUGUACCGCCGUUUUCUUGAGGCUUUGCUCCAUGGCGCAAUCCAUGGAUACAAAAUUAGUAUACUGUACUAUUUAAAAGUCGAGGGCGGGGCUUUUCCUGCGUGGUAGGCAGGGCAGUUCCGCCUAGUCGGUUCGAUAGAGACGCGAGAAGAUGAGGGAGUACGCUGCUGCAAACAUAGGGUUGUAUGAUUUGACAGCGAGUUACUACUGGACAGGUGGGGCCCCGCAAUUUUACUUGCCAUUAUCAUUUUAACUGCGGCGCUACGACUGGCGUGAGUCUCCCGAUUCCUGACCACCUCCAUAGAGGUGCCUCUCCCAAUGCUCCACCAUGUAGAGGCUGGCUCUUGCAUGAGAGCCCACUUCUCCACUUUUUCCUUGCCUCUUUCCUCCACAUAUGCAAAAAUGCCAUGUAAAGCGGGCUUAUAGCCCACUAUCGUACUUACUUGCUCCUACAGGUGCUAAGCUUGCCACAUAGGCAUAAAGUCUGAUAUGGCAAGUUAAUUAAGAAGAGAGAGACUAGUUUGGUGACCCAAGAAAGAAACGGUGCUAAGCGUCUGUACCUAGGUGAAAAGACAAUUUUGAGUCUAUAGCUAAUUAAAUGAAGCAAACUUAGCAACAAAAAACGAAGCACCUAUGCAUUGGGGACCUGAUUGCUAAGCCAUUUAAUGCCCUUAGCACCUCAUCUAAGCACCAUUUCAUUGGAAGAGGUCACUCCUUGGCAAAUGCAAUAAAUACUAUGAAGAAAGAUAUAGAGAGAAGUAAAAAAAAUACUCUUAUAGACAACCUUAUAGCUAACCUUGUUGUAGUAUGAGUGACUAAGUGAUGACUAUGUAUGACAUGCCAAAAUCAGAUAGCCUAACGCACCAUGUUAAAUCUCCAAGGGCGCGACCGCGCGAGCGUGGCGACAGUCGUAUAGGCGCGACCAUGAUAUGGGCUGCUGGCAGCCCUUGGAUCUGAGAUCGAACGACCGCAUGCUAAGUUGCUGAAAAUUUGCAGAAUAACCCUCCAUGAUAGGAUAUUCACCCAUAGGUCUAGAAUCACACCAUGCAACCGUUCGAUCUCACAUCCAGGGGCUCUCAGAAGCCCGUAUCAUGGGAGAAUGGAAAGCUUCGUAUCACCUGUAAUUUUCCCGAUGCUUGACAUGACAUCGAAAGCCAUUUAAUUGGGCGUCGAGUAGACAUGACAUCUAAUUGGGCCCCCAUAGUACUGUGCAUGAAUCCAUUUAUCCACCAGGCAAGCCACUACCCUGCCAUUUACAUGCCCCACUCAGCAUUUUUACAAUCAAAAAACCGCUGGUAGUUCACUCCUACUCAUUGCUACGUCUUGAGCUUGCAUUGGUUUUCCUUGAAGAGGAAAGGGUGAUGCAGCAAUAGUAGCAUAAGUAUUUCCCUCAGUUUUUGAGAAACAAGGUAUCAAUCCAGUAGGAGGCUCCUCAAAAGUCCCACGCACCUACACAAACAAACAAGAACUCGCAACCAACGCAAUAAAGGGGUUGUCAAUCCCUUCAAGGCCACUUGCGAAAGUGAGAUCUGAUAGAGAUAAUAUGAUAAGAUAAAUAUUUUUUUGGUAUUUUAUGAUAUAGAUUGGAAAAGUAAAGAUGCAAAUAAAAGUAGAUUGAAAGCUUAUAUGAUAAAAGAUAGACCCGGGGGCCAUAGGUUUCACUAGUGGCUUCUCUCAAGAGAGCAUAAGUAUUACGGUGGGUGAACAAAUUACUGUCGAGCAAUUGAUAGAAAAGCGACUAAUUAUGAGAUUAUCUAGGCAUGAUCAUGUAUAUAGGCAUCACGUCCGUGACAAGUAGACCGACUCCUGCCUGCAUCUGCUACUAUUACUCCACACAUUGACCGCUAUCCAACAUGCAUCUAGAGUAUUAAGUUCAUAAGAAUAGAGUAACACAUUAAGAAAGAUGUCAUGAUGUAGAGGGAUAAACUCAUGCAAUAUGAUAUAAACCCCAUCUUUUUAUCCUCGAUGGCAACAAUACAAUACGUACCUUGCUUCCCAUGCUGUCACUGGGAAAGGACACCGCAAGAUUGAACCCAAAGCUAAGCACUUCUCCCAUUGCAAGAAAGAUCAAUCUAGUAGGCCAAAACAAAGUGAUAAUUCAAAGAGACUUGCAAAGAUAACUUAAUCAUACAUAAAAGAAUUCAGAGGAGAUUCAAAUAUUUCUCAUAGAUAAACUUGAUCAUAAACCCACAAUUCAUCGGAUCUUGACAAACACACCGCAAAAAGAGUUACAUCGAAUAGAUCUCCAAGAAGAUCGAGGAGAACUUUGUAUUGAGACUCAAAGAGAGAGAAGAAGCUAUCUAGCUAAUAACUAUGGACCCGAAGGUCUGUGGUAAACUACUCACAACUCAUUGGAGAGGCCUUGGAGAUGAUGUAGAGGCCCUCCGUGGUCGAUUCCCCCUCCGGUGGAGCACCGACGAAGGCUCCAAGAUGGGAUCUCGCGGGUACAGAAGCUUAUGGCGGUGGAAAUAGUUUUUCAUGGUCGCUUCUGAUGUUUUUGGGGUACAUGGGUAUAUAUAGGAGGAAGAAGUAGGUCGGUGGAUGCCCGAGGGGCCCACGAGGGUGGGGGGCGUGCCCACCUGUAGGGGGGGGGGCGCCGUGCACCCUCGUGGCCGCCUCCCUUGUUUCUUGACUUCCACUCCAAGUCCUAUGGACCGCGUUUGUUCCAAAAAGAUCGUUCCCGAAGGUUUCAUUCCGUUUGGACUCCGUUUGAUAUUCAUUUUCUUCGAAACACUGAAAUAGGCAAAAAACAGCAAUAUGGACUGGGCCUCCAGUUAGUAGGUUAGUCCCAAAAAUGAUAUAAAAUUGUAAAGUAAAACCCAUAAACAUCCAAAAGGGGUAAUAUAAUAGCAUGGAACAAUCAAAAAUUAUAGAUACAUUGGUGACAUAUCAGGCAUCCCCAAGCUAAAUUCCUGCUCAUCCUCGAGUAGGUAAAUGAUAAAAAAAGAAUUUUUGAUGUGCAAUGCUACCUAACAUAAUUCUCAAUGUAAUUUUCUUUAUUGUGGCAUGAAUGUUCAGAUCCAAAUGAUUCAAAAUAAAAGUUCAUAUUGACAUAAGAAAUAGUAAUACUUCAAGUGUACUAAUCAAAGCAAUCAUGUCUUCUUAAAAUAACAUGGCUAAAGAAAGUUAUCCCUACAAAAUCAUAUAGUCUGGCUGUCGCUCUAUCUUCAUCACACAAAGUAUUUAAUCAUGCACAACCCCAAUGACAAGCCAAGCAAUUGUUUCAUACUUUAGUAAUCUCAAAAAUUUUCAACUUUCACGCAAUACAUGAGCGUGAGCCAUGGACAUAAUACUAUAUGUGGAAUAGAAUGGUGGUUGUGGAGAAGACAAAAAAGGAGAAGAUAGUCUCACAUCAACUAGGCGUAUCAACGGGCUAUUGAGAUGCCCAUUAGUAGAUAUCAAUGUGAGUGAGUAGGGAUUGCCAUGCAACGGAUGCACUAGAGCUAUAAAUGUAUGAAAGCUCAACAAAAGAAACUAGGUGGGUGUGAAUCCAACUUGCUUGCUCACGAAGACCUAGGGCAAUUUGAGGAAGCCCAUCAUUGGAAUAUACAAGCCAAGUUCUAUAAUGAAAAAUUCCCACUAGUAUAUGAAAGUGACAACAUAGGAGACUCUCUAUCAUGAAGAUCACGUGUUACUUUGAAGCACAAGUGUGGUAAAAAGGAUAGUAGCAUUGUCCCUUCUCUCUUUUUCUCUCAUUUUCAUUUUUUUCUUUCUCUUUAUUUUUUAUUUUUUUAAGUCUGAAGUCUCAUCCCGACUUGUGGGGGAAUCAUAGUCUCCAUCAUCCUUUCCUCACUGGGACAAUGCUCUAAUAAUGAAGAUCAUCACACUUUUAUUUACUUACAACUCAAGAUUACAACUCGAUACUUAGGACAAGAUAUGACUCUAUAUUAAUGCCUCCGGCAGUGUACCGGGAUAUGCAAUGAAUCAAGAGUGACAUGUAUGAAAAAUUAUGAAGGUGGCCUUGCCACAAAUACGAUGUCAACUACGUGAUCAUGCAAAGAGCAAUAUGACAAUGAUGAUGCAUGUCAUAUAAACGGAACGGUGGAAAGUUGCAUGGCAAUAUAUCCCGGAAUGGCUAUGGAAAUGCCAUAAUAGGUAGGUAUAGUGGUUUUUUUUGAGGAAGGUAUAUGGUGGGUGUAUGGUACCGGCGAAAGUUGUGCGGCACAAGAGAGGCUAGCAAUGGUGGAAGGUGAGAGUGCGUAUAAUCCAUGGACUCAACAUUAGUCAUAAAGAACUCAUAUACUUAAUGCAAAAAUCUACAAGUCUUUGAAAACAAAGUACUACACGCAUGCUUCUAGGGGGAUAUAUUGGUAGGAAAAGACCAUCGCUCGUCCCCUACCGCCACUCAUAAGGAUGACAAUCAAUAAAUAAAAUUGUGCUCAACUUCAUCACAAAGCGGUUCACCAUACGUGCAUGCUACAGAAAUCACAAACUUCAACACAAGUAUUCUUUAAAUUCAUAAUCACACCAACUAGCAUGAAUCUAAUAUCACCACCUCUAUAUCUCAAAACAAUUAUCAAGCAUCAAAUUGAUCAUGACAUCAAAUUCACUUUCUAUGAUAGUUUUUAUUAUACCCAACUUGGAUGCCCAUCAUUCUAGGACCAAUUUUAUAACCAUAGAAAAUACCAUGCUGUUCUAAGAGACUCAAAAAUAAUAUAAGUGAAGCAUGAGAGGUCAACAAUUUCUACAAAAUUAAGCCACCGCCGUGCUCUAAAAGAUAUAAGUGAAGCACUAGAGCAAAAACUAUCUAGCUCAAAAGAUAUAAGUGAAGCACAUAGAGUAUUCUAAUAAAUUCUAAUCAAGUGGGUUUCUCCCAAAAGGUGUGUACAGCAAGGAUUAUUGUGGUAAAAUAAAAAGCAAAGACUAAUAUCAUAUAAGACGCUCCAAGCAAAACACAUAUCAUGUGGCGAAUAAAAAUAUAGCUCCAAGUAAAGUUACCGAUAGACGAAGACGAAAGAGAGGAUGCCUUCCGGGGGCAUCCCCAAGCUUAGGAUUUUGGUUAUCCUUGAAUAUCUUGGGGUUCCAUGGGAAUUCCCAAGCUUAGACUCUUGCCACUCCUUAUUCCAUAGUCCAUCAAAUCCUUACCCAAAACUUGAAAACUUCACAACACAAAACUCAACAGGAAAUCUCAUAAGCUCCGUUAGUGCAAGAAAGAAAAACCACCACAUAAGGUACUGUAACGAACUCAUUCUUUAUUUAUAUUGGUGUUAAACCUACUGUAUUCCAACUUCUCUAUGGUUCGUACCCCUACAUACUAGCCAUAGAUGCAUCAAAAUAAGCAAACAACACACGAAAAACAGAAUCUGUCAAAAACAGAACAGUUUGUAGCAAUCUGUAACUCUCGAAUACUUAUUGAACUCUAAAAAUCCUACCAAAAUAGGAAGUCCUGGACAAUUUGUCUAUUGAUCUAAAAAAAGAAUCAACGCAAAAUCACGUUACUGUGAAUUACUAAAAUUAUUUUCGUGCGUGCAAAGUUUCUGUUUUUCAGCAGAAUCAAAUUAACUAUCACCAUAGGUUAUCCUAUAGGUUCUACUUGGCACAAACACUAAUUAAAACAUAAAAACACAUCUAAACCCAAGGUAGAUGCAAAAUUUAUUACUAAACAGAAGCAAAAACAAAAAACAAAGAUAAAAUUGGGUUGCCUCCCAACUAGCGCUAUUGUUUAACGCCCCUAGCUAGGCAUAAAAGCGAGGAUAGAUCUAAGUAGUGCCAUCUUUGGCACUCAAUUCAUAAGUAGCUCGCAUGAUAGAUUCAUAAGGUAAUUUGACUUUCUUUCUGGGAAAGUGCUCCAUGCCUUUCCUUAAUGGAAAUUGGAAUCUAAUAUUCCCUUCCUUCAUAUCAAUAAUCGCACCAAUCGUUCUAAGGAAAGGUCUACCAAGAAUAAUAGGACAAGAGAGAUUGCAAUCUAUGUCAAGAACGAUAAAAUCUAUGGGCACAUAGUUCCUAUUUGCAACAAUAAGAACAUCAUUGAUCCUUCCCAUAGGAUUUUUAAUGGUAGAAUCCGCAAGGUGCAAAUUUAAAGAGCAAUCAUCAAGAUCAUGGAAACCUAGAAUAUCACGUAAAGUUUUCGGAAUUGUGGAAACACUAGCACCCAAAUCACACAAAGCAUAACACUCAUGAUCUUUAAUUUUAAUCUUUAUAGUAGGUUCCCACUCAUCAUAAAGUUUUCUAGGUAUAGAAACUUCCAAAUUAAGUUUUUUAUCAUAAGAUUGCAUCAAGGCAUCAACAAUAUGUUGGGUAAAAGCUUUAUUUUGACUAUAAGCAUGAGGAGAAUUCACAACGGAUUGCAACAAGGAAAUACAAUCUUCUAAAGAACAAUUAUCAUAAUUAAAUUCCUUGAAAUCCAAGAUAGUGGGUUCAAUGUUAUUUAAAGUCUUGACCUCUCCAAUCCCACUUUAACCAAAUUUAGCAUCAAGAUCUAAGAACUCCGAAUCAUUGGGACGCCUUUUAACUAAAGUGGACUCAUCUCCAGUCCCAUCAUUAUUAAGAUUCAUAUUGCAAAACAAAGAUUUAACAGGGGACACAUCAAUAACUUUUAGAUCUUCAUCAUUAUUUUCAUGGAAACUAGAAGAACAUGCCUUUACAAAGCAAUCUUUCUUAGCACACAAUCUAGCGGUUCUUUCUUUGCACUCAUCAAUGGAAAUUCUCAUAGCUUUGAGAGACUCAUUGAUAUCAUGCUUAGGAGGAGUAGAUCUAAGUUUCAAAGAUUCAACAUCAAGCGAAAGUCUAUCAACGUUCCUAGCCAAAUCGUCAACUUUAAGCAAUUUUUCUUCAAGCAAGGCAUUAAAAUUCUUUUGAGAGAUCAUAAAUUCUUUCACACUAUUCUCAAAAUCAGAGGGCAUCUUAUUAAAAUUACCAUAAGAAUUAUUGUAGGAAUUUCCAUAAUUAUUAGAGGAAUUACUAGGGAAUGGUCUAGGAUUAAAGUUUCCUAUAUAAGCAUUGUUACCAAAAUUAUUCCUACCAACAAAAUUCACAUCCAUAGACUCAAUCAAAGUAGACAAAGGCAUAUCAUUGGGAUCAAUAGGAGCACUCUUAGUAGCAAACAAUUUCAUAAGUUCAUCCAUCUUUCCACUCAAAACAUUAAUAUCUUCUAUAGCAUGCACUUCUUUACUAGUAGAUCUUUCGGUGUGCCAUUGAGAAUAAUUAGCCAUAAUGUUAUCAAGGAGUUUAGUAGCCUCUCCUAAGGUGAUUUCCAUAAACGUGCCUCCCGUGGCCGAAUCUAAAAUAUUUCUAGAAGCAAAAUUCAAUCCGGCAUAAAAAAUUUGUAUGAUCAUCCAUAAAUUCAAACCAUGAGUAGGGCAAUUGCGAAUCAUCAAUUUCAUUCUUUCCCAAGAUUGGCCAACAUGCUCAUGAUCAAGUUGUUUAAAAUUCAUAAUAUCAUUCCUAAGAGAGAUGAUCUUAGAGGGAGGAAAAUACUUAGAGAUAAAAGCAUCUUUGCACUUAUUCCAUGAAUCAAUACUAUUCUUAGGCAAAGACGAAAACCAAACUUUAGCAUGAUCUCUAAGUGAAAACAAAAACAACUUUAGUUUAACAAUAUAAUUAUCCAUAUCUUUCUUCUUUUGCAUCUCACACAAAUGAACAAAGUUGUUUAGAUGGGUAGCGGCAUCUUCACUAGGAAGGCCGGAGAAUUGAUCUUUCAUAACAAGAUUCAGCAAAGCAGCAUUGAUUUCACAAGACUCAACAUCAUUAAGAGGAGCAAUCGGAGUACUAAGGAAAUCAUUAUUAUUGGUAUUGGAAAAGUCACACAAUUUGGUAUUAUCUUGCGCAAUCGCGACAAGCAAUCCAACACACAAGCAAACAAAAAGGCAAGUGAAAGAGAGAGGAGAUUGGGAAAGAGAGGGAGAAUAAAACAGCAAGGGUGAAGUGGGGGAGAGGAAAACGAGAGGCAAAUGGCAAAUAAUGUAAGUGCGAUGGAGAUGAGUUUGUGAUGGGUACUUGGUAUGUCUUGACUUGAGCGAAGAACUCCCCGGUAAUGGCGCCAGAAAUUCUUCUUGCUAAGUCUUGAUCUUGCAUUGGUUUUCCUUGAAGAGGAAAGGGUGAUGCAGCAAUAGUAGCGUAAGUAUUUCCCUCAGUUUUUGAGAAACAAGGUAUCAAUCCAGUAGGAGGCUCCUCAAAAGUCCCACGCACCUACACAAACAAACAAGAACUCGCAACCAAUGCAAUAAAGGGGUUGUCAAUCCCUUCAAGGCCACUUGCGAAAGUGAGAUCUGAUAGAGAUAAUAUGACAAGAUAAAUAUAUUUUUGGUAUUUUAUGAUAUAGAUUGGAAAAGUAAAGAUGCAAAUAAAAGUAGAUUGAAAGCUUAUAUGAUAAAAGAUAGACUCGGGGGCCAUAGGUUUCACUAGUGGCUUGUCUCAAAAGAGCGUAAGUAUUACGGUGGGUGAACAAAUUACUGUCGAGCAAUUGAUAGAAAAGCGAAUAAUUAUGAGAUUAUCUAGGCAUGAUCAUGUAUAUAGGCAUCACGUCUGUGACAAGUAGACCGACUUUUGCCUGCAUCUACUACUAUACUCCACACAUCAACCGCUAUCCAGCAUGCAUCUAGAGUAUUAAGUUCAUAAGAACAGAGUAACGCAUUAAGAAAGAUGACAUGAUGUAGAGGGAUAAACUCAUGCAAUAUGAUAUAAACCCCAUCUUUUUAUCCUCGAUGGAAACAAUACAAUACGUGCCUUGCUGCCCCUGCUGUCACUGGGAAAGGACACCGCAAGAUUGAACCCAAAGCUAAGCACUUCUCCCAUUGCAAGAAAGAUCAAUCUAGUAGGCCAAACCAAACUGAUAAUUCGAAGAGACUUGCAAAGAUAACUUAAUCAUACAUAAAAUAAUUCAGAGGAGAUUCAAAUAUUUCUCAUAGAUAAACUUGAUCAUAAACCCACAAUUCAUCGGAUCUCGACAAACACACCGCAAAAAGAGUUACAUCAAAUAGAUCGCCAAGAAGAUCGAGGAGAACUUUGUAUUGAGAUUCAAAGAGCGAGAAGAAGCCAUCUAGCUAAUAACUAUGGACCUGAAGGUCUAUGGUAAACUACUCACAACUCAUUGGAGAGGCCUUGGAGAUGAUGUAGAGGCCCUCCAUGGUCGCUUCCCCCUCCGGCGGAGCUCCAGCGAAGGCUCCAAGAUGGGAUCUUGCUGAUACAGAAGGUUACGAUGGUGGAAAUAGUUUUUCGUGGUCGCUUCUGAUGUUUUUGGGGUACAUGGGUAUAUAUAGGAGGAAGAAGUAGGUCGGUGGACGCCCGAGGGGCCCAUGAGGGGAGGGGCGCCCGCUUGUAGGGGCGCACCGGGCACCCUCGUGGCCGCCUCCUUUGUUUCUUGACUUCCACUCCAAGUCCUCUAGGUCACGUUUGUUCCAAAAAGAUCGUUCCCGAAGGUUUCAUUCCGUUUGGACUCCGUUUGAUAUUCCUUUUCUUCGAAACACUGAAAUAGGCAAAAAACAACAAUACAGGCUGGGCCUCCGGUUAGUAGGUUAGUCCCAAAAAUGAUAUAAAAGUGUAAAGUAAAGCCCAUAAACAUCCAAAAUGGGUAAUAUAAUAGCAUGGAACAAUCAAAUAUUAUAGAUACAUUGGAGACGUAUCACUCGUCCCCGGACAUCCUUUAACAUUACAACAGUUUGCUUCUAGUCGUCUCGUCCUUUCACAUUACGACAGUUCCACUAAUCCUAACCCUCCUCACAAAUCCAUGGCAUCCCAAAUCUCCAUGAUCGGCGGUGAUUACAAGGUUAGAACCAUCACUGGCGAUGAGUUCGACGUCAUCUACACCCGUUCUUGCGCGACGGUGAAAGGAUGCCUUGCUCGCUUCGGACGCAUGUUCGAAAACUCAAAUGAUGAGUGGGUCGCUGGGCUAGAUGUUGAGUACACCACAGUCCUGGGAUGAGAGAAGGAUCUAAAGGAGGAAGAGAAGAAGAAGCCUGCCGUGAACCAGAUUUGCGUGCAUGACUUAUGCUUGGUCUACCACAUAUGCCAUGCUGAUGUUGAGUGCCAGGAUUUUAAGAACUUCCUCAAGAGCAGCCUAGUCAAAUUUGUUACUGUAUACUUUACGAACGAUGAAAGAGUCCUGGGUCGGAUAGGCCUCGUUGUAGGCAACCCCUUCAACCUCCAGAAGAAUCGGCUGCUGCCCUCCCGUGGUCAGCCUUCAAUACUGACCCUGGCAGGAGCCAUGGUUCAUCCUUCGUAUGGUAAACUGGAGAAACCUCCGCACACGUUUCAUCGUCAUGCAUGGCAGUGGAAUGUACUAUAUAUAGACCACAUCCACUACCCUUCAAUGGAUGGCUACCUUUGUUUCAAUAUCUACAAGGGUUGGAUGAAGAGCAAGAGCCAAGUGUGCGGUUCAAGCAAAGAAGUAUCGGCCAAGAGGAAGAGGGACAUGGAUGAAGUCGAGGACGUGGACGAGGACUCCGAGUAAGGUGGCAGUGUCGUUGCUCAUGGUGGUUCUAAUGCAGUGUCUACCGGAUUAGUUGCAUAGUUUAAUUUCAGGUGUGCUAGUUUAAUUUGAGGGGUGUGUUGUGCUGAGCCCCCAGCAGAACUAUGUUAUGUUUCUUCUCGUUACUUUAACUCUUCAGUACGUACAUACUAGUAUUUCUUACAUUUCAUCUUUUAGUUGGUAUAGUACUACCACUCAUUUCUUCACAUUAUAUACGUACAAUAUAUAUGGCCAACAUCAUAUAGCUAGCAAUUUAGUUGUCAAAGAAUUUCAGGGUGCUUAGUUUUGUCAAAGAAUUCCAGGGUGCUUAGUUUUAUUUGAGGGGUGUGUUGUGCUAGACACCAUUAUUGUGACUCAAAUCUCUUUUGCCAUGUUAUAAUGAUAUAAAUACCGAUGGACCAACAUGCCAGCUCUCCCUCUAUCUCACUACAGUAAAAUAAAGUGUGGGGCCUACUUGAUCCCAACAACGUGCUUAUUUUCCUGUAAAAUUAUUCGCUUGGUUACUCCUGACAAGCGGGGCCACACUUAUCAUUGUGAGAAUCGGCUUAUUUUUGUCAUGUAACAUGGUCAAUAGGUUUGACAUGAAAAUAACAAUGUCUAAUGUCAUUUUUGAGCAAACAUCUAACUUAACGAUGGCAUUUUUGACAUAUCUAAUUGCAUUUUUGAGCAGGCAUCUCACGGAUCAAUGGCAUUUUUGAGUAGUUGUAACUUCUAAUGGCAAAACUGAGUAGUGAUACACAACUAGUGGCAUAAAUAAUAAGAACCCAAGAAUUAAAUAGGUAUGCUAAUUCUUUAUUUCUUUAAUAGUACUAUAUGCAUAAUUUGGUGACGAGCGCUCUCUAUAUGUACCACCUUUUUUCUUUAAUUUCAUCUUGUUAGUUUUGCUCCAUGGCGCAAUCCAUCGAUACUACUACUGUAUAAAAGUAUGCAUUUUUUCAAAGGCUAGAGGGCGGGGCAGUCUAGCUUGGUUGUUUUCACGAGAGGUGAGGUCCUGUGUGAUUUGACGGCUCAUUACUGCUGGAAGGCGGGGCCUUGUGAUUUGACUACUUGUAUAAGUGUGCCGACGGCCUGAGGAGGAGCAAACAACCGUGCGGUAUACUCAAGUUUUCCACUGGAGUAUUACUACGAUGGAGGAGCACAAAACACGACAACCCAGUGCCAUAUGGCGAUAAAAAAUGAUCUAAUUUGCUAGUCAUCUCAUUGUUAGCAUUGUUCUAUUCAUGCCUCGUAGAGAACGUGACACGUGCAGCGAAACACCCGAAGCAAAAGAAUAAACACAGGAGCAAAAGAAGAAGGAAUAUUAUCACCCCAAAUGAUCUAAUUCACCAUGGAGUCGUAACUGCUUCUCCAUCGCCUCCACGACCUCCAUCUCCUUGCGCGUCCCCUCUGCCAUCUUCUUCAUUCUGUCCAUGACGCAGGAUUUCUCGAUGCGAGCCUUCAUCAUCUGUUCCACGGCCGCAUUACAUACCUUGACAGCAGCCGGGUGCUCGAUGCGGAGCUUCGCCAACUCCUCCUUCUGUUCCAUGACGAGGGCCUGCAGCAUCUUCAUCAAGGAACUACUAUUCUCAUGCAGCUUCUUCCAGCCGGCAUUCUUCUCCUUCAGCAGGUUGAGCUCGUGGCAGAGCUUCGCCUUGUCCUCCUGAAGUUGCAGGAUUUUGCCGGUCGCCUUCUUCUCCGAGGCAAUGCUCUUCUUUAGCAGCAUCACCAAGCCGGCGGUCAACUUCCCCUCCUUAUUGAGCUCAGCGGGCAUGUCGUCGAGGCUCUCCUUCAUCAGCUCCACCAAGCCAUGGAUGAACUCCUUCUGCUUAUUGAGGUGCUUAUUGAGAUGAUCGGGCAUGCCAUUGAGGGAUAACAACUCCAGCGCCGCCAGCUCGACAUGUUCGUCUUCGUGGCUAGGGAGCUCCUAGGAGCCAUCGCGUGCCCGUGAGAGAUCUUUCGAGGUCUCUGCGUGGCGGCGAGCCCUCUCUUUUUUUGCAGCCUUGGUUGCCGCUCCCUUGUUACGAGUAGUUCUCGACCUAGAGCUCUGCUUACCGGCCAUGGCAACGAUGGACGAAGAAGAAGCACUUAUGAGGAGGAAGGUAGAGAAAUUUUUGGUUAGGUAGUUCCCCUUUUUAUAACCUAAGUACUAGCACUAGUACUAAUACCUGCAUAAUGGGAACACGUUCAGGUUUGGUACGUACUAGUAGGUGCGAGCAGGCUUGCACUUAAUUGUAGCACUAGUACUUUCGAAUGUGAUGGGAACAAGGUAAAGAUUAAUUGAUGGUUUUGGUUUCGAGGCACGAAACGACUCCCGAUGAGUUUAGUGGAACAUAAAUUUCAAGUAGACUACACUGCUCAAAUGCAUAAAUAUUAUGUUACUAUCAAAAAUUGGCACAAAAUACGAAGGAGACCAAUGGAAGUACUACUAGCAACCCAUGAUUUAACUACUCGCAUGCACGCAGUGGAGUAGCAAUGUCUUUCUUCCGCCCUCACGUCCACUCAAUUUGCAUGUGCUAUAUUAACUGACCAUCAAUGAAGUGAAGGACUUUACACGCGUCAAAUUAUCACAUGAGGUGGAUCUUGGUACAAAAUUGCGUCCGCCCGUGUACCCACGUGUGCGUGCAAGGGAAUGAGUGCGUGCGUGGCGUGCGUGCACAUCUUCGCUUCAUGCAUGUACCGCCAGUGUGGCUCAGGGAGGAUGAGUACAUUCUUCUAGAACCAGCAACAUGUCACUGUGAUCAAUCCACACAAGGAGGUCGCGACAACACCUCCACAUGUGCCAGGUGGCUUCAUGAACUAUAAGAGAGACACUGUGUAGCAUGCCAUUGGAAUUAUAAUUUACUCCCUCCAUCCCAAAAUAUAAGAACAUUUUUGAUACUAUGCUAGUGUCAAAAGCGUUCUUAUAUUUUGGGACGGAGGGAGUAUGUGUUUUGCACAUACUCAAAGUACUAGUAAGGUACACGUGCAUUGCACGCAUCAUAUUUUGCAACCAAAUUAUGAAUAAAUACCACACUAUAGCAUGUAAGCUUUGAGUCAUAUAUUCCUGAUGUAGACCUUCGUUUAAUUCUUAUAGUUCAUCUCAUUUAAAAUCAAUUAGUUUUUAUAAAAAAUCUAGGGCCUCUUGGAUUCGUAGGAUUUCCAAAAUGCGGGAAUAGGAAAUACAGGGGAUUAUAGUGGAAUGUCGUCUUGAAUCCUACAGGAUUGUACGAGUGUUUGAUUGUGCAUAGAAAAAACGCAGAAUUCAUUCAAAGAGGUUUGAGUGGAUGGGAUGUUUUCUAUGAAAUCUAGUGCAAAUGAAUCAUAUGGAAAAAUUCCUAUGGUUUACAAUCCUACGAAUCAAACUACCAAGACAGGAAAAAUUCCUAAGGAUUAGAAUCCUCCAAAAUUCCUGUGAGAAUCCUUUGAAUCAAAGAAGCCCUUAAUCUAUUUUAUGGUUCAAGGAAUUGUGUGUUGUAAAGCAUAAAGUAAAAACAAAUAAUGGCAAUUCAACUAGAAUUUUUUUUGGACAGUUAUGAUACGGAAGAUUCUAGAAAAAAGGAGAACCACUGUUGUUUUGAGGUUUGUGCAUUAUGCUUAAGUUCAACCAUGGAGUCUGCUAGAUCGUACAUGUGGCAAAAUCUGGUGGGGGGCUAGAAGAUGGUGCGAGGGGCCGAGUGGAGGGAGACUAUGAAGGAGUUGAUGACCCGCAAGUAUACGGGAUAGUUGUAGCCUCUUUCGAUAAGUAAAAGUGUUGAACCCAACAAGGAGCUAAAUGUAGAACAAAUACUCUCUCAAGUCCUAUCGGCCACUGAUACGACUCUACGCACGCUUGACGUUCGCUUUACCUAGAACAAGUAUGAAACUAGAAGUACUUUGUAGGUGUGAUAGGAUAGGUUUGCAAGAUAAUAAAGAAUACGUAAAUAAAAAGUAGGGGCUGUUUAGAUAAAGAUGCAAUAAAGUAAAUAUAGCGAGUGUGGAAAAGUGGUGGUAGGAGUUGUGGAAUUGUCCCUAAGCAAAUGACUACUUUACUAGACCAAUAGCAAGUUUUAUGUGGGAGAGGCCACUGCUAGCAUGUCACCCCUGACUUGGAAUUCUAUGCACUUAUGAUUGGAACUAUUAGCAAGCAUCUGCAGCUACUAACGUUCAUUAAGGUAAAACCCAACCAUAGCAUUAAUAUAUAUUGGUCCCCCUUCAAUCUCGUAUGCAUCAAUUUCUAUGCUAGGUUUAAGAUUCUGUCACUCUAGCCCUCCCAUACAUAGUCCUAUCAACAUACAACUAACCCUAUGGUGUGAUCCAUGCGCGCGCUCAUAUGAUGUGCACCAAAGGACAACAACAUAUCCACAAGCAAAUUAAAUCAAUCAUAGCAAUUCAUCAAGCACCAAUAGGACAACGAAAAUCUACUCAGACAUCAUAGGAUGGCAACACACCAUUGCAUAAUAAUAUGAAGCAUAAAGCACCAUGUUCAAGUAGAGAGUACAGCGGGUUGCGGGAGAGUGGACCGAUGUAGAUAGAGGGGGGAAGGUGAUGGAGAUGUUGGUGAAGAUGGCGGAGGUGUUUGUGUAGAUCGUGGUGAUGAUGAUGGCCCUCGGUAGCGCUCCGGCGCCACCGGAAGCAAGGGGGAGAGAGCCCCCCUUCUUCUUAUUCUUCCUUAACCUCCUCCCUAGAUGGGAGAAGGGUUUCCCCUAUGGUCCUUGGCUCCCAUGGCGUGGGAGGGGCGAGAGCCCCUCCGAGAUUGGAUCUAUCUCUCUGUUUCUCUCUGUUUCUGCGUUCUCAGAUCCUUCCCCUUCACCGUUUCUUUUAUAUCCGGAGAUCCGUAACUCCAAUUGGGGUGAAUCUUUCACCCAGAUUUUUCUCAUAAAAUUAGCUUUCCUGCGGCAAAAGAAGAGCGCCAACCGCCUUAUGGGUGGCCCAGGAGAGUGCCAGGCGCGCCCAAGGGGGGUGGGCACGCCCCUAUCUCCUGGCCACCUCAGGCACCGUUUCGCGUUGAUUCUUCCUCCGGAAAAUCCCAAAUAUUCCAAAGUAAUUCUUCGUCCGUUUUUAUCCCAUUUGGAUUCCGUUUGAUAGUGGGUUUCUAUGAAACAUAAAACAUGCAACAAACAGGAACUAACACUGGGCACUGGAUCAAUAUGUUAGUCCCAAAAAUAGUAUAAAACGUUUCCAAAAGUAUAUGAAAGUUGAAGAAUAUUGGCAUGGAACAAUAAAAAAUUAUAGAUACUACGGAGACAUAUCAGCAUCCCCAAGCUUAAUUCCUGCUCGUCCUAGCAUAAUCUUGAUCAUAUGUCUAAUCAUGGCAUUAAUAUUAAGACACGAGUGAUUCAAUGCAAUAGUCUAUCAUUUGACAUAAAAACAAUAAUACUUCAAGCAUACCAACCAAGCAAUUAUGUCUUAUCGAAAUAAAAUAGCCAAAGAGAGCUCAUCCCUACAAAAUCAUAUAGUCUGGCUAUGCUCCAUCUUCAUUACACAAAAUACUCCCAUCAUGCACAACCCCGGUUUCAGCCAAGCAAUUGGUUCAUACUUUUUAAUGCGCUUCAGCCUUUUCAACACUUAUGCAAUACAUGAGCGCAAGCCAUGGACAUAGCACUAUGGUGGUGGUUGUGAGGACAAAAAGGGAGAAGAUAGUCUCACAUCAACUAGGCGUAUCAACGGGCUAUGGAGAUGCCCGUCAAUAGAUAUCAAUGUGAGUGAGUAGGGCUUGCCAUGCAACAGAUGCACUAAGAGCUAUAAGUGUAUGAACUCAAACUGGGAACUAAGUGGGUGUGCAUCCAACUUGUUGCUCAUGAAGACCUCGGGCGUUUGAGGAAGCCCAUCAUCAGAAUAUACAAGCCAAGUUCUAUAAUGAAAAAUUCCCACUAGUAUAUGAAAGUGAUAACUCAAGAGACUCUCUAUAUGAAGAACAUGGUGCUACUCUGAAGCACAAGUGUGGUAAAAGGAUAGUAACAUUGCCCCUUCUCUCUUUUUCUCUCAUUUUUAUUUUUUUAUUUUUUUGGUGGGCUUCUUUGGCCUCUUUUUUUCAAUUGGGCUUCUUUGGCAUCUUUUAUUUUUCAUAAAGUCCGGAGUCUCAUCCCGACCUGUGGGGGAAUCAUAGUCUCCAUCAUCCUUUCCUCACUGGGGCAAUGCUAUAAUAAUGAUGAUCAUCACACUUUUAUUUACUUACAACUCAAUAUUACAACUCGAUAUCUCGAACAAAGAUAUGACUCUAUAUGAAUGCUUCCGGCGGUGUACCGAGAUAUGCAAUGAUCCAGCAUAGCAAUGACAUAAAAAAACCGACGAGCCAUGAAAACAUCAUGCUAGCUAUCUUACGAUCAUGCAAAGCAAUAUGACAAUGAAUGCUCAAGUCAUGUAUAUGAUGAUGAUGGAAGUUGCAUGGCAAUAUAUCUCGGAAUGGCUAUGGAAAUGCCAUGAUAGGUAGGUAUGGUUGCUGUUUUGAGGAAGGUAAAUAAUGGGUUCAUGAUACCGGCGAAAGUUGCGCGGCACAAUAGAGGCUAGAAAAGUGGAAGGGUGAGUGUGCGUAUAUCCAUGGACUCACAUUAGUCAUAAAGAACUCAUAUACUUAUUGCAAAAGUCUACUUGCCCUCGAAGCAAAGUACUACUACGCAUGCUCCUAGGGGGGAGGUUGGUAGGAGUUAACCAUCGCGCGCCCCGACCUCCACUCAUAAGGAAAGCAAUCAAAGAACACCUCAUGCUCCAACUUCGUUACAUAACGGUUCACCAUACGUGCAUGCUACAGGACUUGCAAACCUCAACACAAGUAUUUCUCAAUUUCACAAUUACUCAACUGGCACGACUCUAAUAUCACCACUUUUAUAUCGCAAAACUAUUGCAAGGAAUCAAACAUAUCAUAUUCAGUGAUCCACAAGUUUAUGUAGGAUGUUAUGACUAACCAUGUGAAUGACCAAUUCCUGUCAUCUCUCUAAAUAGAUAUAAGUGAAGCAAGAGAGUUUAAUUCUUUCUACAAAAGAUAUGUCCACACUCUAACAAAUAUAAAUGAAGCAAAAGAGCAUUCUACAAAUGGCAGUUGUCUAUAUGAAGAGAAACAGGCAAUCCAAACUUCAAAUGAUAUAAGUGAAGCACAUGAAGCAUUCUAUAAAGCCAUACUCAAAAGAUUUAAGUGAGGUGCAAUGAGCAUUCUAUAAAACAACCAAGGACUAUCUCAUACCAGCAUGGUGCAUAAAAAAUGAAAACUAAAUGCAAAAGACGCUCCAAGACUUGCACAUGAUGCAUGAACGAAACGAAUCCGAAAACAUACCGAUACUUAUUGAAGAAAGAGGGGAUGCCUUCCGGGGCAUCCCCAAGCUUAGACGCUUGAGUCUCCUUGAAUAUUUACUUGGGGUGACUCGGGCAUCCCCAAGCUUGAGCUCUUGCCUCUCUUCCUUUUCCUCAUAUCGAGACAUCCUCGAUUAGACACUUCAUCACACAAAACUUCAACAGAAAACUCGAUAAGAUCCGUUAGUAUAAUAAAGCAAAUCACUACUCUAAGUACUGUUGCAAACCAAUUCAUAUUUUGUUUUUUCAUUGUGUCUACUGUAACAUAGCUUUUCCAUGCCUUAAUCCACUGAUAUAAAUUGAUAGUUUCAUCAAAAACAAGAAAACUAUGCAUCAAAAACAGAAUCUGUCAAAAACAGAACAGUCUGUAGCAAUCUGAACAUUCACCAUACUUCUGGUACCGCAAAAGUUCUACCAAAAUUAGGAAACAUAAACAAGUUGUAGAUCAAGACAGUGCAAAAAGAAUCAGAACCAUUUGACAUUCCAGUUAAAAAUAAAAUCGCGCACUACAGCCAAAGUUUCUGUCCUGCACCGUACAAACCAACAAGCAUUGUAAACAUCCUAAAGGCAAACCUCGGCACAUUAUUUUUAUAAUACAAUGGAAUUGUACAAGGGGAUAAUUAUUUUUUGUUGAAAAUUUUCUGUAAUCAAGAUUCACAAAGUUUCAGUGAGCAUGAACAAAGUUCAAGGCUAGCUCCCACUUCAACAAUGCUUGUCUUUCUCACUUUCCUUUCCUUUUUUGAAAAGUUUUUUAGGUUCCCCUCUUUAUUUUUUUUGUUUUUAGACUAUAUAAAAGCACUCAACAGAAAUAAAUGACUCUCUAAAACUUCUGGGUUGUCUCCCUGGCAGCGCUUUCUUUAAAGCCAUUAAGCUAGGCAUUUAGUGCUCAAGUAAUGAAUCCACCCGGAUCCCAAGGUAUAUCAAAGACAAUUUUAAUUAAAAAUGAUUUGUAAUUUAGAAGUGAGAACAAAGUAACAUAUAUCAUGCAACAAUGAAGUCUAACUCUCUUUCUAUGCAUCAGCAUGUCAUAAAAGAACAAUUCAUGCACACCAAGUAAAGGCCAAUGCAUAGUAUAAGUAGUUUCUUGCAAUUCUAUCAUAUUGGAAACAUAGAGAGGUGGAGAUAUAGUUCCUCUCUCAUAAUAAUUGCAAGUAGGAGCAGCAAGCACAUGCAUAUUACAUUCAUCAAAAUCAUCAUGUGCAAUCGUAAAAGGCAACCCAUCAAUAUAAUCCUUAGUAAGCACAAACUUCUCCGAUAUAGUGUAGUUGGGAGAAUUCAAAAAGAUAAUAGGACUAUCAUGCAUGGGUGCAAUAGCAACAAUUUCAUGUUUAACAUAAGGAACUAUAGCAAGUUCAUCUCCAUAAGAAUAAUUCAUAUUGGCAUCUUGGCCACAAGCAUAGCAAGCAUCAUCAAAAAGGGAUAUUUCAAGAGAAUCAACGAGAUCAUAACAAUCAUCAUAGCAAUUAUCCUUCGGUAAGCACGAAGGGGAAUUAAACAAUUGAUGAGUUGAAGAGUUACUCUCAUUAGAAGGUGGGCACGGGUGAUCAAUCCGCUCUUCCUCCUUUUGUUCUUCGCUCUCCUCAUCAUCUUUUUCAUCCAAUGAGCUCACAGUUUCAUCAAUUUCUUCUUCCAUAGCUUCCUACAAAAUAUUAAUCUUUUCUUGGACAGCGGAGACUUUCUCAAUAAAAGCGUUAAUAUUGUAAUUGUAUUCAUAAUUUUCAUAGCAAUAUCUAAGUAUAGAAAAAAAUUCUGGUCUAUAAACUAAAUCAUCAAAAUCGUCAAACGCUUUAAACAUAGAUUCAAUCUCAUAAGCACUCAUAAAAGCACCAAAUUAUUCUAUUUGUUCCACAUCAUAGUAAUCAUAGAUACCAUUAGCAUAAGAAGCUAAGGUUUCAUUAUCAUUAAAUUUGCAUGAAAAGGGAAGGUGUGGAGCCUUCAUCCUAGAGCAACAAGUAAUAUCAUAUCUCAAGCAUAGAUCCUGAGCAUACCAAUGCAACAUAUUAAUUUGAUCCCAUAAUAGUUUCCCUUUUUGUGUAAAGCGAUAAUCCCUAAAGUAUUCACGUUGAUCCAACAUGUCUCCCAUUAUAAAGUUGAAUGGGGUUUUCUCAGGAUUAUCAAAGUAGUACAUAAUAUCUUUCACAUAAUGAGAAUCGAGGGUUUUAGGAGUUACCCCAUCUCCAUGAGUAGCAAGUACACCUAUUUGUUUUUUGGUAUUUCGUGUUUCCUACCCAUAGCUAAAGAUAGAAAACAAGUAAGAACAGCAAAUAAAAAUUACUUAGUGAUAAAGAAAACAAGCACACACGAGAAUAUUCACCCCACGCUAUGACUCCCCGACAACGGCGCCAGAAAAAGGUCUUGAUGACCCGCAAGUAUACGAGAUAGUUGUAGCCUCUUUCGAUAAGUAAAAGUGUCGAACCCAACGAGGAGCUAAAGGUAGAACAAAUAUACUCUCAAGUCCUAUCGGCCACUGAUACGACUCUAUGCACGCUUGACGUUCGCUUUACCUAGAACAAGUAUGAAACUAGAAGUAAUUUGUAGGUGUGAUAGGAUAGGUUUGCAAGAUAAUAAAGAACAUGUAAAUAAAAAGUAGGGUCUGUUUAGAUAAAGAUGCAAUAAAGUAAAUAUAGCGAGUGUGGAAAAGUGGUGGUAGGAGUUGUGGAGUUGUCCCUAAGCAAUUGUCUACUUUACUAGACCGAUAGCAAGUUUUAUGUGGGAGAGGCCACUGCUAGCAUGUCAUCCCUGACUUGGAAUUCUAUGCACUUAUGAUUGGAACUAUUAGCAAGCAUCCGCAACUACUAACGCUCAUUAAGGUAAAACCCAACCAUAGCAUUAAGAUAUAUUGGUCCCCCUUCAAUCCCGUAUGCAUCAAUUUCUAUGCUAGGUUGAAGCUUCUGUCACUCUAUCCCUCCAAUACAUAGUCCUAUCAACAUACAACUAACCCUAUGGUGUGAUCCAUGCGCGCGCUCAUAUGAUGGGCACUAUCGGUGUCAAAACCGGCGGAUCUCGGGUAGGGGGUCUUGAUCUGUGCGUCUAGGCGGAUGGUAACAUGAGACGAGGGACACGAUGUUUUUACCCAGGUUCGGGCCCUCUUGAUGGAGGUAAAACCCUACGUCCUGCUUGAUUAAUAUUGAUGAUGUGGGUUACAAGAGUAGAUCUACCACGAGAUCAAGGAGGCUAAACCCUAGAUGCUAGCCUAUGGUAUGAUUGUUGUUCGUCCUAUGGACUAAGGCCAUCAGGUUUAUAUAGACACCGGAGAGGGCUAGGGUUACACAGAGUCGGUUACAAAGGUAGGAGAUCUACAUAUCCGUAUCGCCAAGCUUGCCUUCCACGCCAAGGAAAGUCCCAUCUGGACAAGGGACGAAGUCUUCAAUCUUGUAUCUUCAUAGUCUUGGAGUCCGACCGACGAUGAUAGUUCGGCUAUCCGGACACCCCCUAGUCCGGAACUCCCUUAGUAGCCCCUGAACCAGGCUUCAAUGACGACGAGUCCGGCGCGCAUAUUGGCUUCGGCAUUGCAGGGCGGGUUCCUCCUUCGAAUAAUUUAUAGAAGAUUGUGAACACCAGGAUAGUGUCCAGCUCUACAAAAAUAAAUUCCACAUACCACCAUAGAGAGAAUACUAUUACAAAAGAUCAAUCUGCUGACGUAUUCUGUGGCGUGACGUCACACCACUUCCAAGCCUUUACUCGAAUUGUUUUUAUUGUUCCACCUCAGCGCAUUUAGCGAGGCGGUUUCCUUGGCACGUCUUGUCGAAGCAGAGAUCGUGCUCCCCUUAUUCCGGGAUUCCCAUCAAUACAGACGUGGGUAACCCAACCACGCCAUUGAUUGCGGCGCUUGGGGGAUAAGCGAGUUUUAUCAGGCCAGUGGGGACGCAUGUUUGCGUCCACCCAUAUAAGGGGAUAAAAAUCCAACCCUUUUACCUGCGCCUUCUUCCUCCUUGGCUUAUCCAUCUCUGCGAACUCGAGCUCCAGCGCCCAAGUCCGCACUUCUCACCUCAACCUUCUCCAACUAUGUCUGGAGCGGGAGGCAAGUGGAUGGCCUCCUCCGUCACGGAGGGGCAGAUCCAGAAGCUGCGCGACGCCGGAUACUUGUCCAGCGACAUCGCGCAUCGGCUCCCCGACGAGGGAGAGCUCAUCCCCACCCCCAGGCUCCAUGAGAGGGUAUUGUUUCUUCCCCAUUUCCUCCGCGGACUGGGCUUCCCACUUCAUCCCUUCGUCCGGGGGCUCAUGUUCUACUACGGCCUGGAUUUCCAUGAUCUGGCCCCGAAUUUCAUCCUCAACAUCUCGGCGUUUAUCAUCGUGUGCGAGGCCUUCCUCUGCAUCCAGCCCCACUUCGGCUUGUGGCUCAAGACCUUCAGUGUCAAGCCGAAGGUUGUGAAGGGCGGCCAAGCGGAGUGCGGAGGCGCCAUGGUGGGCAGGAUGUCCCACGUUACGUGGCUGGAAGGCACUUUCGUGGAAACCAUCAAGGGGUGGCAAUCGGGGUGGUUCUACAUCACCGAGCCGCGUGACGCCGAUUGGGCAGCGGCCCCCGAAUUCAGAUCCGGCAUCCCUACACGGCUCACCUCCUGGAAAGAGAGUGGCCUGAUAUGGGGGAAUUCGGAGGAGCUGACCGGACUCCAAGCCUGUAUCCAGAAGCUAGUGGACAAGAAGCUCAAGCUUGUCAACGUAGUCCAGGUCAUGCUCAUCCGCCGGAUUCUCCCGUGCCAACGAUGCGGUUUCAACAUGUGGGAGUUCGAUCCAGCGCAGCACCAGACCCUGAGUGGGCUCUUUGACACUACGUACAAAGAUGUCUGGAAGGUGUUGUUCAAGGGCGCCGAAGCUCCCGCAUCCGCUACCGAAGAUCGCGGAUUCCGCUCGCAGCGUCGGGCUGACGAGGUAAGUGAUUUUGCCACUUGUUUUCCAUAGUUUGACUCUAUGCGGGAUCUAAACUCCCUCUACCUUUGACAGGACUGGCUAGCGAAGGCCGAACGGACUAUCUGUCCGGCCCCAUUGCCAGAGGACCCAGCGGACGCCCACCUAACGGGGCUGCUGGCUCCGGCACCCCACGUGGUGCAAGAGAAGAAGGCCAAGAAGAAGGCCACGGGGACUCGGAAGAGUUCCCGUUUUCAGGUGCUAUCGGAUGAUGAAUCCGAGGGUGACUCCUCCCACCAAGGCGAGGAGGAUAAGAAAGCCUCUCCCCCAGCGGGGGGAGGGAAGAAAAGGAAGGCCUCCCCAACAAGGGAUGCCGAAGGGUCCAAGAAGGGAAAAACUCUUCCCCCGGACCGCUCCGCCAAUGCCAGUGACGACGACGAGGACUGGCCUCCAAGGGCCAAGCCCCUGGCGAGAUCGUAAGUAUCCGGACUCCCGAAUGUCUUUCUAAUGCCGCAUACAACCCUGCAGUCCGCCCAAGGAUGAUCUUCCCGUUUCGUCGAGCGGGUCCUUGGGUGCGUCGGAUAUGGAUUCCCUUCUGACUGCCUCCACCCCCCGUGCCACGGACGACGCCAAGGUGGGGUCCCAGGAAGGGACCUACCAGGAGGAGGCCCCAGAGGUGUCGCAGGACCACCUCCUGGACUUUGCACCGGACUCAGCCCCGGAGGCCACAGUGGCUCCGGAGUCCAGCGGGCGCCCCCUUCAUAAGAAGGGCAAGACCGCGACGCCGGCUGCCUCCGUCCAACCGGAGGUGCCGGACAAUUUGCUGGAGGCGCUCAACGGCGCCUCCAUCAAAGAGGAACACCGCACUGUUAUGAGUGCGGUGAUUCAGAAGGUUCAGCUCGCCAAGAGCGGGCUGACCGAAGCCUGCAGCAGCCUUCUAACAGGCUUUGAGGUAAGAAUCUCAAUAUAUGUAAAAUGGUACCGCAUAGAUAGUAGCCCCUGAUGCUCGGUUCGGUGUUCGGAAAGAAAAGCCGGACUGAGGGUCUUUAGAAAGAUAAACGCAGGAGUCAUGAAAAUAUGUCAAUAUGGGAUUGCAGGAUGUGCUGCUGACCUCCGCCGCACUGACUGCGGAGGUCAAUACGUUGAAGGAAAACCUCGAGCGGUCCGAGAACAAGCUCGGCCGUGCCAAGAAGCAGCUCGAGGAAAAAUAAGGUGAGUAAUACCUUAUGAAAAUUGUACCUUACAGAAAAGGAUUUGGUUGCAAGAAAAAUGACAAGGAUAACUUGGGUAUUCCAGGGGCCACUAAUGAGGUGGCGACCCUGAAGGAGGCGGUGGCCGCGGCCGAACGCAAUGCGGCCGUGGAGUGCACCGAGCGAGAGAGGCAGGAGGCGUGGGUGGCGGAGGUACAGCAAGAGCUCCAGGAUCUCGUGAAAAAACAUGAGAGCUUGGAGCGUGACUCGAAGACUCGAGAGUCUGAGCUUGCAAUGGCUCUUGAGAGUGCCAAAGCCGCUAAGGCCGAAGCCUACAAGGCCCUCCAGGAGAUUGAGGCGGUGAAGAAAAUAGCAGCGGGUAAGGCAUUUUUCAUGCAAAGUAAGCAUGUGAGUGUUAAUUACCUGUUGCUUACCCGAAUUCGGAGCUCUCCAGGAGCGUUCGCAGAUCUUCUCGCAGCGUGUCCGAUGCUGCCGCAUUUUACCGGGCCGAGGAGGGGAGCUCGACUGAGAAGGUCUUCUGGUCUCAGUAUGCUGAGGCCGGACAUCCGGUGCCCCUUAGCGACCAGCUGAAGCAGCUGGUCAAGCUCCACAAGGCGGCCGAACAGGCCAUGAAGGGCCUCAUAGUUCGGCUGUGGCCUAAGGAGGCCAUGCCUGGGAGCUACUUCGGCCUAGUGCGGCGGCUGGUGGAUGCGUGCCCGUGGGUUGAAGUCAUCAAGCAUUCCGCUUGUAUUGAAGGUGCCCGUCGGGCCCUUGCCCGCGCAAAGGUGCACUGGGGCAAGAUGGAUGCCCAGAAGCUCAUGACGGACCCGCCACCAGAGGGCAAGGAGCAUCGCACGCCCGCGAUGUAUUAUAAGAGUGUGCUGAAGGGCGCCCGCACUAUUGCGGGUGAGUGCUCCAAAGAUGUAAUAUUUGAGUAGAUUCACAUUUUGUUAUCCUGUCCGCUGAAAACUUGGUUCAUAUGCGCUUAAGCAACGCUUGUUAAUUUAAAAUAUUACCUUCUGUGUGGCUGUUUAUCAAAUCUGAGAGAUGGCAAGUCGUCGGCUUCAGCCCCCAUGCCACGAGUGCUGGGGUGUUCGGGAUAAACUCGAGCGCUCUUGUUCCCAUUUUUGGGUCCAUCUAGGGAGGCGCUCGACACAGCGAACAAGGCAACCGGACUUAUAAUGCUUGAACACUCUCACUUAGCCAUAGAAUUCUAUAAUUUUAAAUUUCGGCGAAGCCCCUAGUCUUCGGAAGGACGAAUUUGGGGCGCUAUCCACGCCUUGGCCGGACAGUAUCCGGCUCCUCGCUCUAAGCGGCAUAAGUCUUUAAGGACUCGCAAAAAACCUCUCGAACAGCGACCGGCUCUCGCCUCAUCAUGACGGUCAGUUUUAGCUUUCUCCACUGAGGCGUUAACCCAACUCAACUGGGGCGCAAUCGCAGUGGUUCUCCCAGUGCUACCUUAGCCGAUAUAACGGAACGUAAGGUACCAAAACAUGGGAGCCGGCAAACCCAACUAUUGACCCAAGACAUGAUUCGGAGCCGAUGCAUAUAGUGCUAUAAGUUCGGGGUGCCGCACUUGUGAAAGUGUUCGGACUCAUCACACCAUGAUUCGGGGGAACAUAAGCCCCUGAUGUGUAUUGGCCGUACCAAAGUGUACGAAUGCAAUAUGCCGUGAAUGAACAUAUGUAUGAAAAGGAAAUGCAAUUAUAAGCAAAAAGGUGCUGCAUUGUUUUAUUCAAUAAGUGCUGCUACGAAUGCAGAACGAUACAAAUAGUGCGAUAAGCAAGGUAUGGGACUGUUAAACAUGUCCCCCUCCAGGGGUAGGCUGCAGAUUGGUGUAUAGAAAUGCUUGUAACGGAGACCACCUGUAUAUUCAUUGUAGCCUUUAUCCUUCCCUAGCUGUGGCAUCGUGAGUUCGGCAGAUCUGCUGCCGGACAGGGCCUCUGACAAACGGAGUCAUGUGUGUAAAAAAUAGAAGGUAAAAAAGAAAAGAAAAAAGAACGACACACUUGAGAGCCCCUGGUGCGGUUAAGCCGCAGUCUGGGUUUAUCGUGGUCGUGCCCCUCUCCCCAUGCUCAUGGUAUCUUCAGAGCAUAAUGGUGUACGCGAAGGAUCUGCUUUAACUUUUUGCAGGAGCUGGGGUUGGGGCCGCACUGCUACGCGUGCUCGGAACGUGCCAGGUGGUCUUGUUGUAAGUUACUCCGGGCACGCUUAGCUGUGUCCAGCCGCUUAAAGGCCGGACUCGAGAAUUGCCUCAAGAGGCUGCAUUGCACUUCUGCCGCGAGAGCCGCUGUAUGUUCCUCCGUGCGGAGAGAACAUUCAGUGUUUCCGUUGACCGUGAUGACUCCUCGAGGGCCUGGAAUCUUGAGCUUGAGGUAUGCGUAGUGCGGCACCGCAUUGAACUUUGCAAACGCAGUACGUCCGAGCAAGGCAUGAUAGCCGCUGCGGAACGGGACUAUGUCAAAGAUUAACUCCUCGCUUCGGAAGUUAUCCGGGGAUCCGAAGACCACUUCGAGUGUAAUUGAGCCUGUACAAUUGGCUUCUACACCUGGUACGACAUCUUUAAAUGUCGUUUUGGUAGGUUUAAUCCUUGAGGGGUCUAUGCCCAUUUUGCGCACUGUAUCCUGGUAAAGCAGGUUCAGGCUGCUGCCGCCGUCCAUUAGGACUCUGGUUAGGUGAAAUCCAUCGAUGAUUGGGUCUGAGACCAGUGCAGCGAAUCCGCCAUGGCGGAUGCUGGUGGGGUGGUCCCUUCGGUCAAAAGUGACCGGGCAGGAGGACCAUGGAUUGAACUUCGGGGCAACUGGCUCCAUCGCGUAGACAUCCCUGAGUGCAUGCUUCCGCUCCCUUUUGGGUAUGUGCGUUGCAUAUAUCAUGUUCACCGUCCGCACCUAUGGGGGGAAACCCUUCUGUCCUCUAUUGUUCGGCAAUUGGGUCUCGUCCUCGUCAUCGCUAUGUAGCCCCUUGUCAUUGUUUUCGGCAAUUAACUUGCCUGCCUUCUUGAAUACCCAACAGUCCCUGUUGGUGUGGUUAGCUGGCUUUUCGGGGGUGCCGUGUAUCUGGCACAAGCGGUCGAGUAUUCGGUCCAAAUUGGACGGACCCGGAGAAGUUCUUUUGAAUUGCUUUUUCCGCUGACCGGGUUUAGAGCCUCCGAAUCCGGCAUUAACUGCCGUAUCCUCAAUAUGAUCGCCGUUAAUGCGGCGUUUGUUUUUGUUGCGACGCGGCCUGCCAUUUCGGUCCUUGAAGUCCGGACUGCCAGAAUUCUUGCUGAGGUUAUUGCUGCGUGCUAGCCAGCUGUCCUCACCCGCGCAGAAGCGGGUCAUGAGUGAUGUGAGGGCUGCCAUGGAUUUCGGCUUUUCCUGUCCCAGGUGCCGGGCAAGCCAUUCGUCACGGAUGUUAUGCUUGUAGGCCGCGAGGGCCUCCGCAUCCGGACAGUCGACGGUUUGGUUUUUCUUGGUUAAGAACCGUGUCCAGAAUUGCCUGGCCGAUUCGUCUGGCUGCUGAAUUAUGUGGCUUAGGCCAUCAGCGUCUGGUGGUCGCACAUAAGUGCCCUGGAAUUUAUCGAGGAAUGCGGCUUCCAGGUCCUCCCAACUCCCAAUUGACUCUGCUGGCAAGCUGUUGAGCCAAUGUCGGGCUGGUCCUUUAAGCUUGAGGGGGAGGUAUUUGAUGGCGUGAAGAUCGUCACUGCGGCCAUGUGGAUGUGAAGGAGAUAGUCUUCAAUCCAAACCGCGGGGUCUGUUGUGCCAUCGUAGGAUUCAAUAUUGACGGGUUUAAACCCUUCGGGGAUUUGAUGAUCCAUUACUUCAUCUGUGAAGCAUAGUGGGUGUGCGGCGCCUCUGUACUGGGCGAUAUCACGACGGAGCUCAAGGGAGCUUGGUCUAUUUUGUUCGGCCCGGCCGGACUUACUGUGUCUGGCGCGAUGAUUGUCGUCACGUAUCAUGGGACGCCCACGCGAUCCAUAGAUCGAUCUUGAUUGUCUUGCCUUAUCCUCCAAUAUAUCUCGCAAGUCCGGAGUGUUCCCCUGUGGCCGUGUGCUUUUCGAGCGAUGUCGGGGUACAGGUCUGGUGAAGGGCCUAGAGGCCACUCUGUCGCGACCACGGGGUGGUCGGUCAGCCGUAUUGUCUCCUGGUGAUGCGGGUUCAUAAGCCUCCUCCUCUAAUUGGGGGAGCACCUUGCCUUUAGGGUAGCUUUUGGAGGGGCGUUCGAGCUCAUGCUCUUCGGCCGCGAGGACUUCAGUCCAUCUGUCGGCUAGCAGAUCCUGAUCAGCUCUAAGCUGUUACUACUUUUUCUUGAGGCUGUUUGCCGUGGCCAUAAGCCUGCGUUUAAAACGCUCUUGUUCGACGGGAUCCUCAGGAACGACGAAUUCGUCAUCGUCGAGGCUCGCUUCGUCUCCGGAGGGAGGCGUAUAAUCCUCUGCCUCUUCUCCUGCUGCUCCUUCAUAAGGGCUAGCGUCUCCGUCCUCCUGCGCUGCAUCUUGCUAGAGCGGGUUGUCUUCGGCACUGUCCGGUGUAUUAUUAUCUCCGGUGCCGGAGUCUUCAUUCUUGCUGUGGCGGGAUUUAGAGUGGCGCUGCUGACGCCGGCGCUUGGGCUGCUUUUUGGAGGGGUCAUCCUCCUCUGUUCCUUUGCCAUUCCCAUCUUUUGGGAUAUCCACCAUGUAUAUGUCAUACGAUGAGGUGGCUGUCCAGUGCCCAGUGGGCGCUGGUUCUUGGUCGUUUCCGGCUUCGUCGUCCAUACCGUCGAUGUCCUCGGAGUCGUAGUCUAGCAUGUCGGUUAAAUCAUCGACAAUGGCUACCAAGUGGGUGGUGGGUGGGCUUUGAAUUUCUUCGUCGUCCGCAUCCCAACCGUCCUGACUGCAGCCCGGCCAGGGCUCUCCUGAUAACGAGAGAUAUUUUAGCAAACUCAAGAUGUCGCCGAAAGGUGAGUGUUGAAAGACGUCCGCUGCAGUAAACUCCAUGAUCGGCGCCCAAUCAGAUUCGAUCAGGGCGGGCGCGGGAGGUUCGGAGUCCGGCGUGGAGUCCGGCACCUUGGAGUCACGAGCUUUAUGAGGGACAAAGUCAAUGUUCAGCUCUAUCACCGUAGAGGUUGCAGCACCCGAGGUGAUGUCUAGCCAUCCGUCCUCAAUCUGCGCGGCUGGCUCCGAAUUGAGGAUCGGAGCGGGCUCGAGUGCGGCCUCCAGGGUACUGUCCGGCGGCAGAGCUAAAUCAUGCCCGACGUGAUAGUGCGGCACGCUCGGCUGUGGCUCGAAUCCGUCGAAGAUCAUGCCCCCACGGAUGUCAGCCGUGAAGUUCAAACUUCCAAAUCUGACCUGACGGCCAGGGGCGUAGCUUUCGAUCUGCUCCAGUUGGCCUAGCGAAUUGGCCCGCAGUGCAAAGCCGCCAAAUACGAAGAUCUGUCCGGGGAGGAAGGUCUCACCCUGGACUGCGUUGUUGAUGAUGAUCGAAGAAGCCAUCGAGCCUAUCGGUGACGACACAGAGGAACUCUCAAUGAAAGCACCAAUGUCAGUGUCAAAACCGGUGGAUCUCGGGUAGGGGGUCCCGAUCUGUGCGUCUAGGCGGAUGGUAACAGGAGACGAGGGACACGAUGUUUUUACCCAGGUUCGGGCCCUCUUGAUGGAGGUAAAACCCUACUUCCUGCUUGAUUAAUAUUGAUGAUGUGGGUUACAAGAGUAGAUCUACCACGAGAUCAAGGAGGCUAAACCCUAGAAGCUAGCCUAUGGUAUGAUUGUUGUUCGUCCUAUGGACUAAGGCCACCCGGUUUAUAUAAACACCGGAGAGGGCUAGGGUUACAUAGAGUCGGUUACAAAGGUAGGAGAUCUACAUAUCCGUAUCGCCAAGCUUGCCUUCCACGCCAAGGAAAGUCCCAUCUGGACACGGGACGAAGUCUUCAAUCUUGUAUAUUCAUAGUCUUGGAGAACAGCCGAUGAUGAUAGUUCAGCUAUCCGGACACCCCCUAGUCCGGAACUCCCUCAGGCACCAAAGGACAACAACAUAUCCACAAGCAAAUUAAAUAAAUCAUAGCAAUUCAUCAACCACCAAUAGGACAAUGAAAAUCUACUCAGACAUCAUAGGAUGGCAACACAUCAUUUGAUAAUAAUAUGAAGCAUAAAGCACCAUGUUCAAGUAGAGGGUACAGCGGGUUGCGGGAGAGUGGACCGCUGUAGAUAGAGGGGGGAAGGUGAUGGAGAUGUUGGUGCAGAUGGCGGAGGUGUUGGUGUAGAUCGCGGUGAUGAUGAUGGCCCCCGGCAGCACUCUGGCGCCACCGGAAGCAAGGGGGAGAGAGCCCCCCUUCUUCUUCUUCUUCUUCCUUAACCUCCGCCCUAGAUGGGAGAAGGGUUUCCCCUCUGGUCGUUGUCUCCCAUGGCGUGGGAGGGGCGAGAGCCCCUCCGAGAUUGGAUCUAUCUCUCUAUUUCUCUCUGUUUCUACGUUCUCAGAUCCUUCCCCUUCACCGUUUUUUUAUAUCCGGAGAUCCGUAACUCCGAUUGGGGUGAAUCUUUCGCCUAGAUUUUUCUCAUAAAAUUAGCUUUCUUGCGGCAAAAGAAGAGCGUCAACCGCCUUACGAGUGGCCCAGGAGAGUGCCAGGUGCGCCCAGGGGGGUGGGCGCACCCCCUGUCUCCUGGCCACCUUUGGCACCGUUUCGCAUUGAUUCUUCCUCCGGAAAAUCCCAAAUAUUCCAAAAUAAUUCUCCGUCCGUGUUUAUCCCGUUUGGAUUUCGUUUGAUAUUGGGUUUCUGCGAAACGUAAAACAUGCAACAAACAGGAACUGGCACUGGGCACUGGAUCAAUAUGUUAGUCCCAAAAAUAGUAUAAAAAGUUGCCAAAAGUAUAUGAAAGUUGAAGAAUAUUGGCAUGGAACAAUCAAAAAUUAUAGAUACGACGGAGACGUAUCAGGAGUGCACAAGUGCGAGAUUGAUAUUUGGAGAGAGGGGGCGAGAACAUGCGCUGUUGCGCGCAGUGGUGGAGCCAUGAAAAAUAAACGAGCUAUGGGGCCAAGCAUUGCUAAUCCUUUACGAGGAGGGCCAAUUCAUGAACUUAAACCAUUUUUACCAGCAAUUGUCUAAUGAUCACAUUUAUAUUAGCCUUGAUAUAUAGUGAUGUUAGGGGGGGGGGCCUUGCUGCCCCUGUCUUCGCCAUUGUGCGCGCGUCUGAGAGAUGAAGCGGAAGGCAUGGAUGAUGAGAGGGGGACGUUGGAUAUAUAAUUAAUGUCGGUGUAUUAGCUAUAUAUGUAUUCCUAUAUAGAGAGGUAUAGAUUGAUCGAUGUGGACGUGGGAAAGAGGGUGAGACCUCACUAGAUAUAUAGAUUGAUCGGUUUGUGUGGAAAACUAUGAAAGACCUAGCUAUAUACACACACACAUAGAGGAACAUCGAUCGUUGCGCAUGCACCGUGAGAGAUAAAGAAUGCCCGAUAUGAUGGAGAUGGGGAUGUGUGUGUGUGUGCCUUCAUGGGAGACCGACCUGAAGAAAAAGAUUGCAUGUGUGUGAUGGAUAAUGCUGACUGGUAGUGUGUGUGCAUGCAUGCAGGAGAGAAAGUUAGUGGUACAAUUAUAAAGAUAAGACGACUAUGUGGGUGUAAAAGACUAGGUGUGUCGUGGAAUUGUCACGUCAGAUGUCCUCGUGAAAGGACUUAGUUGUGGAGCCAUCGCAACUAGGAAGCUUGAAGGGGUUAGUCGGGACAAAGGACACGAGAGGUUUAUACUAGUUCGGCCCCUUACGGUGAAGGUAAGGCCUACGUCUAGUUGGGUUGGUAUUGAUGUUUCAAUGACCAGGGAGCGACAUACGCUAUGCCCGGCUCUCGAUGAGUUGUUUCCAGCCCUAAGCCGCCAGGAGGUCGUCCCCUUAUAUACACGGGCUGACGCCCUGUGGCUUACGGAGUCCCAGCCGGCUUAUAAACAGUGUCUGGCUCGGUGACUAGUUAAACCUACCUUAUGAUACAAGUCAUGCCAUUACGGCGGUUUGUUACAACGGGCCUUAAGUCGCCUGCGGGCCUUAAGCCCUUUAUUGAAUCGCCAUCUUCAUGCUUGGUCUUGGGCUUCUUUCUGGCGAGUCUUGUUUGCGUAACCCGGCCCAUCCUGAGCGGCUUACACAAAUAGUUAUAUCCCCAACAUUAGGCCCCAGAUUGAUUUGAACCUGUUCAUGUCAAUCUUAAAAUACCUUAAGAAAUAAAUCUUCAGUCUUCUGACUGUGCAAAGGUUUUCUUUAACCCACCAUGACGUCAUCAUUUGGAUCCGUGUUAACCUGCCAUGACGUCAUCUUUACUUAAAUUCAUUCUUUAUUUCAUCGUAUCCUCCAACGGAUCUUUGCCUUUACUGACUGUUCCGAAAACCGAGGCGUCGGGGCCGCUGGAUAAUAACUUUUAUCUCCUUGUUUCUCGCACCGUCUCAUUUAUCCUUUCCUUACAAAUAGGCGCGACCUAGGUCUUCCCGUUCUCCUCCUUCCAGUCAUCCUCUUCCUCUUGCUGCUUCUCUGUCGCUCGAGCUCCGCCGCCGACGCCGUCGCAGAUCUCUUCGUCUUCACCAACUCCGGCCGCUGCAUCAACUUGGUUUGACCAGAAAAAAUGUGACGACCCUCCGCUGCAAUCCUGCAUAUGUAAGUCUCCUCUUUCCUACUUCUUAGAUCCACAUUAGGACCUUCGAGUUCUUCGCGUUCUUCGUUGUUCAUUAGGAUCCUUUCAUAGAUUUCAUCACCCCCGCUCUUCUUGAUCCUGAAGAUGGAACUGAUGCGGUAGAUAUUCCGCACCUAUUUUUAACGCAAAUAGAUCCCUUUCUGUCACACAGAGGCCCCAUUCGAGCCCUUGAGCUUCAUCUGCGCCAGUCUUAGGUCUAGAAAAUUUUCUUGUUAGAACAACUUUUUGAUCCCAAAUAACAGUGGCAAAUUGUGAAACUUGUUUGUAUCACCCGGAAAACUACUUCUGUCGAAUAUGCUUUAACACAACUGUCCAUGUAGCCGGCUUAAAUAAAUGACACUGAUCUGUGAACCUUGCUUGCUUCUCAUAACUUUAAGAAAUUUGAACUGCUUUUGAUACAUGUAGCGGCUUAAAUACUGUUGCAUAGUUAUCCUCAUAUCAUUAGACCCCUUCUUAAGCCGCCCCCUUGACUAGUUUUAAAUAUUUUCCUCCGGGUUAAAUUUGAACCGGAACCUCUUAUUUUCUCAUAGGCCUCAAUUUUCGUCAUGGCACCUAAGGCGGCCAAGGCUCCUGUGACCUGUAAUUGGGUCCCAUCCGCAGUCACAAGGAGUAAACUAUCUGAAUUUGUGAAGUCUGGCCAUCUGCCUAAGAAAGAGGUCAUGUCUUAUUGUGCCCCUUACCCGUCUGAAGAGAAGCCUCAACCCAAAGAAGGGGAGGUGAUUGAUUUUACAAAUCACAUGAACCGGGGAUUUGCCCCUCCUGGUUCAAAAUUCUUCAGGGAGGUUUUGAAUUUCUUUGACCUUAGACCUCAAGACAUUGGACCCAAUUCCGUGUCAAAUAUUUGCAAUUUCCAAGUCUUCUGCGAGGUGUACCUGGGAGAGGAGCCAAAUCUGCUUUUGUUCAGAGAGCUUUUCUACUUGAACCGGCAAAAUGAACGUGCCAACGGACCCAGUCUUGAACUUGGCGGCAUCUCAAUCCAGCGGCGGAGAGACUGCCUUUUCCCUUAUGCAGAACUGCCGAGUCAUCUGAAAGAUUGGAAUCAGACGUGCUUCUAUUGCCAGGACACUUCUCCGGCUGACGAGAGCCCUCUGCCCGGCUUUCGCGCUCUGAGCCUUGAGUCCAACCAUCCGCUGGCGGAUAAACUAACUGCUAUUGAGCGUCUGCCUCUCAAUCCCACCAUCAAGAAGAUUAAAGCUCUUUUGGGAAACGGCUUAAAUGGCAUUGAUCUGGUCCGAGUCUGGGUCACUUGGCGAGUACUUCCGUUAAGCUGCCGUCACGGCUUGAUGUGUACUUAUUAAGGCAAAAAGGAUGAUCCACUGCGUCAUAGCCCUAACGACUUACCAGAUGAUGUGGUGGAAGCUACGACCCAGUCGCUGCUGAAGGAGGGCACAUUAACUAGUAAUGCCUUCGGCUUACUUCCCUUCUACAAGAAGAACCCGGCCCCUGCAGUGAGUCAUCAACCUCAAUAAAUACUCCUUGCCAUGUCACACCUUACUUGUACUCAUAAUUUCUUAUCUUUUUUCACAGGACAAUGACAACUUUUGGAAGGUCCAGUAUGACCAUGAGGCUGCCAAACAAGCCAGGACAGCCAAGAAAACCGAAAGGAAAGCCGCCAAAAUGGGAACUUCAAAGAAGAAGAAACCCAGCGCUUCCGAUUUACUCAAAUUGGAUGACACUUCUUCGGAUGAUGAAGAGGUAAUCCCUGAUUCUCUUUACUCCUUUGUCAUUAUUUUAUUGACAUUCCAUCCUUUCAGGAGGAUACGGGGAAUAACCAAGCGGUUGGCGAAGAGGUAACUAUAAUCUCCUCAGACUCAGAGCCUUUGCCAAAGCAAAAAAUCCGAAGGGUGACCCGGAAAGUAAGAUUUUCACAUCCUCUAGCUUAUCAAGAUCCUCAAUUUCUUUUGAAGCAACAACAACUUGAAAACCGGAGGCAGACCCGGACCAACAAGGAUGCAGAACUCUCCUCCGGCUUACCUGACGUAACUUGGAAGCGUCGGACUGAGGUUAUCUCCGAUUUACGUUCUGUUUUACCUUUGGCGGGUUUAAUUCGCCAACCUCAAUUCAUCUGACUCCAAUUAUCAGGAUACCUCUCCUUCCUCCGACGAGUCUAUGCAAUCAAACAUGCUGGCUUUCAAAACUGCUCCUAGGUACUGUAACUUUAGUUACUUUAGGCUCUACCUUACUCAUGCUUUAGUAUUCAUCCUUCUACCUUUGUUAACAACAUGCAAGUGAAGCCCAGCAAGAGGGCAAAGAAGAAUAAGACAUCCUAAGACCCGAUUGUGACUGAACCGACGCUUGAUAUGUUUGCUCCUGACAGCUCCACCCAUCAGCCGCCGCCUGAACCGGCUUCUGACAUUCCGGUGCCAACCUCUGACCCGCCUGCCGAAGAUACUCUCAAUAGCUCCAAUAACCAGGAAGCUCCUAGCCCGGUCAAGACGACUGACCCGGAAGUUGAAUUUCUGAAAAGUCAGUUUGUUGAACCGGGACAGCCUACUGUCCUUGCCAAAUGUACUGCCAAGGAAGAACUUGUCAAACGCCAAAAGGCCAAGCAGGACAUUACUGAUUAUACUCACUUAAGCAUUGGUGAUAUAGUCUCGGGCUAUCUGAAUCAAGUGCAUAAUAGUCGUGACCUGGAAAUUGACAUGGUGAAACAAAUAUAGCACAAAUCUAAGGUACAACUUAUGCUAUUUUCCUGAAUCCUACUUAUUGUACCAGCCCCCAAGUCUAUUGCUUAUGAAUAAAUAUGUUGUAGACUUAGAAAUCUGCUUUACUAUUGGUUUGUCCGGUUUAAAGAGAAUAUAUUUAACCUGGUUAUAGCAUGAUAGUUUGAAUUUGCGAUACACAUUAGCCCCCAAGUGUCAAGUAUCUUUACUUGUAAAGUGCUUGAGACUUAAUAUGCAUGACCCGACAUGGUAGGUUAAAAAUUCUUCAGCAUACAUUAUCCCCCAAGUGUCAAGAACCUUUGCUUGCAAAGUACUUGGGACUUAAUGUUAUCUUACCAUGAUUCUUACCAUAACCCGGUAUCAAUGUAGGUCACCAUAAGUCAAUUUGAGUCAGAGAUUGCUGACCUGAAGAGUCGUCUGACAGCUCAAGAACUUGAAACUCAAAAAGCCAACUCCAAAUUUGAGUUCAGCGUUUCUGAACAAGAGAAGUUAAAGAAGAAUUUUGAGUCAGAGAAGAAAAUCUGGGCUGAUGAGAAGGCUUCGCUGGUGACCCGGGCUGAGACGACAGAGGCAUCACUUGCAGAAGCAACAACCGAGCUGUCCGACUUCAAGCGUCAUAUAUCUCAAAUGGUCUCAGCCAUCUUCGGUAAGUUACUGUUCAUAACCACAAACAUUGCAAUCCUUCCUUUGAUUAUUGGCGUAAUCGUUAUCUCCGGCUCACUUUUAUGUUUGUGAACACACAGGCCCCAGGAGCACCAACCUCAAGCAGAACAUGCUGAUCAAACUUAAGGCGGUUUACACUCUAGUGGAGCAGCUGUACACCGGGUCACAACGUGCUUUGGCUGUUGUAGCCUUAUCAAAUACCACUCCCCACCUUCUGCAAGACGUGCUGAAGUGUCUCGCUCUGCUACCUCAGCGGAUCCAGGAUUUAAGGCGGGCAUCUUCAAGAGCCGGGGCCGUAGCCGUGUUGAGCCGGGCAAAGGCAUGGAUUCCAGAACUAGACCCGGCCGACCUUGCUCUUGGAUACCCGAGUUUGAAGGAGGAUGGUACCGUAUUUGAUGAUCAUGAUUUCACCGCCUGCGUCAAAGUCAUACGUCUCGUGGCUACCCUUAUUGGGAACGAUACUGACCUCACCAAGUAUUCUCCGGGCUAUGACAGUGAGAACCGGAGAAUUCCAAACACUCCAUAUGAUCAAGUCAGCUUGAUCCCUCCAAUGCGUAAGCAUACUUUCGCCCGUGAAGUGGACCCAGCCGGUUUAAUAGAUGAUGAAGCUGAGUUUGAAGCCUUGAGUGGCAUUGACUCGGCCUCAUCAACCUUCCAGGACAAAGCAACCGAUGGAGAGGCGGAGAAGGAUAACCCAGAAUCUUCAAGCCCGCCGAAGGAGUGAAUCACCAGGCGUUUUGCAAAAAACAGUGCUUCAUUUAUUCAGACUCGGGGAGUCUUGUAAUAGGGUAGAAAAAACUUCUCAAUGUUUGUCAUGCCUUCGCGCAUGUUCACAAUGCUUAACACUUUCGUAACCCGCCAUCGCUAUAUUUUUUCGGCUUAUGUUGAUCGUUUAUUUCCUUGAUGUUUAAAUUUUCUUGCCUUAUCCUGCACAUAAAACAAGCAAAUUCCCUUGGCGGUUUAUCGCGUCGGGGGUCACAUAAAGUAUUGAUAACCUGGAACACGAACCAAAGACAUCAUAUACAGGCCGGUUUAUGACUAUAUUUGUUAAACAUAAUCAUAAUAGCAUACCUGCAAUCCCUCUGAUAAUCUUCCCUACGUAUAUGAUGUUCACCUGGCACUUAACAACCUGGGGUGAUCAAUAUUAAACCAGAAGAAAAAACCAUCUCAUAAUGCUUUCAAGAAGGUCUCAAGAUAGUCAAAAUAAUUUAUGCUUAUGAUGGAUAAUAAACAACAUUUACAGGCUUCUGAUUCGAAUACGAUCAGUAAACCGUUCCAAAGGGGUUAAGCUAAGAUUCGGAUAUGAUCAUAUAGCCCCCAGUGGCUUUGGCGAUGCCGAUCAAGUGGGUAUCGACAGCUAUGUUCUCUUUGGUUCGAAUACGACCUAUGUUUGAACAGGAAACCCCCAAGUGACCAUAAGAGUUGUUUAAUGACACUGAUUCGAAUACGAUCCACGUCAGACCCAAAGGGGUUAAGCUGUGAUUCAAAUAUGAUCAAGAAGCCCCCAAGUGGGUUUGGCAAUAUGCCGAUCAAGUGGGUAUCGGCAGCUAUGUUCUCUUUGGUUCGAAUACGACCUAUGUUUGAACAGGAAGCCCCCAAGUGGCCAUGGCUAGAUUCAGACAUGAUCAUAAGCCAGACCAAAGGGAAAGCCGGAUUCGAAUGUGAUCUGCUCCCUAUUGGUUGUUUCCACCACCUGAUAAAGAAGACACAUAAACGUUUGAGGGUAAAAAGGACAGAGGUCCUGCUUUAUUUCUUUAUAUAAUAUAUACAUUGUCAAAAUAUAUACAUCUUGAGAGCCGGUGGCUCAAGUAUAAUAAGGCCGAAGAUGAGCAAUAUUCCACGGCCGGCGGGUCUCCUCCUCCAACUUAUGUGAGUCUUUGUGCUCUCGAACAUCGAUGAGGUAGUAUGAUCCGUUGUGGAAAUUCUUGCUGACCACAAAGGGUCCUUCCCAAGGUGGGGAUAGCUUGUGCAUGUCAGACUGAUCCUGGAUGAGCCGAAGCACUAAAUCGCCUUCCUGAAAGGUUAUGCUCCUAACCCGGCGGCUGUGAUAGCGGCGCAGGUCUUGUUGAUAAAUCGCUGAGCGGGCUAUUGCCAAGUCUCGCUCCUCAUCCAACAAGUCAAGCGCAUCCUGACGAGCCUUUUCGUUGUCAGCCUCAACAUAAGCCGCCACGCGGGGUGAAUCGUGCUGGAUGUCACUUGGCAGGACCGCCUCUGCACCAUACACCAUAAAGAAAGGUGUGUAGCCUGUAGAUCUGUUAGGCGUAGUGUUGAUGCUCCACAAUACAGAAGGUAACUCCUCCACCCAACAACCCGGAGUCCGCUGUAAGGGGACAAAGAGCCGGGGCUUGAUACCCUUCAGGAUCUCUUGAUUAGCUCUUUCUUCUUGACUAUUGGAUUGAGGAUGAGCAAUAGCCGAAACAUCAAGCCGGAUAUGUUCUCGUUGAUAGAACUCUUCCAUGGCGCCCUUGGAGAGAUUAGUGCCAUUAUCAGUUAUAAUGCUGUGUGGGAAACCAAAAUGAAAGAUCACCUUUUUCAUGAACUGAACCACCGUGGCUGCAUCACACUUACUGACUAGCUCUGCCUCAACCCACUUUGUAAACUUAUCCACUGCCACCAGGAGAUGUGUCUUUUUAUCCUUAGACCUCUUGAAAGGCCCAACCAUGUCAAGCCCCCAGACUGCGAACAGCCAAGUGAUUGGGAUCAUCCUCAAUUCUUGAGCCGGCACAUGAGCUCAUCGUGAGAACUUUUCACAACCGUCACAUUUACUGACUAGAUCCUCCGCAUCAGCAUGAGCCGUCAGCUAGUAGAAACCAUGACGAAAAGCCUUGGCUACAAGAGAUUUUGACCCGGCAUGAUGGCCACAAUCCCCUUCAUGGAUCUCACAAAGUAUUUCUUGGCCUUCCGCAGGUGACACACAACGUUGAAACACCCCAGUGACGAUUCGGUGAUGCAACUCAUCGUGAACAAUCGUCAUAGAUUUGGAGCGCCUGAUGAAUUUUCUUGCCAAGGUCUCAUCCUUAGGUAACUCUCCCCGGGUCAUAUAGGCCAAAUAUGGCACUGUCCAAUCCGGGAUAACAUGAAGAGCUGCCACCAGCUGUGCCUCUGGGUCUGGCACUGCUAGUUCUUCCUCGGUAGGCACCUUGACAGAAGGGUUAUGCAAAAUAUCGAGAAAGAUGUUAGGUGGCACCGGCUUACGUUGAGAUCCCAGCCGGCUUAAAGCAUCAGCCGCCUCAUUCUUCCUUUCGAUCAAUGUGCUCCACUUGAUAACCCUUGAAAUACCCAGCCACGGUAUCUACCUCUUGAUGAUAAGCCGCCAUGAGAGGAUCCUUGGAAUCCCACUUGCCUGAUACCUGUUGGGCCACGAGAUCUGAGUUGCCUAAGCACCUUACCCGUCUUAAAUUCAUCUCUUUGGCAAUCCAGAGACCAUGGAGUAAGGCCUCGUACUCAGCUGCAUUGUUAGUACAAGGAAACAUAAGCCGGAGCACGUAACAAAAUUUGUCACCUCGAGGGGAAGUUAAAACAACUCCAGCCCCCGAGCCUUCUAACUUCCUGGACCCAUCAAAGUGAAUAGUCCAAUAUGUGUUAUCCGGCUUCUCCUCAGGUGCCUGCAACUCUGUCCAAUCAUUGAUAAAGUCCACUAAGGCUUGAGACUUAAUAGAAGUAUGCGGCAUAUAUCUCAAACCAUGAGGUCCAAGCUCGAUAGCCCACUUGGCAACUCGUCCCUGGCCUCCCUAUUCUGGAUGAUGUCUCCCAAGGGGGCAGAACUUACCACAGUUAUAGGAUGACUUUGAAAGUACUGCUUCAACUUUCGGUUGGCCAUAAACACUCCGUAAACAAGUUUCUACCAAUAUGGAUACCUUUGUUUAGACUCAAUGAGCACCUCACUGAUGUAGUAAACCGGCCGUUGAACCAGAUGCUCCUUGCCAGCUUCCUUACGCUCCACCAUGAUGGCAACACUGACGGCUUGUGAAUUAGCAGCAACCACAUAUAACAGCAACGGCUCUUUAUCAAUGGGAGCCGCAAGAAUCGGUGGUUCAGACAAUUGCCUCUUCAAGUCUUCAAAGGCAGCAUCUGCAGCAUCACUCCAGACAAAAGUGUCCGUUUUCUUCAUCAUCUAAUAUGGUGGUAGGGCCUUCUCACCUAAUCGGCUUAUGAACCGGCUUAAAGCAGCAACACGACCUGCCAGUCGCUGAACAUCAUUGAUGCGCGCCGGUUUAGCUAGAGAGGUAAUUGCCUUAAUCUUCUCCGGAUUAGCUUCAAUGCCUCUGUUUGAUACCAGGAAACCCAAGAGCUUGCCUGCAGGUACACCAAACACACACUUGGCCGGGUUAAGCAUCAUCUUAUAAACCCGUAGAUUAUCAAAGGUCUCUUUCAAGUCGGAUAUCAAGGUUUCCUUCUCUCUGGACUUCACCACGAUGUCAUCUACAUAAGCAUGAACAUUACGCCCGAUUUGAUCGUGUAGACAGUUCUGCACACAUCGUUGAUAAGUCGCCUGAGCACUCUUGAGUCCAAACGACAUAGAUACAUAACAGAAGGCUCCAAAUGGAGUGAUGAAAGCCGUCUUCUCCUGGUCCUUAACUGCCAUUGUGAUCUGAUGAUAACCAGAGUAAGCAUCCAAGAAGCUCAAACGUUCACAACCCGUCGUAGCAUCAAUGAUUUGAUCAAUACGGGGGAGAGCAAAGGGAUCAGCCGAACAAGCCUUGUUUAAGUCCGUGUAGUCCACACACAUCCGCCAGGUGCCGUUCUUUUUAAGCACAAGCACCGGGUUAGCCAACCACUCCGGGUGAAAAACUUCAACAAUGAACCCGGCCGCUAAGAGCCGGGCAACUUCCUCUCCAAUAGCUUUCCGUCUCUCUUCAUUAAACCGGCGAAGAAACUGCCUGACCGGCUUAUACUUUGGAUCAAUAUUGAGAGUGUGCUCAGCAAGUUCCCUUGGUACACCUGGCAUGUCAGAAGGUUUCCAUGCAAAGAUGUCCCGGUUCUCAUGGAUGAACUUGAUGAGCGCACUUUCCUAUUUAGGAUCCAAAUUGCUGCUGAUGCUGAAUUGCUUAGAAGAGUCACCUGGGGUAAAGUCAACAAGCUUCGUCGCGGCGGCCAAUUUAAACUUCAACGCCGGAUCAUGCUCUGUAGUUGGUUUCUUCAGGGAGGUCAUAUCCGCUGGGUCAACAUUAUCUUGAUAAAAUUUGAGCUCUUCCGCUGCACAGGCAAACUCAGCAUAAGCCGCAUCGCCUUCUUUACAUUCCAAGGCUACCUUUUGACUUCCAUGCACAGUGAUGGUGCCCUUGUGACCCAGCAUCUUGAGCUGCAAAUACACGUAACACGGCCGUGCCAUGAACUUAGCAUAAGUCGGCCGCCCAAACAGAGCAUGAUAUGGGCUCCUGAUUUUGACCACUUCAAACGUCAAUUUCUCAGCCCUGGAAUCAUAUUUGUCUCCAAAGGCCACUUCCAGUUCAAUCUUGCCAACCGGGUAAGCCGACUUACCAGGAACCACUCCAUGGAAAAUAGUGUUGGAUGUCCUCAAAUUCUUAUCAGUCAACCCCAUGCAUCGAAAGGUCUCAUAAUAGAGGAUAUUGAUGCUACUACCUCCGUCCAUGAGUACCUUAGUGAAUUUAUAUAGACCAACCUGAGGUGCUACCACCAAGGCUAACUCACCCGGAUUAUCGGCCCGUGGAGGGUGAUCUUCUCUGCUCCAUACAAUGGGCUGUUCUGACCACCUCAAGCAACGAGGAACUGCCGGUUCAAUAGAAUUCACGGCCCUCUUAUGAACCUUCUGAUCGCAUCUGCAUAAGCUAGUGGUGAACACGUGAUACUGCCAACUAUUCAACUGCUUCGGAUUGCUUUGAUAACCCGACUGCUGCUGCUGCUGUUCUCCUUGACCAGACUGCUGUUGAUUAUAGCCACCUUGAUGUCCCUGAAAGCCGGAACUUGAACCACCACCCGGGCCAUGAAAAACGCCAGCCCCUGAGCCGCCACCAGACCCAUGAUUGCCAUGAAAGGUGUUGGAAUUCUUAAACGCCUUCAUGAUCGCGCAAUCUUUCCACAUGUGUGUGGCGGGCCGCUCCCGGGUGCCGUGUCUCGGGCAGGGCUCAUUGAGUAGCUGCUCAAGAGAUGGGCUUGACCCGCCAGAUCAAGGCGGCUUACCCUUACGUCUCUGAUAUUUACCUUGCGCAUUGGCAUUGGCCACAAACUCCGGGUUACCAUCCGCCUUACGCUUAUUGCCUCCUUGAUUCAUCGGGUUAUGCUGCUGACCCUUUCCAUUGCCGUUCUUCUUUCCCUUCCCGGUCUUUUCCUCAUCAGACGCGGGAUCCUUGGUACUAUCAGAGUUGGCAUAUUUGACUAAAGCCGCCAUCAGCGUACCCAUAUCAUUGCAAUCAUGCUUAAGGCGCCCCAGUUUUUGCCUCAAUGGCUCAAAAUGGCAAUUCUUCUCCAACAUGAGGACUGCCAAACCGGCAUCCAUCUUGUCAGAUGAAUGUAUUAUCUCCUUGACCCGGCGUACCCAAUGAGUCGUAGAUUCACCCUCCUCAUGUUUACAAUUUGUCAAGUCCACAAUCGACAUAGACUGCUUGCAAGUGUCUUUGAAGUUCUGGAUGAAACGGGCCUUUAGUUCUGCCCAUGAACUAAUGGAAUUGGGUGGCAAGCCCUUUAACCAGGACCGGGCUGUUCCGUCUAACAUCAUGGUGAAGUACUUAGCCAUCGCCGCGUCGCUGACUUCCAAUAACUCCAUGGCCAUCUCAUAACUUUUGAUCCAAGCUCCGGGCUGCAAGUCGGCCGUGUAAUUCGGCACCUUUCGAGGUCCCUUGAAGUCCUUGGGUAGGCGCAUAUUACGCAGAGCCGGUACCAGAUAAGGGACACCGCCGGUCCUAGUGGCUACUCCCGUCUCAACGGAAGUCGUUGGAUACUCUGGGAAAUCUUGAUGUGCCGUCUGUUGAGCCGCUAGCUGAGCCGCUAGUUGAGCCGCCCGCUUGUUCUCCUGACGUACUCGGUCUUGCACCAGAUUAUAGCCACCGGGCAGGUUACGGCAUUGGGCGUUGCUUGACAAAGCUUCAGACUCCAUGUGCCUGCUGUAACUCGGGCUCCAGUUCUGACGAGGCGGUGCUAACCAAGGCGGAGGAGUUGAAUGAAUCCUGUCCCGGCUGUAAUAAUAGGUCUCUUGCUGAGCUAAGGCCGUCUGGAGAAGUUCUCUGACCCUCCGGGUCUCCACCACUGUCGGGUCAUCACCGUCCAUGGGAAGAGCCACCAAACGCGCCGAAGCCGCGAUUAAGUUCUCCAUGGGGUUGGAAAAGUGACCCGGUGGUAUCGGCACAUAACGUGGUGGUGCCAUGCUCACAUGAGGAGGUGCCACCUCCCGAGGCUGAGUCGGCCCUCCUAUUCCGGCUGUCAUAAACUUGGGCCGGCUCCGGGUGUAGCAAAAAGAACCCAAGGGUCGUAAUUCGGAGGUAAACGGGACUGGGUUUUCUGAUGUCUCCUCCUCAUCACCUCAUUGGACUUGUUUAAGCUCAUCGUGAGCUGGUAAGCUUCUGACUGUAGCCGCUGCGCCCGGGCAUCUAGAGCCGCCAAGGCCUAGUGUCCUCAGCUGCCAAGGCCUCCUUGGCCUGAGCUAUUUCCUCACGCACCCGUGCCACCUCCGCAUCAUGCUCAUCUUUCGCGGGAAUAACCGUUGCGGUUAACAGGGUCGUAAGCUUGUCCAUGAGAUCUAUCAGCACCUGAGUCGGCGGGCGCACAGGGCCGCCUGCCCCGGCUGCUCCUUUCCCGGACGUUAUUGCUGCAACAGCUGUAGAGUUUGAGCCGGGCUGAGUCCCAGCCAUGAAGACUCCUGCCCAUCUUGGCGGCUCACACGGGUCCAAAAUACUGGUGCCAUCGGAACAGCCCUCGAGCACAUCGUCUUGCACUUCAUACAACGAAUAUGUUGAACCGACGGAUGAAUCACCGUUCGAGAGGACGACCGUCUCACCACCAUCUUCAGAUCCUUCAGAAAGUUCCUCUCCAUGGAUGCAGCCCACGAAAGCACGCUUCAUGAUGGGUUGAAUUCGGGUCUUCCUCGCACGCUGAGCCGUCCCGAUGAGGUCGGUGCAGCUGUCCGGCUCAGGGCCCGACUCACCAAUCUGGCCGAUGAAGACGUGGAUUCCGCCAAAGGGGACCCGGUACCCGUACUCAAUUGAGCCGGCGUCGGGGCCCCAGCCUUCGUCAUCGAUGUAGAUCUUGCCGCGAUGACUCUUGUUCAUCCGGCCCACUACGUAUCCCUUGAGCCCUUUGAAGUUGCCCUUCAAGAACUCAAAUCCACCAUGCGCUGGCCCCACGGUCGGCGCCAACUGUCAUGGAAUUGUCAUGUCAGUUGUCCUCGUGAAAGGACUUAGUUGUGGAGCCAUCGCAACUAGGAAGCUUGAAGGGGUUAGUCAGGACAAAGGACACGAGAGGUUUAUACUAGUUCGGCCCCUUACGGUGAAGGUAAGGCCUACGUCUAGUUGGGUUGGUAUUGAUGUUUCGAUGACCAGGGAGCGAGAUACGCUAUGCCCGGCUCUAGAUGAGUUGUUUCCCGUCCUAAGCCGCCAGCAGGUUGUCCCCUUAUAUACACGGGUUGACGCCCUAUGGCUUACAGAGUCCCGGCCGGCUUAUAAACAGUGUCCGGCUCGGUGACUAGUUAAAUCUACCUUAUGAUACAAGUCGUGCCAUUACGGCGGUUUGUUACAACGGGCCUUAAGUCGCCUGUGGGCCUUAAGCUCUUUAUUGAACCGCCAUCUUCAUGCUUGGUCAUGGGCUUCUUUCUGGUGAGUCUUCUUUGCGUAACCCGGCCCAUCCUGGGCAGCUUACACAAAUAGUUAUAUCCCCAACAAGGUGAGGUCAUAAUCAAUGUAAAGUUGAACUCAAAUAUUUGCAUAAGAGAUCAUGAUGUUUGAAACCCAUGCAUGCAUGAAUAUAACGGAGAUCUGCGCGGUGUGGUUUAGAAACAAGCAUGUUGUAAUGUAUGUGUGUGUGUUGUGCGUGUUAAACACAUUGUAGUGGGAUUAUAGUGGAAUGUCGUCUUGAAUGGUGUUUGUGGGUGUGUUGUGCGUGUUAAACACAUUGUACGUAGUAUAUCAUACAUGGUUUAGAUUCCGAACAUCUAGCUAGAGCAUACAUGUACCAUGAUUUGAAUUCAACACAAAAUGGAUACAUAUAUUUGAAUUUGAGAUCGUAUGUACAUGUAGUUCGUAUUUAUAUAGGAAUUUACUUCUCCUAUAUUCAUCUCAUGUGUUCUGAAGAUAAUAUUUAGAUGGUUGUAUAACUAACCCGAGUACAAUCCCAUUCAAACAGGGAAAAUGUACUCAAAUUUAGUACAUAUGCUAGACAACACACAUUGUUUUUUUAUUGUUGAGGGAAGUGCAAAUUGUUUUGGUACUCUACACGUUAUGUUUGUUGUACCGAUUUUUUAGUUUUUUGUUGUAUUUGAAUGCAUUUCAAGUAAAUAGUAAAACGGGACAUGGUUCUCUCUAGUGAUGAGGUGCGAAUUGUCUUUUUUGGUACAUGUUAGCUUGUUCUCCAGAAAUUUCAAGCCGCGCCUUGUUAUGCCAAAAUUUCAAGCUAGCAUCUCUAUCUAUCGUGUUGUGAAACUCCCGCCUCUUGAACCCUCACCUUGUUACCCUGAAAUAUUUAAGAUAUAUCUUUGUCUCGUUGUGCGUGUUAAACACAUUGUAUGUAGUAUAUCAUACACUCAAACACACUAAGAACGCGGGAAUAGUAAAAACACGGGAUUAUAAUGGAAUGUCGUCUUGAAUCCUACAGGAUUGUACGAGUGUUUGAUUGUGCAUAGAAAAAACGCAGAAUUCUUUCAAAGAGGUUUGAGUGGAUGGGAUGUUUCCUAUGAAAUCUAGUGCAAAUGAAUCAUAUGGAAAAAUUCCUAUGGUUUACAAUCCUACGAAUCAAACAACCAAGAUAGGAAAAAUUCCUAAUGAUUAGAAUCCUCCAAAAUUCCUUUGAGAAUCCUUUGAAUCAAAGAAGCCCUUAAUCUAUUUUAUGAUUCAUGGAAUUGUGCGUUGUAAAGCAUAAAGUGAAAACAAAUAAUGGCAAUUCAACUAGAAAAAAAGUUUGGGCAAUUAUGAUACGGAAAAUUCUAGAACAAAAGAGAACCACUGUUGUUUUGAGGUUUGUGCAUUAUGCUUAAGUUCAACCAUGGAGUCUGCUAGAUUGUACAUGUGGCAAAGUCCGGUGGGGGCUAGAAGAUGGUGCGAGGGGCCGAGUGGAGGGAGACUAUGAAGGAAUGCAGAAGUGCGAGAUCGAUAUUUAGAGAGAGGGGGCGAGAACGUGCGCUAUUGCACGCAGUGGCGGAGCCAUGAAAAAUAAAUGAGCUAGGGGGCCAAGCAUUGCUAAUCCUUUACGAGGAGGGUCAAUUCAUGAACUUAAACCAUUUUUAGCAGCAAUUGUCUAAAGAUCACAUUCAUAUUAGCCUCGAUAUAUAGUGAUGUUAGGGGGGGGGCAGGGCCCUUACUGCCCCUGUCUUCGCCAUUGUGCACGCGUCUGAGAGAUGAAGCGGAAGGCAUGGAUGAUGAGAGGGGGACGUUGGAUAUAUAAUAAAUGUGGGUGUAUUAGCUAUAUAUGUUAAUCCUAUAUAGAGAGGUAUAGAUUGAUCGAUGUGGACGCGGGAAAGAGGGUGAGACCUCAUUGGAUAUAUCGAUUGAUCGGUUUGUGUGGAAAACUAUGAAAGACCUAGCUAUAUACACACAUACAUAGAGGAACAUCGAUCGCUGCGCAUGCACGCGUGAGAGAUAAAGAAUGCCCGAUAUGAUGGAUAGGGGGAUGUGUGUGGGUGUGUGCCUUCAUGGGAGACCGACCUGAAGAAAAAUAUUGCAUGUGUGCGACGGAUAAUGCCGACUGGUAGUGUGUGUGCAUGCAUGCAUGAGAGAAAGUUACUGGUACAAUUAUAAAGAGAAGACGACUGUGUGGGUGUAAAAGACUAGGUGAGGUCAUAAUCAAUGUGAAGUUGAAUUCAAAUAUUUGAAUAAGAGAUCCUGAUGUUUGAAACCCAUGCAUGCAUGAAUAUAACGGAGAUCUACGCGGUGUGGUUUGGAAACGAGCAUGUUGUAAUGUAUACACAUUGAACAAGGUCAGACUGAUUUGAAUUUGAGAUACCGAUGGCAGACAUCGUUUGGCCACAUUGCAUCCGUGCAUGGACACACUAUUCUAAUUGGAGAUGAUGGGUGGCUUUCGCAUCACAUAUCUGUACCUAUACCCCUAUAUAGUGUGCGGGUAACUUUAACUUUGAAAGAUGGUCGUUGGAUGAGGUGAAUCCGAUGGUGCAGAGAUGGCAAAUUUGAGCACUACUGGCCAUUGGAUAUCAUCUAGAUUCCACCAGAUUUCGCCACAUGUACGAUCUAGAAGACUCCAUGGUUGAACUAAAGCAUAAUGCACAAACCUCAAAACACAAGCACUUCUUCUUUGUUCUAGAAUCUUCCGUAUCAGAAUUGCCCAAAUGUUUUUCUACAUGAUUUGCCAUUAUUUAUUUUUACUUUAUGUCUUACAACGCACAAUUCCAUGAAUCUUAAAAUAGAUUAGCUUUCUUAUAAAAACUAGAUGAUUUUGAAUGAAAUGAACUAUAAGAAUUAAAUGAACAUCUACAUCAUGCAUAUAUGACUCAAAGCUUACAUGUUAUAAUGUGGUAUUUAUUCAUAAUUUGAUUGCCAAAUCUCAUGCGUGCAAUGCAUGUGUACCUUACUAGUCUAAAUGGUGUUUGUGUGUGUGUUGUGUGUGUUAAACACAUUGUACGUAGUAUAUCAUACAUGGUUUAGAUUCCGAACAUCUAGAUAGAGCAUACAUGUACUAUGAUUUGAAUUCAACACAAAAUGGAUACAUAUAUUUGAAUUGAGAUCGUAUGUACAUGUAGUUCAUAUUUAUAUAGGAUUUUACUUCUCAUAUAUUCAUGUCAUGUGUUUUGAAGAUAAUAUUUAGAUGGUUGUAUAACUAACCCGAGUACAAUCCCAUUCAAACAGGGAAAAUGUACUCAAAUUUAGUACAUAUGCUAGACAACACACAUUGUUUUUUUAUUGUUGAGGGAAGUGCAAAUUGUUUUGGUACUGUACACGUUAUGUUUGUUGUACCGAUUUUUUAGUUUUUUGUUGUAUUUGAAUGCAUUUCUAGUAAAAAGUAAAACGGGACAUGGCUCUCUCUAGUGAUGAGGUGCGAAUUGUCUUUUUUGGUACAUGUAAGCUUGUUCUCCAGAAAUUUCAAGCCGCGCCUUGUUAUGCCGAAAUCAAGCUAACGUCUGUGUCUAUCGUGCUGCGAAACUCCCACCUCUUCAACCCGCGCCUUGUUACCCCGAAAUAUUUAAGAUAUAUCUUUGUCUCGUUGUGCUCCGACAACUCCCUCCAUCUCAACCCGCGCCUUGCUAUUCCAAAAUUACAACGCGCGUGAAAAAUCACACCUCCUGUGAAACCCCAACACGCGAAAUGCCCGUGGUACCCCUGAACUGAAAGAACUGCCUCAAAUCGGUGGGGGUACUUUCGUAACUUACCCCACAUUUCAAACAAGCGCGUCCCUAAGCCAUGGUUCCCCACUCCCAUCCCAUCCGCACACCCAUUCGUACACCAAGGUCGCGAAAACCCACGAAGCCCCCACACCCUCCUCCGUCUGCCACCUAGCUAGAGCCUCUUCCCCGACGACGUCUUCCACAGCAACACCUUGACGUCCCUCAUCCACCGUACCGAAUGAGGAUCCAUCAUCGAUCUCGUCGUCUCGUCGGUUCAGCCACCAUGUCCUCCACCUCCAAGGAGCUGCCCGAUGUUCCCCUCGUCUUUUGUGCCACCUCCAUUCCCACACCGCUGUCUUCACCUGCACCACCAGAAGAGCAGCAUCAUCACCGUUUCCUUGGAUGAAGUUGCGGCCUAAUCAGCGCCACCAAAGAGGUUGUACACUAAUUGCCACAUUUUCUUCUUGAUUCGAUCUCAUGGUGCUGCCGACGCUAGGUCCCGAGCCGACACGACGCGGCUCCAUCCACAGCGGCGUCGCCGGCCACUUCCACCAUGGUGUCACUCCCUCGACGGCGACGUCCACAUCAGUAGGAGCUGCUGCUACUUUAGCUCUCGCUCGUGCUGCUACUCUGCUCUUGCUCUCGGUCCCCUACCUGGUCUGCUCUUGCUAUUGCUCUUUCUUGCGUUGCUGCUCUCGCUCUUGCUUGUUCUUGCGAUGUUGCUCCGAUUUAGCUACACUUUAGUCAACUGAAUCGACUUUUGGGUCAGUCGAUUUUUAGGGGGUGGGGGGGCUUGCCGGAGCUAAGGAAGAACCAGCCGCAGUGGGGAGGGGGGCUCACUGGAGAGGUACCCCACUAUCUAUCUUAGGGUUCAGGGUGGGGGCGGUGGUCACCGUCGGUGGUUGGACGAUGGCGUGGGGAUCGCCGGAGAAAAAGCUCAGCACAAGGGGCCUAGAGGGAUGGCCAGGGCGGCGACUGAUAACCCACAAGUAUAGGGGAUUGCAACAGUUUUCGAGGGUACAGUAUUCAACCCAAAUUUAUUCAUUCGACACAAGGGGAGCCGAAGAAUAUUCUCAAGUAUUACCAGUUGAGUUGUCAAUUCAACCACACCCGAAUAACUUAGUAUCUGCAGCAAAGUAUUUAGUAGCAAAGUAGAAUGGAAGUAACGGUAACAGUGGCAAAAGUAACGGUAGCAGUUUUGUAGUAAUUGUAACAGUAGCAACGGUAAAGUACAUAAGCAAAACACAAUAUGUGAAAAGCUCGUAGGCAUUGGAUCAGUGAUGGAUAAUUAUGUCGGAUGCAAUUCCUCAUGUAAUAGUUAUAACAUAGGGUGACAUAGAACUAGCUCCAGUUCAUCAAUGUAAUGUAGGCAUGUAUUCCGAAUAUAUUCGUAUGUGCUUAUGGAAAAGAACUUGCAUGACAUCUUUUGUCCUACCCUCCCGUGGCAGCGGGGUCCUAGCGGACCAAAGCAUUAGCACAUAGUGAAUACAUGAACUCCUCAAACUAUGGUCAUCACCGAGAAGUAUCCCGAAUAUUUUCACUUCGGGGUUGUCGGACCAUAACACAUAAUAGGUGACUAUAGACUUGCAAGAUAGGAUCAAGAACUCACAUAUAUUCAUGAAAACAUAAUAGGUUCAGAUCUUAAAUCAUGGCACUCGGGCCCUAGUGACAAGCAUUAAGCAUAGCAAAGUCAUAGCAACAUCAAUCUCAGAACAUAGUGGAUACUACGGAUCAAACCCUAACAAAACUAACUUGAUUACAUGGUAAAUCUCAUCCAACCCAUCACCGUCCAGCAAGCCUACGAUGGAAUUACUCACGCACGGCGGUGAGCAUCAUGAAAUUGGUGAUGGAGGAUGGUUGAUGAUGACGACAGCAACGAAUCCCCCUCUCCGGAGCCCCGAACGGACUCCAGAUAAGCCCUCCCGAGAUAGAUUAGGGCUUGGCGGCGGCUCCGUAUCGUAAAACGCGAUGGAACUUUCUCUCUGAUUUUUUUUCUCCGUGAAAGCAAAUAUAUGGAGUUGGAGUUGAGGUCGGGGGACGUCCAGGGGGGCCACGAGGUAGGGGGGCGCGCCCAGGGGGAGGGGGUGCGCCCCCACCCUCGUAGACAGGGUGUGGCCCCCCUGAUGCUAUUUCUUUCGCCAAUAUUUUUUAUUAAUUCUGAAAAGUUGCUCCGUGGAUUUUCAGGUCAUCCUGAGAACUUUUAUUUCUGCACAAAAAUAACACCAUGGCAAUUCUGCUGAAAACAGCGUCAGUCCGGGUUAGUUCCAUUCAAAUCAUGCAAGUUAGAGUCCAAAACAAGGGCAAAAGUGUUUGGAAAAGUAGAUAUGACGGAGACGUAUCAACUCCCCCAACCUUGAACCUUUGCUUGUCCUCGAGCAAUUCAGUUGACAAACUGAAAGUGAUAAAGAAAAACUUUUACAAACUUUGUUUGCUCUUGUUGUUGUAAAUAAGUAAAGCCAACAUUCAAGUUUUCAGCAAAGAUUAUGAACUAACCAUAUUCACAAUAACACUUAGGUCUCAUGUUUACUCAUAUCAAUGGCAUAAUCAACUAGCGAGCAAUAAUAAUAAAACUCGGAUGACAACACUUUCUCAAAACAAUCAUAAUAUGAUAUAACAAGAUGCUAUCUCGCUAGCCCUUUCUGAGACCGCUAAACAUAAAUGCAAAGCACCUUUAAAGAUCAAGGACUGACUAAACAUUGUAAUUCAUGGUAAAAUAGAUCCAAUCAAGUCAUACCCAAUAUAAACUAAUAGUAAUGCAUGCAAAUGAUAGCGGUGCUCUCCAGCGGGUGCUUUUUAAUAAGAGGGUGAUGAUUCAACAUAAAAGUAAAUAGAUAGGCCCUUCACAGAGGGAAGCAGGGAUUUGUAGAGGUGCCAGAGCUCGAUUUUGAAAUAGAGAUGAAUAACAUUUUGAGUGGUAUACUUUCACUGUCAACAUAACAACUAUGAGCUCUCGAUAUCUUCCAUGCUACACACAGUAUAGGCGGUUCCCAAACAGAAUGAUAAAGUUUAUACUCCCCCACCACCAACAAGCAUCAAUCCAUGGCUUGCCCAAAACAACGGGUGCCUCCAACUAGCAACAAUCCUAGGGGAGUUUUGUUUAAUUAUUUUGAUUUGAUUUGAGCAUGGGACUGGGCAUCCCGGUUACCAGCCAUUUUCUCGUGAAUGAGGAGCCGAGUCCACUGCCCUUGAGAAUAACCCACCUAGCAUGGAAGAUACAGACAACCCUAGUUGAUACAUGAGCUGCUCAAGCAUACAAAAUAGAAUUUCAUUUGAAGGUUUGGAGUUUGGCACAUACAAAUUUACUUGGAACGGCAGGUAAAUACCGCAUAUAGGGAGGUAUGGUGGACUCAUAUGGAAUAACUUUUGGGUUUAUGGAGUUUAGAUGCACAAGAAAUAUUCCCUCUUAGUACAGGUGAAGGCUAGCAAAAGGAUGGGAAGCGACCAACUGAGAGAGCAACAACAGUCAUGAACAUGCAUUAAAAUUAAUCAACAUCGAGUGCAAGCAUGAGUAGGAUAUAAUCCACCAUGAACAUAAAUAUUGUGGAGGCUAUGUUGAUUUUGUUUCAACUACAUGCGUGAACAUGUGCCAAGUCAAGUCACUCGAAUCAUUCAAAGGAGGAUACCACCCUAUCAUACCACAUCACAACCAUUUUAAUAGCAUGUUGGCACGCAAGGUAAACCAUUAUAAGCUCCUAGCUAAUUAAGCAUGGCACAAGCAACUAUAAUCUCUAAUUGUCAUUGCAAACUUGUUUAUUCAUAAUAGGCUGAAUCAGGAACGAUGAACUAAUCAUAUUUACAAAAACAAGAGAGGUCGAGUUCAUACCAGCUUCUCUCUUCUCAAUCAGUCCAUCAUAUAUCGUCAUUAUUGCCUUUCACUUGCACGACCGAACAAUGUGGAUAAUAAUAAUAGUGCACGUGCAUUGGACUAAGCUGGAAUUUGCAAGCAUUCAAUUCAAGGCUGAAGACAAGGUAAUAUGGGCUCUUGGUUAAAUCAACAAUCAUGCAUAUUAGAGCCACUAAACAUUUUCAUUAUGGUCUUCUCCUCUCGACUCCCAAAGGAAAGAAAAGAAAUAAAACUAUUUACACAGGAAAGCUCCCAACAAGCAAAAGAAGAAAUAAAAUCUUUUUGGGUUUUCUUUUUAAUUACUACUACUAGCAUGGAAAUUAAACUAGCUAUUUUUUUGGUUUCUUAAGGUUUAUCAAACACACAAAAAGGAAGGUAGAAAAAGAAAUUAAACUAGCAUGGAUAGUACAAUGAAAAAGCAUGAGCACCGACAACUAGAAUGAGUGUGUGUGAACAUGGAUGUAAUGUCAGUGAGAGAUACAUACUCCCCCAAGCUUAGGCUUUUGGCAUAAGUUGGUAUAUGCCCAUGGAUCGCGGCUACUCUCCCCGGUGUACUAAGGAGUGUCAUCGUACUGCCACUGGCUGGCGAUCUGCUCCGGAUCCCACUGAUAAGAUGAUGGAUGAUAAGGGUCAAGUGGUGGUUCCGGCUCAGGCUCUGGAGCUGAUGUCUGGCCUCGGUGCACGUAAAUGACUGCCGGCAAGACGAGGUAACGGUCUGCAGUUAAAUCAAACAAAGAGGGCGCGGGUAAGAUAAUAAUCUCAUUGUGUUUCUUAUUAAAUCUCAGAUUAUAUAGAAGCAUCGUAUCAUCAUUGUUGACAAUAAAGUCAUGUGCUACCAUGCUCUUAUAGUCUAGAAAAGUAUGGGGCAGCAGUUUUUCUUCUUUCUCAAAAUGCCUAAUAGGUAUCGUGAAAUGUUUAGCAAGGCGUGCAACAUAGAUACCUCCAAAGAUGGGGCCCUUUGUACGGUUCAGGCUUAAUCGUUUAGCAAUAAUAGCACCCAUACUAAAAGAGUUCUCACGAAAUAAAGCAUGGAACAAAAUAAUAAUAUCAGGAACACUGAUGUUUCCAUAGUUUCCGUGACCGAUUAAGCAUCGACUAGCAAAUAUUGCAAAGUAACGUAAAACAGGAAAAUGUAUGCUGGUAAUUCUUGCAUCGAAACCUUCCUCGAUUCCCCUACAGUAAUAGUAUCAAUAAGACCAUCCACAUCGUUAUGAUGUGGUUCCUCUAAGAUGCCCUCGAAGGGCAUUCUGUAGACCGCGCAAAAAUCACGUAAUGACAUCUCCCUAGCCACAUCAUAUAAAGUGAAAGCUACUGAAGGAGGUGAAUUCUUAGGAUAAUAGUAGAAGUUUUGCACGAAAGUAUUGGUGGGUAAGAGAUACUGUUCGAUCCGGUCGUGGAGAAAGUCGAUGAGGCCCACAUUAUCAGCCAAAGAAUAAAAGUCUUCAUAAAUCCCGUCCGCUCUCAAGAAAUCAUCACAAGUCCAUUCACACGGCCGUCCUUCCGCCACGCGAGGAAGAUUAUACUUGGCCUUUUCUUUCUCCUUAGCUUGUUUACCCUGGGAGCCUUGGCUAGAAGAGCCCCUCAAGAACAAUCUCUUCAUCUUUUUCUGAAAAUUUCUGAAAUUUUUAGUAACUCAAAAUAAAAGGGAAUCAAACAUAAAACUGAUAGCAACUACUCCCAUAAGUUCCUAGAGCCUAUAUCAUGUAUUAAAAUUACUUGGGACCUCAUAAAUUUGACAUGCAAGCUCAAGAACAGGGUCACCUAGGCAGCAAAAAUUUGCAAUGAAUAAAGCACUAGAACAAAAACUAAUUGGACCAUUGGAGGAGUCACAUACCAAGGAAUAAUCUCCCAAAGCAGUUUUGUGAAUGGAUCUUUGAGCAAGGAGAUCGAAAAUCGCAGCAAAAUGAGCUAGAACUCGUGCUUGAGCUGGAUGGUGAUUUUUUUGGGAGGAAGAAGAAGUGUGUGGUUGCAGGAAUAAGUGGAGGGGGGCCACCAUGGGCCCACGAGGCAGGGGCGCACCUUGUAAGGGUGGGCGUGCCCUGGACCCUCAUGGCCAGGUGCCAGCUCCCCCUGCUGUGUUCUCAGUGCCAGAUAUUCUCAAAUAUUCUAGAAAAAAUCAUACUAAAUUUGCAGGGCAUUUGGAGAACUUUUAUUUUCGGGGUAUUUUUUAUUGCAUGGAUAAUUCAGAAAACAAACAGAUAAUACUAUUUUUACUUUAUUUAAUAUAAAUAACAUAAAGUAAAAGGAGGGUACAGAAGGUUGUGCCUUCUAAUUUCAUCCAUCUCAUGCUCGGGAAUAUCAAGAAUAACAAAGUCCGUUAAGAUAGUGACAUUUGCAACCACAACAGGCACAUCCUCACAAAUGCCGACAGGUAUAGCAGUUGAUUUAUCAGCCAUUUGCAAAGAUAUUUCAGUAGUUGUCAACUUAUUCAAUUCAAGUCUAAGAUAUAAAGAGAGAGGCAUAACACUAACACCGGCUCCAAGAUCAGAUAAAAUAGUUUUAACAUAGUUUCUUUUAAUGGAGCAUGGUAUAGUUGGUACUCCUGGAUCUUCAAGUUUCUUAUGUAUUCCACCCUUAAAAGUAUAAUUAGCAAGCAUGGUGGAAAUUUCAUCUUCCGGUGUCUUUCUUUUAUUUGUAAUAAUAUCUUUCAUAUACUUAGCAUAAGGAUUCAUUUUAAGCAUAUCAGUUAAGUGCAUACGUAAGAAGAUAGGUCUAAUCAUUUCAGCAAAGCGCUCAAAAACCUCAUCAUCCUUUUUCUUAGAUGGUUUAGGAGGAAAAGUCAUGGGUUUCUGAACCCAUGGUUCUCUUUCUUUACCGUGCUUCCUAGCAACAAAGUCUCUCUUAUCAUAACAUUGAUUCUUUGAUUGUGGGUUAUCAAGAUCAACAACAGGUUCAAUCUCUACAUCAUUAUUAUUGCUAGGUUGAGCAUCAACAUAAACAUUAUCAUUAACAUUAGGUUCAUGUUCAUCACCAGAUUGUGUUUCAGCAUCAGAAAUAGAAAUAUCAUUGGGAUUCUCAGGUGUGUCUACAAUAGGUUCACUAGAAGCAUGCAAAGUCUGAUCAUUUUUGUUUUUCUUCUUUUUAGAAGGACUAGGUGCAUCUACAUUAUUUCUCUGAGAAUCUUGCUCAAUUCUCUUAGGGUGGCCUUCAGGAUACAAAGGCCUGAGUCAUUUUAUCGGUUCUAGUAGCCAUUCUAACAGCAAAUUCAUGUUUAUUAUUUAAUUCAUCGAGCAAAUCACUUUGGGCUUUAAGUACCUGAUCUGCUUGAGUGGUAACCAGAAGCAUAUUCACUAAUGAGUUUAAGUUCACCUUUAACUCUAGCCAUAUAAUCAUUCAAGUGUCCAAUCAUGUAAGCAUUACUCUUUAAUUCUCUACCAACAUAAGCAUUAAAGUUUUCUUGUCUAGCCAUAAAGUCAUCAAAUUCAUCUAAACAUUGGCUAGGAAACUUAGUAGAAGGGAUUUCAACUUUAUCAUAUCUAUAGAGAGAAUUUACCUUUACUACCUAUGUCGGGCUAUCAAGACAAUGUGUUUCUUCAAUAGGUGGUAUAUUAAGACCAUGUAUUUCAACAUGAGGUAAAUUCUUAGCAUCUUCAGCUUUAAUACCUUUUUCUUUCAUAGAUUUCUUUGCCUCCUGCAUAUCUUCAGGACUGAGAAAUAGAACACCUCUCUUCUUCGGAGUCGGUUUAUGAAUAGGCUCAGGAGUUGGCUCAAUUGGCUCAGGAGGAGUCCAAUUAUUUUCAUUAGUCAACAUAUUAUUCAAUAGCAAUUCAGCUUGGUCGACUGUUCUUUCCCUGAAAACACAACCAGCACAACUAUCCAAGUGGUCCUUGGAAGCAUCGGUUAGUCCAUUAUAAAAGAUAUCAAGUAUUUCAUUUUUCUUAAGAGGAUGAUCAGGCAAAGCAUUAAGUAAUCGGAAAAGCCUCCCCCAAGCUUGUGGGAGACUCUCUUCUUCAAUUUGCACAAAAUUAUAUAUUUCUGUCAAGGCAGCUUGUUUCUUAUGAGCAGGGAAAUAUUUAGCAGAGAAGUAAUAAAUCAUAUCCUGGGGACUACGCACACAACCAGGAUCAAGAGAAUUAAACCAAGUUUUAGCAUCACGCUUUAAAGAGAACAGAAAGAUCUUAAAGAUAUAAUAGUAGCAGGAUUUCUCAUCAUUAGUGAAUAGGGUGGCUAUAUCAUUCAAUUUAGUAAUAUGUGCCACAACAGUUUCAGAUUCAUUGCCAUAAAAAGGAUUAGAUUCAACCAAAGUAAUUAUCUCAGGAUAGAUCCAGAAUUCAUAAUCCUUAUCAGUAACAAAGAUAGGUGAAGUAGCAAAAGUAGGGUCAUAUUUCAUUCUAGCAUUUAGAGAUUUCUGUUUCAGUUUAACUAAUAACUUCUUAAGAUCAGAUAUAUCAUUGCAAGCAAGAAUAUCUCUAGUAGUUUAUUCAUCCAUAACAUAACCCUCAGGAACAACAGGCAAUUCAUACUUAGGGGGAGAACCUUCAUCAUCACCAUCUUCAAUAAUUUCAUUUUCAAUAAUUUCAUUCUGUCUAACCCUAGCAAGUUGUUCAUCAAGAAAUUCACCUAAUGGCAAGGUAGUAUCAAUCACAGAAGUAGUUUCAUCAUAAGUAUCAUGCAUAGUAGAAGUGGCAUCAUGCGACAUAUUAGAAUUUAUAGCAGAAGCAGGUUUAGGUGUCGCAAGCUUACUCAAAACAGAAGGAGAAUCUAGUGCAGAGCUAGAUGGCAGUUCCUUACCCCCCCCCCCUCGUAGAUGAGGGAUAAAUCUUAGUUCUUUCGUCUUUCAAGUUCUUCAUAGUGAUCAGAUGAUAUAAUCCCCAAGUGACUCAAAGAAUAGAGCUAUGCUCCCCGGCAACGGUGCCAGAAAAUAGUCUUGAUAACCCACAAGUAUAGGGGAUCGCAAUAGUUUUCGAGGGUAGAGUAUUCAACCCAGAUUUAUUGAUUCGACACAAGGGGAGCCAAAGAAUAUUCUCAAGUAUUAGCAGUUGAGUUGUCAAUUCAACUACACUUGGAUAACUUAGUAUCUGCAUCAAAGUAUUUAGUAGCAAAGUAGUAUGGAAGUAACGGUAACAGUGGCAAAAGUAACGGUAGCAGUUUUGUAGUAAUUGUAACAGUAGCAAUGGUAAAGUAAAUAAGCAAAACACAAUAUGUGAAAAGCUCGUAGGCAUUGGAUCAGUGAUGAAUAAUUAUGUCAGAUGCGAUUCCUCAUGUAAUAGUUAUAACAUAGGGUGACACAGAACUAGCUCCAAUUCAUCAAUGUAAUGUAGGCAUGUAUUCCGAAUAUAGUCAUACGUGCUUAUGGAAAAGAACUUGCAUGACAUAUUUUGUCCUAUCCUCCCGUGGCAGCGGGGUCCAAAUGGAAACUAAGGGAUAUUAAGGCCUCCUUUUAAUAGAGUACUAGACCAAAGCAUUAACACAUAGUGAAUACAUGAACUCCUCAAACUACGGUCAUCACCGAGAAGUAUCCCGAUUAUUGUCGCUUCGGGGUUGUCGGAUCAUAACACAUAAUAGGUGACUAUAGACUUGCAAGAUAGGAUCAAGAACUCACAUAUAUUCAUGAAAACAUAAUAGGUUCAUAUCUGAAAUCAUGGCACUCGGGCCCUAGUGACAAGCAUUAAGCAUAGCAAAGUCAUAGCAACAUCAAUCUCAGAACAUAGUGGAUACUAGGGAUCAAACCCUAACAAAACUAACUUGAUUACAUGGUAAAUCUCAUCCAACCCAUCACCGUCCAGCAAGCCUACGAUGGAAUUACUCACGCACGGCGGUGAGCAUCAUGAAAUUGGUGAUGGAGGAUGGUUGAUGAUGAUGACGGCGACGAAUCCCCCUCUCCGGUGCCCCGAACGGACUCCAGAUCAGCCCUCCCGAGAGAGAUUAGGGCUUGGCGACAGCUCCAUAUCGUAAAACGCGAUGAAACUUUCUCUCUAAUUUUUUUCUCCGUGAAAGCAAAUAUAUGGAGUUGGAGUUGAGGUCGGUGGACGUCCAGGGGGCCCACGAGGCAGGGGGCGCGCCCCCCACCCUCGUGGACAGGGUGUGGGCCCCCUGACGCUAUAUCUUUCGCCAAUAUUUUUUAUUAAUUUUGAAAAGUUGCUCCGUGGAUUUUCAGGUCAUUCCGAGAACUUUUAUUUCUGCACAAAAAUAACACCAUGGCAUUUCUGCUGAAAACAGCGUAAGUCCGGGUUAGUUCCAUUCAAAUCAUGCAAGUUAGAAUCCAAAAGAAGGGCAAAAGUGUUUGGAAAAGUAUAUACGACGGAGACGUAUCAGCGGCGGACCGGUGGUGGGGAGUGUUUUCGGGGCGGGCGGGGCGGCGCACCACCGGCCGCGGGCAGCGGGGGGUGGCUGUUUGGCCGGUGGUGGCUGGAGGCUGAGAUGGGUGGAGGUUGAAGAUGAACUGCAGGCCCUUGAUUUCAUAUCCAACGGCUACAAAAUCGACUAACCAGAGAUGAAAAAGUCAGUCGACUGACGUGUAGCCUCACCUCUAAUGCGUUCAAUUUCAACAGUAAAAUUCAGUUUCGACAUCAAAAUUCAGUUUGCAUAGUUAAGUUCAGUUUCGACAGUUAAAUUCAGUUUCGACAGUUAAGUUCAGAGAUGAGCGGUUGAUGUAUUUUACAGCUAGAACUUUGUGGUUAUGUAUUUUACGUCAUCUAUUGGAAAUGCUAUUAGAAUUCCACUCAGGUUAACAUUGUUUCUCUUGUCCUCAGCUCGGUGUCGUACAACUCACCGGAACUGCUCCAACGACGAAAGCCUCCAUCAUAGCGGAGUAGUACCUCGGGCUCCAUCUCCAGACGCCUAAGAUCUUCUUCCCCUCCUCGCUCCAAAGCAUCUAUCCUGAUAUUUCUACUACAGAGUUCCCUGAAGAAUUGUCCCAACUCUGCAACUGCUCUGUAUAAGUCAGGACGGCCCAAUCCUCUAAGGAUAACAGGUAAAACCCUUUGAAGUAGGACGUGGCAGUCAUGAGUUUUCAACACUUGUACCUUGUUUCCAUCUGCACUGACUCUCCUUUCUGGGUUAGAAGAAAGUCCAUGUGGGAAUCUCACAUGUGAAAGGACCUCGCAGAAUUCUUUUGUUUUUACCUUGUCCAAGACGUACACAGCUGGUACCAUAUCAUGUGGUUUACCUUCAUCUUGCACUUGCAAAUCCUUUCUGAUACCCAGGUGUGUUAAAUCAAUCCUAGAUUUUAAGGUAUCUUUCAUCUUGCCUUCAAUAUUAAGAAGUGUGCUGAUAAUGUUGUCACAUAUAUUUUUCUCGAUGUGCAUCACAUCAAGAUUAUGCCCCAAAUCCAAAUCUUUCCAAUACCCCAAGUCCCACAAAGUGGACCUCCGGGUAAAUAAUAAUUUCUCUUCUGCCCUGCCAUGUUUCCUUUUCCCGCUGCCAUUAUCAGGAUGGUUUCCUAGUGUAAUAUGUCUGACCUUCUCUAAUUCCACUUGCAAGUCAUCGGCGGUGAGCCUCUUUGGUGCGUCACAGUUUUCAUGCUUUGCAUUGAACACAUAUCUUCAGUAUUUUGUAGGACGCGUCUUGUCCUUGGCAAGGAAACGGUAGUGUCCAAUGUAACAGAUCUUGCUAAGUAUUGCGUAUGACAGCGGAUUCCUGUCACAGUGAACACAUGCAUUGUAACCAUGUGUCAUUCGCCCUGACAUUGUGCCCAAAGCCGGAUAAUCAUGGAUGCACCAAAUUAUAACAGCUUGCAAAAAGAAAUCAGCUGGUGGGCUGCUAUAUAGGUCUUGAAUGAGAACACCCCUCUCAUAAAUCCCAUACCUCGUGGUAAAAGCUGUCUUAGGUAUAUCCUGCUCUCGGAUCUUCAACUAAUGAUAACCUGAUCGAAGAUCGAUCUUGGAGAAAACUUUAGCUCCCUGCAGCUGUCAAACAAAUCAUUGAUCAUUGGCAGAGGGUAUUUGUUCUUGAUCGUCACCUCAUUCAAUGCAUGAUAAUCAACAACCAUCCUCAAAGAUCCAUCCUUCUUCUCAACUAGAAGUACCGUGUCGGUGUACUAGAAUAGGGGUACCCUAGUAUCCCGAACUUGUGCACGGGCAGUUGCAGCGCCCCGCGGCAAGGCUUGUCGGGCGACCGCCAAGGUCCUCCACGGUUCCCUUGGAGCCAUUCAAGAACAAAGUAUUCAAGCCAAGGCAUUCCAAGGAACUUGCCGUGACGCGCCACGCGUCCCGGCAAGGCGACAAGGCCCCGGCAAGAGGAGCUUGCCGGGAAGACCAACCAAGGCAUCUCAAGGCCUGGUGAGCGACAAGCUCCUGGGCGCGACAAGGCAACGACCGCGGCAGGGUGCUUGCCGCGGCAAGUAAACCACCCUGCACCUACGCUCCAGCACAUCCACCUACGUGUCGCCCUGAGGCCUUCCCAGGCGCGCGUGGCGAGAGGCUGUGCACCCAGCGGCGUGCGGUGGCAUGCGACGCUGACAAGAUCGCCAUCGUGGCGAAUGGUGGUGUCCCUAACGGUCCUUUUCUGCACCGUUCGGGCGACACAGAUGGGCAUUUAAUGCCCCUGUCCCCUGCUGUCAGGGUUAGGUAGGAUACACUGUACGUAGCAGUUGUACCAACCACAACUCCUUUUACGUUUUUACCCUCAUCUGCGUUGCCACCUAUUGGUGACCCCUUUAGCGUAUAAAAGGAGGCCCAUGCGCAACGUAGGGGAGGUUCGGCUCAUUCGGAAGCUAGAGAAACACUUAGCUCUCUCUCUCGAGCAAAAACACAAUACAAUCAGACAAGCAGCAGUAGGGGUAUUAUCUCUCCGGAGAGCUCCGAAGCUGGGUAAACUGCUCAUGUGCUUCGCCUCGAUCCGCUCUUCGUGCGACCUCCGCCCCCCGCCGAACCGAAAGGGGCUCGGUCCGCCGGUCCCAUAGGUGUUCGUGGAUCAAUUUCCCCGACAUCUUUGGCGCGCCAGGUAGGGGGCGUCGAGAUUGUGUGAAUCUGAUCCGGCGUUCACACGAGCCAGAUCUUCAUCUCCUUCAUCGACAUGCCACCGAAGAAGAAGAUUUCGGCGGCAGCGGCUCCGUCCACGUCACUUCCACCACCACCGGAGCAAGAGGGCGGUGGAGUAGACGCCGGCGGAAGAAUGGACAUCGACGAGGAAGUUCACGGUGCUGCCAGGUCCAAGGACAAGGCCGCGCAGACUUCAGCGUCCGUACAUGCACCGCGCCCAUCUCAGGAGGCGCAGGACCGACAGCGUCAUGGUAUUCGCAGUACCAUACGCUUGUUGGACCAAGAUCAAGCUGGUGGAUCUCGUGGUGCUCAGGACCAGCAUGCACGCCUGCGUGCUGGCACGAGCGAGACACGGUCGCCUGGAUGGGAUACUGCUCCUUCUAACAUAGUUAGAAGUCCGAGCAUAUCCCGCUCCUCGCACCGUUCGCCACUGCCACCCACAACUCCAGCAGAAGCUUUGGCGCGAGCUCAACUGCUCCUGGAUUACCCUCCAACGGAAGACAAGAUCAACCAAUGGAGGGCCACUAUCCAGAGUCUCAUCGGCUUCGCCAAUGGCGACACUCCGCGGCAGCCGAGUACAUCGCUGCCGCGACAAGACCGCCAGGCACGGGCCGGUGGCGACGAAGCCGGUGGAGGUGCAACCACCAUGCACUCUCCAUCCCAAAGGCCAAGAUCGCCGACUCGCCGGAUCCACCUCGACAGCGACUCCACUGCAUCGUCGGAUCCACGAGUUUGUCGCGAUCAACGCCAAGUUCUUCACGAACGACAGCAAGAAGACGCUCGUACUCGCAUCGAGCGCCGAAGAGAAGCGCGACGUCAAUCCGACAAGCGCGCUGGGCCCUCUGUCGACAUGCAUGCGCCAGGGGAACCAGGCGACUUGCCGUACGCGGCAGGUUGCCCUGCGUUCACUCGUGAGCUGCGGCAAGUCCAGUGGCCCAGCACGAAGAAUUUCAGACCAAAUGUGCCAGAGAAGUACGACGGCAAGACGCAUCCGUCAGAGUUCCUCAGCAUCUACACCAUCACGGUGCAAGCUGCUGGGGGACGGGACGACAAGAUCCUUGCAAACUACUUCCCGCUGGUGCUCAAGCCCAAUGUCAGAUCCUGGCUCAUGCACUUGCCGGACAACUCCAUAUCCUCCUGGGCUGACUUGUGCCAUCAGUUUGUCGGCGCCUUUACAGGCGGCCACAAGCCUCAUGGCCAAGAAAGCGACCUUCAUCUGCUCGCCCAGAAGGAAGGAGAGCCCCUGCGCAAGUACAUUCAAAGAUUCAGCCGCGUACAGCACAACAUCCCAGAUGUCCACCCUGCCGCGGUAAUCAGCGCGUUCCAUCAGAAUGUGCGAAACCGCAGGAUGCGGGAGGAGAUGGCGAUGUGCAAGAUCAGAGACGUCAGUGAGCUAUAUGCCCUGGCCAACAAGUGUGCGCGUGCUGAGGAAGGGAGGAAACUCCCCGGAGAGAAUACAGGAGCAGGAGGAUCUGACAGUGAGGAUGCUGCCCCGGCAAAGAAAAACCGGCGGCGGAACAAUAGGAAAAAGAAAGGCAAAGAUGUCCUAGUCGUUGAGCAAUCCGGCAAGCAAGCCAAAGCUGGAAGCUCCGGCAAGAAUGUUGCCGCAGGCACCAACCACCAGGCUGUGGCGGUCGCUGACAAGCAGGACAGCAUCAACAGGUAGUACUGCAAGAUCCACCGCACUAAGGGCCAUGACCUCUAGAGCUGCAAGAAGGUCGAGCAGCUUGUCGAGCAGCAGAAGGCUGAAUACGAGCGGCGCGACAAGGAGAAGGGCCAGGAAGGUGCUGGAGGAUCCGGCAAGAAACGCCCCGGCCGAGGAGGACGCCGCGGCAAGGCCAAGCAGCGGCAAGGAGACAGACCUCCCCGCGGCCGCGACAAGGAUGAAGAUGACGAUGAUGAUGAAGAUAUGGAUGAUGACGAGACCGACGAGCAGGAGUUCCAGAAAGCCACAGAGGUUCUAUGCGUUGACGGUGGUGCUUCUCUGCAUACUUCACACCGCCAGCUCAAGCAGUGGGUGCGGGAAGUCAAUGCAGCAGAGCCACCCGUCGAGUCGCGCAAGCCUCUGAAAUGGUCCAGCACGCCUAUCAUCUUUGAUAUUGAGGACCACCCUGAUCGCAUAACUGCGGUCGGGUGCUUGCCAAUGUUGGUUUCACCAACUAUCCGCAACCUCAAGGUCACUAAGAUGCUAGUUGACGGCGGGGCCGGCUUGAAUCUGAUCUCCUCUGCGGUACUCCAGAAACUUCAGAUCCUGGAUAGUGAGCUCGAAGAGACCGACACAUUCCAAGCAAUCAAUCCGGGAAGGAGCAAGCCGAAGGGAAAGAUCACGUUGCCGGUAACAUUUGGCAGCGAGUUGAACUUCAGGACUGAGAGGGUCACUUUUGACGUUGCUGACUUUCCAUUGCCUUACAAUGGGAUACUCGGCCGUCCAGCACUCGCCAAGUUCAUGGCAGCCUCUCACUAUGCAUACAACAUACUGAAGAUGCCAGGCCCGAUAAGUGUCGUCUCUGUCCCUGGCGACAAGAAGGAUGCCCUUAUCUACGCCGACAAGAUUUACCGGGAAGCAGCAGCCGCAACAGAUCGCAGAUCACUUGCCGUUGAAGCUCCCGGGGGAAAGAAGAAGACUAAGUCCGGCAAGAGUUCUGAUACCCACUCCGGCAAGCGCACCUCUUCGGAGUGCUGCGCUACCGUCGAGGACGCACCAUCGAGCUCCACCGGCAAGUGUAAGAAGACAAUGGUGGCUCCCCCAGAGACCAAGAAGGUGUCCGCCAAGGAGGACGGCACUGGUGGUACCUUCACCAUCAGUGCCACUCUCGACCCUAAAUAGGAAAGCGCGCUCGUUGCUUUCCUGCGGGCGAACGUCGACGUGUUUGCAUGGCAACCGUCUGACAUCCUCGGUGUUCCCAGGAAAGUAAUUGAGCACCACCUUGCUGUCUGUCCUCAUGCGUGGCCCGUCAAGCAGAAAGUCAGGAAGCAAGCAGUGGAGCGCCAAGAAUUCAUCGCAGAAGAAAUCAAGAAACUGGAAGCAGCAGGCCUUGUCAGAGGAGUGCUCCAUCCUACGUGGUUGGCCAAUCCUGUAGUCGUGCGCAAGGCAAACGGGAAAUGUAGGCUUUGUAUUGACUUUACCGAUGUUAAUAAAGCUUGUCCCAAAGACCCAUUUCCCUUGCCACGCAUUGACCAGAUUGUUGACUCCACGGCCGGAUGUGACUUGCUUUCAUUUCUUGAUGCAUACUCAGGAUACCAUCAGAUCUUCAUGGCAGAAGAGGAUGAGGAGAAGACCGCAUUCAUCACCCCAUGUGGCACAUACUGUUUCGUAUGGAUGCCUUUUGGUUUGAAGAAUGCUGGUUCAACAUUUGCAAGAGUAGUCCAUGAUGCUUUUGAGCCGCAAAUGCACAGAAAUGUAGAAGCUUACAUGGAUGACAUAGUGGUCAAGAGCAAGGACAAGGCAACUCUGAUCCAAGAUCUAGACGAAACCUUCGUGAAUCUGUGCAAGAUCAACCUCAAGCUUAACCCCGAGAAGUGUGUGUUCGGAGUCCCUUCCGGCAAGCUUCUCGGGUUCUUUGUGUCUCAGCGGGGAAUUGAAGCCAAUCCCGACAAGAUCAAGGCCAUUGAGCAGAUUGAAGCACCGAAGCGCGUCAAGGAUGUAUGAAGACUUGCCGGUUGCGUGGCUGCUCUCAGCAGGUUUAUUUCUAGGUCUGCUGAGCGCGCCCUGCCAUUUUUCAAAAUAUUGAAAAAGGCAGGUCCAAUGAAAUGGACUCCGGAAGCGGAGGCUGCGCUGCAGGACUUGAAGAGAUACCUGUCCUCCACUCCAAUACUUGUCGCACCUAAGCCACAAGAGAAGUUGCUGCUGUAUAUAGCGGCGACCAACCAAGUGGUUAGUGCUGCGUUAGUAGCAGAGAGGGAGGCAGACGAUGAGUCAGCAACCACGGCAAGUACUUCCAGCGACAAGAAAGGGACUUCACCGGCAAGCUCUGGUCCCGACAAGGGUGGAUCUGCGCAGGAGCAUGAGAAGAUGCAGAAGAGAAUGGUGCAGCGACCAGUUUACUUUGUCAGUUCCCUUCUGCGGGGGGCUAGGUCAAGGUACUCUGGCGUGCAGAAAUUGCUUUUCGGCCUUCUCAUGGCCUCGAGAAAGCUGUGUCAUUACUUCCAAGCACAUGAGAUCACAGUUGUCACUCGCUUUCCGCUGAAGAGGAUACUGCAAAAUCCAGAAGCAACAGGCAGGAUUGUCGAGUGGGCACUGGAACUUUCAAGCUUUGGCCUCAAGUUUGAGAGCACUUCAACUAUCCAAAGCAGAGCAUUGGCAGAGUUCAUAGCAGAGUGGACGCCAACACAAGAUGAAGAAAUUCCAGAGACGAGCAUCCAAGUCAAGGAAGCAAGCAAAGAGUGGCUGAUGUACUUUGAUGGUGCCUUCUCGCUGCAAGGCGCCGGUGCUGGCGUGCUACUUGUCGCACCCACCGGAGAGCACCUCAAGUACGUUGUCCAGAUGCACUUUCCCAAGGAGCAAGCAACGAACAAUACUGCAGAGUAUGAAGGAUUGCUUGCCGGUCUCAGGAUCGCAGCAGACCUUGGGAUCAAGAAGCUCGUUGUCAGGGGUGACUCACAACUUGUCGUCCGCCAAGUGAACAAGAAUUACCAGAGUCCAUUGAUGGAAGCUUAUGUCGACGAAGUGAGAAAGCUAGAAGAGCACUUUGACGGCCUGCAGAUGGAACAUGUUCCGAGAGCUCAGAACGACAUUGCCGAUGGCCUGUCGAAGUGCGCCGCACUAAAGUUACCUGUGGAACCAGGGAUCUUUGUGCUCAAGCUGACUCAACCAUCCGUAACACCAUCAACUGGACAGAACAAGAAGAGGAAGUUUAUUUCUGGUGACUACUUUCCAGCAGAGCUCCCCAAAGCCACCACCAAGAAGAUCCCCAAGAUAAACACCAAGGGUGCUGAGGAGCAGUCUGCUCUGACAAGCCCUAGGGUUUGUUCCGUUGAAGCAGACGCUCCCAACAAGUUUUGCUCCGGCAAGCUUGCAGGGGAACAUCAAGCUCCGGCUGAGCCGCAGGUUCUCACCGUAGAAGCGAAUGUUCCCGCAGCAGCAGAUGUGCCUUUAGUCCUGGUUGUCGAGCCGCAAGCUCCAACAUGGGCACAGCAGAUUGUCCGUUUCCUUCAGAUAGGAGAACUUCCCGAAGAGCAAGAAGAAGCGGAAAGAGUAGCCCGGCAGUCAAGUAUGUACCAGUUUGUUGACAACACACUGUACAGAAGAAGACUCAACGGUGUGAAAUUGAAGUGUAUUCACCGGGAAGACGGACAAAAGCUGUUGGCAGAUAUACAUGGAGGCAUAUGUGGUCACCACAUUGGCUCGAGAGCACUUGCCGGCAAAGCGUUCCGGCAAGGUUUCUUUUGGCCGACAGCCCUCCAGGAUGCAACUGCACAAGUAACCAAGUGUGAAGCGUGCCAGUUCCAUUCCAAGCAGAUACACCAGCCAGCUCAAGCUCUCCAGACGAUCCGUUUAUCCUGGCCAUUUUCGGUCUGGGGGCUCGACAUCCUCGGCUCCUUUCCCCGAGCUGUCGGGGGCUUUGAGUACUUGUACGUAGCAAUCGACAAGUUCACAAAGUGGCCGGAAGUGGAACCAGUGAGGAAGGUGACAGCACAGUCAGCAGUCAAGUUCUUCAGGUCGAUUGUUUGCCGUUUCGGAAUCCCUAACAGGAUCAUCACCGACAACGGCACGCAAUUCACGAGCCACACCUUCAUGCAGUACGUCCAAGAUCUUGGCGCCAAGGUCUGUUUCGCUUUUGUUGCUCAUCCGAGAAGCAACGGUCAAGCGGAGAGGGAAAAUGCUGAAGUGCUGCGAGGGCUCAAGACCAGGACUUUCGACAGGCUGCACAGGUGCGGAAAGAACUGGAUUGAGGAGCUGCCGGUGGUUCUUUGGUCGAUCAGGACGACGCCAAAUCGAGCCACUGGCCAGACACCUUUCGCUCUAGUUUAUGGAGCAGAGGCAGUUCUCCCCACGAAACUCGUAUACGGGUCACCUCGAGUGCUCGCCUAUGAUGAGCUUGAGCAAGAGCAGCUGCGACAAGAUGACGCGCUGCUCCUUGAGGAAGAUCGUCUUCAGGCUGCUGUACGAGCUGCUCGAUACCAGCAAGCUUUGUACCGCUACCAUAGCUGCAAAGUUAAUGCCAGCAGUUUCGAGGAAGGCGACCUUGUUCUUCGGCGCGUUCAGUCCGCCAAGAAUUCCAACAAGUUGACGCCGAAGUGGGAAGGCCCUUAUCGGGUGAAACGAGUCACUAGGCCCGGCGCUGUCCGCCUUGAGACAGAAGAUGGCAUCCCGGUGAGCAACUCCUGGAACAUUGAGCAUCUUCGUAAGUUUUACCCAUAGGGCGCGGUUGCCGGAACCCGUUCCGGCAACCACCUUUUGUACAAGUCUUGCCGAUGUUGCAUGUAAUCCUUUGUACAAAGCCGGGCGCAGACCCCGUGCAUAAGUAAAGCUCAUGUGCUCCGCACAUCCUGUCGGUUUCAUGCUUUCUACUAUUUUUUGCAUGCAUUACCUGACGCUCUGUGCAACACCUAUCCCCGGUAAGCAAUAACGAGCCAUAAGGCUCCAUAUCUUUAUUUUCUAUUCUUUCUUUUUCUCAAAAAGGAAGAUUCCCUCGCACACAAGUUUGCCGGGGGGAAAGGAGAAGAUAAUGGCAUGGACCAAGCGUCGCUCGAGGAAGUCUUGCCUCGCCGGGAAGCAAACGACAGAAAAGCUAAGUUGCCAAAGUUUGAGCAAUCAGUUUUUAAAUUUUGAAGUUAUUCUCCUCGAAUGACCGUACUUUGUAUGGAAAACCUGUGCGCGGAGGAACCAACUCGUAUCUAGUUGCGCCCUUACUUUGUUUCGAGUCCGCUCAACAAUUUAAGUGAGCUGCGACUAGUUGCGACAAGGUUUCUUGUCGGUAGCGGCACCGCCAGCAGGCUUCUGAUGUUCCGCACUCAGCACUCGCGGCUAAGGUGCCUGCGCCGGCGAGUUCCCUAAAAGCGUAGGGCAAAAACAUACAAAGGAACGAAUCAAGUAAAGGAAAUAACAUAGCAAAUCUCUACCCAAAAUAGAGUUAUAUUACAAGAUAGCUUGUCGCAGCUCUAAUAGAUGUUCUCGUGACAUGACCAGCAGCGACAAAGAGAAAAAGAAAAGAAGGGCGGCCUAAACUACACGAUCUCCCUCAACCCUCUUGAUUACGCUCACCUUGUCCACAAUGGGUGCGACAAGGGCCUUGAGCGCUUCCACGUCAGCAUCCGGCGGCAAGGACUUGAGGACGUUAGUGAAGUUGAGGCCUGGGUUGCAGAAGGCCACCUUCAUCAGCACCUUCUGGAGAGCUCCUGCACAGAUUUUGCGCGACUCGUCGGCCAGCUGCUUUGGGAUCUUCUCCCGGAGUCGCUGGAGUGCCGUCGCCACGCCCUUGAAGAACAAGCUGAGCUUGGCGCUGGGUUGGAGGUGCUCGUCGGAGGAGUACCCGAGAUCCUCCACCCCCAGCUGCGCCAACUCCCCGUCGAUGGCGGCGGCAGUAUUCACCAGGCCCUCAGUCCAGUGCUCCACAGUCUCCCUGAAGGCGUCGUGGGCGGCAGCAGCAUUCGCCAGCAGCGCCUCGUCGGCCUUGAUCUUCUUUGACAAGGCCACCUCCCGCUCCCUGGCGCCGUCCAGCGUCUGAGUCAAGGUGGCCAGCUUCAACUCGAGAUCCGCAUUGGAAUCCUUGGCGGCGCUGAGCUCCUUGCUCCUCUCUGCGAGAAGGCCUUGCAGUUCACCGUGAGCGGCAGCAUCCUUCUCGCGCUCACGCUUGAGCGCGGCGAGCUCCUCGCCGCUCGCCCGGAGAUCAGCCUCCAGCUGCGCUACCUUCGCCUCCAGCUCCUUCUUGGCGGCCUCAGCAGCUGUGGCGGCAUCCCUUGCCUCCUUGAGAGCCCCGCCAAUCGCUUGCUCGCGCGCGGCAAGCUCCUCCUCGUGGCUGUCAAGAUUGACCUUGCACUGCGCCAACUCUCCUUCCUGCGCAAAUAAGUUUUCGGCGACAAGCCAUUGCUUCUCUUCAGCUUCAGCCUUCUCGAGGAGGAAGGCUUUCCGCUCCUCGAGAAGUUGCUCCCGCCCCUCCGCCAGGGACCGGAGAGCCUCCUGCCUAAGACCCCGGAGCUCCUCUGCGCGCUUCUCAAUAUCCACCCCCGCCUUCGCGACAAGCGCCUCUCGGGACGCCAGUUUAGCUUGGCGGGCGCGGUAAAGGGACAGCAGCUUCCGCAGCAGCCGCUCCUCCUCAGGCUCGUCGCUGCUGCCGCUUGGCGCAUCGACAAGCGCCAGCCCAACGGAGGCGAGCACCUCUUCGUCAAAGGUUUCUCCUUCGACCGGUGCCCUGGAGCUCGACGCCCAGGGGAGCUUGAUGAAGACGCCGUCGCCGGCCUUCAAGUAGGCGCCGGGCUGGGGCUCUUCGGAGCCUGGCGCUGCAGCGUCGGCGGAGGGAUCGGCGGUCGGCAUAGCACCUAGCGCUCCUGCGGCCUCGGGGCCGUCAGUGCGAUCGCCGGAUCCCUCGCCAGCUUCUGCGGUGGCAGCCUUGGCGGCCUCUUCGCCGGCGGGUUCAUCAGCGCCGGCCUCUUCUUUGGUGGCAGUGGCAUCGUCGUUGUUGCCGUGCGCGUCCUCCUCGCCGGUGGCCUCGGUCUCCAUUGGAUCCGCGGCAGGUGGAUCUGACAACCGAAGAAGGGAGAAAGGUGAAUCAAAUGUUCAAAAAGAAAACCAGAAGAAGAAGAAUCCAAGGGGAGUUUUCAGGCAAAAGGGUUACCUAUGCUAGGAUCCGCAGUCGCGGUCUCCACCUUCGAAGGAUCACUGGCGCUGUCCCUUGCCGGAGAACUGCCCCUUGCCGGAGAAUUCUCCCUUGCCGGAGAACGCUCCCUUGUCGGGGAAUCCUCCCUUGGCGGUGUAGUCGAAGCAGAUGGCGCUUCGGGAGCAGCCUCCGGGCCCUCCUGGUGAGGCUGCUCUGCUCCUACACAAACCAACAGACAGAUAUCAACAAAAGAAGGACACCCAUGUGCACUUGACAGCAUGAAGUAAAUUAUACACUUACGCUGGGGGCUGCGCUGGGGGCUGCUUUGGUGAGUAGUUGCCGGGUCCGGCAAGGUGGUCUCAGGCGUGUCCCCCGUUGCCGCGGUGGGAUCAUCCUCGAUGACAAUCACCGGGGCCUUGGCUCUCUUCACCGCUCUCUGGGCCAGCGUCCUAAAAAGGAAUGGAUUCAGAUCGAAGCAAGUCAGAUACAAGACGAAAGCAACAAGAUAGCAAGAAUUGAAGAACUACGAGGACGGCAGGGGGAUCUUACUCUUCUUCUUCAUCGUCGGAGCUGAGCGCGGAGAGAUCGAAGUCUGGCUCGCCUCCGGUGCGGCGAGGCGGAGGAGUAGGCUCCCUCGCCCGCUUGGCGGGAGCAGUGGUGGUGGACCGGGAAGACCCCGCUCCAGUUGCCGCAGCGGGGUGAGGCGCUCCCGCGGCAACGGUGCUUGCCGCGGUAGAGCGUGUCGCGCGGCUCGGCGGCUGUUGACCCGUCUGCCGCCCCGCUACGUCUGCGGCCUUGCGGAGACGCCUUCUUGGCGGGGCCGGGGGCUCCGCCUGCGGCAAGCUAUCUGAAGGUUCGGGCUCUUCCUUGCCGGGCUCGCUCGGCUCAGCUUUAGGGCCGGCAAGAUCUUCCUCGCCGGCAAACUCGUCGCGCUCGGCAAGGCUUGCCUCCUCUGCUGCCUCUGCCUCCUCCACGGUGAACCCGAACUCGCCCGCGGCAACUGCUGCCGCCACCUCUUCCAGCCUGGUGGCAAUGCGCUACAUCUCGUUAUCAGUGGUGUCGCGGGUGAGGCUCUUCUGCUCAUCAGUGCGGACUGGCACUUCUGCCAAGUCAUCAAAGAACGCCCACACGAUGUCAUCCGCAGGUUCUUGCCAAGUCGGAGCGAUUCCGUGCGAAUCGCACAACGGUAUCAUUGCGCGGAUCCGGUCGAGCGAAGAGUUGUUGCACAACGGAACAACGGUCCUCGACAACGUGAAUGGAUGCUGAGGAUCGCGCUUGAACAGCUCCAGGAGCAUCGCAUCCAGCUCCAGGACGGUGAAGUUAAAGUUGAGGCCCGGGCGCAGCCUCAUGAUAUCCGCCGAGUUCUUGAACUCCCAGGCGGGUCUCCCCCUCUCCUGCAGGGGAGCGAUGCGGCGGCGAAGGAAAUCUGCGCCUACAGCGCCUACAGUGAGCCCGGCAAGCCUGAGGCGAAGGAUGCGGGUGACGGCAAUCUUCAGCCUGUCAUCUUCCGGGGCCACGUUGCUCCAAUCAUUGCCGCGUACUAUUGGGGCUUGGCGCACGGCAGUGAAUGGCUGCAGGUUCUCGUCGACGAUCCAGCACCACUCUGCUCUCCACUCCUCCCAUUUGCUGCGGAGCUCACCCUCUAGAUAUGCUUCCUUCUUGCCGACUCUCGAGAUCCAAGCGAUCCCGCCGGCAAGAGGCUCUCCUCUCUUAACCCGAGGCAUGAAGAAGUGGCGAAAAAGGGCUACGUUUGGGUGGACUCCAACAAAGUUUUCGCACAGAUGUGCGAAAACUGCCAUGGUCAGAACGGCGUUGGGGGUGAAGUCAAGGAGGCGGAACCCGUAGGUGUUCAUGAUGUCGCAAAAGAAUUCAGAGAAAGGCGGGCAGAGCCCGCAGUAGAAGAACAACGCGAAAAAGGGGUACCCGUUCGGAGCCAGUCUCGAAGCGGUGGCCGGGAGUACCCUCGUGCGCGGAUGCGCUCGUGUCUCCGCCGACCAGAAGAGGUAGAAGUACUCCCUCAGCUCCUUCGCGCCGAGCUGAGGGGAGAAGAGGGCCCGCUCCUUCCGCAGCGCCGCGAGCCACUGCGCCUCGACCGAUUUCGCGACCUUCCCCUUGUCGGCUUUCGGAGCCAUGGCGGAGGUGGUGGGGGAGAUCGGCGGCGUUGGUGGCGCCGGUGGCAAUGGGGGGGUGGAGCGCUUCUCUCUUUAGGCUUUGAGAAGAAGGGGGGAGCGGCGGAGAUUUUGGAGAAUGGAGUAGCAACCGGCGAAGUGGGGAAACUGCCCCUGUUUCCCCUGCUUAUAAAGAGGGAGGGGGCGGACGUUUCGCCCUUCCGAAUAAAGAAACCACCCACGAUCUCUCCCACGAUGCCGCAUUCAACGUGUGCCGUUGGGAGAGGGCGCGGUGGAUACGGAGUAAGAUUCGGCGUUACCCGGGCCGCGCGUGCCCGUGCCCUGUUUUGGGCCUGGCCCAACAGCGCUCGGCAUCGUGUGUGGCCCAGGCCUGGGGGCUCCUGUCGAUGUACUAGAAUACGGGUACCCUAGUAUCUCGAACUUGUGCACGGGCAGUUGCAGCGCCCCGCGGCAAGGCUUGCCGGGCGACCGCCAAGGUCCUCCACGGUUCCCUUGGAGCCAUUCAAGAACAAAUUAUUCAAGCCAAGGCAUUCCAAGGAACUUGCCACGACGCGCCACGCGUCCCGGCAAGGCGACAAGGCCCCGACAAGAGGAGCUUGCCGGGAAGACCAACCAAGGCAUCUCAAGUCCUGGUGAGCGACAAGCUCCUGGGCGCGACAAGGCAACGACCGCGGCAGGGCGCUUGCCGCGGCAAGUAAACCACCCUGCACCUACGCUCCAGCACAUCCACCUAGGUGUCGCCCUGAGGCCUUCCCAGGCGCACGUGGCGAGAGGCUGUGCACCCAGCGGUGUGCGGUGGCAUGCGACGCUGACAAGAUCUCCAUCAUGGCGAACGGUGGUGUCCCUAACGGUCCGUUUCUGCACUGUUCGGGCGACACAGAUGGGCAUUUAAUGCCCCUGUCCCCUGCCGUCAGGGUUAGGUAGGAUACACUGUACGUAGCAGUUGUACCAACCGCAACUCUUUUUACGUUUUUACCCUCGUCUGCGUUGCCACCUAUCGGUGACCCCUUUAGCGUAUAAAAGGAGGCCCAUGCGCAACGUAGGGGAGGUUCGGCUCAUUCGGAAGCCAGAGAAACACUUAGCUCUCUCUCUCGAGCAAAAACACAAUACAAUUAGACAAGCAGCAGUAGGGGUAUUAUCUCUCCAGAGAGCUCCGAAGCUGGGUAAACUGCUCGUGUGCUUCGCCUCGAUUCGCUCUUCGUGCGACCUCCGCCCUCCGCCCUCCGCCGGUCCCAUAGGUGUUCGUGGAUCAGUUUCCCCGACAUACCGUGGCUCCCCAAGGUGAUGAGCUUGGUGUCGGUGGGAAACGACACCUAUGGGAUCACUGGAAUCCCUACUACGGUUGCGGGGCGCUAGAUCAUGAGAAGAGCAGGACUAGCAGACAGCACAAAGGGGAUUUACCCAGGUUCGGGCCGCAAAGAUGCGUAAAACCCUACGAUCCUGCUUUGGUGGAUGUAUUUAGUGUUCUUGAGCACUUGAACUAGCUCUGGGUGCUGCCAGGUUCGAAAGAGCCGAAUCCUUCUCUAGUGCACCAUGGGCCUCCUUUUAUAGGCGAAAGGGGCUGCCACAGUGGCACACAGGAGGUGGAAAGUGCUACAACGCUAUGAGCUUAUUGCUGGUAUUACAGGACAAAAGUGCAUUUAAUGCGAGGCUUAGGUGUCCCUUUGCUUUAUCGAGGACGGGAGCGAGGCCCAUCCCAUCCGUCGCCGCUCCUCCUUGCUUUGACUCGUGUCCUGGCCACCGAUGCAUGCGGUGCCAUGUAGGCAGGCAGGCAGCUGAGAUGGCGCGGUGGUGGAGCCUCCACGAAGGGCUGCAUGUUGCCACGCAGGUGCCUGCCCAACUGGUUGGGUCGGCAGCUGCAUGCGAACGGCGGCGGAUACUUGGUUGGCGCGGGCCUGGCAGUGGCCCUGCUGGCGUGCUUGGCGAGGGCCUUGCCGGGUGGCCCGGCAAGGGUCUUGCCACGGCACGCUGUCAUUCCCGGCAAGGACCUUGCCGGGGGUCUCGUGGGAUUCCUUGGCAAGAACCCUGCCGAGGAUUAGUUGCCUUCCUAUCCUCAUUUGAUCUUGGCUAUUCUUUGUCUUCACAAAGAUCUGUAUGCCACCACGGAGGUGCCUCCCGAGCCCUGUCCCAACGCGUUUGUCUAGCGUUGGUGGGCUCAAAGGUGGCUCGCUCAGCUAGUGUGGGCGAGCUGCCCCGGCAAGGGUCCUUGCCGGGGAAACCUGCUUCGUCCAUCUGAUCUUUGUGGCCUUGAUCCUUGUCAUUGCUUUGUUUGUCUUGUGCCUUUGGCUUCUCUCCGGCUUCCCUUUCCUACCCUGUUAUGCGUGGCCGUGGCGGGAGGCUCUGAAUGACCAUGCACAAGUAAAGGGGUCAAAAGCAGAGCCCCUACUUUUGUACACCGAUAGGAGCCCCGGGGCCUGGGCCAUACAUAAGUGCAGCACGUUGUUGGGCCUGGCCCAGAAUGGUGCGCGGGCAGUUGGGGCAGAUUUUUACGGCGGUAACUGUUCCAUCCGUUGCGCUUCCCCACGACCCAUGUUGAACGCGCGAUGUUGGGGUCGUGUGCGUGCAUGACGGAAGCAUGCUGGCAUCAUCUCGUGGUGGACAGUAAAGAGGCGGCUUGCGUGCCUCUUUGAGACCGCAGGGCCGCUGCUCAUUUACUGCCCUCGCUUGGGAACCGUCGCUCCACGCAUCCCACUGCGCCUAUCCCUCGCGCCACGUUCAUUGCAUGCACGACGCAGGGCGAAUGACAGGCGCGCGGGAUGUGAGAAGUUGUGCGCAUGUGUGGGUUGAUUCCCACGCGCCUUCAAUGGAGCGGGGAGGGCGGUCGAUGGCCCCGCUUGCUGUCACUUCAACCGGCCGGAUUGGCCGAGAGGGGGCGGCCGAGCCUCGCCCCGCCCCUUUAUAAAGAGGGGAGCAGGAGGAACGGUGCCUCACAACCCUUCGCCAUCUGUCUCUCCCCAUUCCUGCUUCCUCCUUUCUUCUGCCAUGGCGAGGGGGCGUCAUGACACUUCAUCGGUGGCGGGCGAGGGUUUCGGCCAGACAGGGCAUCGCUCCUCCCCAAGAGCUCAUAGCAGCGGAGCCGACCGCUCGAGCAAGGGGGAGGGGGCGAGGUCGAGGCCGUCGUGGUGCUCGAGGGAGAGGAGGACGGGGCGACAGAUCAGCCUCGCCUCCGCCAGCAGCCCCUCCUCUGAUGGAGGGCCACGCCGGGGAAAACCCUUGCGAAUUCUUCAUCAGGUUGUGCCAGCCACCGCGUCGUCGCCUUUGCCUCCCGACUCCAUUUGUGCGGGAGAUGGAGCUAGAUCCACCGCAGGCUUUGCGGCUGCAUAUGAGGGGUUGUGGGAACUAUGGCACAUGGGCCAACGUCGAGUUCCCCACCCCUCAUGUCAUGUAUCUCCACCGAGGGUGGAAGACCUUCGCUCGCCUCCACAGUUUGACGGAGGGGCUCACUCUCCAUUUCAAACUAAUGGAGAGUGGCCUCCUCUCCGUUAAGAUCUUCGGGCACUUCGGGACUCGCGUAAGGUGCUGCGUGGAGAGCUCUUCUGAUGAUGAAGAUUCCUCCUCGAGCGAGAAUGGCGACGAAGACAAUGGCAACAAUGACGAGGCUAGCGGGCGGCAAGAUCACGGGUCCGACUAGGCAUCGGGUGCCGCUCCGAGCGGCACCGGCAACCCCAUCAUCCGUGUUGCCGGCUCCUUGAACUUCUCGGGGUCGUCUCCUUGGGCGGCUGGCACUGGGAGGCUACGGAAGAGGAAGAGGGCGGGCGGCAAGGCCAUCAAGUCAGAGUACGCGGGCACCGACGCCUUCGUCGUGUAUUGACGUCCUGCCGCCUCGGCUCUUCCUCCGGCUCCGCCAUCACCAUCUAGCCCUCGGACGGCCACCGGGAUGUUCUCUUGGUGUCUUCUGCCACUCGUAGCUCGCCUAGGCGCGCCUUUUGCCCUUCUGCUUUCUUGUUCCAUUUCCUGAGGAGAGGUACAAGAAAGGGAUUACGGGCACCUUAUCUUUUUUUAGUCUUGUAAGCCUUCGAGCCUUUGUUAACUUUAUAGCUUGUAAUCCCCUUGCUCAUGUUUUUCAUUUCGUAUGAACUGUACCUGUACGGGAUGUUUUUAAUGGAAAAAGGGAUGUUUGUCAGGCUUUUCGUUCGUGGGUGAAACCCACGGCAAGGAUCGAAUCCUUGCUACCAUCUAAAGUAAACGUUUUUCGCCUGGCAACAGGCCUCGCCGUUCCCCCAUCUCACUCGACCUUUCUCAUGCUCUUGGCGGAGGCAAGGAUGAGAUGAGUUUGGGCUCCACGUUUUAUCCCCUUGCUACCGCGACUACGACCAACUUCGGACCCAGGAGAUAAUCCUUGGGUUCGAAAAGAGGGAAGCAUGGUAGCUUGGAUAUAAAAUGCGGUUCCACAUACCCCAGUUCAUAACGGAAUGCAUGAUUGAGGAUAAAAGACUUAUCUGGACUUGCAGCCCCCGACAACUUUGGCUUACCGUGGACGGAUCCUUAUAUUUGCAGCCCCCAGCAACCUUGGCUUGUUGGGGUCAGGGCACCAGUCCGUUCCUCUCUUCCAAACAGCUCAGCAGAAAAACUUAUGUGUCCUGCGAACCAAAAAAGAAAAGGGAAGAAAUAGAGAGAUGCAUACUCAACCUCUAAGCUAGGGGUUAGCCGCUGCCAAGCACUAUCAACCCUAACCGAGGAGGAGACUCGACCUAGCAUGCAUGCUAUAACUUAGGGCGCCAGCGCUUCGUUUAUUUAUGCUCAGGAUCUGCGCCUGGCUUUGUACAAAGGGUUAUAUGCCUUGCCGGCAAGGCUUGCACAAAAGGGUGGCUUGCUGAGAGGCCUGGCAGCCGCGCCUUAUGGGUAAAACUUGCGGAGAUGCUCGAUGUUCUAGGAGUUGCUCACUAGAACAGCAUCUUCAGUCUCCAGCCAGACUGCGCCAGGCCUGGUGACUCGUGUUACCCGAUAAGGGCCUUCCCACUUCGGCGUCAACUUGUUGGAAUUCUUGGCCGACUGAACGUGCCGAAGAACAAGGUCGCCUUCCUCAAAGCUCCGGGCAUGAACCUUGCGGCUAUGGUAGCGGUGCAAGGCUUGCUGGUAGCAUGCUGCUCUCAUAGCCGCCUGGAGAUGAUCUUCCUCAAGGAGCAUCGCGUCAUCUUGCCGCAAUCGCUCUUGCUCAAGCUCAUCAUAAGUGAGCACUCAAGGUGACUCGUAUAUGAGUUCUGUGGGGAGAACUGCUUCUGCCCCGUAAACCAGGGCAAAGGGUGUCUGGCCGCUGGCUCGAUUUGGUGUCGUUCUGAUUAACCAAAGAACUGCCGGCAGCUCAUCAAUCCAGUGCCUUCCACUCUUGCGCAGCCUGUCAAAAGUCUUCAUUCUUAAGCCUCGCAGGACUUCAGCAUUUGCUCUCUCUGCUUGGUCGUUGCUCCGUGGAUGUGCCACGGAAGCAAAACAGACCCUGCUGCCGAGAUCCUCAAUGUAUUGCAUGAACGCAUGGCUUGUGAACUGUGUGCUAUGGUGGGUGAUGAUCCUGUUGGGCACCCCAAAACGGCACACUAGUCCCUUGAAGAACUUGAUGGCUGACUGCGCUGUCACCUACCUCACUGCUUCCACCUCUGGCCACUUUGUGAACUUGUCGGUUGUAAAGUACAAGUAGUCAAAGCCCCCGACAACACGGGGGAAAGGGCCCAAUAUGUCGAGCCCCCAGACCGAGAAGGGCCAGGAGAGAGGGAUAGUUUGAAGGGCUUGAGCUGGUUGAUGGAGCUUCUUCGAAUGGAACUGGCACGCUUCACACUUGGCUACUAGUGCCGUCACAUCCUGGAGGGCGGUGGGCCAGAAGAAACCUUGCCGGAAAUCCUUGCCGGCAAGGGCCCUCGACCCUAUGUGGGAGCCACAUAUGCCUCCAUGUAUCUCUGCCAACAGCUUUAGUACUUCCUCCCGGGAGAUGCAGUACAAUUUCAGCCCAUUCGGUCUUUUUCUGUACAAUACGUUAUCAACGAAUUGGUAUAGAGCAGACCGGCGGGCUACUCUUUCUGCCUCUUCCUGCCCCUCAGGAAGCUCUCCUUUUUGAAGGAAUCGGACAAUGUGUUGUGCCCAUGUCAGAGCCUGUGGCUCAAUGACAAGGACCAAAGGCAUCUCUUCUGCCACGGGAGCGGCCCCUUACACGGCCAUGACCUGAGUUCCUGCCGGAGUCGGUUGUCCCGUGGCAGGAUCGGCAUCCACAACAACAUCUUCGUCGGCGGCUUCGGGGAGCUCGGUGGGGAAGUGCUUGCCGGAGCCUAGCUUCCUCCACUUGUUCUGCCCGGUCGACGGCUCAACGGAUGGUUGAGUUAACUGAAGCACAAAAGUACCUAGUUCCACAGGUAGCUGGAGGGCAGCGCGCUUUGACAGGUAGUCGGCGAUGUCGUUCUCUAUCCGAGGGACAUGCUCCGCAUGUAUACCGUCAAAGCGCUCCUCCAGUUUCCUCACCUCAUCUACUUAAGCUUCCAUCAACGGGCUUUGAUGAUCUUUGUUGACCUACCUGACGACGAGUUGCGAGUCGCCCCUGACGAUGAGCUUUUUAACUCCGAGGUCCGCCGUGAUCCUGAGACCGGCAAGCAAACCCUCGUACUCGGCGGUGUUGUUGGUUGACAUCUCCCAUGGAAAUUGCAUUUGGAUGACGUACUUGAGGUGCUCUCCGGUGGGUGCGACAAGCAGCACACCGUCAUCGGCGCCUUGCAGCGAAAAGGCCCCAUCAAAGUACAUGAUCCAGUUGCCGCUUGUUUCCUCACCGGGGAGAGUAGUCUCCUGUACCUCUUCGUCAGGCGUCGAGGUCCAUUCUGCAACAAACUCCGACAAGACUCUGCUCUGGAUCGUCGAGGUACUUUCAAACUUUAGACCAAAACUUGACAGCUCUAGGGCCCAUUCCACGAUCCUUCCUAUUGCAUCAGGGUUAUGCAGUAUCAUUUGCAAAGGAAGGCGGGUAACCACGGUGAUCUCGUGCGCUUGGAAGAAAUGGUGCAGCUUCCUCGAAGCCAUCAGGAGGCCGAAGAGCAGCUUUUGCACACCUGAGUACCUCGACCAAGCCCCCUGCAAGAGGGAGCUGACGAAGUAAACUGGGUGUUGUACCAUUUUCUUCUUCUGCACCUCUUCACCCGGUCGCGUGGGCCCUGUCGCGCUGGCGUCAGCCUUUGCCGGGGACUCAAUCUUGCCGGGAUCAAGCCCUGCCAGAGAGGGUUCCGGCUUGCCGUCUGUUGGCUCUGCCACUGCCGCUGCCUUCUCGUCGACCUCUCUCUGCGCCACUAGUGCGGCGCUAGCCACCUGAUUUGUUACCGCUAGAUAAAGCAGCAACGGUUCUUGUGGCUUGGGCGCAACCAGCACUGGGGUAGAGGAAAGGUAUUUCUUCAAAUCCUGCAGUGCUGCCUCGGCCUCUGGGGUCCACUCCACUGGCCUUGCCUUCUUCAAGAUCAUGAAAAAAGGAAGGGCAUGCUCCGCGGACUUGAAGAUGAACUGGCUCAUGGCGGCAACGCAACCAGUGAGCCGAUGCACGUCCUUGAUCCGUUUGGGUGCCUCAAUCUGCUCGAUGGCCUUGAUCUUAUCUGGGUUUGCUUCAAUCCCGCGCUGGGACACAAAGAACCCGAGAACCUUGCCGGACGGGACGCUGAAGACACACUUCUCAGGGUUCAAUUUGAGGUUGAUCUUGCGCAGGUUCCCGAAUGUUUCCUCUAGAUAUUGCACAAGGGUUGCUUUGUCCUUGGUUUUGAUCACUAUGUCAUCCAUAUACGCUUCCAUAUUUCUAUGUAGCUGGGGCUCAAAACCAAUUUGUACUGCUCUUGCAAAGGUUGAGCCAGCACUCUUCAACCCGAAAGGCAUCCGUAAAAAGCAAUACGUACCACAUGGGGUGAUGAGUGCUGUCUUUUCCUCGUCUUCUUUUGUCAUGAAGAUCUGGAGGUAUCCCGAGUAGGCGUCAAGGAAUGAUAAUAGGUCACACCCAGCCGUGGAGUCAACAAUCUGGUUGAUGCGCGGUAAUGAGAAGGGAUCCUUUGGACAGGCCUUAUUGAUGUCUGUGUAGUCAAUACACAGCCUCCACUUCCCAUUUGCCUUGCGCACUACUACCGGAUUGGCCAACCACAUUGGAUGGAGUACUCCUCUCACCAAACCUGCCGCCUCUAGCUUUCUGAUUUCCUCUGUGAUGAACUCCUGCCUCUCCAGAGCUUGCUUCCUGACCUUCUGCUUCACGGGCCGCGCAUGAGGACAGACAGCAAGGUGGUGCUCAAUCACCUUCCUGGGAACGCCGGGGAUGUCGGAGUCUUGACAUGCAAGCACAUCGACAUUUGGCCGCAUGAAGGUGACAAGCUCGCUUUCCUAUUUGCCGUCGAGGGUGGAGAUUAUGGUAAAAGCUCCCCCCGUGUCGUCCUCCUUGAUGGGCACCUUCUUGGUCUCUGGUGGUGUGGCUCUGGACUUCUUGCUCUUGCCGGCGGAGCUCUCUGGCACGCAACACCCUGGCGAGGUGCAUUUGCCUGAGUGGGUGCAAGGGGUCUCCUCAUUCUUCUCCCCUCCCCCCCCCCCCGGGCUCCGUCGGCAGGAGCAGGUGCCUUGGUGGUAGCUGCUGCAACUGCUUCUCGGUAGAGUUGAUCGGCGCAGAUCAACGCAUCUUUCUCGUCGGAGGGGACGGUGAUGAUGUUCAUCGGCCCGGGCAUCUUCAGCAUGUUGUAGGCGUAGUGUGAAGCCGCCAUGAACUUGGCUAGCCGGGCGGCCGAGGAUCCUAUUGUAAUGCAAGGGGAUCUCGGCUACAUCAAAAACAAUAAUUUCCGUCCUGUGGUUUUGCUCGCCUCCGAAUGUCACGGGCAGCGUGACCUUUCCCUUUGGCUGGCUCCUCCCCGGGUUAACCCCUUGGAACGUGCCUGUCUCCUCGAGGUCCCCAUCGGGGAUCUGCAGCCUUUUGACCACAACAGGCGAAAUCAAGUUCAGGCUGGCCCCGCCAUCAACCAACAUCUUUGUCACCUUGAGGUUGCGGAUUGUUGGUGAAACCAACAAUGGCAAGCACCCGACUGCAGUAGUGCGGUCAGGGUGGUCCUCGGUGUCGAAGAUGAUGGGCGUGCUGGACCAUUUCAGCGGCUUCCGUGUGUCAAACGAUGGCUCCGCUGCGCGCCCACUGCUUGAGUUGGCGGUGGGACGUAUGCAGCGAGGUGCCACCAUCGAUGCACAUGGCCUUUGUGGCUUUUUGAAACUCGUGGUCGCCGGACUCGUCGUCCUCGUCAUGAUCAUCAUCUUCCUGCUUCUUGUCGCAGCCCCGGGCGGGCCUCUCCUGCUGAUUAUCCUUGCUGCGGCGGCCUCCUUGGCCGCCACAUUUCUUGUCGGAUCCCUCGGCACCAUCUGGGCCUUUCUCCUUGUCUCGCCGCUCAUACUCAGCUUUCUGCUUCUCGGCGAGCAGCUCUACCUGCCAGCAGUUUUGGAGGUCAUGGCCCUUGGUGCGAUGGAUCUUGCAGUACUGCUUGUCGGAGCCUCCUGGCUUGUCGGCGGCCGCCAAGGCCCAGCAAGCGACACACCCGGCAACCUCCGUGCCGGGGUCGCUCGCCUUGGUCUUCUUGGUGGCACCAGUGUCGUCGGAACCCUCAACGGCAAGCACGGCUUUGCCCUUACGCUUCCUGUUACGGCGCCGGCCCUUCUUCGCUAGGGUGGCAGUGUCGCCAGUGGACUCGGUUUCCGCGUCGGCAUCUUCGCCGGGGUACUUCCUUCCCUCUUCAGCGCGAGCGCAUCGAUCGGCCAGGACAUAAAGCUCGGCCACAUCCUUGACCUUGUUCAUCGCCAGCUCUUCAUGCAUCUUGCGGUUGUGCACAUUCUGAUGGAACGCACUGAUCACGGCGGCGGGAUGAACAUCGGGGAUGUUGUACUGCACCCGGCUGAACCUUUGGAUGUACUUGCGCAGGUUUUCUCCUUCCUUCUGGGGGAUGAUGUGUAAAUCACUCGCCUCGCCAUGAGCUUGGUGACCUCCGGCAAAGGCGCCAACAAACUCAUGGCACAGAUCCGCCCAAGAAGAGAUGGAAUCCACCGGCAAGUGCAUCAACCAUGACAUAACAUUAGGCUUGAGUGCCAAUGGGAAGUAGUUGGCAAGCAUCUUAUCAUCGCGGGCCCUAGCAGCUUGCAUCGUGAUGGUGUAGAUGCUGAGGAACUCUAACGGGUGAGUCUUGCCGUUGUACUUCUCGCCAACGUCGGGCUUGAAUGUACGGUGGGAGGGCCACUGGAACUGCCGCAGCUCACGGGUGAAAGCCGGACAACCCACCUCAUAAGGUAGGCCACCGUAGCCUCCCGGCGCCGGCUGGUCCGUAGCGGGCCCUGCCCGCCUGUCCGACUGGUGGCGCAUGUCACGUCGGUGCUCGAUCGUAGUUUGAGCGUCCUCAUGAGCCCGCUCCCGGAGGACUUGACGCUGAUCGCGGUUUGUUCGCGGGUCGGACGAUGCGAUGGAGAUAUCAUCACGAGCGUCGUCGCGACGGACCGAUGCCCGGGGUGGCGAGGAUGGAGGUGGGGAAUACACCAUGGCCGCAUCGCCUCUGGCACAGCCUCCGCUGGGAUGCGGCGGCCCGGAGGAGAGAUGGCCUACGGGUCCUACCGGCCGCAACUCAUCGUUGUUGGCGAUGCCGACAAGGCUCUGGAUGGUGGCCCUCCAUUCGUUGAGCUUCUCCGCGGUGGGAGGAAAAUUGAGGAGCAGCUGCGCGCGUGCUAGGGCCUCUGCUGGCGUGGGUGGCGGGGAAAGCUGGGUGGACCGCGAUGCGCCUCGACUUCUAACCACGUUACAAGGAGCUGCAUCACGGCCCCGCAGCCGUUCACCGCCUUCAUCAGCACCUCAGCGCACAUGCUGGCCCUCCUCAUCAUGUGAUGGGCACACCGAACUCUUCCCAGGGCGGCGUGCAGGGUCACCGGUAGGGUGACACUUCUCAUCACGCACAACCUGGGAAGAGCGCGCCGUGGGCGCCGGUGUUGGCGUCUUGGAGGUCGCUGCGCCGCCGUCUGGCAUGAUGGCGGCACCCCUGGAGGGUGCCGCGCCGCCUGCGGGGGGCCUAACUCCACCUCUAGAGCCCGCGACUGGUGGCUCGUCGCCUGACGCCCGAACGAAGCCACUCGCCAGGCCUUGACCAUCAGGGUGAUGUGGAUGUUCGCGGGCCGCGCCACGGGUUCUCUCCGCGAGUGGCCCGCUACCGGUCUGCACCGGUACCAACCCGGUCCCGCACGAACUGAUCGAUGUGGUCGUCUUCUUUCUAGGAGCCAUGGCGAUGAAGAACAGCUAUGUCCACUGCUACACCAGAUUCUCACAAUCUGGGUGACCCCCUACCUGGCGCGCCAAAGAUGUCGGUGGGAAACGACACCUAUGGGAUCACUGGAAUCCCUACUAUGGUUGCAGGGCGCUGGAUCAUGAGAAGAGUGGGACUAUCACACAACACAAAGGGGAUUUACCCAGGUUCGGGAUGCAAAGAUGCGUAAAACCCUACGAUCCUGCUUUGGUGGAUGUAUUUAGUGUUCUUGAGCACUUGAACUAGCUCUGGGUGCUGCCAGGUUCGAAAGAGCCGAAUCCUUCUCCAGUGUGCCAUGGGCCUCCUUUUAUAGGCGAAAGGGGCUGCCACAGUGGCAUACAGGAGGUGGAAAGUGCUACAGCGUUGUGAGCUUAUCGCUAGUAUUACAGGACAAAAGUGCAUUUAAUGCGAGGCUUAGGUGUCCCUUCACUUUAUCGGGCACGGGAGCAAGGCACGUCCCGUCCGUUGUCGCUCCUCCUUGCUUCGACACGCGCCCUGGUCAGCGAUGCAUGCGGUGCCAUGUAGGCAGACAGGCAGCUGAGGUGGCGCGGUGGUGGACCCUCCACGAAGGGCUGCAUGUUGCCAUGUAGGUGCCUGCCCAGCUAGUUGUUUCGGCAGCUGCAUGUGAACGGCGGUUGAUACUUGGCUGGCGCGGGCCUGGCAGUGGCCCUGCUGGCACGCUUGGCGAGGGCCUUGCCGGGUGGCCCGGCAAGGGUCUUGCCGCAGCACGCUGUCAUCCCCGGCAAGGACCUUGCCGGGGGUCUCGUGGGCUUCCUCAGCAAGAACCCUGCCGAGGAUCUGUUGCCUUCCUAUCCUCAUUUGAUCUUGGCUAUUCUUUGUCUUCACAAAGAUCUGUAUGCCACCACGGAGGUGCCUCCCGAGCCCUGUCCCAACGCAUUUGUCUAGCAUUGGUGGGCUCAAAGGUGGCUCGCUCAGCUAGUGUGGGCGAGCUGCCCCGGCAAGGGUCUUGCCGGGGCCGCUGAGGCUUCCCCGGCAAGGGUCCUUGCCCGGGAAACCUACUUUGUCCAUCUGAUCUUUGUGGCCUUGGUCCUUGUCAUUGCUUUGUUUGUCUUGUGCCUUUGGCUUCUCUCCGGCUUCCCUUUCCUGCCCUAUUAUGCGUGGCCGUGGUAGGAGGCUCUGACUGCCCGUGCACAAGUGAAGGGGUCAAAAGCAGAGCCCCUACUUUUGUACACCGACACUUGGUCGAAUAUAACCUUUCUCCAAUAACUCCUUAAUCUGCUUCUUAAUUUCCCCUAGAUCAUUUGCAGGCAUCCGAUAUGGUCUCUUGGAUAUUGGUCUGGUGCCUGACAAUAACUCAAUCAGAAACUCUAUGUCUCGGUCUGGUGGCAUGCCUGGUAACUCCUCUGGAAAUACAUCGGGAUAAUCCUUCACAACUGGUACUUCCUCCUUAACAACUCCCAAAAGGGAAUUCGCCCGAGUCCUCCUUGGGGCAUGCCUAGACACAUACUUGAUCUGUUUUCCCUCUGGGGUGGUGAGAAGAAUCGAUUUACUGGCACAAUUGAUGUUUCCUUCAUACUUGGGUAGCCAAUCCAUGCCUAGGAUCACAUCUAAUCCUUGUGAUUUCAGGAUAAUGAGAUCUGUGGGGAAAAUGUGUCUACCUAUGGUCAAUGGCAACUGAUAACAUCCACAACUAGCCAUAUACUCUGCUCCUGGGGAACUCACUAACAUAGGUGACUUAAGGGCUACGGUUGGCAACUUAAACUUGUCCACAAAUCCCCUUGAUAUGAAUGAAUGCGAUGCACCAGUGAAAAAAAGAACAAGGGUAGUAAAUGCAUUUAUCAAAAACUUACCGACAACUGCGUCAGGCUACUCCUCAAUUUCCUCCACACUGACAUGAUUCACCUGACCUCUGGUGAAAGGGUUGGGCUUCUUUUCAGAGCUUCCAUUGCCAUUUCCAUUCUUUGCCUCAGGACAUUCAGUGGCGUAGUGUCCGGUCUUCCCGCACUUGAAAUAGGUAAUGUGACUCAGAUCUUUCUUGGCGGGUGUCGCGGGGUUGGAACGGCUCUGACUGUUGAUUCCUCCAUUCCCAUUACCAUUCUUAGGGCCACUAUGGUUGUGUGAACUUCCUCCAUUGUGCGAAUGUCCUCCAUGGUUAUGUCCUCCAUGGUUAUGAUGGGUGUGUCCUCCCGAGUAUGAGGAAUAGCGAGGCUUCUGCUGAGCUCCAGAAUUAUACUUCCCCUGUCCAUACUUCCUCUUGCGGUUAUCUAUCUGCUACUGCUUGCCUUCAAUCAUGAGGGCCUUGUCCACCAGAUCCUGGUAGUUGUUGAAGGUUUCCACCAUCAACUGCAUACUCAGCUCAUCAUUGAGUCCCUCAAGAAAUUUCUCCUACUUCGCAGCAUUUGUGGCCACAUCAUCUGGGGCAUAGCGUGCUAACUUACUGAACUCAUCCACAUACUGCCCCGUUGUACGACUCCCCUGACAUAAGUCACGGAACUCAUGCUUCUUCAAACUUAUGGCUCCAGCUGAGACAUGUGCGGUGCGGAAGGCCUGCUGAAACUGACCCCAUGUAACUGUAGCAAUGAGGUAAGUGGUGGUGUAAUUCUCCCACCAAGAGGCUGCGGGUCCAUCAAGCUGAUGUGCGACAAAGUGCACUCUCUCCACAUCCAUGCAUCCAGCAGUGGUUAGCUCCCUCCCGAUCUUGCGGAGCCAGUCAUCAGCAAAAAUCGGCUCGGUGCUGCUAGAGAACACCGGCGGAUUCAACCUUAGGAAACGGGCUAGGUUAUCAACUAGGGGUGGUGGCGGUGGGUUGUUGUUGUUGUUGUUGUUCUUGUUGUUGCCUUGGUUCUGGAUCAUCAUCUGCAUCAAGGCAUUCUCUUGUUGGAUCAACUGGGUGAGCUCCGGCGGGAAAGUGAAUCUGGGUUCACGUCUCGGAGGCAUCUGAUGGGUUAGAGGGGUGAGAAAACAGAAUAGAAUAAGGUCUAUUGAGAGAUUUCAUUACCCAUAUGCAUAUGGGGCAAAAUACAUUCAAUUCACACCACUCAACAUCAAACAAGAUUCACACAAACAAUCUAAACUACUAUUACAAAACGAUCGAUUCUAACUACUUGGAAGAAUACUAAUAGUAAUAGGGUGGUUGUCUAAAAGUUUUGAUCGGUGGAAGACUCCAUGGGCUCAUAAUUGUGAUCUCUAGCAUCAUCUUCACUGUCUUCAUCCUCAUCAUUGUCUUCAUCUCCAUCACUGUUUGUGUCUGUGUCAACUAGUUUGAUGUAGUCAUCUUCAUGAAUAUGCACUUCACGUUCUUGUUUCACCUUGGGUAUUCCUAGCCUCCUCUUCUGGUCUUCAUUCUUCUCCAGUAGCACAACAAUUUCAUCUUCAUAUCCAUCGCGAGUUUACUUGAGUUCCUCUUCUAGCUCGAUAUUCCUGGUCAUCACCUUCUUGGUCUUGUUCAUGAUAGCGCACAUUUGGUUCUCGUAUCGAUGAAUGUGUUUAUCCAUUUUUGGAAUGUAUGCUGCAAUUGAUCCAUCCUUCCCGGUGCAAAUCAUCUCCCAUUGCUCAUCCCGGUGUCCACAUAUCUGGUAGAUGGUGUCUUCAAGAUCCUUGCGGUACUCCUCACAAAUGCGCCCAAAGGUGAUGUGGGCUACCAUGCUCUUUCCUAAGCUCCAAGUUGGUGCAUCCAAGGUAAACUCGAUGGGCUCGGUAGUUGGUGCAAAAGUCCUUCCAGGUACACGAACUUUGAUCCUCCAGCGCUCCUCUUCUGGUAAAGUUGUAGUGAAGGUUCUGGAGAAACUUGGUAGUCCAAUGUUCAGGUACUUUGUGACUUCCUUCAAGUGUCGUCCGAAACGGGUGUCGUCAUCCGACUGAGUGAACUUGUUCCUGGGGUCCGACAUCUAUAGAGUAGAAAUAGAGGAGGAUUAGAAAUGAAAGAGAAGAGUAUCAUGUGGCUUUUCCUAGUGGUCGUGUCCUACAAUCAGCGUGUGCUCUGAUACCAUCUUGUAGUGACCCGAUCCCAAUGGAUCGAAGUCUCUAUGCUUAAGUGUCAUCCCUGGAUCGGUAUGCUGACACACAUAGUACUCGAGGAAUUAUAACAGAGUUCAAUCACACACUUAUUACAUCAAGGUCCUCAUAAAGAGUAUUUAUUACAAAAAUAAUAUGGUUGAAGGCCAUCUAAAUAGAGUAAUUGGGGAAGCUUCGAAGAUAAAUGAGUCCAUCAACUCCAUAGCAUAACUGAGUGCAUGACAACGACCUAGCACACCUUAUUCUUUGUCGGAAAACUCUGCAAUAUUUGACGUUGCAGCCGUGUAGGUCAGCACAUGGAAUAUGCUGGCAGAGUCACACUAUAGAGCAAAUGAAUGAAAAAGACUAUAUCUACAUGCAUAUUUGGCUGGUGGAGGCUCUAAGUUUAAUUUUUGCAUAAAGCUAAUUUUUCCCUACAACAAAGGAAUAAAUGUUAUUUACUACAAAGUUUAAGCCAUUAUUGAGAAGUUUCCUCCAACUCAAUCCCAAAAUUAACCAAGUAUAAUCAAUAAACCCAAUACAUUAACUAAAGAGUGAUGAGAUCAACAAACUAUUCACUUCCAGAUACUCAAAUUGUCCAUAACCGGGGACACGGAUAACCAUGAUUAGUUUGUACACUCUGCCGAGGUUUGCACACUUUUCCCCACAAGACUCGACCGCAUCCAUCAUCGUAAGAUUGAGACAUAGUCUUUCUGAAGCAUUAACUCUUUACUCUGGGUAGACCGGUACACCUACUUACCCUACAUCUGCUAGUCCACCAUUGAAAGAGGUCACACAACUUACUCAACUAUGCCAAAGCCCAUAAUGGAUUGUGGCUGCACACGGAAGUUUCUAGGCAUGAAAUAUCAUAUGAUCCCUUUGAGCCUAGGUGGCGGACCUAGGGUAAUCACACGGGUACUCCGGGAUUCCCAUGGUUAAGCACUGGUUUCUUCAGGUGCCCCAAACAAUCCACCCAGAUGUGUAUUAAAGUUGCCACCGUAAUGUUGUCCAAAAUUAUUAUCUCUCACAUCUUGCAUGAAUCUCACAAAGCAAUCCCGUCUACGAGCAUGGCUAAGCAAUAUAUGAGCAUAACGAAUAUUCUUGGGGUGAUCAAAGGUAAUAGGUUCCUACCUCAUGUACUACAACCAAACCACAUGUUCCCAAAUCCUACCCAUGCAAAUCUUUGAGGGGUAAAACUAAUGCAUAGUAAAAACUGGGUAUUGAAAAGUAUGAUCAAAGUGUAACUUGCAUUGCUGACAAUUGGAAAACUCUACGGAUUCAUAGUAACAAUCUUCGCACGCCGGAAAAUCUAUCGUGAACAAACAAUAGCAUACAUAAGCACUCAAGCAAACGAUGCAAAGAGAAAAUGAAGAAAAGAUCCAGAAAAGUCAAAAACAAGCAAAUAAUUAACUAAAUAGUAAAGAAAUUUUAACAGCAUUAUAAUUAUCUAGAUUAGAUCUUAACAGAAGGUACAUGUGAUUAGCUACGACUUGCAAAAAGAAUCAACUAAAACAGAGCUACAAAACUCAAGAUACGAGCAAAAGAAGUUCAAAUUCAAAUCUGAACUAAACUCAAAUUUUAAAUUUUCAAAAACAUGUUCAGGUUGGUUUACUGGAUAGAUGAGAUUGCCCUGAAGAUUUUGGUGUUGGUUUCGUUGAAUUUGGACAAACGAGCAAUAAGUUGUGCUAGUUUGAAACAUAUGGACUAAUCUGUAAAUAAAAACUACGAAUAGGUCCCUAGCAGAAAAAGAAAAAGGAAAAGAAAAAUCUACCAAACCAACGUUUGCUACAGAAAUUAAAUGAACGAAUACAUUCGCUACCAAAGACUAACGAGCAAACGCUCGCUAUAUAACAAAACAAAAAAACCAAACGACACCUGACCCGUCGGAUCGAGAUCCGACGUUCGAGAGGGGAUCGGGGCUAUCGGUAGCAGCGGCGGUCGACGGCGACGAAGCGGACAGCGGCGGCGGCUCCGGAGGCGUCGGCUGGGGCGACGGCAUCGGCGAGCGGCGACGGCGGAUGCGGCGGCGGCGGCGGCGGCUAACGAUAGUGGCGGCUUGCGGCAGCGGUGCGGGCGGCGACGGUGGUGAUGUGCGGCGGCGGCAGCAGCUCGAUGUGGAGAGGAGGGGGCCUCGGUGGCUAGUAUUUAAGGAGGAGAGGGCGGCAGCUUGGAGUGCGGGUCAAGGCGGCGGGGCGCGCGAAGUCCGAGUCGGACUCACGAUGGCGGCGGCAUGCGCCUGCCGGUCUCCUGCUCAGAGUCGGUCGGAGCGGGGCAGCUGGCUUGGCCACGGCCUGGUGGGUGCUGGGCCGGCCCUGUUCGGGGGGAAGUUUUUUUUUUACAUUUUUUCAGAAAGACAAAAACACGCUAAACUUAAAUAAAUAAAUCUAUAAAAUUCCAGGAAAAUUCACAUAAUAAUAUGGCCUUAUUAGUGACCUAGUGAAGAUUUUUCUUGGCCUAAAUGCCUAAACUAAAAACAAACAUUAUAGUUAUAAUUACUCCGUGAAUAAAUAAAUAAACUAGCAAAUAAAAUCAAAUAAAAUCUCUAAAAAAUCAAAAUUCAAUUUCCAAUAUUUCUUUGCUGUUUUUUUAAGAAGUCCUUCUAUCUUCUCUCUUCAUUUUGAAAUAAUUGAAAAAGAAUUUUGAAAAACAAUUUGAUCCAAUUUACCAAAUUUUGAUAAAUCAAAAAUGGAAGUUUUAGUGAAAUCUCCAACUCUCUCAAAUUGGUCCUUGAGUUGCUUAAGGUCUCCUGGAUAAAAAUGCAACUAAAACAAAAGAAACAAAAUGUAUAAAUCAUGGAUGCAUAUGAAUGAUCUAUGAAUAACAUCCUAAUUGAAAAUUGGGAUGUUACAAUGUAACAUGUGUGAAUGUGUAGUUGAUGUAUUUGGCAGGGCCUAGAGAGGUAUGUGUGUGUAUUACGUAUUCGAGAGAGGCAUGGAUAUAGGGGCCGGCGGGGUGGGACAUGGGAGAGAUAGCACGAGAAAUGAGAGAGGUCUAGAGAGAGAGACGAAUAUGAUGUCACGGCGAGAGAUGCCCUUGAGUCUGUAUAUGCAAGGGGGAGGGGAUAGAGGCACGAGGAGAAAUUUUUUGUGUGGUGUCUGUGUUGGUAUGUGUGGGUGUGAGAAUAUAACAAGACCUGGGGGUAGAGGGUGUGUUACCGCGUGAGGUCCGGUGGGCCGAGGUGAGGCCCUUGGUUCGGUUCCAUCCUAUGCCACAUUGGUCGGCCCGUGAUGCAUUUAGGGAGACCCAUGGAGGACUAGUCGUACAAGAAAAAGAUAGCAGAGUCGUGAAGGACUCUGUGUCAACUGACAAAGCCGGCUAGGAUUUCUAACCCUAGGUCCUCAGAAUAAGGUAACCCCGUAUCUCUGAUAUUACUAUUCAUCCAACCUAACUUUAAGGGGCAUCCUACAGAAUGCUCUGCUAGAAUCAUACUCGUCAAUUAGGAAGAGAUGUGGAGACAAUGCGUGAGAGACAGGCCUAAAGAUAAUGUGCGUGCGGGAGACACGUAGGCAGGUCUAUGGAUAUAAAAAGGAUAGAUGGGGAUUGUACGUGUGUAUGCUUGUGAGAGGAAGAGUGCUUGUGAUAAAGGUUAGUGAAAACAGUCAUAAAUGGUUACGAGAGGGAGGGAGGGUUAUAUCGAGAGAAUGUCUGCAAGAAAGACACCUCAUGAGGAGUGUGUGAGCAUGUGUGAGAGACCACCGAUGGAGAGUGAAACUACACAUAAAAGACUGAUGUACACAUUGAUUAAAAAUAUAAGUUGUAUCCAAAUAUUAGGAUGGGAUCAUGAUAUUUGCAAUUCGCGUAAGGAACGGUCAUUGAUUCAUGAGACAUCUAUAUUCUAUCGAAUUUGAGCAUGUCUAUGUUAAUAUUUGACAUAGUUGAUCCACAUAGUUAGUAUUUUGAACUCCAGACAAUGCAUCGCUUUAGCAAUCGAAUAUAAAUGUGAGUAUAGUUCAUGUUGUGUGUGUAAAGCACAUUAUACAUACAAAAGUUACACAAUGAACAUUAUAAAUAGCUAGCUAUGAACUAGAAUACAUUUGAAUUCAACUUAAGGUGAUUUAAAAAUUAGAAUUCAACAUGAAGUCCAUUCAAUUAUUUGAAUUCGAUAUCAUGGCAUUGGUAAAUCAUACCUAAAUUAUGGGGGCACAAAUCUUUGCUCUGCUUUUGUACAUAAUAGCAUAUAUAGUCAUGUACAAAAUAGAUUCAAAUUUACCUCCUCCAUUCCAAACUAAUCAUAGUUAUAGGAUUUUCAAGUGUCAAAAUUUCAAAAAGAAGUGCAUAAUUUCAUGAGGUUUUCAAACAUACAAGGUCAAAUUUAACGUUGUCUGUCUAGUUAAUCAUCAAAGUUCAAGAGUACUCUAAACGUGAAUGCUUCUAUUCAAAAUUUUGAACGAAGCGCCAAAAGAGCCUCUACUCGCCCGAAACCGCAUGAUACCAAUGCUUGGUAGAAGGAAAUUACUUUUCUAACUCCGACCCGUGAAACCUACCGGCCCGACGUCCAAAGGUCUAAACCGGGGUAGGUUUGUAGCUUCAUCUAGAUGCCACACUGAAAGAACAUGCGGUGCCCCCAUGUUUGGUUUUGGUAAUUGAUGACAAUCUCUAUGGACUAAUGGUUGUCUUGAGUUAUAUUUGAAGGAUUUGUCCAUAGGAUUUUCAUGAAGUCCAGGUGUUGGUUUCAAGGAGUUUAUGAGUUGACCAAGGUGCUAUUAAGGAAUUAUCCAAAGAUUGGUCAUGCGAGUGUUGAGCUUAUUGCAAGCAUGUCUUGAAGAAGAAGGUUGUGUGAUCAUUCAUGUUUACCUUCAAUACAUCAUCCAAAUGAAGAGAUUUGCAAAGAUUUAAGGUUGAUCAAGACUAAGUCAAUAGUGAAUCAGGUUGAUCAACUCACAAAGCGUAGAAGAUGUACCGAGAGGGAUCAAGUGAUCCCAUGGUAUGGUAAGCAUUGUCCAUUGCACUUUGUGUACUAACCCAUGGUCUAUGUGAGAGUUCUAUGUGGGGUUAGGUACGUAUCCAUGGGCUUGUAUCAAGAGGAAGAUAUCAUACAACCCAUGGAAAGGAUGACAUCAAGUGGUGAUCGUCAUCAAGAUUGCCGUGUGCAAGUUCAAGUGGAGCAUCACGAAGAGAUCAAGUGCUUGAAUCUUUCCAUCCAUUGUGGUGUCAAUGGACUUGUGAAGAUGAGCCGAAGAGUGGCUCACCCAUAGUGGACUAUGGGGGAGCAAUCAUCUAGUCUUCAUCGAGCCAACGCAAUCAAGAAAGGUGGUCCAUCUUGAGGGAGUCAAGAUCGUCAUCAUCUAGCUCAAGUGGACCAUGUGCAAGGCAAAGGUUUGCCCUUGAUAGGUUUUCUAUUUUACCGGUCUCAUGGUGGUAGUAGGGAGACCGGGUUAUAUGAUAGUUUGCCGUACUAUCAAGGGGGGCUCUCAAGUUGGUAGCUUGAUCGUAUCGUUAGUAGAGAGAUCCAACACUUGCAUCCUUGCAUCAUGUUUCUUGGUUCUUGUUUGGUUCUCUUUGUGAGUAUUAGAGCUUAUGGUCAUCUUGAUGACAAGCUUGAGUUCAUCAAAAACGGAGUUCACAUGCGUCUUCUAUGAUGUUUUCGGUGUUGGAGGUUUUACCAGUCUUUUCCGAGGAAGGGUUCUCACCAUUUUCCUUUGGGACUUUUCUCAUUUGCUUAUUCUUGAUAUUUCUAUCAAGAUUGUGUUAGACCAUGUCAUUAGCUUUCCAACAAACUUGGUUUCAUUGAAUUCGGAGUCCGUUUGCAAAAGUUGUGGCUGUUUUGGUAAAGGCUGCAGCGGUACUACCGCGACUAGAGCGGAUGUAAUUUUUUACUACUGCUCCAGAGCAGUACUAGCACGGCUCCUGAGCGGUAGUACCGCCCUAGAGAAGUACUACUGCGGCUCCUAAGUGGUAGUACCGCUCCGGACCAAAAUCUCGUGUUUUGCUUAGCGGAAGUAGGCACAGAAGUAUUUUUUUAGUACCGCUCACAAGCAGUAGUACCGCUACCAUUUGCGUUAGUACCGUGAGGUCGAGUUGUAGUACCGUGAGGACGAGCGGUACUACUGCUCUGAAGGUUCUUUUGGCCUUUUUGCCUCCUCGCUGUUGUGUUUCGAAGGGGUACUACCGCCCUAGCGGUAGUACCGCUCUGUGCGGGCUGUGAGCAUAACGGUUGGAUUCGGGAGCUCCUAUAAAAGGGGGUCUUCUUCCCCAUUCAACCUUAUCCUUUGAGCUCGUGUUCUUCCCCCAUUGUUGACCUUCUUCGAGCUUGCUAACUCUCAAUCCCUCCAUGGAUUCUUGCUAGUUUUUGAGGGAAAAGAGAGAGAAGAUCUAGAUCCACAUUUCCACCAAUCACUUUCUCCUCUAUGUGAGGGGAACCCCUUGGAUCUAGUUCUUGGAGUUCUUGGUGUUCUUCUUCUUGUUCUUCCUCUCAUUUUCCUCCCUAGAAUUAGUUGCUUCGGUGGGAUUUGAGAGAGAAGGACUUGGGCACUUCGUGUGCCCUUGCCAUUGCAUUUGGUGCAUCGGUUUGAGUUCUCCACGGUGAUACGUGGAAGUUACAAGUUGAGAAGCUUAUUACUCUUGGGUGCUUGGUUCCCUUGAGCUUGUUACUCUUGGGUGCUUGGGCACCCUAGACGGUUGGUGGUGUUCGGAGCUCAAUCAUUGUGGUGUAAAGCUCCGGGCAAGCGCCGGGGUCUCCAAUUAGGUUGUGGAGAUCGCCCCGAGCAAUUUGACGGGUACCGGUGACCGCCCCCAAGGGUUGCCAAAGUGUACGGGUUCGGUGACUGCCCCCAAGGGUUGCCAUUUGUACGGGUUCGGUGACCGCCCUCAAGGGUCCCUUAGUGGAAUCACGGCAUCUUGCAUUGUGCGAGGGCGUGAGGAGAUUACGGUGGCCCUUGUGGCUUCUUGGGGAGCAUUGUGCCUCCACACCGCUCCAAACGGAGAUUAGCAUCCGCAAGGGUGUGAACUUCGGGAUACAUCAUCGUCUCCGCGUGCCUCGGUUAUCUCUUACCCGAGCCCCUUUACUUAUGCACUUUACUUUGUGAUAGCCAUAUUGUUCUUUGUCAUAUAUCUUGCUAUCACAUAGUUGCUUAUCUUGCUUAGCAUAAGUUGUUGGUGCACAUAGGUGAGCCUAGUUGUUGUAGGUUUUGUGCUUGACAAAUUAACCGCUAGGUUUAUUCCGCAUUUGUUCAAGCCUAAACCGUAAUUAUUUUAAAGCGCCUAUUCACCCCCCCCCCCUCUAGGCGACAUCCUCGAUCUUUCAAUUGGUAUCAGAGCCUCGUCUCUCUUUAUUAGGCUUUACCACCUAGAGAGUAAAGAUGUCGACUAGGGGAUUAUGAUUCUCUGACACUCUUAGUUUUGAUGGAACAAAUUUUGAUGUUUGGGUAAUUCACAUGCUUAAUCUCUUUAGGGUCAUGGACCCAAAUUUAGAGCGAAUUGUAGAUAUGGGUUUUUCUUCUCCAAAGGAUCCCCAAAGAUUAUCUUUAGAGGAUGAGAAAAACUCUUAUCUCAAUGCUCAAGCUUCUAAUGUGCUUUUCGAUGCUUUGAGCAAUGUAGUUAUAUUUCAACUCAUGCCGUUCUGAGAUGCUCAUGAGUUGUGGACGAAGCUUCAAGAUAAAUAUGGUGUGUCCAAGAUUUGUGGGGAUGAUUGUUCUCCCUCCACCUCCGGUCAUAUAGUCUUCUCAACUUCUUCUACUUCACCUACAUGUGGUUUGCCACAAGGUAAUGACAUGGUGAGUAGUUUUGGUCAUUGCAAUGAUGAUAGUAUGCUUAUUGUGGAUGAUCCUUCAUCACUAUAUUAUUGCAAUGCUCCUUCUUUGGGCUUUAACACUUUGAGCACUCCAAAUGUUUCUCAUGCUUGUGUUGAUAUUCCUUGCAUAUCAUGUAGAAAUUGCUUGACUAAAUCUCAUGAUGAUAUGCUUGCUAUGUCUUGUUGCCAUUAUAAAAAUGCAUCUAUUUCCUCGAAUUGUUGUGCUAACAAUGUAGUGGAAACUGAACACUCCAUGGAACAAGAUGUGGUGUUUAAUGGUGCCUCAAGGGAUCCUACAUCAUCAUCUAUUGCUUUUUGCCUUAUGGCUAAGGCGUCAAAGUAUCUCCUACUUUGUACCCCAAUAUGUCUCUUGAUGAUGAUGUUGAUGCUAAUGAUGAUGAGGAUAAUGAUGAAGAGAAUUAUACUGUUGCCUCCUUAAAAACUAAGGGGAAAAUGAUUUUUAAAGCUCUUCAUAAAAAUAAAAUUGCUCGUUCCAACUUCAUGGAAAUAAUGUCCAUUGCCAUUGAUGGCAAGAAAUACAUUGAGGAGUUGGAAUCUCAUCUAGAGGAGCAUGAGGCUACCAUUGAUAAAAUGGAAGGUCAUGGGCGUGAUUACGCUAAUGAGAUUGCGGACCUCUCUCAAGCUCUUGAACUUGAACAAACCACCAAGGAAUCUCUUGAGGAGACUUUUGCUCUAGAAUUGUCUAAAGUGAAGGAAUCUACUGAUAGAGCUCUUAAGGUGGCCAAUGUUUUUGAAACUAAAAAUGCUAAGCUUGAAGUUGCUCAUGCUAGACUCCUUGAGGAUUUUGAGCACCUCGAAAAUGGCUCAAGGGUCAUCAAGGGUGAGCUCAUCAAACUCACCGAGUCUCAUGCUCAACUUGAAGCUUCUUAUUUAAAAGAGCUUUCCAAGUUGCCUUCUCCUCUUGUUGUUAAUGAUGAUGCUUGUGCUACUAAUUCUAUUACUUGUGAAGCAUCCAUUUUGAAGGAGAAUGUUGAGCUACGGGCUCAACUUGAGGUGCUAUCUUCCAAUUAUGGGAAAUUGGAAGAAAGUCAUGAAAAGCUCUCAAGCUCUCAUGAUGAUCUUCUAGUAUCCCAUAGUGUGCUAAAGAUAGCUCAUGAGGCCAUGAUUGCUAAGGUAACAUCUAGUGAGCCUCAUGUGGAUACUAGCACUACUUCUAGUCAAAAUAGUAUAUUGCCAUGUUCUAGUCCUUGUAAUUCAUCUACUCACAAUGUUGGUACAUCUUGUGAUGAAUUGCUUUCCUUGCCUUGUUGCUCUAACGAUGAAGCUUAUACUUCCUCUAGUACUUGUGUUGAGACUAACCAUGUAGAGGAAAUCAAAGAGCUCAAGGCCCAAGUCACUUCUUUGAAUAAAGACUUGGAAAAGUGUCAUGAAGGGAAGGCCACACUCAACAAUAUCUUGAGUGUGCAAAAAUCCCCCAAUGACAAAGGUGGACUUGGAUUCAACUCCAACAAGAAGAAGAAGUCCAAGUUGAACAAUAAGAAGAGCCAAGAACAAGUCAAGAAUUCGGCCAAGAUUGUUUGCUUCAAGUGCAAAGUUGAAGGGCAUCAUGUUAGAUCUUUCCCAUUGAAGAAGAAGGCCAUUAGUGUCAAGCAACAAGGGAAGACGGAACAAGUUCAAUCUCAUGCUCAACAUCAAGUUGAAGAAAGGCCUCUUCCCAAGAAGACUCAAGUUAAUGCUUCUCAAAUUGAGAAAUCAAGUGAGAAGAAAGUGAAGAGUAGACGUUGCUACUUAUGUCGUGAGAAAGGUCACGCCGCUUCUUCAUGCACUAGUGGUAACUUAUCCAACCCAAUUAUUAUUGAUGAUAUCUAUUCUCUUGGUAAGGAUAAGGUUGGCAAUGUGUUUGCCAAGUUUGUUGGUACUCAAAGUGGUGUCAAGCAAAGAACCAUUUGGGUAGCCAAACCUAUUGUGACUAACCUCUUAGGACCCAACUUGGUUGGGGACCAACAAGCUCAAACUUGAUCAAUAGGUGUUGUUGGAGGGCAUUGGAGACUUGGUUACAUUAUGAAGAAUUAAGGGGACUUCAUCAUUCUCUUUGUCUCAAGCCAAGUCAAUUGGAUUAUCAAGUUUCUAUCUUAUAUCCAAUGUGCCUCCUUGCGGUAACUUGUACUUAAAUUGUUUACCUUGAAAGUUACUUGCCCCCUUGCAUGUUUUGGUUUUGUUCCUUGCAUGUGUUUGUAUAUGUUGCGCUUCCAACUUGCUUACCUUGAGCAAUCAAGUAUGUGUGUGUUGGUUUGCACAUCAUGUACAUGUGCGUCGUGCGUUGAGCCUUUUUGCUUCCUGUUUGUAUCCUAGUUGGCUCAUGUGAGAGAUCAAUGGAACAUCCCAUUUUGGGGGAAUGAUGUGCUUUGUGCACCUCACAAUCCUAUAAAUGUGUGUACAUGAGGAAUACCAUCUAGUAUUGAUAUUACAAGAUUAUCUAGUCGCUAGGUGGUAUAUCUCUCAUGAGAAAUUCAAAUUCUAAAAAUUCCAUUGAUUAUCUCGUGUUGGAUCCUAUUACUGCCUCUUGUUUAGUUCUUAUUGGUAUCACAUUAUGGGGGAGUAAUAUGCUAAGUGCAUAUUACAAGCCUAGAAAAUGUGUACAUUUGAGAUAUUGUCACCUAGAAUUGAUAUUGUAAAUUAUCUUGUUCCUAGGUGGCAUGUUAGCUCUACAAGUUGCAAUUUGCUUGUGUGUGGUGUGAAGAUGAUGUUGGAUAUCCUUGCUAUCUACCACCGGGAAUUAUUUCCAUCUAAUUCUUGUCUUUUGACAAUUUGUAGUCACUUAUGUGUGGUAGAAUUUAAUUGAUCAUCUUUACAUUGGCUUUUGUUUAUUUGCCUUUUUCUCUUGCCAAGGUUUGUGUUAACUCCUGUUGUCUUCCAUACCACUUGUGGAUCUUGUUUAUUUCUUGUUCUUGUCUAGUGUUUUCUAGAUAUAGUGAAAGCAGUGAUCCCACCUUGUGCAUUUUGUAUUCAAAUACAAAUCCUAUAUAAUGCACAACUCGUGGGGGAGCUAUUCUAUUUUCAUCACUCUUCUUGUGAUCCUUAUCAAGUGUGUUUUGGUGGAAGGCAAGCCAUUUCUUUUUGGUACUUUGUGCCAUCAUGAAACUUUGUUGAGAGCUUGGUAUGUUUGGAACCAUCCUCUCUUUGGGAGUUUGACAUCUUUAGUUUAGUGUGUAUCAAUGGAUAUCUCAUUCCUUGAUGUAUCUUUAAUGAUAUCUUCCAAGUGAUGAUUUCUCCAUUUGGUAUCCUUUUCACUUGGCAUUUAUUUGUCUUUUGGUUUCGGGUUUUGAAAGUCUUGAGCAUGCAUGUUUACUUCAUGUAUUUCAUUUGGCAUGCUUUCUUUCUUUGACUCAAUAUAUAGGGGAAACUCCAUCUAGUCUCAAUUUGGAUGAGAUGUGCAUGAAAUUCAUUUUCAUAUCUAUAUGCACAUAUUUAUGUGGAGUUUGUCCUAUGUAUUGGUGUUUCUAACUAUUUGGUCCCGAUGAGUUUGGGUACCAUUUAGUUUGUGUUCUUCUUCUAGGAACAUUUGGAGAUGCAUUGGAUGCUCGGCUCACUCACAAGGAAGGUGUUGUCACCAUGUGCAUAUUGGAGUCAAGCUAGGAUGAUCAAUGAACUACUAUCUACCUUCAAUUGGUAUCUACUACAUCCUUCCAAUGAUAUCUCGGUAACAAGUAUCUAUUCAUGCUUUCUCCUCUUGCAUUCAACCUUGUGUAGGUUGCAUCUUGGCAUGAUUUUCAUUUCAUAUCUUGUGAUACUUGUUUCCUUUCUCAAAGCAUCCCAACGAUGAUCUCUUUUUGCUAGUUGUGAUGCCCUUGAUGGAUGUGUGUUUGGACUUCAUUUAUAUACAAUAAGACCAUAUCUAGCCAAGUGCUAUGCUUUGAAGCAAACAUCUUAUUGGUAUAUUUAUGACUUCCUUGUGGAUAUCUUCUUCCUUCGUGUUGUAACUAUUUCGGGUGUACAUUCUUCUUUGUAGAUAUAUAUAUCAUCAUGAUUUCGUCUACAUAGAACCUUAUACACUUGAGAGAAAUUACAUAUCUAGUUGAUAUCCUUUCUUUCACGUCCACCUUGUCUUUCUUAUGUUAUUUCUUUGGUGGCUCCGUGAAAGCUUUUGCCUUGAGUGCGUGUCCUCUAUCGUUGCAUCUUGAUGCACUCUUGUGUGGCGAAGAUUAUUUUCCUCAUGCUUAUCGUUACGAGGCUUUUGCCAUCUUAAUUGGCAUCCCUCGUCUUGAUGAGGCUUUCAUCUUCUAUCUUCACCACGGGUUGUCACAAGCAUAAGUUCUUUAUAUGCUUAUUAGUAAACUUGUGAACCCAUUUGCUAGUUGUGUGUGGGAAUGACAGGCCUUGCACCGUGUGCCUCAUUCUUUCAAGACUAUGUUGAUGCUUAAUGCUCAUCCUAAUUUUAGUCUUCUCAAGUGCUUCGCCAUGACUCACACACAUCAUUUUGGUUGAGCCCAUUCUUAAGUUGACUCUUUUACUUGUUGCUCAAUCAUGUGUUUGUUGCAAGUACUAGGCUUUGUUUCCUAUAUGCUCACUUGCACUUGUUGUAAGUUUCUAUUGAUUUUGGGGGAGCUAUGAUCCUAUUUUGUGCACUUUGUAUCCAAUUAAAAAACAUUCUUUUUUGUGCACAAAUCAUGGGGAGCUUCUCUAGUUUCUUUAGAACACUCCUCGUCUCAUAUCAUAAUAUCCUUCAUUCAUGUGGCUCAUAGGAUCCUUGGUCUAGUUGGUUCAAUUGAUAUCCUUUGAUUGCUUGCUUCAAUUGGUAUCUUUUGAUUGCUUGAUUGCUUGUUUCUCUCUUUGUUAUGUCUUUGUGGCAUAUCAUUCUUUUGCAAUCUUUGGGCCUCAAUAUAGUUUGUGUUCCUCCAAGUAUUAACCGUUGGAUAUGUGUAUUGCAUUCCACUCUCUCGUUGAGAAAUACACAAUUUAUGGAGGACCACAAUUUAUAUUGGUCUUCUUAGCUUUUCGCCCAUUUUGGCAAUUGAUGCCAAUGGGGGAGAAGUUUCAGAGAGUUUUGUGGAGAAGUUUAGAGAGUUAUCUCCUCUUUUUUGGUUUUGUUCCUUAGCAUUUGCAUCUCAUACGCAUGCACUAUUGGUUGUUGCAUUGCAUAGUGAAGCAUAAUUCCUUAUAUAAACUCUCUUGAAAGUGAUUGUCAUCAAUUACGAAAAUGGGGGAUAUUAAAAUAACAUGCGGUGCCCCCAUGUUUGGUUUUUGUAAUUGAUGACAAUCUCUAUGGACUAAUGGUUGUCUUGAGUUAUAUUUGAAGGAUUUGUCCAUAGGAUUUUCUUGAAGUCCAUUUGUUGGUUUCAAGGAGUUUAUGAGUUGACCAAGGUGCUAUUAAGGAAUUAUCCAAAGAUUGGUCAUGCGAGUGUUGAGCUUAUUGCAAGCAUAUCUUGAAGAAGAAGGUUGUGUGAUCAUUCAUGUUUACCUUCAAUACAUCAUCCAAAUGAAGAGAGUUGCAAAGAUUUAAGGUUGAUCAAGACUAAGUCAAUAGUGAAUCAAGUUGAUCAACUCACAAAGCGUAGAAGAUGUACCGAGAGGGAUCAAGUGAUCCCAUGGUAUGGUAAGCAUUGUCCAUUGCACUUUGUGUACUAACCCAUGGUCUAUGUGAGAGUUCUAUGUGGGGUUAGGUACGUAUCCAUGGGCUUGCAUCAAGAGGAAGAUAUCAUACAACCCAUGGAAAGGAUGACAUCAAGUGGUGAUCGUCAUCAAGAUUGCUGUGUGCAAGUUCAAGUGGAGCAUCACGAAGAGUCAAGUGCUUGAAUCUUGCCAUCCAUUGUGGUGUCAAUGGACUUGUGAAGAUGAGCCGAAGAGUGGCUCACCCAUAGUGGACUAUGGGGGAGCAAUCAUCUAGUCUUCAUCGAAACAACGCAAUCAAGAAAGGUGGUCCAUCUUGAGGGAGUCAAGAUCAUCAUCAUCUAGCUCAAGUGGACCAUGUGCAAGGCAAAGGUUUGCCCUUGAUAGGUUUUCUAUUUUACCGGUCUCAUGGUGGUAGUAGGGAGACCGGGUUAUAUGAUCGUUUGCCGUACUAUCAAGGGGGGCUCUCAAGUUGGUAGCUUGAUCGUAUCAUUAGUAGAGAGCUCAAACCCUUGCAUCAUUGCAUCAUGUUUCUUGGUUCUUGUUUGGUUCUCUUUGUGAGUAUUAGAGCUUAUGGUCAUCUUGAUGACAAGCUUGAGUUCGUCGAAAACGGAGUUCACAUGCGUCUUCUAUGAUGUUUUCGGUGUUGGAGGUUUUACCAGUCUUUUCCGAGGAAGGGUUCUCACCAUUUUCCUUUGGGACUUUUCUCAUUUGCUUAUUCUUGAUAUUUCUAUCAAGAUUGUGUUAUCCCAUGUCGUUAGCUUUCCAACAAACUUGGUUUCGUUGAAUUCGGAGUCCGUUUGCAAAAGUUGUGGCUGUUUUGGUAAAGGCUGCAACGGUACUACCGCGACUAGAGCGGAUGUAAUUUUUUACUACCGCUCCAGAGCAGUACUACCGCGGCUCAUGAGCGGUAGUACGGCCCCAGAGAAGUACUACCGCGGCUCCUAAGUGGUAGUACCGCUCCGGACCAAAAUCUCGUGUUUUGCUCAGCGGAAGUAGGCACAGAAGUAUUUUUUUAGUACCACUCACAAGCAGUAGUACCGCUACCAUUUGCGGUAGUACCGUGAGGUCGAGUGGUAGUACCGUGAGGACGAGCGGUAAUACUGCUCCGAAGGUUCUUUUGGCCUUUCUGCCUCCUCGCUGUUGUGUUUCGAAGGGGUACUACCGCCGUAGCGGUAGUACCGCUCUGUGAGGGCUGUGAGCAUAACGGUUGGAUUCGGGAGCUCCUAUAAAAGGGGGUCUUCUUCCCCAUUCAACCUUAUCCUUUGAGCUCGUGUUCUUCCCCCAUUGUUGACCUUCUUCGAGCUUGCUAACUCUCAAUCCCUCCAUGGAUUCUUGCUAGUUUUUAAGGGGAAAGAGAGAGGAGAUCAAGAUCCACAUUUCCAUCAAUCACUUUCUCCUCUAUGUGAGGGGAACCCCUUGGAUCUAGUUCUUGGAGUUCUUGGUGUUCUCCUUCUUGUUCUUCCUCUCAUUUUCCUCCCUAGCAUUAGUUGCUUCGGUGGGAUUUGAGAGAGAAGGACUUGGGCACUCCGUAUGCCCUUGCCAUUGCAUUUGGUGCAUCGGUUUGAGUUCUCCACGGUGAUACGUGGAAGUUACAAGUUGAGAAUCUUAUUACUCUUGGGUGCUUGGUGCCCUUGAGCUUGUUCCUCUUGGGUGCUUGGGCGCCCUAGACGGUUGGUGGUGUUCGGAGCUCAAUCAUUGUGGUGUAAAGCUCCGGGCAAGCGUCGGGGUCUCCAAUUAGGUUGUGGACAUCGCCCCGAGCAAUUUGACGGGUACCGGUGACCACCCCCAAGGGUUGCCAAAGUGUACGGGUUCGGUGACCGCCCCCAAGGGUUGCCAUUUGUACGGGUUCGGUGACCGCCCUCAAGGGUCCCUUAGUGGAAUCACGGCAUCUUGCAUUGUGCGAGGGCGUGAGGAGAUUACGGUGGCCCUAGUGGCUUCUUAGGGAGCAUUGUGCCUCCACACCGCUCCAAACGGAGAUUAGCAUCCGCAAGGGUGUGAACUUCGGGAUACAUCAUCAUCUCCACGUGCCUCGGUUAUCUCUUACCCGAGCCCCUUUACUUAUGCACUUUACUUUGUGAUAGCCAUAUUGUUCUUUGUCAUAUAUCUUGCUAUCACAUAGUUGCUUAUCUUGCUUAGCAUAAGUUGUUGGUGCACAUAGGUGAGCCUAGUUGUUGUAGGUUUUGUGCUUGACAAAUUAAUCGCUAGGUUUAUUCCGCAUUUAUUCAAGCCUAAACCGUAAUUAUUUUAAAGCGCCUAUUCACCCCCCCCCCCUCUAGGCGACAUCCUCGAUCUUUCACACACAACUGCCUCCGAAAAACAUUCAUACACAAUGGCCGCCUAAGCACACGUGCGUGCGGCCGAAAUUGCUCCCGCCCACUAUUUGGGACACCUGGGAUUACCAUCCUACCCCCGACCCGCGGUACGUCCGAAUUUAAGAGGGGUGGCAAUGUUUGUACUUUCCCCAAAUUUCAAACAAGUGCGUCCCAUCUGUUCAUAAAAAUCAAAAACAAGCGCGUCCCAGACUGAAACAUGGUUCUCCCUUAGCUCUCCCCCUCCCCCGCCCCCUCCCCUCCCCCUGUCUGAUUCCCCAUUCAUACUCUAUGGGUGCCAAAAACUACCUCUCCACCAGCCGCGAAACCCCGGUGUCCUCCGUCUGCCACCCCAUCCCACCCAUCAACCGCCGCCCUCCUCCAUCACCCCGGAGCCGAUACCCCGAUGUCAUCGUCCACCGCAACCUCAGCAACGCCCUCCACGGCUAGUAGUUGAAGCCGAGGCCGAGUUGUCCGUACGCGAGCCAGUUCAACCACGUCGUCCUGCGCCUCAUCACUGCCGCUCCAACUUCGCCACCGUCCACCGCACCGGAGCUGUUCCCGCUACACCGUCCUCCGCCGCCUUGGAUCUGCUUCCCCUCCGCUGAUAGACGGCCACCACAACACAGUCAACAAUUUGUCCAUGGGUUCGUCCAAUGCUCCACCAUCCUCCAAAACAUCGGUUCCCCGGUAAAAACAAGAAAAUCAUUGUGACAUCUAGAGGACACAACACUGGCAACUGGAAAUGGUACUCCUCUUCCCUUAUUCGUGCAAACCUUACAUGUCUUCUUGCUCGGUAUUCAUCCCAUAGAAGACACUAGUUGACCGCUUCUUCUUGAUACUAGAUGUUCCUAGUAACUCGCGAUGCACAAGGUUUCUCCUCGUAUACUAUUUCACCUUAGCUAGAGGUCCAUCGCCCCCUGGAUUUCAAUUCCUGGCCAGUUGAUUCCCAAUUAAAGGAAGUAUUCCUCAGUGUAACUGGCGCUAGUCCGCCUAUUACGCUGGGGAACCAGAGCCUCGGUGUUUAUCUUAGGGGUGUGUGGGGCCUAGGAGCUGCUGGCGCCUGAUCUAGAGGUUGGUCGGGAUUAAAGGGAUGGACGGGGGUGCUGCCAAGCACGGCAGUGGUGUGAGGUCAAGGGGAAGGCGGGGCGACGGAGGCAGGGGUCUGGGCCGGUGGUCGCUGGUGGUUCGAGAAAGAUCAUCAACAGUGACUAGCGGGAGGUAGACAUAGGCCAUCUGCCCGUUCCCUUUAGAUCGGACGGUUCAUAAAAAACGACUUACCUAUUUAUUUUCAGUCGACUGUUAUUUUGAUAGGACCACAUGUGGUGGUGUCCUGGAGGAGUACCUGCAUCUCCCAGCCAUCCCUGUGCUCAUAUAUUACAAAAUCAUGCGGAGUAGAAUCUAAUUUCGUUUGCCAUGCAAUGUUUUAGAGCUAUCAUAUGUCUCAUGUCAUUUAUUUUUCAGCCACCUGCUAUCUACUACUUUUACAGUGUACUAGUUCUGCACACACUUCACCCAUACUCUCACUAUUGUUUUUUUAUGCAUCGGUAUUUCAGACUCUACCAAUGUGACGCCCCAAGUCCGAUGCUCCAGUUGCCUUCCAUUUAUUUUAGUUAUUGCCGUGUGUUUAUUGUGUGUGGCAUUGUCAUAGUUGUUUUGCAUAUUUCUUUUCCCUAUGUUUGUUGCCAUGAUCAUGUUGAGUGCCUUGUCAUAUUUUCUUCUUGCUUCAUGAUCAUCUUUGUUUACAUUGCUUUGUGCCUUUUGUCAUUUUGCAUUUCAUCAUAAUCACCAUGUGCAUCGCAUUCUUCAUGAUGUUGUCUUGCUCUAUGCACGUUGCAUGUGACCAAACCCCUUGCUAUGUCUCUCAAAUCUACCCAUGCAUCAACACCUCCUUCUUCCUUCCUAUUCCUUUCAUUUUUGCUAGUGCCAUUUUCUGUCCUCCAUAAAUGUUUAUUCUUUCCCUAAAAAUCCCGUACAUUGCUUACACCCUCUCUGUCAAAUUUCAUCUCUUUCAAAGUUGUUUUGGUUGGGCGAAGAAUUUACUCAAGUUUGAAUAAAAAUUCAAACUUGUUUAAAUUUUCUGUCCCUAAUUCUGUCAAACCAAUUUUAUUAAAUCUUGCAUGUUCCCAGGAGCAUGAGGAUAUUCUAAUAUCUUCCAAAUUCUCUUCCUAGCUCCCCCUUCUUUUCCUUUUCAGAAAUAUGUUUAUUAUAAAAACAGAGAAAAGGGAACUGCCUUUUCCUUAUCUGGGCGCUGCACUUGGGCCUUCCACUCACCUGCAGCUAGCAUCAGUGGCCCAACAGCAGCCUCGCAGCGCAUCCCACCAGUCCUCCAGCACAGGGUCGUCCCCUACCUUUGUACGGCGCACAUCCAGGGGCGCCACGUUGGCAGCCGGCUUGAUUUGACGGCCGGGAUAGCCUCCCUACCUCCUAUAAAUCAUGCCCCGGUGCCCUAGGGUCUCUCCUGUUUCCAUUCCUCCCUCUUCCUCGUCUAGCUGCUGCAAGGUAAGCCACUCCACACCAUAGCCGUCGCCAACGCCAUGCUCGAGCUCUACUCCAGCGCGAUCAAGCUCAACGUCGUCCUCUUCUUCCUCGGGGAGCGACGCCGCGUCUCCUUCUUCUUCUCGACCUCGCAAGCGCCCAUUCGAGCCACGGAUCGACCUCCUCCUUGACGUCUUCUUCCCCUGCUUCCUCUGCUUCAUGGACCCGAAGCCCCGCCAAGUCUCCGCCGCCGUUCAACACGCUUCCUGCCGUCUCCACUGCGUCCAGUUGAACCACGGCGUCGCCAAAACCCGUGGUGAGCUCAUGCUCCUCCCGGUCUUUGUCCCUUUGUUGAUUCCGUCCACGAAGCCGGCGUUCUGUGCAUAUCUGAGGCCUUGAUCGCCGGAAAUCUUUGCAACCUCUGUUGUACCCCUGCUUGCAUGCCCGAGCUCGCCCACGUACACGCGUCCGUAGCCCCCGCAUGCAUCUGCACCCGCGCGCGCACCUUGCCUUCUGCCGCUCGCUCGCCGCGCCAUGCUCGCCUCUACCGCACUUGCUCGCCGACGCCCGAGACGAGCACGGCCUCGUGCUCGAGCCAAUCUCUCGCAGCUGCUCCGCACGCACGCAUCCAUACCCCAUUCCCGCAGCCUCCCUAGAAGGAUUCCGCACCCCCGCCGGUCCUCUGAAGCCACAGCAGUUGUUGCUGCUGGCUCCCGUCGCCGGCGAGUCCCCGCGCUCGCGCUUCAGUUUUGGUCCUGGUCGCGAUGCGUAUAUGGUUAUGUUCUGCCAAUCUCCCAUUGCAUCACUAACUCGUAGCUAGCCCGGUGGCUAGCGCAGCCACUAUCCAUCCGAGAGGUUCUGGGUUUGAUCCCAGGUUCUCCCGUUUUCCUUUUUUCCCUUGCUUCUUUGUUUUACAUCGAGCCCACACACCCACAGCCACUUGGGCCCGAUUCCACCUCUGGGCCGCUGCACUCUAGUGCUUCUGGCCCGGGCAUAUUUUUUUUUACCAGUCUGUGUAUUUUAGCAUUUUUCCAAUGCAUUCGUAUUUACAGUAAAUGCCACUGUUUUGUAUUGUUAAUAACUAAAUAUGCAUGCAUCCAAUUUGAACAAACUAUAUAUGUAAAAUGCUUAGAAUUUUGUGUAGAUUAAUAAUAUGCCACUUUCAUCCAUGUUUAAAAUGUUUAAAAUGUUGUUUCUUUAAAUUUGCUUAAAUGCCAUAUUAAAAUGAUUUAUUUCAUAACUAAAUAACCGUUGCUCCUAUUUUAAUAAACUUUAUAUGUAAAUGGGGUGGAAAAAUGCCUAGUUUAACAUGGUGCACUUUGUUUUACUAUUUAACAACUCUAAAAUUGUGUUUAGGGCAGAACAGUACCAAAUUCAUAAUUUGGACAUGAGGAUUUUCCAGAAUUGUUGUUUGUUGUUUUCGGCCUCAUUUAAACCUGCCUAAAUAGCUACUUUACUUAUGCUUCACCCCCUUGCCAUGCUAAUAACAUUUAAUAUUGUUGGGUACAUAACCGAGAUCAAACUAAAUAAUUGCAUGUGGUGUUUUGUCAAUAUGCAACUCGUUGCAUAUUGAUCUCCACUUAACUUGUAGUAUUGUUUGUUGCACUUGCCAUGCCAUGCCUUAUUAAACCGGACAUGCAUCAUACUUGUUUGUGCAUCAUGCCAUGUUUAUGCUUGUGCAUUUAUCAUGUUGUUUGUUUCUUUCUGGUGUUGCUUCUUAGUUCCGGUAAUGUUGAGGAUUCGUUCGACUACUCCCGUUCGUCUUCUUCAUGGACUCGUUCUUCUUCCUUGUGGGAUUUCAGGCAAGAUGACUGUGACCCUGGAUCUCACUACUAUCAUUGCUAUGCUAGUUGCUAUGUUCUAUCGCUUUGCUGCGCUACCUACCAUUUGUUCUUCAAGCCUCCCAAUUUGCCAUGUCAGCCUCUAACCUUUUCACCCUUCCUAGCAAACCAUUGCUUGGCUAUGUUACCGCUUUUGCUCAGCCCCUCUUAUAGCGUUGUUAGUUGCAGGUGAAGUUGAAGAUUGCUCCAUGGUGGACAGGAUUAUGUUGGGAUAUCACAAUAUCUCUUAUCUAAUUAAUGCAUCUAUAUACUUGGUAAAGGGUGGAAGGCUCGGCCUUAUGCAUGGUGUUUUAUUCCACUCUCGCCGCCCUAGUUUCCGUCAUACCAGUGUUAUGUUCCCGGCUUUUGUGUUCCUUACGCGGUUGGGCGAUUUAUGGGACCCCCUUGACAGUUUGCUUUGAAUAAAACUCCUCCAGCAAGGCCCAACCUUGGUUUUACCAUUUGCCUCACCACCACCUAUACCCUUUCCCUUGGGUCGGCCAACCCGAGGGUCAUCUUUAUUUUAGCCCCCCCGGGCCAGUGCUUCUCUAAGUGCUGGUCUGAACCGGGCAGACUGCGGGGCCACCUCGAGGCAACUCGAGGGCUGGUUUUACUCGUAGGCUGACCUAUCCGGUGUUGCCCUGAGAACGAGAUAUGUGCAGCUCCUAUCGGGAUUGUCGGCGCAUCGGGUGGCUUUGCUGGUCUUGUUUUACCAUUGUCGAAAUGUCUUGUAAACCGGGAUUCCGAGUCUGAUCGGGUCUUCCUGGGAGAAGGUAUAUCCUUUAUUGAUCGCGAGAGCUUAUCAUGGGCUAAGUUGGGACACCCUUGCAGGGUAUAAUCUUUCGAAAGCCGUGCCCGUGGUUAUGUGACAGAUGGGAAUUUGUUAAUGUCCGGUUGUAGAUAACUUGACACCAGAUCCGAAUUAAAACGCAUCAACCGCGUGUGCAGCCGUGAUGGUCUUUUCUCGACGGAUUCCAGGAAGUGAACACGGUUUUUGGGUUAUGUUUGACGUAAGUAGGAGUUCAGGAUCACUUCUUGAUCAUUGCUAGCUUCACGACCGGUCCAUUUGCUCUCUUCUCGCUCUUAUUUGCGUAUGUUAGCCACCAUAUAUGCUUAGUCGCUGCUGCAACCUCACCACUUUACCCCUUCCUUUCCCAUUAAGCUUUGCUAGUCUUGAUACCCAUGGUAAUGGGAUUGCUGAGUCCUCGUGGCUCACAGAUUACUACAACAACAGCUGCAGGUACAUGUUCUGCGAUGAUCAUGACGUGAGAGCGAUGUCACUUGUCUUGGAGUUCUACUUUUGCUUCUUCUUCGAUCAGGGGAUAGGUUCCAGGUCGGCAGCCUGGGCUAGCAGGGUGGAUUUCAUUUGAGUUUUUGUUUGUGAUUCAUCCGUAGUCGGAUGUUGCUCUUACGUAUUGUGAUGUUGUAUUCGUGUGGCAUUGUAUGCCUUUUGUAUGUAUCCCCAUCUAUUAGGUAAUGUUGAUGUAAUGAUAUCCACCUUGCAAAAGCGUAUCAAUAUGCGGUUCUAUCCUUGGUGGGACCUUCGAGUCUCUUUAGGAUAGUAUCGCAUAUUGGGCGUGACAACCAACCGGUUGAUAGAAGCACAAAAUAAAAGAGAGAAGCAGCUCCAGAUUUCUUCGGGCUUAGGCAAGGCAUGUUUCAGCCUUAUAAAGGGUGCGGUCUUAGCAGAUGGAGACGGUAAACAUAGCUCUGGAGUUGAUGACCUUGCUCGCCAUGAACCACCAUCCCAGGUGCUUGCUUUAACUUCGCGGUGUCAUAUGUGUUUGCAUGUUGCAUAUGGUGUCUAGCUUGUAUCCGAAAGGCCGAAGUCGGUCUUUAUUAAGAUAAGGAAAGAUAUUUUUUACAUGAACCACCAUCCAGGGAGCACUAGAAGACAAAUAGCUAGCCAGGGCACUGGCCGAGCCAGUGACAAGCCCAGCACAGACAAGCAUCACCUGGAAUCCAACUACAAAGCCACGAUGGUGGCGAAGCAGCCCGCCUCCCACCAGGCUCUCAGGUCCUCGAUGAUCAUGCUCACCACUCCAGCCGGAUGUCUAGCUUGUAUUGCUUCCAAUUUUGUUAAAUUGCAUCUGCUUAGCUUACACAUUAUACCUUUGAAUAUGACAUGCCUUCCUAUUUUUGGUACAUACUAGUACAUCUGUCUAUUAACCAUGUUCUUACAUCAAACUAAUGUUCUUGUGUAUCCCUCAUCAAUCACUUAUGAUGAGACAGUCACCCCAGUGGGUUACUGUGAGAAAAUACGCUCUUUUAAACAAUGCAGCAUCAGCCUCCCCACAUGAUUCUUGAGAAACAACAAGGCUAGAUGAAUAUAGUGAAUGUAGCUAUGUAGUUGAUGAACGCAUUUCCCGUACACCAGCAUCGCAGGUGCUUGCUCUAACUUGGCAGCGUGAUACGUGGUUGCAUGUUGCAUAUGGUGUCUAGAUUGUAAUUCUUCCAAUCUGGUUAAAUUGUUGUCGGCGGGAAACGACACCUAUGGGAUCACUGGAAUCCCUUCUACGUUUGCGGGGCGCGGGAUCGUGAGAAGAGCAGGACUAGUAGACAACACAAAGGGGAUUUACCCAGGUUCGGGCCGAAGAGAUGCGUAAAACCCUACGAUCCUGCUUUGGUGGAUGUAUUUAGUGUUCUUGAGCUCUUGAACUAGCUCUGGGUGCUGCUAGGUUCAAAAGAGCCGAAUCCUUCUCCAGUGCGCCAUGGGCCUCCUUUUAUAGGCGAAAGGGGCUGCCACAGUGGCACACAGGAGGUGGAAAGUGCUACAGCACUGUGAACUUAUCGCUGGUAUUACAUGACAAAGCGCAUUUAAUGCGAGGCUUAGGUGUCCCUUCACUUUAUCGGGGAUGGGAGCGAGGCCCAUCCCACCCGUCGCUGCUCCUCCUUGCUUCGACACGUGCCCUGGCCAGCGAUGCAUGCGGUGCCAUGUAGGCAGGCAGGCAGCUGAGGUGGCGUGGUGGUGGAGCCUCCACAAAAGGCUGCAUGUUGCCACGCAGGUGCCUGCCCAGUUGGUUGGGUAAGCAGCUGCAUGCGAACAGCGGCGAAGACUUGGCUGGUGCGGGCCUGCCAGUGGCCCUACUGGCACGCUUGGUGAGGGCCUUGCCGGGUGGCCCGGCAAGGGUCUUGCCGUGGCGCGCAGUCGUCCCUAGCAAGGAUCUUGUCAGGGGUCUUGUGGGUUUCUUCGGUGAGGAUGGUUACCUUCCUAUCCUCAUUUGGUCUUGACUAUUCUUUGUCUUCACAAAGAUCUGCAUGCCACCACAGAGGUGCCUCCCGAGCCCUGUCCCAACGUGUUUGUUUAGCGUUGGUGGGCUCAAAGGUGGUUUGCUCAGCUAGUGGGGGCGAGCUGCCCCGACAAGGGUCUUGCCGGGGCUGAUGAGGCUGCCCCGGCAAGGGUCCUUGCCAGGGAAACCUGCUUCGUCCAUCUGAUCUUUGUGGCCUUGGUCCUUGUCGUUGCUUUGUUUGUCUUGUAUCUUCGACUUCUCUCCGGCUUCCCUUUCCUGCCCUGUUGUGCGAGGCCAUGGCGGGAGGCUCUGACUGCCCGUGCACAAGUAAAGGGGUCAAAAGGAGAGCCCCUACUUUUGUACACCGACAGGAGCCCUCGGGCCUGGGCCACACAUAAGCGCAGCAGGUUGUUAGGCCAGGGCUGGAAUGGUGCGCGGGCAGUUGGGGUGGAUUUUACCGCGGCCACUACUCCAUCUGCUGCGCUUCCCCAUGACCCGUGUUGAACGCGCCAUGUGGGGGUCAUGCGCGUGCGCAUGACGGAAGCAUGCUGGCAUCACCUUGUGGUGGACAGUAAAGUGGCGGCCUGCGUGUCUCUUUGAGACCGCAGGGCCGCCUCCCAUUUACUGCCCUCGCUUGGGAACCUCGCUCCACGUGUCCCACCGUGCCCGCCCCUUGUGCCACGUUCGUUGCAUGCAUAAUGCAGAGCGAAUGAUAGGCGCGUGGGAUGUGGGAAGUCGUGCGCGUGCAUGGGUCGAUUCCCACCGCCUUCAGUGGAGCGGGGAGGGCGGUCAACGGCCCCGCUUGCUGUCACUUCAGCGGGUUGGAUUGGCCGGGAGGGGCGGCCGAGCCUCGCCCCUGCCCCUUUUAAAAGAGGGGAGCGGGAGGAACGGUGCCUCUCAACCCUUCACCAUUUGCCUCUCCCCAUUCCUGCUUCCUCCUUUCUUCUGUCCUGGCGAGGGGGUGUGGUGAUGCUUCAUCGCUGGCGGUGAGGGUUUCGUCCAGACAGCGCACCGCUCCUCCCCAAGAGCUUGUAGCGGCGGAGCCGGCCGCUAGAGGAAGGGGGAGGGGCGAGGUCAGGGCCGUCGUGGUGCACGAGGGAGAGGACGGGGCGGCAGAUCAGCCUCGCCUCCGCCAGCAGCCCCUCCUCCGAUGGGGGGCCACACCGGGGAUAACCUCUGCGAAAUCUUCAUCAGGCUGCGCCAGCCACCGCGUCGUCGCCUUCGCCUCCCGAGUCCAUUUGCGCGGGAGAUGGAGCUGGAUCCGCCGCAGGCAUUGCGGCUGCAUAUGAGGGAUUGCGGGAACAGCAGCACAUGGGCCAACGUCGAGUUCCCUGCCCCUCACGUCAUGUAUCUUCACCGAGGGUGGAAGACCUUUGCUUGCCUCCACAGCUUGACGGAUGGGCUCACUCUCCAUUUCAAACUAAUGGAGGGUGGCCUCCUCUCCGUCAAGAUCUUCGGGCACUUCGGGACUCACAUAAGGUGCUGCGUGGAGAGCUCUUUUGACGACGAAGAUUCCUCCUCGACCGAGAGUGGCGAGGAAGACAAUGGCGGCGACAACGAGGCUAGCGGGCGGUAGGAUGACGGGUCCGACUAGGCGUCGGGCGCCGCUCCGAGCGGCACCGGUGACCCCAUCAUCCGUGUCGCCAGAUCCUUGAACUUCUCGGGGUCGUCUCCUUGGGCGGCUGGCGUUGGGAGGCUGCAGAAGAGGAAGAGGGCGGGCGGCAAGGCCGUCAAGUCAGAGUACGCGGGCACCGACGCCUUCGUCGCAUAUUGACGUCCUGCCACCUCGUCUUCAAGCUCUGCCUCCGGCGCCGCCAUCACCAUCCAGCCCUUGGACAGCCACCGAGAUGUUCUCUUGGUGUCUUCUGCCACUCGUAGCUCACCUAGGCGCCCCUCUUGCACUUCUGCUUUCUUGUUCCGUUUCCUGAGAAGAGGGACAAGAAAGGGAUUAUGGGCACCUUAUCUUUUUUUAGUCUUGUAAGCCUUCGGGACUUUGUUAACUUUAGAACUUGUAGCCCCCUUGCUCAUGUUUUUCAUUUCGUAUGAACUGUACCUGUACGGGGUGUUUUUUUAGUGAAAAGGUUUGUUUGCCGGGUUUUUCGUUCGCAGGCGGAACCCACGACAAGGAGUGAAUCCUCGUUAUCCUUAAGAUAAAAUGUUUUUUCACCCAGCAACAGGCCUUGCCGUCCCCCCAAUUCGCUCGACCUUUCUCACGCCCUUAGCGGAGGCAGGGAUGAGGUGGGCUUAGGCUCCUCGUUUUAUUUCCUUGAUGUCGCGACUAUGACCAAACUCGGUCCCAGGAGAUGAGUCCUAGGGUCCGGAAUGAGGGGAGCAUGGUAGCCUAAGGAUAAAACGAGGUUUCACAUACCUCAGUCCAUAACGAAACGCAUGAUAGGGGAUAGAUAACUUAUCUGGAUCUGCAGCCCCCGGGAAGCUUGUCUUGCCGUGGAUGGAUCCUUGCUCUUGUAGCCCCCGGCAACUUUGGCUUGCCGGGGCCCGGACGCCGGUCCGUCCCGUUUCUUCCAAAGCAGCUCGGCAAGGAUAUUCAUGUGUCCUGCGAACCAAAGAAGACAGAGAAGAACCGAGAGACGCGCACUCGACCUCUAAGCUAGGGGUUAGCCGCCGCUAAGCACUAUCAACCCUAACCAAGGAAGAGACUCAACCUAGCAUGCAUGCUAUAACUUAGGGCGCCAGCGCUUUGUUUAUUUAUGCUCAGGGUCUGCGCCUGGCUUUGUACAAAGGGUUACAUGCCUUGUCGGCAAGGCUUGUACAAAAGGGUGGCUUGCCAGGAGGCCCGGCAGCCGCGCCUUGUGGGUAAAACUUGCGGAGAUGCUCGAUGUUCCAGGAGUUGCUCACUGGAAUGGCAUCUUCGAUCUCCAGCCAGACUGCGCUGGGCCUGGUGACUCGUGUUACCCGAUAAGGGCCUUCCCACUUUGGCGUCAACUUGUUGGAAUUCUUGGCCGACUGAACAUGCUGAAGAACAAGGUCGCGUUCCUCAAAUCUCCGGGCAUGAACCUUGCGGCUAUGGUAGCGGCGCAAGGCUUGCUGGUAGCAUGCUGCUCUCACAGCCGCCCGAAGAUGAUCUUCCUCAAGGAGCGUCGCGUCAUCUUGCCGUAAUCGCUCUUGCUCAAGCUCAUCAUAAGCGAGCACUCGAGGUGACCCGUAUAUGAGUUCUGUGGGGAGAACUGCUUAUGCCCCGUAAACCAGGGCAAAGGGUGCCUAGCCAGUGGCUCGAUUUGGCGUUGUUUGAUCGACCAAAGAACCGCCGGCAACUCAUCAAUCCAGCACCUUCUGCUCUUGCGCAGCCUAUCAAAAGUCUUCGUUCUUAAGCCUCGCGGGACUUCAGCAUUUGCUCUCUCUGCUUGGCCGUUGCUCCGUGGAUGUGCCACGGAAGCAAAACAGACCCUGCUGCCAAGAUCUUCAAUGUAUUGCAUGAAGGCAUGGCUUGUGAACUAUGUGCCGUUGUUGGUGAUGAUCCCUUUGGGCACCCCGAAAUGGCACACUAGCCCUUGAAGAACUUGGUGGCUGACUGCACUAUCACCUUCCUCACUGCUUCCACCUCUGCCACUUUGUGAACUUGUCAAUUGUGACAUACAAGUACUCAAAGCCCCCGACAGCACGGGGGAAAGGGCCCAAUAUGUCGAUCCCCCAGACCGAGAAAGGCCAGGAGAGAGGGAUAGUUUGAAGGUCUUGAGCUAGUUGAUGGAGCUUCUUUGAAUGGAACAGGCAUGCUUCACACUUGGUUACUAGUGCCGUCGCAUCCUGGAGGGCGGUGGGCCAGAAGAAACCUUGCCUCAAAGCCUUGCCGGCAAGGGCUCUCGACCCUAUGUGGGAGCCACAUAUACCUCCAUGUAUCUCUGCCAACAGCUUUAGUCCUUCCUCCCGGGAGAUGCACAUCAAUUUCACCGCAUUCGGUCUUCUUCUGUACAAUACGUUAUCAACAAAUUGGUACAGAGCAGACCGGCGGGCUACUCUUUCUGCCUCUUCCUGCUCCUCAGGAAGCUCUCCUUUUUGAAGGAAUCGGAUGGUGUGCUACGCCCAUGUCGGAGCCUGUGGCUCGAUGACAAGGACCAAAGGCAUCUCUUCUGCCACGGGAGCGGCCCCCUCCACGGCCAUGACCUGAGGUCCUGCCGGAGUCGGUUGCCUCGCGGCAGGAUCGGCAUCCACGGCAACAUAUUCGCCGGUAGCUCCGGGGAGCUCGGUGGGGAAGUACUUUCCGGGGCCUAGCUUCCUCCGCUUGUUCUGCCCGGUCGACGGCUCAACGGAUGGUUGGGUUAACUGAAGCACAAAAGUACCUGGUUCCACAAGUAGCUUGAGGGCAGCGCGCUUUGACAGGUAGUCGGCGAUGUCAUUCUCCACUCGAGGGACAUGCUCCGCUUGUAUACCGUCAAAGCGCUCCUCCAGUUUCCUCACCUCAUCUACGUAAGCUUCCAUCAACGGGCUUUGAUAAUAUUUGUUGACCUGCCUGACGAUGAGCUGCGAGUCGCCCCUGACGAUGAGCCUUUUAACUCCGAGGUCUGCCGUGAUCCUGAGACCGGCAAGCAAACCCUCGUAAUCGGCGGUGUUGUUGGUUGACAUCUCCCAGGGGAAGUGCAUCUGGAAGACAUACUUGAGGUGCUCUCGGGUGGGUGCGACAAGUAGUACACUAGCACCGGCGCCUUGCAGCGAGAUGGCACCAUCAAAGUACAUGAUCCAGUUGCAGCUCGUUUCCUUGCCGGGGAGAGCGGUCUCCUGUACCUCUUAGUCGGGCGUCAAGGUCCAUUCUCCAACAAACUCUGCCAAGACUCUGCUCUGAAUUGUCAAGGUACUUUCAAACUUCAGACCGAAACUUGACAGCUCCAGGGCCCAUUCCACAAUCCUCCCCGUUGCAUCUGGGUUAUGCAGUAUCCGUUGCAAUGGGAGGUGGGUGACCACCGUGAUCUCGUGCGCUUGGAAGUAAUGGCGCAGCUUCCUCGAAGCCAUAAGGAGGCCGAAGAGCAGAUUUUGCACACAUGAGUACCGCGACCUAGCCCCCUGCAAGAGGGAGCUGACAAAGUAAACUGGGUGUUGUACCAUUUUCUUCUUCAACGCCUCUUCACUCGGUCGCGUGGGUCCUGUCGUCCUGGCGUCAGCCUCUGCCGGGGACUCAAUCUUGCCGGGAUUGAGCCCUGCCAUGGAGGGUUUCGGCUUGCCAUCUGUUGGCCCUGUCGCUGCUGCUGCCUUCUCGUCGACCUCUCUCUGCACCACUAGUGCGGUGCUAACCACCUGAUUUGUUGCCGCUAGAUAAAGCAGCAACGGUUCUUGUGGUUUGGGCGCAACCAGCACUGGGGUAGAGGAGAGGUAUCUCUUCAAAUCCUGCAGCACUGCCUCGACCUCUGGGGUCCACUCCACUGGCCCAGCCUUCUUCAAGAUCUUGAAAAAAGUAAGGGCACGCUCCGCGGACUUGGAGAUGAACCGGCUCAUGGCGGCAACGCAACCAGUGAGUCGAUGCACGUCCUUGAUCCGUUUGGGUGCCUCAAUCUACUUGAUGGCCUUGAUCUUAUCUGGGUUUGCUUCAAUCUCGCGCUUGGACACAAAGAACCCGAGAAGCUUGUCGAACGGGACACCAAAAACACACUUCUUAUGGUUCAAUUUGAGGUUGAUCUUGCACAGGUUCCCCAAUGUUUCCUCCAGAUCUUGCACAAGGGUUACUUUGUCCUUGGUUUUGACCACUAUGUCAUCCAUAUAAGCUUCCAUAUUUCUAUGUAGCUGGGACUCAAAACCAAUUUGGACUGCUCUUGCAAAGGUUGAGCCAACACUCUUCAACCGAAAGGCAUCCGUAAAAAGCAAUACGUACCACUGGGGUGAUGAAUGCUGUCUUUUCCUCAUCUUCUUUUGUCAUGAAGAUCGGGUGGUAUCCCGAGUAGGCGCCAAGGAAUGAUAACAGGUCACACCCAGUCGUGGAGUCAACAAUCUGGUCGAUGCGUGGUAACGGGAAGGGAUCCUUUGGACAUGCCUUAUUGAUGUCUGUGUAGUCAAUACACGGCCUCCACUUCCCAUUUGCCUUGCGCACCACUACCGGAUUGGCCAACCACGUCAGAUGGAGUACUCCUCUCACCAAGCCUGCCACCUCUAGCUUUCUGAUUUCCUCCAUGAUGAACUCCUGCCUCUCCAGAGCUUGCUUCCUGACCUUCUUCUUGACGGGCCGCACAUGAGGACAGACAGCAAGGUGGUGCUCAAUCACCUCCCUGGGAACGCCGGGGAUGUCGGAGGCUUGCCAUGCAAACACAUCGACAUUCGCCCACAGGAAGGUGAUGAGCUCGCUUUCCUAUUUGUUGUCGAGGGUGGAGCUUAUGGUAAAAGCUCCCCCGUGCCGUCCUCCUUGACGGACACCUUCUUGGUCUCUGGUGGUGUAGCUCUGGACUUCUUGCUCCUGUCGGCGGAGCUCUCUGGCACGUUCUCAACGGAAGCGCAACACCCCGAAGAGGUGCGCUUACCGGAGUGGGUGCGAGGGGUCUCACCAGUCUUCUUCCCCCCGGGGCUCCGUCGGCAGGAGCAGGUGCUUUAGCGGCAGCUGCUGCAACUGCUUCCCGAUAGAGUUGAUCAGCACAGAUCAAUGCAUCUUUCUUGUCGGAGGGGACGGUGAUGAUGUUCAUCGGCCCGGGCAUCUUCAGCAUGUUGUAGGCGUAGUGUGAAGCCUCCAUGAACUUGGCUAGUGCCGGGUGGCCGAGGAUCCUGUUGUAAGGCAAGGGGAUCUCGGCUACAUCGAAAACAAUCCUCUCCGUCCUGUGGUUCAGCUCGCCUCCGAAUGUCACGGGCAGCAUGAUCUUUCCCUUUGGCUGGCUCCUCCCUGGGUUAAACCCUUGGAACGUGCCCGUCUCCUCGAGGUCUCCAUCAGGGAUCUGCAGCCUUUUGAUCAUAACAGGCGAGAUCAAGUUCAGGCCAGCCCUGCCAUCAACCAACAUCUUCGUCACCUUGAGGUUGCGGAUUGUUGGUGAAACCAACAAUGGCAAGCACCCGACCGCAGUAGUGCGGUCAGGGUGGUCCUCAGUGUCGAAGAUGAUGGGCAUGAUGGACCAUUUCAGCGGCUUCCGUGACUCGAACGAUGGCUCCACCACUGUGACCUCACGCGCCCACUGCUUGAGUUGGCGGUGGGAUGUAUGCAGCGAGGCGCCACCAUCGACGCACAUGGCCUUUGUGGCUUUUUGAAACUCGUGGUCGCCGGACUCAUCGUCCUCGUCAUGAUCAUCCUCUUCCUGCUUCUUGUCGUGGCCCCGGGCGGGCCUCUCUUGCUAAUUAUCCUUGUCGCGGCGGCCUCCUUGGCCGCCACGUUUCUUGUCGGAUCCCUCGGCACCAUCUGGGCCUUUCUCCUUGUCCCGCCGCCCAUACUCGGCUCUCUGCUUCUCGGCGAGCAGCUCUAUCUGCCGGCAGUUCUGGAGAUCAUGGCCCUUAGUGCGGUGGAUCUUGCAGUACUGCUUUUCGGAGCCUCCUUGCUUGUCGGCAGCUGCCAAGGCCCGGCAAGCAUCGCACCCGGCAACCUCCUUGCCGAGGUCGCUCGCCUUGGUCUUCUUGGUGGCGACGGUGUCGUCGGAUCCCUCGGCGGCAAUCAUGUCCUUGCCCUUGCGCUUCCUGUUACGGUGUCGACCUUUCUUCGCUGGGGUGGCGGUGUUGCCAGUGGAGUCGGUUUUCACACCGGCAUCUUCACCGGGGUACUUCCUUCCCUCUUCAGCACGAGCGCAUCGAUCGGCCAGAACAUAGAGCUCGGCCACAUCCUUAACCAUGUUCAUCGCCAGCUCUUCACGCAUCUUGCGAUUAAGCAUGUUCUGAUGGAACGCACUGAUCAUGGCAGCGGGAUGAACAUCGGGGAUGUUGUACUGCACCCGGCUGAACCUUUGGAUGUACUUGCGCAAGUUUUCUCCUUCCUUCUAAGGGAUGAUGUGUAAAUCACUCGCCUGACCAUGAGCUUGGUGACCUCCGGUAAAGGCGCCAACAAACUCAUGGCACAGAUUCACCCAAGAAGAGAUGGAAUCCACCGGCAAGUGCAUCAACCAUGACAUAACAUUAGGCUUGAGUGCCAACGGAAGUAGUUGGCAAGCACCUUAUCGUCGCGGGCCCCAGCAGCUUGCAUCGCGAUGGUGUAAAUGCUGAGGAACUCUGACGGGUGAGUCUUGCCGUUGUACUUCUCGCCAACAUCGGGCUUGAGCGUAUGGUGGUAGGGCCACUGGAACUGCCGCAGCUCACGGGUGAAAGCCAGACAACCCACGUCAUAAGGUAGGCCACCGUAGCCUCCCGACGCUGGGUGGUCCGUAGCGGGCCCUGCCCGCCUGUCCGACUGGUGGCGAGCGUCACAUCGGCGCUCGAUCGUAGUUCGAGCGUCCUCAUGAGCCCGCUCCCAAAGGACUUGACGCUAAUCGCAGUUGGUGCACGGGUCGGACGACGCGAUGGAGAUGCCGUCUCAAGCAUUGUCGCGAUGAACCGAUGCCCGGGGUGGCCGGGAUGGAGGAGGGGAGUACACUGUGGCCGCAUCGCCUCCGGCAUGGCCCCCGCUAGGAUGCGGCGGCCCGGCAGAGUGACGGCCUACGGGUCCUGUUGGCUGCAACUCAUCGUUGUUGGCGAUGCUAACGAGGCUCCGGACGGUGGCCCUCCAUUCAUCGAGCUUCUCCCUGGUGGGAGUAAAAUCGAGGAGCAGAUGCGCGCGUGCUAGGGCCUCCGCUCGCGUGGGCGGCGGCGAAGGCUGGGUGGCCCGCGAUGCACCUCGACUUCUAACCAUGUUAGAAGGAGCUGUGUCACGACCCCGCAGCCGUUCGCUACCUUCAUCAGCACCUUGGCGCGCACGCUGGCCUUCCUCAUCAUGUGAUGGGCGCGUCGGAUUCUUCCCAGGGCGGCACGCAGGGUCACAGGCAGGGUGACGCUGCUCAUCGCGCACGACCUGGGAAGAGCGCGCCAUGGGCGCCGGUGUUGGCGUCUUGGAGGUCGCCGCGCCAUCGUUUGCCGGGAUGGCGGCGCCCCUGGAGGGCCCCGCGCUGCCUGCAGGGGGGCCGACUCCACCUCUGGAGCCCGCGACUGGUGGCUCAUCGCCUGGUGCGUGAACGACGCCACUCGCCAGGCCUGAACCGCCAGGGUGAUGUGGGUGUUCGCGGGCCACGCCACGGGUCCUCUCCACGACUGGCCCGCUACCGGUCCACACCGGUACCAGCCCAGUCCCGGACAAACCGAUCGCCGUGGUCGUCUUCUUCUUAGGAGCCAUGGCGAUGAAGAAUAGCUAGGUCAACUGCUAGACCAGAUUCUCACAAUUGCGCCCCCUACCUGGCGCGCUAAAGAUGUCGGUGGGAAACGACACCUAUGGGAUCACUGGAAUCCCUUCUAUGGUUGUGGGGCGCGGGGAUCGUGAUAAGAGCGGGACUAGUAGACAACACAAAGGGGAUUUACCCAGGUUUGGGCCGCAAAGAUGCGUAAAACUCUACGAUCCUCCUUUGGUGGAUGUAUUUAGUGUUCUUGAGCUCUUGAACUAGCUCUGGGUGCUGCUAGGUUAGAAAGAGACGAAUCCUUCUCCAGUGCGCCAUGGGCCUCCUUUAUAGGCGAAAGGGGCUGCCACAAUGGCACACAGGAGGUGGAAAGUGCUACAGCGCUGUGAACUUAUCGCUGGUAUUACAGGACAAAGCACAUUUAAUGUGAGGCUUAAGUGUCCCUUCACUUUAUCGGGGACGGGAGCGAGGCCCAUCCCAUCUGUCUCCGCUCCUCCUUGCUUCGACACGCGCCCUGGCCAGCGAUGCAUGCAGUGACAUGUAGGCAGGCAGGCAGCUGAGGUGGCGUGGUGGUGGAGCCUCCACGAAAGGCUGCAUGUUGCCAUGCAGGUGCCUGCCCAGCUGGUUGGGUCGGCAGCUACAUGUGAACGGCGGCGAAGACUUGGCUGGUGCGGGCCUGGUAGUGGCCCUGCUGGCGCGCUUGGUGAGGGCCUUGCUGGGUGUCCCGGCAAGGGUCUUGCCGUGGCACACAGUCGUCCCUGGCAAGGAUCUUGCCGGGGGUCUUGUGGGUUUCUUCAGUGAGGAUGGUUGCCUUCCUAUCCUCAUUUGAUCUUGACUAUUCUUUGUCUUCACAAAGAUCUGUGUGCCACCACAGAGGUGCCUCCCGAGCCUUGUCCCAACGCGUUUGUUUAGCGUUGGUGGGCUCAAAGGUGGUUUUCUCGGCCGGUGGGGGCGAGCUGCCCCAGCAAGGGUCUUGCCGGGGCCGCUGAGGCUGCCCCGGCAAGGGUCCUUGCCGGGGAAACCUUCUUCGUCCAUCUGAUCUUUGUGGCCUUGGUCCUUGUCAUUGCUUUGUUUGUCUUGUGUCUUCGGCUUCUCUCCGGCUUCCCUUUCCUGCCCUGUUAUGCGUGGCCGUGGCGGGAGGCUCUGACUGCUCGUGCACAAAUAAAGGGGUUAAAAGGAGAGCCCAUACUUUUGUACACCGACAAUUGCAUGUGCUAUUUUGCUUAGUUUAUACAUUAUACCUAUUAAUGUGACAUGACUUCCUAUUUUUAGUACAUAGUACAUCUGUCUAUUAAGCAUGUCCUUACAUAAAACUAUUGUUUUUUUGUAUCCCGCAUCAAUCAAUAUGACGAGACACCUUUAGUAUAUGCAGUGUGAUAUUAGUUGCAUCUUUCAUAUGAUUUAUAGCAUGUGUUGCUUCUAAUUUUUUGAAACGUCAUUUAAGAUGGGACGCUUUUAACUUGGCAGAGUCAUAUUGGUUGCAUAUUUCAUGUGGUGUCUAGCUUGCAUUGCUUCUUAUUUGUUGAAAUGGCUUCUGCUUAGUUCACAAAAAUAGUUGUGAAUAUGACAUGUCGUCCUGUUUUUCAUACAUAUUCCAUCCUGGUAUCAUGUGUUUGCCUUACAUAACAGUAGUGAUUGUCAGUAUCAUGCACGAAUGAGUUCUGAAGAGUGAAUUUUAUUGCUUUUUCUUGUCGGUUUUACUUGACAAUUCAAAAUCAAUAAAGCGGAAGGAAAUUAGCAAGGCAGUGGAUAAAGGUGUUCCUUCCAAACGGGGGGCCUCUACAGAUUCUACUCUGCCACCCCCCAAGAUUAUUUGCAAGACAACACAUGCAUAGAAACUCAACAUAGUUGUGUUGAUGAUGAGCACAUCUCCCCUAGUGCACCAUCGCAGGUGCUCCCUCUAACUUGGCACUGUUAUAUGUGGUUGCAUGUUAUGUACGAUGUCUAGCUUGUAUUGCUUCUAAUUUUGUUGAUUCCAUCUGCUUACUUUACACAUUAUACUUGUGAAUAAGACACGUGUUCUUGUUUCUAGAACAUACAAUAUAUGUCUAUCACACCAUGUUCUUACAUCAAAGUUGUAUUUUUGUGUAACCUGCAACAAUCACUUAUCAUAAGACACGUUUGACUUGGGAGUGUGAUAUAGGUUACAUCUCGCAUUCUUUUCUAGCUUGUACUACUUCUAAUUUUUUGAAAUGGCACUUAUGACGAGACAAUUUUAACUUGGUAGAGUGAUAUUCAUUGCAUCUUUCAUAUGGUGUCUCGCUUUCAUUGCUUCUAAUUUGUUGAAAUGUCUUCUGCUUAGUUUACACAUCAUAGCUGUGAAUAUGCAAUGUUGUCCAUUUUCUUACACAUUCAAUCGUCUUAUCAUGCGGUCGCCUUACAUUAAAGUAGUGCUCAUCAGCAUCGUGCGUCAAUGAGUUCUGAAAAAGCGAAUUUGUAUUCAUUUUUCUUGUGGGUUUGACUUGACAAGGCAAUGCAAUUAAGAAAUAGGAAGGAAAAAAUAAGGCAGGGACUGAUGGCGGUCUUCCGGCGAAACCGACAUCCCAUGUGCUUUCUCUAGCUUGGCAGUGUGAUAUUGUCUUGCAUGUUGCAUACGGUGUCUAGCUUGAAUUGCUUCUUAUUUGUUGAAAUGGCUUCUGCUUACUUUAAACAUCAUAGUUCUGAUUAUCUCAUCUCGUCCUAUUUUUCGUACAUAUUACAUCCUCCUAUCAUGUGGUUGUCCAACAUCAAAGUUCAGUUUGUUUGUAUCACACAUCAAUUUGUUCUGAAGAACUAAAUUUUUAUUCCUUUUUCUUGUUGGCUUGACUUAACAUGGCACAAAGAAAGAGGAAGGAACACAGAAUGACAGGGGGUGGUGUUAGUACUAAGGACACACGGAAACAGAAGCGGAACAAUUAUGCAGAUUCUACUGGUACUGAUGGUGCAAUAGAAGGUCAAAGUCCAGCGAAAAAUUGUACAAACGGGUAUCCCGUGCUACACGAGUUGCAAAACAAGCCAAACAGAAACCAAUAGCUGCCACCAAACAAGCAGAGACAGCCCUAGUUGUUGCAACACCUUCCAGAGUACCACCAGCUGCACGAGUUACUCGUUUGUCAACUCGGCUAGCAGCACGUUCCCAAGCUCCCUUGCCACCUGACACUACUUCCGAAGCACUCUUGACACAAGAUGAGUUGGCAAGAUCAGAUGAACCAUGUGAGCUUCAACAGCAAGAAGGUAGUUGUUGGAGUCAAGUUAUAGUUAGAUUCUUCUUUAUAUGUAGUCUCACAGUUUGAUGUACACUAACACUUCCUAUGUUUGUUGUUAGACUAGCACCUAGGCGCAAGAGGAAACAAAUUAGGUUAACUAAAUCUAGAGGAGGAAGAAUGGAGAUCCAUUUUGAGGCAGGUUUAAAAAGACCACGUGAUGCUACAGAGUCAGCCAAGUUAGUAUCAGAGGCAGCAGUUGCCAUUAGGUGUCAUGCACGUAUCCUCCCAACAUGGAUUCAGUACAGGAAUGACAAAUACGAAACCCAGUUCAACACCUUCCUCGACCAUUUAUCUAUAAGUAUGGUUAUGUAUGGAAACUAGUAAUAUCGUCUUGCUUUGUCCCAUACUUUCUAGGUUGCUGAUAAUCAGACUCCCAUAAUUUUCAACAGAUGAGGUUCAAGUUGGAUAGCCAAGAUGAUGCAACCAGACAAGCUUGCACCCAUGUUUUCAAGUUUGCUCUGCGGUAAUAUCGGUAUAACUUGAGGAAAACUCACUUUGAAGGCAAGGCUAAUAGUGAACUUGCCCAAACAUCUCCAGUGGAAAAUAUAUCAGAUGAAGACUGGAGAGGCCUCGUUAAACACUGGUCUGAUCCAAAGUAUUAGGUACGUUAUAUGUAUGUGAUCAGAUCACAUGUUGAACUCCUAUUUACGCAUGUGCCUCACAAAUCUAUCUUCUUGUAGGUGAACUGUUCAAACAACAAGGCCAACCGUACGAAAGUGAAAUUCCAAUAGACGACAGGAUCUCGUAGUUAUAUUGCACACUGCGAGGCUCUUGUAAUUAACUGUUGUUUCACUCUUUUCGUUGUGCCAUAUUAUCAGAUCUACAUUGACUUGUUCCAAAUGUAGAGGAAAUCCCGCAAGGACCAAAAAGUACCUGAACCAAAUGUUGUGGAAAUCUUCAAGGACUGUCACACCAGCAAGACGAAGGGCAUGACUACACUAGUCAAAGCCGAUGUUGUAAGUCCUUAAUCCUCAUGCCUUUUAACUACUACUUACUCUGACUCAUGCAUUGAACUGCAUGGAUUGCAGCCAAUGUCUAUUGCUCUUUUCAAUUUUAUACACAAUUGUCUUAGCGUAUCAUUGCACCUUACAAGGUUUAAAAGAGAGGAGUGAUGUUCCUUCGAUCUUGAUCUGUAAUCUAAUUCUGUGCUGGACUUGCCCACACAACAUUACAAUUGUAUGUUUGUCUGUUCACAGUUGUUUUGUGAUAUGAAUGAUGUCAUACUAUGCUUACCGUAUUAUAAACUUUGUCUCUUCAUCCUUGGCUGUCAAUACAAUGUGAAGAAAUAGACAAUACAUUAGCCAUGGUACAUGGUCAUAUGUUUGGAACCUGGUUUUAUUAUGUACUUUGCAGUAAAAUACAACUAAUAUUUUACACGGGUUCACCAGAAUAAUUUCUGUAUAUAGACCAAAGCUAUUUUGUUUGGUUUUGUUGCCUCCUUAAUAUCUUCUGUUCUGGUACUAAUAAUGUAAAAACUCAACUUUUCAGCAAGCUAUGGAAAAAAUGGUGGAACCACCACCUUCUAAAGGUGACGAGGCAACUAUAACCGUAAUGUCACCUCUUGCUGGUUAGUACUUGUCCACUAACAGUGCCAAAAGCAUGUUCCUGCGUAAUACUGGGUUGGUUGUCAAGGCAAUCUCAUCCAAACUGCCUCAUGAUCAAGAUAUGCAAGAUCAAAACAAUGUUAUAUCUACACUCCAGACACAUGUCCAUUCCCUAACAGAGACCCUUUGUGAAACAAGGACAACCAUUGUUCGAUUCGUCAAGAUAAGCAUGGUUUUGAAACCAGACUAUCAGACAUUUGCUAUGUUGUUCAGGAGCCUAGGAGAAAUGGAGGCGAAGAUUAUGGUGCUCCAUCAGACAAUACAGCAUGAAAACGUAACAGUCAGGUCAAAUGAACUGAGCUUCUGAACUUCCGGUGGUGCAUUUAUCUGCCAUACUGUUAACUUUUAUGCCAACCUUCCUUUUGUUUUAUGGUUGUAAUUUGUUUUGUUGCGAUACAAAAUUUGUUCUUAACAUGCAUCCAUCGACUGAAGAAAACAGCAAGGCGUUUUUUGUAUAAUGUAGAGUGUUCCCUAUAUUCGCACUGGUGGCGAACUUUGAUGCCCAGUGGAUGUAAUCUGUGCAAUUGCCUUAAUAGCUUAGCGUUAGUUUCGGGCUUAUUUAUUUCCUAGUCUUCUUUUCCCCUGGUUUGCUAGUGGCCACAACAACCAUGGGCCAUAUAUGGACCGUGGUAACCUUGACCCUGCUACAGGCCAUAGGAUCCAUGGGCCUCCUACGGACCGUCGGAUAAAUGGGCCUCCAACGAGCCGUAGAAUCGGUGGGCCUCGGGCCAUCGGAUAAAUGGGUCCACAUGGGUCGUAAACGGGUGUAAUUGGUAUCGGGCCAGCACGGUAACGGGCCAUUAACAGGACGAAAGACAGCAAAGGCUUAAUUCUGUAACAGGCAUAACGGGUCGUUAAUGGGCCAGAAUAUAGGAUGGGCUGGAAACGGCACAACGGGUUAACAGGCCACAAAUGAGCCGAUUCUAGCCACAGGCGGAAUUUGGCCCAUUAGGGGAAUAGGCCAGUAACGGGUAGGAAGUAAUCAAGGGCCGGAAAGGAGCCCAAGAACGUAUGGGCUGUCAGUAGGCCGAAAGCUAACAUGGGAUGGAAAUGGCCCAUGUGAAUCAGGGGCCGUUAAUGGGUACAAAUAAAUUUACUAUUCAUUAUGGCCUAGAGUUACCGUGGGCCACUAAAGGGCCUAAAGAUACGAAAGGCCUCAUAUGGGUCGGAAGACAUCGUGGGCCAUACGUGGGCCGUAAGUGAAAUGGGAUGGUGUUAUAUUCGACGGCCCACAUGACGCUGUUGGGCCAAUUUGGGAAGGCCCUAAUGGGCCGUGAGUUACCGGGCCAUAAAAUGGGCUAUAUGCGAACAGACCGUUAACACGCUUUUCAUGGGCCGGUCCGCUAACUUUUGACCAAGUCAAACGAGUCGGCCUUUGUAAGAUAAAUGGGCCAGUGGUGGGCUAUCUCACGUGUCGACAUAUCAUAGGCACCUAUCUGACCUAAUGACGAGCUGACGCGUGUUUCCUUCGGCCAAUGAGAAUUUUACACGUGGAAAAUCCCCAUUGGUCUGACCCAAAAUCGGACCCGAUAGCUUAAGGGCGACCUGUUACGGUGGAUGCCACGUGUCGGUUACCCUUGACGAAAGAACUUCCAUGACACGUCAUUUGUCUUCAUGGAAGUGAACACUUCCGUGAUGAUAAUUUUGGUAUUGUCAUGGAGCACUUCUAGGACAGCACAGGUAUGACUAUCUUGAUUCUGUCAUAAAAUCGUCAUGGAUGUACAUACAUGACAGAAAAGGUGACCUACUGUGACAAACAUGUAUCAUCACGGAAGUGUACUUAUUUGUAGUGUUAUAGCUCUUAGUGCAUCCGUUGCAUGGCAAUCCCUACUCCUCGCAUUGAUAUCAAUUGAUGGGCAUCUCCAUAGCCCGUUGGUUAGCCGCAUCAAUGUGAGACUUUCCUACCUUUUUGCCUUCUCUAUAUUUACCCCUAUCAUCAUACUCUAUUCCACCAGAAGUUCUAUAUCCAUGGCUUGCGCUCAUGUAUUGUGUGAGGGUUGAAAAAGUUGAAGCGCGUUAAAAAGUAUGAACCAAUUGCUCGGCUUGUCAUCGGGGUUGUGCAUGAUAAAUACUUUGUGAAGAAGACAGAGCAUGACAAGACUAUACGAUUUUGUAGGGAUAACUUUCUUUAGUGUCGAUAUUUUGAAAGACAUGAUUGUUUGUUGGGAUGUCUGAGUAUUGAUGUAUUUAUGUCAAAUUAUAGACUAUUGCUUUGAAUCACUUGUGUCUUAAUAUUCAUGCCAUGAUUAGAUAUAUGAUCAAGUUUAUGCUAGGUAGAAUUCCACAUCAAAAAUUAUCUCUUUAUCAUUUACUUACUCGAGGAUGAGUAGGAAUUAAGAUUGGGGAUGUUGAUACAUCUCCAUCGUAUCUAUAAUUAUUGAUUGUUUCAUGCCAAUAUUAUACAACUUUCACAUACUUUUGGGCAACAUUUUAUAUGAUUUAUUGGACUAACCUAUUGAUCCAGUGCCCAGUGCCACUUCCUGUUUUUUGCAUUUUCUUCUGCAAAAAUUCCAUAUCAAACAAAGUCCAAACGCAAUAAAAAUUUGUAGAGAAUUAUUUUGGAAUAUAUGUGAUUUUUGGGACUUGGAAUCAAUGCAAACGGAGGCCCACUGUGACCAAGAGACACUAGGGCGCGCCACAGGCUCCAGGCGCGUGGUGGUGGGUUUUGCUCACCUCAUCAUCAGUUGGAGCUCUACUUCGGGCGCAAGGAAGCUUAUAUCCGGAAAAAAAAUCGUGUUAAAAUCUCAGCGCAAUCGGAGUUACGGAUCUCCGGGAAUAUAAGAAACGGUUUUCGGCCAGAUCUGGGGAACGCGAAACAGAAGCGAACAGAGAGGGAGAUCCAAUCUCGGAGGGGCUCCCACCCCUCCACUGCCAUGGAGGCCAUGGACCAGAGGGGGAACUCUCCUCCCAUCUAGGGGGAGGCCAAGGAAGAAGAAGAAGGAGGAGGGCUCUCUCCCCCUCUCUCCCGGUGGCGCCAGAGUGCCGCUGGGGCAAGGAUCAUGACGGUGAUCUACAUCGACAACCUUGCUACCGUAAACACCAACUUUCUCCCCCUCUAUGCAGCGGUGUAACACCCCUUCUCCUCGCUGUAAUCUCAACUUAAACAUGGUGCUCAACUCCAUAUAUUAUUUCAAUGAUCUAUGGUUAUCCUAUGAUGUUUGAGUAGAUCCGUUUUGUCAUGUGGGUUAAUCGUGAUCUUGGUUGGUAUGAUUGUAUAUUUUAUUUAUGGUGUUGUCCUACGGUUCCCUCCAUCUCGCGCAAACAUGAGGGGUCCCCGCUGUAGGGUGUUGCAAUAUGUUCAUGACUUGCUUAUGGUGGGUUGCGAGAGUGACAGAAGCUUAAACCCGAGUAAGUGGGUUAUGGCGCAUGGGAGUAAAGAGGACUUGAUACUUAAUGCUAUGGUUGGGUUUCAUGACCUUAAUGAUCUUUAAUAGUUGCGGAUGCUUUCUAAGGGUCCAAUCAUAAGUGCAUAUGAUCCAAGUAGAGAAAGUAUGUUAGCUCAUGCUUCUCCCUCAUAUAAAAUUUACAAGAAUGAUUACCGGUACUUGUUAUCGAUUGCCUAGGGACAAAUGACUUUCUUGUUGACAAAAGCUAUCUACUUUUACUACCUUGCAUUUUAUUCAUAGUUUUAUUCUCACAAAGUACUCGUAGUUUUAUUCUUGCAAAAUAGUUUUAUACUUGUUCUAGGUAAAGCAGACAUCAAGUGUGCCUAGAGUUGUAUCGGUGGUUGAUAGAACAUGAGGUAAUAUUUGUUCUGCCUUUAGGUACUCGUUGGGUUCGACACUCUUAUUUAUAGAAGAAGGCUACAAAUGAUCCCCCACACUUGUGGGUUAUCAGAACUAGUGGACCUGUUGCGCCAAACGGCACAGAGGCACCCUAAAUCCAUGUGCGCGAAGAAAAAUAUAUCCAUGGUUCAAUCACCUUUAAUAGGAAAUAUGGUGGAUUAUUGUCUACAAUGACACACACACACACACACACACACACACACACACACACACACACACACAUUUUAAUAUGAUAUCACAAAAAUUUUGCUACCAUGUUCGAAGAGACCCAUUUGAAAUCAUGUUCGCGUUGAAAAUAUUUGCAUUUUGUAGUGACUUUGUGAUUGAGCAAAAAAUACAUAGGCUUUUGUUUAAAAAUAUAUGUGCCUUUAAAAUCAUGAGUGCUUUCGCCCAUAGACAUAAUAAAUACAAAGAGGCCAGGGGACUACAUAUCAACUCCUAUCUUGCUCUUAAAACAAAACAAACAAAAAACAUAUCAUGUCCUCUCUUCAUAGCAUUAUCCUCUUCUCCUCCUCGGGUGCCCUGUUUGGCUUCCAACGAAUCUUGCACCACCACCACCACCAAAGCCAAGGCAAGUGACCCAUUGCGCCAGAUGGCACAGAGACCCAUUGAAUUCAUGUGCGCAUUGGAAAAAAUUCCAUGUAUUAGUUGGUUUAGUUGUGGCCAUGUAUAUAGUAUGGUAACGACUCUAACCCCUUUGUAUAGAAAUUUGAUUUAUUAGUAGGUUGUGUCAAUAUUUGCAUUUGUUGGUAACUUUAGAUUUGGGCAAAGUACAUAGGACAUGAAAUGUAACUUGAUCCAUUUGCGCAAUCACUUAGGGUGAUUAAGAGCAUCAUUAUGUCUCACAUAGAUAGCCUGGGCAAGUCUUCAGGCAGUAUAGGUGAUUCCCAAAACUUCAGUACACAAAAACAUAGACCCAACAAAAUAUUCCAAAAUUGCAUUAGCAGAAGUGUUCAUCAAUUCACAGCUUUGGAGUUGGUUUACAAAGAAUAAUUUGAAGAGUUAUAGGUUGUACAAUAGAGAUUAAAGAACCAGAAAUUGAUAUAUUGUUUGAAAGGGUGAUGGCAACGGACACAAUUGUCGAAGUUUCUUGCCAAGUUUAAUCGAAUGUGCGUACAAAGGGAUGCCUAUAGAACAAAAAAUGGGUCGCUCGUGUUAUGCUUUUUCCAGGUGGAAAGUGUCAUCUUGGAGAAACUUCUAAAGUAAAAAAAUAGAGGACAAAUGCUCACAACUUGGCAAUACUCAGGACCCUUUUAAUUAUUAAACUUGCGGAAACAUAAAGGUACAUUGUAUGAUGGGAAAGAAAACUAAAGCCACUCCAUGCACAUUCCUUUUAUUUUCUUUCUCAACACCGGAUCAUUAACCAUUAGUCGAGUUGUUUCUCAUAAAGUGAGUGUGAUAUAUGUGAGGUCACAAUUAUAAAUUUCGUUGGGGGAACAAAAUUACAUGAAAGGGUUCAGAGUCACACCCAACGCUAUCACUACCACUAAAUGUUAACUAAGAGGAGACGGAGAACUGUCAACUGGGCGAAGCCAAAGCUAUAAGACUGUCGUUCUUCUCCUGGAUCGCAACUUUACCAGAUGUCGGUAAGGAGAGGCUGAUGCGCAAAGGAUCCUGUAAUACAAUGAAUCGGAUUAGAAUCACAAAUUCCAAUUGUUAUAAAAACUGGGGCUGAGUGUUAGAUAGCAAAUGUGGCAUACAUAUACACAAGCAUUGCCUGCAUGCACAACACACGAUAGCUUCAUCUUUGCUUUCUUCCCAGCCCUAGGUAAUUUCCAUAGAAGCUUUUCACACAAAAAUUGGCUUAUCUGAAGCUUAACACAUAAAUGUUAUUUCUAGCAUGCUUCAGCUAGCCUUAUGUUUGUUAUACACUGGACUGAACCAAGCAUUUAAGCAAGGCCUUUAUAAUAGAGCAACAUCACAUAGUGUAGCUUAAAAUCCGUACAAUUAACUAUAUUUCUCUUUCUCUUGCUGAAAAUCACAAUAUUGCACAUGUUCCUACCUACUUUGUGAUCACUGACCAUGUGCAUGCCUAAACAUGGGAUUAUGAUUCUUUUGUUUCCUCUGCCUACACACCUAAAUCAAACCAGCAAGUUAGCACACCAUUUAUUCAUAAAGCAAUACCACAUAAGUCUAAUCUUCCAAGAGCAAGAGCCUAAAAUAUUUUCAGAGAUGACCAAUUAAGAUCAUGCAAUCAAAAAUAAAUGAUAUGAUAAUAAAUCUAUACAAUUUGUUAUUCAAUCAUUUCCCUUCCACAAUGAUUUAUCCCCAGUUUAAUCUUGCACUGAAAUCUGAAUAUAAUGUGCGUCAUGUAUGUUUAUGCACCCAGGCUAAAAUCUGAAAAGAGAAAAAACACCAACAUUAAUAAAUUCUUCUUUGGCAAAGUAUUACAUGGAGUAAGAGGUUCAACUAUGUGUGCAUCAAACAUCGUAAAGCACAAAUACUCACUGAAAGAAACAUCACAUGCUUGAACCUAUACAUCAUAUCUACCAUUAAAUAGGAGAGAACCAUACCAAAACACAAUAAAGGCCAGCCACCUCCUUCUUCUCCCACCUUGCAUCAAUAUAUCGUUAUAUAUAUAAUGAAAGACUCCAAUAAUGAAAGAAUUCCUGGUUAGGGUUGCAUGAAUGGUGCAGAAAGACAAAAAGGAAGCCUCUACUCGAUCACAUGUAAUAUUUUUGACCAUCUAUAGGCAGUGCGAGAAGAACAUGUAACAUGUGUUAGCAAAAGAAAUACAAAAACAUACCCCAAGUACACACUUACAAUCUCAGUUGCCAGCCUUUGGCGGACUCUGCUGCUUUCUGGUCUGAAAAUUAGUAACAUUUUAAAGGCAUAUCAGAUCAAAAUCUGGCAAUAAGUAUAUUCUCAGUUUAAAAAACCUAGAGAAAGUGUAGAUAAAAUAAAUGUUUAUCAAGCUGGACAGCUGCAUGCACAAACAGAGGUCCAAGGAAGCUACCACCAACUCCAACUGAGACCACAUUUGUCAAUGGUUUCCCAUUUGCUCCAACCUGCAUUUCAGGAAGUAGCGGUGAUUAAAUCUUAGUUAUUUCUGCUACAUUUGACAAGUUAAGAAAUUUGUGUUUCAAAAUUUACCCAGGAGCCAGAACUAAAAGUUUCUGAAAACUGCUUGCUUUUAUCCUUAAUGUCCCAAACUUCAGGGACCAGUCACUGUCUAUGACUGCAUCUCUUGGAGCCCUUAGACACACAUAGAGCACUGAUAUGUUCUCCAUGCUAUUUAUCUGACAAACAAAUCGAUCAAGUUAACUGAGACAUGUAUUCCAUCCGUUCCAAAUGAUAUGUUAUGAACUGUACAGCUUAAAAUACAAAAGUCGUCAGGACUAAUAAUUGUUUUGCAGAAUUAUUCUUCCGGAUGAUCUGUGCGUCAUGAAGUAAUUACAUACAAACUUUAGAUAAGCACCCAAGGAUACAUGGAAUGGAAGACAUAUAUACAGACAACAAGUAGAUGUCAAAUAGACACAUGUGAUGUGAUAGAAUAAUUGAAGACUGGCUACACAGCAGGACACUGACCCUUUCACCUUUAAACAUAGGAUACAUUUGGUUCCAGGCCGAUAUCAUUUUUUAUUUUCAGUAUCGGGAAGCGCUGCUUCCGAUAUAUCCUCUUGAAUACGUGUUUUGUUUGGUUCGGACGCGAGCGAAUACAUAGCGGAGAGGAUUCUAUAUCCAGCCAUGAUCGGACGUUUUCACAGAAGUGAAGCGGCUGUAUUGGAUAGCAUCGUAACAGAAAACAGAAGGGCUGAACCAAAUGACUUCUACUGUCUUACGAAAGCACUAUAAUCGGAAGCGGGACUUUUCCACCCAACCAAACACAUAGAUAUUGUCACUUUUAAUCUAAAUCAUUUGAGGCAAUACAAUCCUAUAUAACCUGCCUCAUCCCGCACACAGAAAAAGUGUACUCUUAGCAAAAAAUGAGAUAAUGGAUAGGAUAAACACUACAAUGUCUACUUCCAGAUCCAUGGGCGUGCAAGCACCAUCGAGUACAAGUGCAGAAACAAAUAGAAAAUACAUAGGAGGGGAAGGAGCAGGAAGAGAGGCAACACAAGGGAUUGAAGGAAGGAGCUCACGUAGGGAGAUGCCACAAGAAGGACGGGAGAGGUGUUCGCACACGAACACGUCACCGUGUACCCUCAAUGCCGGGGGUGAUGCACCGCAGCUCACGUUGAAGGAGACCCGUCCGGAAGCGCGGUACGCAAGCAAGUCGGCAGGCGCUUUUGAGAACCCGAAACCCCACACGCCCGGGAGGGACCCCGUCAGGGCGGGCGGCGGCUAUGGGCUACCCUAGGUCGGCCUGACCGCCCCUAGGGCCUCAAGGUUCGCCGCCCUGCAACAAGAAGAACGAACGAAGAACGAGGAAGAAGAAGAACUAGGGUUAAGGAGAAAAGAUAAAAAAUAUAAAGUGGUAGAUGAAUUGAUCGAUUGUGUGUUGUUCAAUCGGCUGUCACCCCUUAUAGAUAUAUAAGAGGCGGCUGGACUUCCCGUGCAAGGAAAAGGCUUGGAUUCACGUCCAAAACCCUAGUCAAAUUCGGAUUGGUUUUGCGAAAUCACUAGUUAAGGAUUACUCCUUGCGGAGAUCACUCCAACUUCCCCAGGUUGUGACAAGUGGCGUGCUGCAUGUGCGCCACUUGUCACAACCUGGGAGUCUUCCCUUUUUUCGUAGAUCCGUUUAUUCAAAACGUUUUAUCUCUUAAACCGUGCGUCCAAAUCUCGAAUCACUUUCGUUGUUGGAUUCCUCACAUCCAGAUCUUCAAGACUAGAUCCCAUGUUGAUAGAUUUUGACGAAUUUUUUUUCACGAAAAAACAGACAAAAAAACCGAACCGGGAACACGGUUUUUUUCCUUUCUAAAAGAGGCACGCCCGUGCCUCUGACGAAAUCACAACCGUGCCUCUCGCGGAAGCAAAACCAUGCCUCUCACAAAAGAAACAAAACAGAAAACACAUUUUUCCCUUUCCGAAAGAGGCACGCCCGUACCUCUCGCGAAAGCACAACCGUGCCUCUCGCGGAAGCAAAACCGUGCCUCUCGCGGAAGAAAAAAAAACAGAAAAUGUGUUUUUUUUGUUUCCGAUGAGGCACGGCCGUGGCUCUCGCGGAAGCAAAAUUGUGCCUCUCGUGAAAGGAAAAAACCAGAAAACAUGUUUUUUCCGUUUCCAAGAGGCACGGCCGUGCCUCUCACGAAAUCACAACCGUGCCUCUCGCGAAAACAAAACCAUGACUCUCACGGAAAAAAAUGCAUUUUUUGCAGAAAAAAAAAUUUUGAAAAAAAAAUUGGUCGAAAAGCUAGGGAAGACCGGUGGAAAACCAAAACGUCAAAAAAAACCCAGGAAAAACCAUUUAAAAAGCCAAAAACGCGUUCGGGAAAAUAAAAAAACAAAAUUUGGAGGGAGCGCCCAGAGCGCGACAUAUGGCGAAUGCCUGAGAGCACGCCAAGUGGCGCUGAUUGUUGCGAGGCUCCAGAAGGAGCGCUCGUUAAUUAGUUGCUCCCUUGGUUUUGUCCGAACUUUCCAAAACUGUUCGGUUUAAACUGGCUGAACCUUGCGGGUCUUUUUUGUGGUGGUAAACGAUCUCGGAUGGAAACGAGCCCAAAAGCAAUCUUGACCGUUUCGACGAGAUGAACAACUUUGAUGUUGAAAUUUUUUGAUCAGAGAUCAUCUUGAGGUUAAAUCGGUCGCGCAAAAUAGGCUAUUCCCUCGCGCUACCCAUCACACAUGUGUCUGGUGGGGCGCACCACAUCUCGCCUCGUGACAGGGCUGCACUCUGAUUGCUCUAAAUUUUUCAUACGAACUUGGAUUUGGACGUUUUUUAUAUCAAAGUCGAUCGUUUUGAUGAGACGAAGACAACCCGUGUAGAUCAUUUUUCUAUUUGAUGCGUUUUGGGGACUUAAUAUGCCAAACUGUACUCUGAAUAUAAGAUCUUAGUACUUUGAGCAUAGUUUCCGCCUUCGAGAUGAAAUCGUACGGCGAUGGCCCAAACUUAAAAGAUGUUCGUAUCGACAAUAUGAAACUUUUUUAUGUAGAUCACUUCUCCAUUUGAGGUCAUAUUAAUUAAGUUCUUGACCGUGCCAAAAUCUGGUGUCAACACAUGCCCCCCUGUUUUUCGGCAGAACUUGGAUGCCGAAAAAUAAUUUGCUCAGAGUUUGUUCUAAGGACGAUGUCAACACUCCAUCGUACAUUUAUAUGUGCUUGGGGCGAUAAUUAUAUAUCGGCCAUGAUUUAUGCUAAGGGCGAUAGUCAUAUAUCUGCCAUGUCUUUGCUUAGGGCGAUAGUUAUAUAUUGGUUGUUGCCUAUCUAGGCUUCUUGCCACACACUUGGGUGAUACUUCUUUAAAUACUUGCCAUUGAGAGCUUGAGGUGACAAUGUGCCUUGUAUAGAUUCCACCAAAUAUGAGUUUCCGGGAACUACUCUUGUAAUCUUAAAAGGACCUUCCCAACUAGGAGACCACUUCCCGAAUUUUCUAUCUUUUGAACCAAUUGGUAGAAUCAUCUUCCACACGAGAUCGCCAACUUGGAAAUUCUUCAACUUGACUUUCUUAUUGUAAGCCCUUUCCACCCUCAACUUAUUUCUCUCUAUGGUCUUCAAAGCAGCCAAACGUUCAUCGGUGACUUCAUCAAUAUUGUCCAUCAUCAAGUUAUAAAAGUCUACCGCCGAUAAAUCAUUUUGUUUGGCUAUUCUCAAAGCAUUCAAAUUCACUUCCACUGGUAAAACAGCCUCUUAACCGUAUACGAUCUCAUAUGGAGUUACCUUUGUAGCACCAUGCCUUGAGAUUCUCUGUGCCCACAAAGCUUCGGAUAGUAGCUCAUGCCAUCUCCUUGGAUUAUCCUCAAUCUUCUUCUUGAUGAGCUUGAUUAAUAUUUUGUUGCUAGACUCAGCUUGUCCAUUGGCUUGGGCAUAAUAUGGGGAGGAAUUGAGCAACUUUAUCUUAUAUGAUUUGGCAAAUUCUUUAACUUGAUGUGUCAUAAAGGAUGAACCUUGGUCAGUAGUUAAUGUUUGAGGAAUGUUGAAUCUAUGAAUAAUGUGCUCAGUUAUGAAUUGAAUUACCUCUGAAUGCGUCAUAUUUUUGAGCGAUAUUGCCUCAGACCAUUUAGCAAAAUAAUCAGCUGCCACCAACACGAACUGAUGCCCUUUUGAAGAAGAAGGAUGAAUCUCUCCAAUAAAGUCUAAUCCCCAACCUCUAAAAGGCCACGGCUUGAUAAUAGGAUGUAACAUAGCAGCGGGAGCCAACUGAAUAUCACUAAACUUUUGACAAGCUUCACAUCCUUUAUAAUAUCAAAAGCAGUCAUUAACCAUUGUUGGCCAAUAAAACCCAGCACGUCGUAAUAACCAUUUCAUCUUGGGAGCUGACUGAUGAGUGCCACAAAUACCUUCAUGGACCUCUCCCAUAGCAACUCUUGCUUGGUCCUCGUCCAAGCACUUUAAAAGAACAUCAUCAACCGUUCGACAAGAGAGAUCAUCAUCUCUCAUUGUGUAUUUGAAAGCCAUACGUCGAACAGUCUUGUCCACCCUUUUACUAGGAUCACACAAAUAAUCAAUAAUGGGUUUCCUCCAGUCUUGAUUUUCUCCUACGUUAAAUAUUUCAUUAGUGGCCGAAAUGGUGGGCUCCGGUUCAGCCUCCCCUAUGUUGGCAAGACUAGACAUCGGCCUUUCAGAAAUAUGAAACAUGCCACGAUCAACAUGAUAGCCGGAUGCUUGUUGUGCCAACUCAUUUGCUCUCCAAUUGUCAUGUCUUGAUAUAUGAGCAAUGCUAAAAUAAUCCAAGAUAUAAAUUAUAUCUGGACAUUUAUCAAGAUAAACAUUAAGUGAUUCAUCAAAACAUUGAAAAACUUUGGAUAUUUGUUGCACUACUCAUAACGAAUCACCGAAAUCCUCAAUAUGUUUAGCACAUAUGGCAAAAGUUCCAAACCGAAUAACAUUGCAUAUUUGGCUUUGAUUAUUGUGCAACAAAUAUUUUAAGAGGCAAGGCUUCACAGAACAUCACUAUAUGGAGAUAUAUAAACAACACCGACACUGUGGCCAUUGUUAUGAAUUCAACUAUCAAAACAUAAUCUCCACAGUACUUGUCUCGCUCUCCAAUUGAACUAAGGACGAUGUUAGAAUACUACACCGGCCAUACUUUGACAUAAUCUUAGGACGAUAGAUAAAUAUCGGCCAUUACCAUGUAAACUUCAUUCAAAGCACAUAUAGCCGAAAUAAACAAAUGAAAUGACAAAUCAAGUAUUUCGGCCCUUUGGAUCAGCAACAAACUUGUAGCUAAUCAAAUGUAUAGUGAUUUGGCAAUACCCUUUCAUGAUGUAAGAAAUUAUAUUGCAUUCAUGGAUUAAAAUAAGCCCAUUGAGGGUUACCAACCAUACCUGAUGACGAGUUCCAUGGCAUAGUCGUUAAUGGCAUAGUUGAAGAAUAUGGAUAAUGUGUAGAGUGAAGAUGUUGAAACCUUCGGCUUGGCCCUUCAUAGUUUUCACUCUUUUCCUUCUUCACCUUCGCUGCACUUCUUGUAAUGGAAUCUUGCACAUAAUUAUUGUUUUGAGUACUUCCUUUGGGAACCCAUGUCAUGUUCCUUUCUUCAAGUUCUUGUGCACUAAGCUUUUGUAACUCCUUCGUUUGCCAAUACGAUAAGCCGAGUGAGCACCUCGAGUGUGAUUUUGUUUCAACCAAUGGCAACUCUUUUUGGGCCUUGUGCACCCUCAACUUCUUUUCUUCAGAUUUGGCACUCUGAUUUUUAUCAAUUGAUUGCUUCACUUCUUUGCCUUUUGUAGCCAAUGUCAACACUUCAAUUGGCUCUUUGUUAUUUGAGAUCAAAUCUGAAGUACCACACUUAUGACCAUCUCUUUUCACGCGGUAAACUUGCUUUACCACCUCUUUCUUCUUCCUUGAGCUCCGGACCGAUUCCUUAUGAUUGAAACGGUCUUUGACGCGUGAUUGUUCAAAAGUUGAUCUUCUUGGAGCUGCAUAGUAUUGGUGAGAUGAUCUAAAACAAGAUGGAGAAUGUGCCCUUGUAUCAUACCUGUCCCAUGAUGAAUAUGGAUCUAUAUGAGCAUAGUGAGGCAUCCACGGCAUUGGCAUUGGCCGCCCAAAAUAAGGAUAUGAAUAUGUUGCAUUAAAAUUAUCACUUUGCCAAUACCGAUCCUCGUAUUUGCGCCUUGGGGGUGAUCUUGGUUUCUUUGCAUGAUUUUGCUGAUAAGCAUUCUGCUCUUCACUCUUCUUUUGAUAUUUAUCCAAUAGUUCAGCGAAGGUGAUUUUCGAUCUCUUACACUUGCGUUUAUUUUGGCCUUUGUUUUCUUUUGGUUUGCUUUCAUCGAUCAUUGGAUUUGUUUGCUGCCCCCCAGUCCUUGGUGUCUCCAUUGUAGCUUCGAUGGAAUUUUCACCCUCAAGAUUAUGUUCAUUAUGCUCUUCAAUAAUUUCUUUACUUGAAAGUUUGAUCCCAUCACCUGCAGUUUUUACCUUCUCUUUAAAUGGAUCGGCUUGAAGCAGCCGAUGCAAAAACUUUCUGCCAUUGGGACCAAUCGGAAUAGACUGAUCAUCUCUUGGUGUCUCAACAAAUUUCAAUCGUCCUUUAUCAAUGGUCUAUUUAACUAUUUGACGAAACAUGUUGCAAUCCUCAAAAUUAUGCUUGGACGAAUCAUGCAACUUACAAUACAUUCAUCCCUGGACAGAUGGCUCGACAUGGUGAUCAAGAAUUCUGAUAUAACUAUUUCUCAACAACAAAUCAAAUAUUUGAUCACACAUUCUUGAAUUGAAGGUAAACUUCUUAUUGUUUAGCCGGUCCUGCUGUGAGAACGGCUUUGGAGGUAAGCAAACAAAUGGUUCAGCUUUGGAAUCUCCCCAUUCGGCUACACAAUGUGUUUUGCACUCUAUAUCCGAUGUCUUUCGAUAAGAUAUCAUAAUAGCAUCGGUUUUCUCAAAAGAAUUUAACCUUGGCUUUAAAUUUCUAAAACAAAAAUAGUUAGCGCAUAUAUGUCUCAAUGGAGAACAAAUGCAAGCCAAGUAAUAAAUAAGAAAAGCUACACAAUUAGAUAUGAACUUUAGAUAAAGCAAUAGGGAAAGCCUUGGCUGCAACAAUGUCGGGGGAAACUGAUCCACGAACACCUAUGGGGCUGGCAGACCGGGCCCCUUUCGGUUCGGCGGGGGGGCGCAUAUCGCACGAAGAGCAGAUCGAGGCGAAGCACACGAGCAGUUUACCCAGCUUCGGAGCUCUCCGGAGAGAUAACACUCCUACUGCUGCUUGUUUGAUUACCUUGUGUUCUUGCUCUAGAGAGAGAGCGUAGUGUUUUUCUGGGUUACGAAUGAGUCGAACUGCGCGAACCAGUCGAACCGAACCCUCUCUACGUUGCGCAUGGGCCUCCUUUUAUACGCUAAAGGGGUCACCGACAGGUGGCAACGCAGAGAAGGGUACAAAUGUAAAAAGUGAGGUGGUUGGUACAGUUACUUGUACAGUGCACCCUACCUAACCCUGACGGCAGGGGACAAGGGCAUUAAAUGCCCGUCUGAGUCGCCCAAACAGUGCAGAAAAGGACCGUUAGGGGCGCCACCGUUCGCCACGAUGGUGAUCUUAUCAGCUUCGCAUGCCACUGCGCACCGCUGGCUGCACAGCCUCCCGCCACGCGUGCCUGGAGAGGCCCCCAGAGUGACACGUUGGUGGAUGCGCUGGAGCGUGGGCACAGAGUGGCCGCCUGCCGCGGCAAGCACCUUGCCGCUGCUGUUAUCUUGUCGGGUCCGGAGGCUUGUCGCUCACCGGGCCUCGAGGUACCUUGGUUGGUCUUCCCGGCAAGCUCCUCUUGCCGGGGCCUUGUUGCCUUGCCGGAGCGUGUGGCGCGUCGCGGCAAGUUCCUUGGAGUGCCUCGGUUGGCCUUCCCGGCAAGCUCCUCUUGCCGGGGCCUUGUCUCCUGAGCUUAAAUACUUUGUUCUUGAAUGGCUCCAAGGGAACCACAGAGGAUCUUGGUGUUAGCCCGGCAAGCCUUGCCGCGGGGUGCUGCAACUGCCCGUGCACAAGUUCGGGGUACUAGGGUACCCCUAUUCUAGUACACCGACAGGAGCCCCCGGGCCUGGGCCAGACACGGUGCCGAGCGCUGUUGGGCCAGGCCCAAGACUGGGCACGGGCACAUGUGGACUGGGCCACGCCGAAUCUCGCUCCGUAUCCACCGCGCUCUCCCCUAACGGCACGCGUUGAAUGCGGCAUCGUGGGAGAGAUCGUGGGUGGUUCUUUAUUCGGAAGGGCGAAACGUCCGCCCCGUCCCUCUUUAUAAGCAGAGGAAACAGGGGCAGUUCGUUCCCCCUCGCUGGUUGCUACUACUCCAUCUUCACGAACCUCCGCCGCCCCCCGCCCCUUCUUCUCGAAGCCGAGAGAGCAACGCUCCGCCCCCCAUUGCCACCAGCAUCACCAACGCCGUCGACCUCCCCCACCACCUCCGCCAUGGCUCCGAAAGCCGACAAGGGAAAGGGCGUGAAGUCGGCCGAGGCGCAGCGGCUCGCGGCGCUGCGGAAGGAGCGGGCGAUCUUCUCCCCCCAGCUCGGCGUGAAGGAGCUGAGGGAGUACUUCUACCUCUUUUGGGCGACGGAGACGCGGGCGCAUCCGCGCACGAGGGUACUCCCGGCCGCUGCUUCGGAACUGGCUCCAAACGGGUACCCAUUCUUCGCGCUGUUCUUUUAUUGCGGGCUCUGCCCGCCCUUCUAGGAGUUCUUCUGCGAUAUCAUGAACACCUACGGCUUCCACCUCCUUGACUUCACCCCCAACGCCGUUCUGACCAUGGUAGUUUUCACACAUUUGUGCGAAAACUUUGUCGGAGUCCACCCCAAUGUUGCCCUUUUCCGCCACUUCUUCAUACCUCGGGUAGAGAGAGGAGAGCCGCUUGCCGGAGGGAUCGCCUGGAUCUCGAGAGUCGGCAAGAAGGAGGCGUACUUGGAGCGUGAGCUCCGCAGCAAGUGGGAGGAGUGGAGAGCGGAGUGGUGCUGGAUCGUCGAGGAGAAUCCGCAGCCCUUCACCGCCGUGCGCCAAGAUCCAAUAGUGCGCGGCAAUGACUGGAGCAACGUGGCCUCGGAAGUCGAGAGGCUGAAGAUCGCCAUUACUAGGAUCCUUCGCCUCAGGCUUGCCGGGCUCACUGUAGGCGCUGUAGGCGCAGAUUUCCUCCGCCGCCGCAUCGCCCCCCUGCAGGAGAGGGGGAGGCCCGCCUGGGAAUUCAAGAACUCGGCGGACAUCAUGAGGCUGCGGCCGGGCCUCAACUACAACUUCACCGUCUUGGAGCUGGAUGCAAUGCUCCUGGAGUUGUUCAAACGCGACCCCCAGCACCCAUUCACGCUGCCGAGGGGUGUCGUUCCAUUGUGCAAUAAUUCUUCGCUUGACCGGAUCCGCGCCAUGAUGCCGUUGUGCGAUUCACACGGAAUCGUUCCAACUUGGCAAGAGCCUGCGGAUGACGUCGUGCAAGCGUUCUUCGACAACUUGGAAGAAGUGCCGGUCCACGCUGAUGAGCAGAAAAGCCUCACCCGUGACACCACCGACGAGGAGCUGCAGCGCAUCGCCACUAGGGCGGAAGAGGUUGCGGCUGCAGCGGCCGCGGGCGCGUUCGGGUUCACUGUGGAGGAGGCGGAGGCUGCAGAGGCGGCAAACCUCGCCGAGCGCGUGGAGUUCAUUGGCGAGGAAGAGCCUACCGGUUCUGAAGCUGAGCCGAGCGAGGCCGGCGAGGAAGAGCCCGAGCCUUCAGAAGGCUUGCCGCAGGCGGAGCCCCCAGCCCCGCCAAGAAGGCGUCUUCGCAGGACCGCGGACGUAGCGGGGCGGCAGUCGGGUCAACAGCCGCCAAGCCGUGCGACACGCUCUACCGCGGCAAGCAAUGUUGCUGCAGGAGCGCCCCACGCAGCAGCGGCAACUGGAGCGGGAUCUUCCCGGGCCACCGCCACCGCCCCCGCCAAGCGGGCAAGGGAUCCUACUCCUCCGCCUCGCCGCACCGGAAGGGAGCCGGACUUUGAUCUUUCCGCGCUCAGCUCUGACGAGGAGGAAGAAGAGUAAGUUUCCUUGGUACUCUUGUAGUUCUUUAAUCUUGCUGUUUUUAUCUUGUAUCUGACUUGCUUCAAUCUAGACUCCUUUCUUUUCAGGACGCUGGCCCAGAGAGCGGCGAAGAGGGCCAAGGCCGCGGUGAUUGUCAUCGAAGAUGACCCCACCGUGUCAGCAGGGGGUGGGUCCGAGACCACCUUGACGGACCCGGCAACCACUCCUCAAAACAGCCCCCAGCGCAGCCCCCAGCGUAAGUUCAUAGUUAGCUUUCUGCUGUCAGGCGCGCAUGAGUGCUUUUUCCUUUGUUGAUAUCUUGCUUGUUGAUUUGUGUAGGAGCAGAGCAGCCAUAUCAGGAGCGCCCGGAAGCUGGUCCCGAAGUGCCAUCUGCUUCGACUACGCCGCUAAGGGAGGAGUUCCCGGUAAGGGAGCGCUCUCCGGCAAGGGAGAACUCUCCAGCAAGGGGCAGCACCGUCGAUCCUGCGGCGGCCGAGACCGCAACUGCAGAUCUUGGCAUAGGUAAUUCACUUGCCCAAAAACUUUUCCUUGGGUUCUUCUUCUUCUGAUUUUCUUCUCUUGGAUUUUUGAUUGAUUUUUCUCCCUUCUUCGUUCUUCAGACCCAUCUGCUGCUGAGCCAAUGGAGACAGAGGGCGCCGGCGAGGAAGGGGCCGGUGCUGAUGAGACCGCCGGCGAGGAGGCCGCCAAGGCUGCCGCCGCAGAAGCCGGCGAGGGGUCGGGCGAUCGCACUGACGACCCUGAGGCCGCAGGAGCGCCAGGCGCUGCGCCGACCGCCGAUCCCUCUGCCGCUUCUGCGGAGCCGGGCUCCGAGGAGCCCCAGCCCGGCGCCUACUUGAAGGCCGGUGACGAUAUCUUCAUCAAGCUACCCUGGGCGUCGAGCUCCAGGGCGCCGGUCGAGGGGGAAACUUUCGAUGAGGAGGUGCUCGCCUCUGCUGGACUGUCGUUGGUCGACGCGCCCAGCAGUAGCAGUGGCGAGCCUGAGAAGGAGCAGCUGCUGCGGAAGCUGCUGUCACUCUACCGCGCACGGCAAGCCAAGCUGGCUUCCCGGGAAGCGCUUGUCGCGAAGGCGGGAGUUGACAUGGAGAAGCACGCGGAGGAGCUCCGGGGCCACAAUCAAGAAGCUCUCCGGUCCCUGGCACAGGAGCGGGAGCGACUCGACGAGGAGCGCACGGCCUUCCUUCUCGAGAAGGCCAAAGCUGAGGAGGAACAAAGGUUGGCCGCCGAGAAGCGGUUCGCGCGAGAAGGCGAAUUGGUGCAGCGAAAGGCCAACCUCGACAGCUACGAGGAGGAGCUCGCCGAGCGUGAGCAAGCACUUGGCGGGGCGCUCAAGGAGGCAAAGGACGCUGCCGCAAUCGCAGAGGCUGCCAAGAAAGAGCUGGAGGAGAAGGUGGCGCAGCUAGAGGCCAACAUCGGGAAGAGCGGCGAGGAGCUUGCCGCGCUCAAGCGUGAGCGUGAUAAGGAUGCUGCCGCCCACGGUGAGCUGCAAGGUCUUCUCGCUGAGAGGGGCAAGGAGCUCAGUGCCGCCAAGGAUUCCAAUGCGGUCCUGGAGUUGAAGCUGGCCACGUUGAUGUAGACGCUGGAGGCCGCCAAGGAGCGGGAGAAGACCUUGUCGGAGAAGGUCAAAGCUGACAAGUCGCUGCUGGAGAGCAUCGCAGUUACCCAGAACUCGUUCAGAGAUACUGUGGAGCACUGGACCGAGGGUCUGGUGAAUAUUGCCGCAGUCAUCGACGAGGAGUUGGCGCAGCUGGGGAUGGAGGACUUUGGGUAUCCCUCCGACGAGAAUCUCCAACCCAGUGCCAAGCUCAGCCUGUUCUUCAAGGGCGUGGCGACGGCACUCCAGCGGCUCCGGGAGAGGAUCCCAAAGCAGCUGGCCGACGAGUCGCGCAGGAUUUGCGCGGGGGCUCUCCAGAAGGUGCUGAUGAAGGUGGCCUUCCGUAACCCAGGCCUCAACCUUACCAACGUCCUCAGGUCCUUGCCGCCUGACGCUGAUCUGGAUGCACUCAAGGCCCUUGUCGCACCCAUUGUGGACAAGGUGAGCGAGAUCAAGAGGGUUGAGGGCGAUCGCGUAGACUAGGCCGCCCGUUUUCACUUUUCCCUUGUCGCUGCUAAUCAUGUUAUGAAAACAGUCUGUUAGAGCUGCGACAAGUUAUCUUGUAAUAUAACUUUAUUUCUGUUAUCAAUUGCUAUGUUAUUUCCUCUACUAGAUUCUUUCCUUUGUAUGUUUUUACCCUACGCUUCUAGGGAACUUGUCAGUGCAGGCGCCCGAGCCGCGAGCGCUGAGUGCGGAACGUCAGCAGCCUGCUGGCGGCGCUGCUUCUGACAAGAAACCUUGUCACGACUAGAUGCAGCACACUCAAGUUGUUGAGCAGACUCGAAACAAAGUAAGGGCGCAACUAGCCACGAGUUGGUGCCUCCGCGCACAGGUUUUCCAUACAAAGCAGGGUCGUUCGAGGAAGAUAACUCAAAAAUUUAAAAACUGAUUGCUCAAACUUUGGCGACUUAGCUUUUCUGUCGUUUGCUUCCCAGCAAGGCAAAACUUUGCUUGAACGACGCCUGGUCCAUACCACAAUCUUCUCCUUCCCCCCCGGCAAACUUGUGUGCGAGGGAACCUUCUUUUCCUUUGUUGAAAAAGAAGAAAGAAGAGAAAAUAAUGAUAUGGAGCCCUUCGGCUCGUUAUUGCUUACCGGAUGUAGGUGCUGCACAAAGUGUCAGAUAAUGCAUGCAAGAAAGAAACUAAUGCAUGAAAUGGACAAGUUGUGCGGAGCACAUGGGUUCUAUUUAUGCACGGGAUCUGCGCCCGGCUUUGUACAAAGGAUUACAUGCAACAGCGGCAAGACUUGUACAAAAGGUGGUUGCCGGAACGGGUUCCGGCAACCGCGCCCUACGGGAAAAACUUACGAAGAUGUUCUAUGUUCCAGGAGUUUCUCACCGGAAUGCCAUCUUCGGUCUCAAGGCGGACAGCGCCGGGCCUUGUGACUCGUUUCACCCGAUAAGGGCCUUCCCAUUUCGGUGUCAACUUGUUGGAAUUCUUGGCGGACUGAACGCGCCGAAGAACAAGGUCGCCUUCCUCGAAGCUUCUGGCUUUAACUUUGCGGCUAUGGUAGCGGCGCAAAGCUUGCUGGUAUCGAGCAGCUCGUACAGCAGCCUGAAGACGAUCUUCCUCAAGGAGCAGCGUGUCAUCUUGUCGCAGCUGUUCUUGCUCAAGCUCAUCAUAAGCGAGCACUCGAGGCGAUCCGUAUACGAGUUCCAUGGGGAGAACUGCCUCUGCUCCAUAGACUAGAGCGAAAGGCGUCUGGCCAGUGGCUCGAUUUGGCGUCGUUCUGAUCGACCAAAGAACCACCGGUUGAUUGCUCAAACUUUGGCGACUUAGCUUUUCUGUCGUUUGCUUCCCGGCAAGGCAAAACUUUGCUUGAACGACGCCUGGUCCAUACCACAAUCUUCUCCUUCCCCCCCGGCAAACUUGUGUGCGAGGGAACCUUCUUUUCCUUUGUUGAAAAAGAAGAAAGAAGAGAAAAUAAUGAUAUGGAGCCCUUCGGCUCGUUAUUGCUUACCGGAUGUAGGUGCUGCACAAAGUGUCAGAUAACGCAUGCAAGAAAGAAACUAAUGCAUGAAAUGGACAAGUUGUGCGGAGCACAUGGGGUUCUAUUUAUGCACGGGAUCUGCGCCCGGCUUUGUACAAAGGAUUACAUGCAACAGCGGCAAGACUUGUACAAAAGGUGGUUGCCGGAACGGAUUCCGGCAACCGCGCCCUACGGGAAAAACUUACGAAGAUGUUCUAUGUUCCAAGAGUUGCUCACCGGAAUGCCAUCUUCGGUCUCAAGGCGGACAGCGCCGGGCCUUGUGACUCGUUUCACCCGAUAAGGGCCUUCCCACUUCGGCGUCAACUUGUUGGAAUUCUUGGAAGGCCGUGCGCUCCUCGUCGAGUCGCUCGCGCUCCUGUGCCAGGGACCGGAGAGCUUCUUGAUUGUGGCCCCGGAGCUCCUCCGCGUGGUUCUCCAUGUCAACUCCUGCCUUCGCGACAAGCGCUUCCUGAGAAGCCAGCUUGGCUUGCCGUGCGCAGUAGAGUGACAGCAGCUUCCGCAGCAGCUGCUCCUCCUUAGGCUCGCCACUGCUACUGCUGGGCACGUCGACCAACGACAGUCCAGCAGAGGCGAGCACCUCCUCAUCGAAAGUUUCCCCCUCGACCGGCGCCCUGGAGCUCGACGCCCAGGGUAGCUUGAUGAAGAUAUCGUCACCGGCCUUCAAGUAGGCGCCGGGCUGGGGCUCCUCGGAGCCCGGCUCCGCAGAAGCGGCAGAGGGAUCGGCGGUCGGCGCAGCGCCUGGCGCUCCUGCGGCCUCAGGGUCGUCAGUGCAAUCGCCCGACCCCUCGCCGGCUUCUGCGGCAGCAGCCUUGGCGGCCUCCUCGCCGGCGGUCUCAUCAGCACCCCCCUUCCUCGUCGGCGCCCUCUAUCUCCAUUGGCUCAGCAGCAGAUGGGUCUGAAGAACGAAGAAGGGAGAAAAAUCAAUCAAAAAUCCAAGAGAAGAAAAUCAGAAGAAGAAGAACCCAAGGGAAAGUUUUUGGGCAAGUGAAUUACCUAUGCCAAGAUCUGCAGUUGCGGUCUCGGCCGCCGCAGGAUCGACGGUGCUGCCCCUUGCCGGAGAGUUCUCCCUUGCCGGAGAGCGCUCCCUUACCGGGAACUCCUCCCUUAGCGGCGUAGUCGAAGCAGAUGGCACUUCGGGACCAGCUUCCGGGCGCUCCUGAUAUGGCUGCUCUGCUCCUACACAAAUCAACAAGCAAGAUAUCAACAAAGGAAAAAGCACUCAUGCGCGCCUGACAGCAGAAAGCUAACUAUGAACUUACGUUGGGGGCUACGCUGGGGGCUGCGCUGGGGGCUGUUUUGAGGAGUGGUUGCCGGGUCCGUCAAGCUGGUCUCGGACCCACCCCCUGCUGACACGGUGGGGUCAUCUUCGAUGACAAUCACCGCGGCCUUGGCCCUCUUCGCCGCUCUCUGGGCGAGCGUCCUGAAAAGAAAGGAGUCCAGAUUGAAGCAAGUCAGAUACAAGAUAAAAACAGCAAGAUUGAAGAACUACAAGAGCACCAAGGAAACUUACUCUUCUUCCUCCUCGUCGGAGCUGAGCGCGGAAAGAUCAAAGUCCGGCUCCCUUCCGGUGCGGCGAGGCGGAGGAGUAGGAUCCCUUGCCCGCUUGGCGGGGGCGGUGGCGGUGGCCCCGGGAAGAUCCCGCUCCAGUUGCCGCUGCUGCGUGGGGCGCUCCCGCAGCAACAUUGCUUGCCGCGGUAGAGCAUGUCGCACGGCUUGGCGGCUGUUGACCCGGCUGCCGCCCCGCUACGUCCGCGGCCCUGCAAAGACGCCUUCUUGGCAGGGCCGGGGGCUCCGCCUACGGCAAGCCUUCUGAAGGCUCGGGCUCUUCCUCGCCGGCCUCGCUCGGCUCAGCUUCAGAACCGGCAGGCUCUUCCUCGCCAAUGAACUCCGCACGCUCGGCGAGGUUUGCCGCCUCUGCAGCCUCCGCCUCCUCCACAGUGAACCCGAAUGCGCCCGCGGCCGCUGCGGCCGCAACCUCUUCCGCCCUAGUGGCGGUGCAAUUGCAGCUCCUCGUCGGUGGUGUCAUGGGUGAGGCUUUUCUGCUCGUCAGCGUGGACCGGCACUUCUUCCAAGUUGUCGAAGAACGCUUGAACGACGUCAUCCGCAGGCUCUUGCCAAGUUGGAACGAUUCCGUGUGAAUCGCACAACGGCAUCAUGGCGCGGAUCCGGUCAAGCGAAGAAUUGUUGCACAAUGGAACGACGCCCCUCGGCAGCGUGAAUGGGUGCUGGGGGUCGCGUUUGAACAACUCCAGGAGCAUUGCAUCCAGCUCCAAGACGGUGAAGUUGUAGUUGAGGCCCGGCCGCAGCCUCAUGAUGUCCGCCGAGUUCUUGAAUUCCCAGGCGGGCCUCCCCCUCUCCUGCAGGGGGGCGAUGCGGCGGCGGAGGAAAUCUGCGCCUACAGCGCCUACAGUGAGCCCGGCAAGCCUGAGGCGAAGGAUCCUAGUAAUGGCGAUCUUCAGCCUCUCGUCUUCCGAGGCCAUGUUGCUCCAGUCAUUGCCGCGCACUAUUGGAGCUUGGCGCACGGCGGUGAAGGGCUGCGGAUUCUCCUCGACGAUCCAGCACCACUCCGCUCUCCAGUCCUCCCACUUGCUGCGGAGCUCACCCUCCAAGUACGCCUCCUUCUUGCCGACUCUCGAGAUCCAGGCGUUCCCUCCGGCAAGCGGCUCUCCUCUCUCUACUCGAGGUAUGAAGAAGUGGCGGAAAAGGGAAACAUUGGGGUGGACUCCGACAAAGUUUUUGCACAAAUGUGCGAAAACUGCCAUGGUCAGAACGGCGUUGGGGGUGAAGUCAAGGAGGCGGAAGCCGUAGGUGUUCAUGAUAUCGCAGACGAACUCCGAGAAGGGCGGGCAGAGCCCGCAAUAGAAGAACAGCGCAAAGAAUGGGUACCCGUUUGGAGCCAGUUCCGAAGCAGUGGCCGGGAGUACCCUCGUGCGCGGAUGCGCCCGUGUCUCCAUCGCCCAAAAGAUGUAGAAGUACUCCCUCAGCUCCUUCACGCCGAGCUGGGGGGAGAAGAUCGCCCGCUCCUUCCGCAGCGCCGCGAGCUGCUGCGCCUCGGCCGACUUCACGCCCUUUCCCUUGUCGGCUUUCGGAGCCAUGGCGGAGGUGGUGGGGGAGGUCGACGGCGUUGGUGAUGCUGGUGGCAAUGGGGGGCGGAGCGCUGCUCUCUCGGCUUCGAGAAGAAGGGGGGCGGCGGAGGUUCGUGAAGAUGGAGUAGUAGCAACCAGCGAGGGGGAACGAACUGCCCCUGUUUCCUCUGCUUAUAAAGAGGGACGGGGCGGACGUUUCGCCCUUCCGAAUAAAGAACCACCCACGAUCUCUCCCACGAUGCCGCAUUCAACGCGUGCCGUUAGGGGAGAGCGCGGUGGAUACGGAGCGAGAUUCGGCGUGGCCCAGUCCACAUGUGCCCGUGCCCAGUCUUGGGCCUGGCCCAACAGUGCUCGGCACCGUGUCUGGCCCAGGCCCGGGGGCUCCUGUCGGUGUACUAGAAUAGGGGUACCCUAGUACCCCGAACUUGUGCACGGGCAGUUGCAGCACCCCGCGGCAAGGCUUGCCGGGCUAACACCAAGAUUCUUUGUGGUUCCCUUGGAGCCAUUCAAGAACAAAGUAUUUAAGCUCAGGAGACAAGGCCCCGGCAAGAGGAGCUUGCCGGGAAGGCCAACCGAGGCACUCCAAGGAACUUGCCGCGACACACCACGUGCUCCGGCAAGGCAACAAGGCCCCGGCAAGAGGAGCUUGCCGGGAAGACCAACCAAGGUACCUCGAGGCCCGGUGAGCGACAAGCCUCCGGACCCGACAAGAUAACAGCAGCGGCAAGGCGCUUGCCGCGGCAGGCGGCCACUCUGUGCCCACGCUCCAGCGCAUCCACCAACGUGUGGCUCUGGGGGCCUCUCCAGGCGCGCGUGGCGGGAGGCUGUGCAGCCAGCGGUGCGCAGUGGCAUGUGAAGCUGACAAGAUCGCCAUCGUGGCGAACGGUGGCGCCCCUAACGGUCCUUUUCUGCACUGUUUGGGCAACUCAUACGGGCAUUUAAUGCCCUUGUCCCCUGCCGUCAGGGUUAGGUAGGGUGCACUGUACAAGUAACUGUACCAACCACCUCACUUUUUACAUUUGUACCCUUCUCUGCGUUGCCACCUGUCGGUGACCCCUUUAGCGUAUAAAAGGAGGCCCAUGCGCAACGUAGAGAGGGUUCGGUUCGACUGGUUCGCGCAGUUCGACUCAUUCGUCACCCAGAAAAACACUACGCUCUCUCUCUAGAGCAAGAACACAAGAUAAUCAAACAAGCAGUAGUAGGAGUGUUAUCUCUCCGGAGAGCUCCGAAGCUGGGUAAACUCCUUGUGUGCUUCGCCUCGAUCUGCUCUUCGUGCGAUCUCNNNNNNNNNNNNNNNNNNNNNNNNNNNNNNNNNNNNNNNNNNNNNNNNNNNNNNNNNNNNNNNNNNNNNNNNNNNNNNNNNNNNNNNNNNNNNNNNNNNNNNNNNNNNNNNNNNNNNNNNNNNNNNNNNNNNNNNNNNNNNNNNNNNNNNNNNNNNNNNNNNNNNNNNNNNNNNNNNNNNNNNNNNNNNNNNNNNNNNNNNNNNNNNNNNNNNNNNNNNNNNNNNNNNNNNNNNNNNNNNNNNNNNNNNNNNNNNNNNNNNNNNNNNNNNNNNNNNNNNNNNNNNNNNNNNNNNNNNNNNNNNNNNNNNNNNNNNNNNNNNNNNNNNNNNNNNNNNNNNNNNNNNNNNNNNNNNNNNNNNNNNNNNNNNNNNNNNNNNNNNNNNNNNNNNNNNNNNNNNNNNNNNNNNNNNNNNNNNNNNNGGGGUCGAACCGUCGGCGCCAAAGAUGUCGGGGGAAACUGAUCCACGAACACCUAUGGGGCCGGCGGACCGGCCCCUUUCGGUUCGGCGGGGGGGGCGGAGAUCGCACGAAGAGCAGAUCGAGGCGAAGCACACGAGCAGUUUACCCAGCUUCGGAGCUCUCCGGAGAGAUAACACUCCUAUUGCUGCUUGUUUGAUUAUCUUGUGUUCUUGCUCUAGAGAGAGAGCGUAGUGUUUUUCUGGGUUACGAAUGAGUCGAACUGCGCGAACCAGUCGAAGCGAACCCUCUCUACGUUGCGCAUGGGCCUCCUUUUAUACGCUAAAGGGGUCACCGACAGGUGGCAAUGCAGAGAAGGGUACAAAUGUAAAAAGUGAGGUGGUUGGUACAGUUACUUGUACAGUGCACCCUACCUAACCCUGACGGCAGGGGACAAGGGCAUUAAAUGCCCGUCUGAGUCGCCCAAAUAGUGCAGAAAAGGACCGUUAGGGGUGCCACCGUUCGCCACGAUGGCGAUCUUGUCAGCUUCGCAUGCCACUGUGCAUCGCUGGCUGCAUAGCCUCCCGCCACGCGCGCCUGGAGAGGCCCCCAGAGCGACACGUUGGUGGAUGCACUGGAGCGUGGGCACAGAGUGGCCGCCUGCCGCGGCAAGCGCCUUGCCGCUGCUGUUAUCUUGUCGGGUCCGGAGGCUUGUCGCUCACCGGGCCUCGAGGUACCUUGGUUGGUCUUCCCGGCAAGCUCCUCUUGCCGGGGCCUUGUUGCCUUGCCGGAGCGCGUGGCGCGUCGCGGCAAGUUCCUUGGAGUGCCUCGGUUGGCCUUCCCGGCAAGCUCCUCUUGCCGGGGCCUUGUCUCAUGAGCUUAAAUACUUUGUUCUUGAAUGGCUCCAAGGGAACCACGGAGGAUCUUGGUGUUAGCCCGGCAAGCCUUGCCGCGGGGUGCUGCAACUGCCCGUGCACAAGUUCGGGGUACUAGGGUACCCCUAUUCUAGUACACCGACAAACAAUGAGUCACUAUCGGUCUUUAUAAAUGGCGCUAUGGGUUGACCGAUAUGCUCAAUAACAAUUUUACUGCUAACAAGUAAAUUACCCUUCUUCAUUGGUCUUUCAAAAUUACUUAUGAGAAUAUUUCUUAUAGAUGCAUCAAUAAUGAAGUUGCGACCAAAUCUAAAAAUACGUAAAUUGCUUGCUAUGCAUACCUCUUCAAAUACGUUGGGAGAGCAUGAUGGUGUUGUGACUUGAACAAUAUCUAGCUUCGUCUUUGGAUGACUCUCAAAUGCCUUUUCAUCAUCUUUUUCUUUAUUAUGUGCAUCAUUACCUUGAAGAUCCUUAUCAGCCAAAGUUUGUUCGGCUACUUGCUCUUGUCCUUGAGGCUUGUCAAUUUCUACGGCACGAAACUCAUAGGGCAGGAAGUAGGUUCCAUUAACUUCAGAAAAAUCAAGCAUGGUUGUUUUGCUAUGCUUGCCAUGCCCUUUCUCAAUAAUGCUUGCCUCUUUGGAUUUGAUGGAUUUGGAAUAUAUACUACUUGAUUUGGCUUUUUCAACCGAAGCACUUUCAAGUUCCGAAUCAUCCUUCUUUUCAUUGAUACUACCAAUUGUCAAUGCUUCUUUUAUUUGAGCCAAUUCUUUUUUUAUUUGUUUCUGGCGGCGAGCGGCAAAAUUGGCUUUAAGUUUUUUCUCAUUUUCAGCCCACUCCGGAUAUGAUUGCCCCCCAAUGUUUUUAGAUUCUUUCGGCAAUGACACACAGGUGUUGCCGAAAUUUUGCGAUAGUGUAGGGGUGUAUAAUAUGAUGUAGUACUAGGUGAAGGCAUAUGCAUUGUUGUAAAACCAUAUUUUUGCUUGCCAAUUUUAUCAAUUGGCAAAGAUUCAUCUUCUUGCAAAACUCUAGUUUUUAUUGCGGCAUAAUCAGGAAAUAGCCCCUUUUCAUGUUGUUCAAGGCGAAGAGCACUAAUCCUCUUAUUUUGGGCUAAACUCUUCAAUGCAGCCACUACUACCUCAUCUUCUACAAUAUUGGGCACAACCGCUCCUGUAAAAUUUACAUUCAUUCGGCUAUGACCAGGAAGGUCGGAAGCCAAAUUAUGAACAUCUACAGUAGUGUAUGGUGCUGAAAAAUUAUUGUCAUGAGGUGUAGCAUAUAACUGUUGGGAAUAACUGGCUGAACAUCUAGUAGUAGCAUGGCCAGUUCUCUUGUUCAUCGGCAUGGCUGGAUUAGUAUAUUGCACAUUACUUGCCGAUGAAUAAAAGGGUGAAACACUUUCUUGCAUGGCAUUGGAAAUUCUAACAUGAGGUGUUUCAUAUUUAUUAACUGAACUCACCAUGUUGUUCAUCGGCAUAACAAUUUGUGGGGUUGCCGAUGCAUGACUGUUGGGAUACAUAUGGUGCGGGCUACUAGUAUCAUAAGAAGUUGAAGCAUGCAAAUUACUUUGAAUCAGCCCUUGCACGUAAUUAGAUGCAUUAUUGAAAAAACUAGGGCUGGCCGAUAGAGUAUACUCAUUGAACGAUCUAGUAACACCAUAUAAAUUAUUCACAUCUAUAGCAGGGAAUUGGGUAUUCAUAUUACCUUUGUGGAUUGCAAACCCUAGAUGACGAUCCUUUCGUAGCAAGAACAGGCCGAAGACCGUUCAAAACUUCGUACCCAGCGGAGUCACUAAAAAGUGUGUUCGCACAUGAACACAUCAUCGUGUACCCUCGACGCCAGGGGUGAUGCACCGCAGCUCACAUCGAAGGAGACCCGUCCGUAAGCGCGGUAUGCAAGCAAGUCGGUGGGCGCUUUUGACGACCCGAAACCCCACACGCCCGGGAAGGACCCCGUCAGGGCGGUCGGUGGCUAUGGGCUGCCCUAGGUCGGCCUGACCGCCCCUAGGGCCUCGAGGUUCACCGCCCUGCAACAAGAAGAACGAACGAAGAACGAGAAAGAAGAAGAACUAGGGUUAAGGAGAAAAGAUAAAAGAUAAAAAGUGGUAGAUGAAUUGAUCGAUUGUGUGUUGUUCAAUCGGCCAUCACCCCUUAGAUAUAUAAGAGGCAGCUGGACUUCCCAUGCAAGGAAAAGGCUUGGAUUCACGUCCAAAACCCUAGUCAAAUUCGGAUUGGUUUUGUCCGAACUUUCCAAAACUGUUCGGUUUAAACUGGCUGCACCUUGCGGGUCUAUUUUGUGGUGGUAAACGAUCUCAUAUGGAAACGAGCCCAAAAGCAGUCUUGACCGUUUCGACAAGACGAACAACUUUCAUGUUGAACUUUUUUUUAUCAGAGGUCAUAUCAAGGGUCAAAUAUGUCAAGCAAAAUAGGCUAUUCCCUCGCGCUACCCAUCAGACAUGUGUCUGGUGGGGCGCGCCACAUCUCGCCUCGUGACAGGGCUACACUCCCAUUGCUCUAACUUUUGCAUACGAAAUCAGAUUUGGACGAGUUUUAUAUCAAAAUCAAUCAUUUCGAUGAGACGAAGACAAUCUGUGUGGAUCAUUUUUCCAUUUGAGGUGGUAUUGGGGGAUUAAUCGGCAAAACUGUACUCUGAAUAUAAGAUCUUAGUACUUUGAGCAUAGUUUCCGCCUUCGAGAUGAAGUCGGACGGCGAUGGCCCAAACUUCAAAGAUGUUCAUAUUGACAAUACGAAACUUUUUUAUGUAUAUCACUUCUCCAUUUGAGGCCAUAUUAAUUAAGUUCUUGACCGUGCCAAAAUCUGGUGUCAACAAGAGGGAGACGGUCGUGUGCUCCGACGACGGCCUUUCUCGCUGACAUUUCCCUACAGGGACGACAUACAUGUGGAUCAAAAGUUCCUCGCCGAUGGAUGCAACCUGGGGAGGGCAUAGAUCGGACACUCAUAUUUGUCUUACCCAGCUGCCGUCAAUGGCGGGGCAGAUGCCGAAGCAACGGGGGUGGGAGAGCUAGCGGGUUGACCGCUCGGCUCGGACAAGCACUAGGGUAGAAUGGUGGCCGAGCGAGCCGCCGCUCCUGUCUACUUUAUCUGGCAGCGCAGAAGAGAGAGAGAGAGAGAGAGAGAGAGAGAGAGAGAGAGAGAGAGGAGGCGGGCAGAGGAGGCGGUGCCCAGGCGGGGUUGAGGAGGACGGGAAGAAAGGUGCGGCAGGUGCGGGAGAAAGGAGUUCUUGCGGGAAGGAGCGGACGGCUCGGGACCGGUUCAUCCUUUUUGCGCGCACGUUCUCUGCAGCGUACAAGGCGCGGAAUGGAAGGGACAAGCCGCCCAUGCCGUCUCCUUUUCUCUCUCCUAUAUCUGACGCUGAAGGCAGAAUGAACAACCCAAGACACUGACGUGUGGGACCAAAAGCCAACAUGGCUCACCUGUCACAACACGCGGGACGGGUGUGUAUGCGGGUAUAUAUGUGUCAAUCCAUCUCUCUCUUUCCAAUAUCCAAUCCUAGAAUUGGAGGGAGUUGUUGGUUGACCUGGGCAAAGCGUUCAUGCGAGGCAGACUCCCAUGCCAGUCCGUGUCUCUUCCCUCCACACGAACCAAGCCACAGCAGGCCACGGACAGGUGGGGCCAGAAUGAAAACAGGGCCACUUGCAGCGAGAUCACACAAGGACCAGACGAGGGAAUAACAAUAGGAGAAGCCACGUCUCCUAGCGAGAAUCGCGUGCCGCACACGCGGCGCAUCAGGAGAGGGCAUGUGCGCACCUCAAAACGGCUCAGCCAGCCAAUCGGCAACAAGCACGAGCCCACCAGUCAUUGGAUUUUGAAACUACAGCGAGGUAAAAACAGACGACGCAGAUCCAACAUCCCAAAAGAGUUUGGAGACUGGUUUGACCACCAUCCGACGUCUGAAAUCAAAGAAAAACGGGGGAACCUCCUAGAGCCAAGUUGGCUAGCAACCUUAUAUGUUAUAAUGCUACCUAACAUAUUUAUCCAUAUAAUUUUCUUUAUUGUGGCAUGAAUAUUCAGAUCCAUAAGAUUCAAAACGAAAGUUUAAUAUUGACAUAAAAACAAUAAUACUUCAAGCAUACCAAUAAAGCAAUCAUGUCUUCUCAAAAUACCAUGGCCAAAGAAAGUUAUCCCUACAAAAUCAUAUAGUCUUGCUAUGCUCCAUCUUCAUCAUACAAAAUAUUAAAACAUGCACAACCCCGAUGACAAGCCAAGAAAUUGUUUCAUACUUUUGAUGUUCUCAAACUUUUUCAACUUUCAUGCAAUACAUGAGCGUGAUCAAAGGAUAUACCACUAUAGGUGGAAUAGAACAUGGUGGUUGUGGAGAAGACAAAAAGGAGGAUAUAGUCUCACAUCAACUAGGCGUAUUAAUGGGCUAUGGAGAUGUCCAUCAAUAGAUAUCAAUGUGAGUGAGUAGGGAUUGCCAUGCAACGGAUGCACUAGAGCUAUAAGUGUAUGAAAGCUCAAAAAGAAACUAAGUGGGUGUGCAUCCAAUUCGCUUGCUCACGAAGACCUAGGGUAGUUUGAGGAAGCCCAUCACUGGAAUAUACAAGCCAAGUUAUAUAAUGGAAAAUUCCCACUAGUAUAUGAAAGUGCCAACAUAGGUGACUCUCUAUCAUGAAGAUCAUGGUGCUACUUUGAAGCACAAGUGUGGUAAAAGGAUAGUAGCAUUGCCCCUUCUCUCUUUUCUCUCUUUUUUUGUUUUUUGUUUGGGCUUCUUUGGCCUCUUUUAUUUUUUGUAAAGUUCGGGGACUCAUCCCAACUUGUGAGGGAAUCAUAGCUUCCAUCAUCCUUUCCUCACAUGGGACAAUGCUUUAAUAAUGAUGAUCAUCACACUUUUAUUUACUUACAACUCAAGAAUUACAACUCGAUACUAGAACAAAAUAUGACUCUUUAUGAAUGCCUCCGGCGGUGUACCGGGAUGUGCAAUGAUUAAGAGUGACAUGUAUGAAAAAUAUGAAUGGUGGCCUUGCCACAAAUACUAUGCCAAGUACAUAAUCAUGCAAAGCAAUAUCAAAAUGAUGAUGCGUGUCAUAAUAAACGAAACGGUGGAAGUUGCAUGGCAAUAUAUCUCGGAAUGUCUAUGGAAAUGCCAUAAUAUGGUGGGUUUAAUGCACCGGCGAGAAUUGCGCGGUGCUAGAGAGGCUAGCAAAGGUGGAAGGGUGAGAGUGUGUAUAAUCCAUGGACUCAACAUUAGUCAUAAAGAACUCACAUACUAAUUGCAAAAAAAUAUUAGUUAUCAAAACAAAGUACUACACGCAUGCUCCUAGGGGGAUAGAUUGGUAAGAAAAGACCAUCACUCGUCCCCGACCGCCACUCAUAAGGAAGACAAUCAAUCAACAAAUCAUGCAACAACUUCAUCACAUAACGGUUCACCAUACGUGCAUGCUACAGGAAUCACAAACUUUAACACAAGUAUUUUUACCAAUCCAUAAUUACUCACUAGCAUGACUUUGAUAUCACCAUAUUUAUAUCUCAAAACAAAUGCAAGGAAUCAAACUUCUCAUAGUAUUCAAUGCUCUUUAUAUGAAAGUUUUUAUUAUAUCCCUCUUGGAUGCUCAUCAUAUUAGGACUAAAUUCAUAACCUAAAAAAAUUACCAUGUUGUUCGGAGACUCUCAAAAUAAUAUAAGUGAAGCAUGAGAGUUCAACAAUUUCUAUAAAAUACAGCCAUCGAUGUGCUCUAAAAAGAUAUAAGUGAAGUACUAGAGCAAAUUGCCUAGCUCAAAAGAUAUAAGUGAAGCACAUAGAAUAUUCUAAUAAAAUUCACGAUUAAUGUGUGUCCCUCUCAAAAGGUGUGUACAGAAAGGAUGAUUGUGGCAAACUAAAAAUCAAAGACUCAUAUCAUACAAGACGCUCCAAGCAAAACACAUAUCAUGUGGUGAAUAAAAAUAUAGCCUCGAGUAAAUCUACCGAUGGAUUGAAGGCGAAAGAGGGAAUGUCAUCCGGGGCAUCCCCAAGCUUAGAUGCUUGGUUGUCCUUGAAUAUUACCUUGGGGUUCCUUGGGCAUCACCAAGCUUAGGCUCUUGCCACUCCUUAUUCCAUAGUCCAUCAAAUCUUUACCCAAAACUUGAAAACUUCACAACACAAAACUCAACAGAAAACUCAUGAGAUCCGUUAGUAUAAAAAAUAAAUCACCACUUUUUGGUACUGUUUUGAACUCAUUAUUUAUUUGUAUUGGUCUAAUAUCUACUGUAUUCCAACUCUUACAUGGUUCAUAGCCCCCGAUACUACCCAUAGAUUCAUUAAAAUAAGCAAACAACACAUAGAAAACAGAAUCUGUCAAAAACAGAACAGUCUAUAGCAAUCUGUAAACUUUGUAUACUUAUUUAACUCCAAAAAAUCUGAAAAAUUAGGACAACAGAGGAAUUAAUAUAUAAAUCUUGUUUAAAAAAUUUAGGAUUUUAUCAUGCUUAUGUGAUUUUUAACAAUUCUGGCAAUGAGCGCAAAAGUUUCUGUUUUUCAGCAAGAUCAAAUCAACGAUAUACCAAAGUUUCCCAAAGGCUUUACUUGGCUCACACACUAAUUAAAAACACCAAAAAACAAUUAAUACAGAGGUAAUAAUGUGUAUUCACAUAAAAACAGAAAAGAAAAAUUUUGGGUUGUCUCCCAACAAGCGCUCUUCUUUAAAACCUUUUAGCUAGGUGUUGAUAAUUUUAAUGAUGCUCACAUGAAAGAUAACAAUAGAAACACGAAGAGAGCAUCAUGUAGCAUGUGAAAAACAAGUUUGAGUCUAACAUAUUUCCUAUGCAUAGGCAUUUUAUAGGGAAAAUAUUUAUCAAGACAAGCAAAAACUAGCAUAUGCAAGGAAGAAGAAAGAAACAAUACUAAUCUCAACAUAAUGAGAGGUAAUUUAGUAACAUGAAAAUUUCUACAACCAUAUUUCCCUCUCUCAUAAUAAUUACAUGUGGGAUCAUAUUCAAAUUCAACAAUAUGGCUAUCACAUAACAUAUUUUCUACAUGGUCCACAUGCAUGCAAAGUUGACACUCUUCCAAUAUAGUGGGAUUAUCAUCAAAUACAGUCAUGACCUCUCCAAGCCCACUUUUAUCAAAAUUUUCCUAAGAUUGAUCAUUCUCCAAAGUAGUGGGAUCAUUAUUACCUAGAGUUGACACUCUUCCAAACCCACUUCCAAUAUUAUCACAAACAUAUUCGUCAUGAGACUUAAAUAAAUUUUCAAGAUCAUAAGAAGCAUUAUCACCCCAAUCAUGAUCAUUACAACAAGUAGUGGACAUGGCAAAAUUAGCAUCCCCAAGCUUGGGGUUUUGCAUAUUAUUAGCACAAUUGGCAUGAAUAGAAUUUAUAAUAAUACCAUUGCAAUCAUGCUUUUCAUUCAAGGAGCUAUCAUGAAUCACUUCAUAAAUUUCUUCUUUUAGCACUUCAUCACAAUUUUCAGAUUACUCCAUAAAGAUAAUCUAGUGCACUCAACUCACUGGCAAUUGGUUCAUCAUAGUUGGAUCUUUUAAAAAGAUUAGCAAGUGGAUGAGGAUCCAUAAACUCUUUGCUUACUGAUUUUGAAUAAAUACACAAUUAUGCCAAGCAAACAAGCAAACAAACCAAGUAAGACAUAAGGGCAAACGAAAAGACGAAUGAAAGAAGGGAGAAUAAAAAGGCAAAUAUUUUUGUAUUUUUCCGAAAAUGUUUUAGAAGUGGGGAAGAGGAAAAUGAGAGGCAAAUGGCAAAUAAUGCAAUGCAAGAGAUGAGAGUUUAUGGUGGGUACUUGGUAGGCUUGAUGUAGAACCUCCCUGGCAACGGUGCCAGAAAUUCUUCCUGUUACUUCUUGAGCUUGCGUUGGUUUUUUCCUUGAAGAGGAAAGGGUGAUGCAGCAAAGUAGACAUAAGUAUUUCCCAGUGUUUGAGAACCGAGGUAUCAAUCCAGUAGGAGGUACACGCAAGUCUCCAAUCUAUGCACCUGCACAAACAAUCAAACACUUGCACCCAACGCGAUAAAGGGGUUGUCAAUCCCUUCACAGUCACUUGCAAAGGUGAGAUCUGAUAGAUAUAUAUAUAAAAGAUUACUAAAACAUAGAACAAAAUAAAAGUAAAUAAAUUGCAGGAAGGUAUUUUUGGCUUUUUUGGUUUAUAGAUCUGAAAAUAUAUGAUGAAAAAUAGACCCGAUGGCCAUAGGUUUCACUAGAGGCUUCUCUCUUGAAAGAAAAUAUACGAUGGGUGAACAAAUUACUAUCGAGCAAUUGAUAGAAAAGUGCAAAGUUAUGAUGAUAUCCAAGGAAAUGAUUAUGAAUACAGGCAUCACAUCCGUGUCGAGUAGACCGAAAUGAUUAUGCAUCUACUACUAUUACUCCACACAUCGACCGCUAUCCAUCAUGGAUCUAGAGUAUUAAGUUCAUAAGAGCGGAGUAACGCCUUAAGUAAGAUGACAUAAUCUAGAGGGUUAAACUCAAGGAAUAUGAUGAAACUCCCAUCUUUUUACCCUUGAUGGCAACAAUACAAAUACGUGCCUCGCUACCCCUACUUUGUCACUAGGUGAGGACACCGCAAGAUUGAACCCAAAACUGAGAACCUCUCCCAUUGCAAGAAGAACCAAUCUAGUUGGCCAAACCAAUCCGAUAAUUUGAAGAGAAAUACAAAGAUACCAAACCAUGCAUAUAAGAAUUCAGAGAAGAUUCAAAUAAUAUGCAUAGAUAAAAUGAUCAUAAAUCCACAAUCCGUCGAAUCUUGAAAAACACACCGCAAAAGAAUAUUACAUCAGAUAGAUCUCCAAGAACAUCGAGGAGAACAUUGUAUUGAGGAUCAAAGAGAGAGAAGAAGUCAUCUAGCUACUAGCUAUAGACCCAUAGGUCUAUGGUAAACUACUCAUGCUUCAUCAGCAAUAGAGUUGAUGUAGAAGCCCUCCAUGAUCGAAUCCCCCUCCGACAGGGUGCCGAAAAAGGCCCCAAGAUGGGAUCUCACGGGUACAGAAGGUUACGGCGGUGGAAAAGUAUUUUGGUGGACGCCUCUGGUCGUUUGGAAUAUUUGGGAAUUUAUAGAGCAAAAAUUAGGGUUGGAGGAGUCCUGUGGGCCCACAAGCCAGCCCCCCCCCCCCGGGCGCGCCCUGAGGGCUUGUGGAGCCCUCGGGACUCUUCUGGCCCCUUUCCAAGUUUGUUGGGUGUCUUCUGGUCCAAGAAAAAUCAUCGCGAAAGUUUAUUCCAUUUGCACUCUGUUUGAUAUUUCUUUUUUGUAAAACUCAAAAACAAGGAAAAACAGAAAUUGGCACUGGGCUCUAGGUUAAUAAGUUAGUCCCAAAAAUAAUAUGAAAUAGCAUAUUAAUGCAUAUAAAACAUCCAAAACAGAUAAUAUAAUAGCAUGGAACAAUACAAAAUUAUAGAUAUGUUUGAGACAUAUCACUUCUCCACUACCAAAUGCUCCUUGAGCUCCUGGCUUUACUUCGUGCACCAUGGCCUAGGACGGUGAUUAUUUCGAGGAUGGGUCGAUGAUUUGGGCGAAAGGUGUCGUGCUGACGGUCGGGGCAUGUGGGAUGGAGAAGGAGGAGGAGGAUGGGGAUUGAGUGUGGAUUACCUGACUAGAUCGACGAGGCCGAGCGGCAGGAAGGAGCGUCACCGGUGAGGAGGUGGCGCUGCAAGCAAGCAAUGAAGGCGGAAACAAGGGAAAUGUGGCUUUUGGUGAGGAGGAGGGGGAGUAGAUAUUUCUAUGAAUGCUGAAAUUUUUCAUUUGGUGUAGCAAAAAACUGGUGCGCAAAGUGUCAUCAGACACAACCCCUUAUUCAGCACUGUGUACAAUAUCUGAACAUUACAAACGAUUAAUAUGGCUUACCCCGUGUAUGAUGAGUUUGAACGUGCAAAGUUUUGUUUGAAUUUCCCUUGUUACAGUGGGCAUCCAUGUCAUUGCAUAGUUUGGGUACACAAAAGAGCCUACAACACACCCACACUUCUUAAUCGAGGAAGUUCAGCAAUUAAACAGAGCUAGCUGACCUAAACAUUACUCUAACAAAAUAUCGACGCUCUAAACAAAGACUACUACUCCGCCUGGCGCUCAUCGAUCACCGUCGCCUCCUCCAUGUCUAGCUUGUUCUCGACGAUCUCCUGGGGAAGGGGCUCCAUGGCAUCCAUCGCAACAUACUCAAGCAUCUCGCCAUCUGAUGACCCACAAGUAUAGGGGAUCAAUCAUAGUCCUUUCAUAAGUAAGAAUGUCGAAACCAACAAGGAGCAGAAGGAAAUGAAAAAUUGUCAGGACCCCGACUCAAUGCCACAUCGAUCUAACAUGUAACACCUCAUAUCACUUUGCGGCCUAACGCACGGUAUUCCCACGGGUGUCGCCUUACCUUUGUCCGGGACCGUUUGCGUCUUUUGGCACACGUAUAUGAUAGUGUCGCUAGCAUCCAUAUGAUAAGGAGCCCGGGCUGACAUGGCUAGUCGUAAACCCAAAGUGGCUCAAACUUACAGGGACAGGCAUCCAUGACCCAGCAUCGAACGUGUCGGUCAUCAGCGAGUGAAUCCAGGCUGUAGCACUGGGCUAGCAGGACUCUGGUGAACCCGGCUGUAGCGGGCUAACAGGACUCCGGAAUUCAUCACGUGACAUUUCCCCGAGGGGACAGACACAGGAACGAAGAAGGACACAUGCCGGCCAGCCUAAGUGUUCCGGAGCAGUAGCAAGCUACCAUGGCUCAGUGGAAACACUAGGAGACAUUUCCCGGUAAGAGAGGCUACUAAGGAUAAACAACUAGAUAGUCAGAUCCCACACAUACCAAGCAUUUCAAUAACAUACACACAAUAUGCUCGAUAUGUGAAAAUACAACAUGGCAUCACAACAUGACUCUACAACUCAAGUAUUUUAUUCAAUAGGCUCCAAGGAGCGAGAUAUUACAAACAUGGGUCUCAUGACCCAACAUUCAGAGCAUACAAGUCAAAGCACAAGCGGAAGCUUAACAUGUCUAAGUACAAACAUCUACAAAUGAAAAAGGCUAAGAAGCCUGACUAUCUACUAGAUCCUGCUGAGGGCACAAAGUCAUAGCUGAGGUAACAAGCUAAAGUCCACGCGGAACUACUAGUGAGACGGAAGUCUCUGCAAAAAUGUAAAAUAGGCAAACCUGAGUACAAAUGUACCUAGCAAGACUUACAUCAUAACUAACUACAUAUGCAUCAUUAUCAACAAAGAGGAUGGUGGGGUUUAACUGCAGCAAGCCAGCUUUGACUCGGUGGCUAUCCUAAACUACGACUGCAAGUAACUCUUUUGAGGUGGCGCACACGAGUCCACAUAUUCACCAUAUCAAUACACCACUAUGGAUCCGCUCCCGUCUCCCUACGAGAAUGCCAUCCAUAGCACUCACACUUAUCUUGCAUAUUUUAGAGUAUCCACUUUCACUUGUCUAUGAACUGUACAGGCAACCCAGAAGUCCUUUUCCACGGACACAGGUAUUCGAAUAGAUGAUGUUAACCCUGCAGGGGUGUACUUCUUCACACACGCUCUCACCACUUACCGCCGUUUACACGACAUGUACUCGGCAACCUUCAAGCGGAAGCCCAACGAGGGUGUCGGCCACGGCCUACCUAAACACUCAAGUCUCUAGUCCAGGUUUAUCACCUAUUCAGGUUCCAUCCGCAGGGAGUCUGGCCGAGGUUUCCACAUACGGCCCCGAACGAUGUGUACAGGGUUCCGUGACACCAAACGGGCGCCCGGUAUACCCGGCCACAUGCCUACCGCAUCACAGCCCACCCCUCCGGUCAGCGCUGCCCACGGCCUCCAGCAUACUACAAACACCAGAAACUACUUGCAACUCCUGGACAGAGCACAAGGGUGAUUAAGAAGCCGAGAGGGUCCAUUGGUUUCGGGCCCAAUGUGUGGUAGUAACUGUUUCAUGGAUCACAAACACAGAACUCAGUUCCUGAGGACGGCUUCAAUGAGACAACCCACCAUGUACUCCUACAUGGCCUCUCACCGCUACCUUUACCAAAUUGUGUUCACACACUUAGCUCACACACAGUAGGACAUGUUCACACACCUCUGAUUCAUCCCCGAUGAAUCAGACCUGACUCAACUCUAAGCAGUAGCAGGCAUGACAAACAAGCAUGAAUGAGUAGGCACAACAGGGCUCAAACAACUCCUACUCAUGCUAGUGGGUUUCAUCUAUUUACUGUGGCAAUGACAGGUCAUGCAGAGGAUAAAGGGGUUCAGCUACCGCAACAAGUAACAAAUGAAUCGUUGUUGUCCUAAUGCAGUAAAAGAGAGCAGCAGCGAGAGAGUGGGAUUGUAUCGGAAUGAACAAGGGGGUUUUGCUUGCCUGGCACUUCUGAAGAUAGUAUAGCUCUUCAUCGGUGUCAUCGAUCUCGUCGUCGGUAUCACGUCUAACGAGAGGGGACAAAUACUGGCAACACAGAAGGAAACACAAUCAAUGCAAUGCAUAAUAUGAUGCAUGCUCAUGACAUGUCAAUAUGCUGUGUGUUGGGCUAAUGCAACUAAAACCAGAGUGGUUUGAUCUUAUUUGAAUCAAAGAUUCAAAUACAAGCCUAAGCUAUGAACUCAUAUAAGUGCAUUAUCAUGUUUCAUCUAAACAGAAAGGUUAGGUUGCUCUAACAUGCAUGAAACCAGUACAGAUGCAAAGGUUGGAUUUUUCUGAUCAUUUUUCAUAUAUAACUUAUUCCAAUCUGAGUUAUAGAUUAUUUUCUAUGAAUUUUUGAAGUUUGCUACAUUUUCUGGAAUUUCCUAUAUAAGAAUAAAUCCAAUAAAUGUUUUAUUGCGUCAGCAAUGCAUCAGGGUGACGUCAGCCAUCAACGGGGACGGUCCAGGUCAAACCUGACCAGUGGGUCCCGCGUGUCAGUGUCAUUAGUCUAAAUAAUUUUUAGUUAGUCCUAAUCCUAACUUAAUUAGCAGGCGGGUCCCACUUGUCAUAGACCCAGGGGGUUAAACUGGGUCCACCCGGGGUCAACUCGGUCAGCGGGGUCAAACUCACCGGUGACUCGAUGCUGGCGAGGCCCGAUACGGUGGCGCGGCUCGAAAAACACCCACAGGGCACGGUGGAGGCCGUUAUUGGGCUUGUUGGAGAGCUCUUGCAGGCGCGCGUCGAGUGGUGGUGGCGGCCGGGACUAUGGUGGUCGGAGCCGACGACGGCGAGCUCCAAGGCGGCGGCCGGAGUUCGGGUUAGUACGGGGGCGGCGUUAGGGAGCAUGAAAGGGGGUGCGGAGGGGUGCUAUGGCCUCCUGGGGGUGCACUGAGCAUGUCUGCAUGCUCGGUUUGGACGGAAGCAAACCAAAACGAUGACGGCGACAAGUCCGGCGCCGAUGAGGUCUCGGUCUCGACGAAAAUGAAGGCUACGACGAGCUAAUGGACAUGGGAGAACGGGGGUCGGUAGAGGAGCUCACGGCGAGUGCAGAGGUGGCCUCCGCGUGCUCGGGGAAGCACCGGAGCGUGUGGGCGCGCGCGUUGGCCACACGCGCGUCCUCCUGGCAGAGGAGGAAGACGACAGGGAAGGAGGCGGUGGUGGGCUUGGCCAGUUGCAGUGCUGGGCCACAGCUGGGCCGACUAGGUGGCCUGCACAGUGAGGCCAGGUACUAACUCUCUCUCUCUUUUAUUUUCUGUUUUCUAUUUUCUGUAAUCUUUGUGGCUUUAUUAAAAAUACAAAAACGUUUCCAAAAAUCCUGAAAAUAGUUGUGGGCUCUGUUAGGAUUAUUCCUAGCAGCCCACACUUAAGUUCAGAAUUAAUUGAGCACUUAAGAUAAUAUAUAGCAUUUAAAUGCCCAAUUGCAAAUACUAUAUGAUUUAAUUCAGUGACCAAAUAUGUCAUGGAAAAAUGUGCAACACCUCUGGUUAUGGUUCUAGCAUUUCCAGAAAUGAUGAACAUUUUUGAAAGCCAUUUGGAUUCACUAAAAAUAUUUUAGUUGAACCUAGUGAAUUCCUUUGACGCUAGGGUUUAGGCAAUCCCCAUUAAAAGUUUCAUAAAAUUUAAACAUGAUGCAUGGAUGCUUAUGCAAAGACAGAUAAGGUCUAAGCUAGGGCUGUGACACAAAUGGUUUUCAGCAAGCUAAUCUCUGCAAGUACUGAAAGUAGCGGUAACAAAUAGUUUAGUAGCAAGGUAAUUUGUAAGAAGUAAUAAUAGUAACCAAGGGGCAGCAAGGUGGCCCAAUCCUUUUUAUAGCAAAGGAAAAGCCAAAAAGUUCUCUUAUAGUAAGGAAAGCAUUCUCGAGGACACAUGGGAAUUGUCGUCUAGUCAUGUUCAUCAUGUUUAGUUGAUUUGCGUUUGUUACUUUGAUAAUUUGAUAUGUUGGUGGACUGGUGCUAGUGUUGUUCUUACUUGAACAAGCAACACUCUUAUGAUUACCCCCUCUCGCAAGCAUCCACAACUACGAAAGAAGAAUUAAGAUAAAUCUAACCGUAACAUGAAACAUAUGGAUCCAAAUCAGCCCCUUACGGAAUAACGCAUAAAUUAUGAUUUAAGCUUCUAUCACUCUUGCAACCCAUCAUCUACUUAUUACUCUCCAAUGCCUUCCCUUAGGCCCAAGUAUGGUGAAGUGUCAUGUAGUCUAUGUUCACAUGGCAUCACUAAAGGAAGAACAAUAUACAUAUCAUCAAAAUAUCGAACGAAGACCAACUUCACAUGAUUACUUAUAACAAGACUUCUCCCAUGUCCUAAAGAACAAAAGUAACUACUCACAAACCAUAUUCAUGUUCAAGAUCAGAGGUGUAUUGAAUAUGCUUAAGGAUCUGAACAUUUAAUCGUCAACCAAAUAAACCAACUAGCAUCAACUUCAAGAUGUAACCAACACUACUACCAAGCCACAAAUACCAAUCUGAGGUUUUGGGACAAAGAUUGAAUACAAGAGAUGAACUAGGGUUUGAGACGAGAUGGUCCUUGUGAAUAUGUUGAUGAAGAUUAGCCCUCCCAUGAUGAGAGGAUCAUUGGUGAUGUCGAUGGAUUUGAUUUCCCACUCCUGGAGGGAAGUAUCCCUGGUGGAAUCGCUCCACCUAAGAGCAAAAGUGCUCCUGCCCAGGUUAAGCCUCGAGACGGCAGCUCUUCAUCCCGAAAGUCUUCUUUUGAUUUCUUUUCUCCAGGGAAAAUAGCAUCAUAUAGGAGAAGAUAGACCCCAGAGGCCUGGUGGUGGGGUUACGAGCUCACCAGGCAUGCCUGUAAGGGCAUAUUUAUCCCUAAGGUGUUUUGGUGAUUGAUGACAAUGCGUUUGCUGACUAAUUGUGUGCGUUGAGUUUUUCAGAGAUUCAUCCUUUGGCACAAGACGAUUCCCUUCCCUCGGAGUGUUUUUCAAGACGGUGCAGCUCUUUCGUUUCUAUUUUGGUGGACUAGUUUCAUAGGAGUCACCGUACUCUCAAGAGGGGGUCCGCUUUGGUAAGGCUAGGGUGGAAUCAACACGUACACAUCCUUGUCACACCCUCUGAGCCUUUCCGCUUCAAUGGAGAGCUCAUUCCCCUUCAUAUGUGCAUCAUUUGGUCCCAGCGGUAGUACCGCGGGCCACAGCGGUAGUACCGCCCGAGUGCUACAACUGGCAGUACCGCUCCACGGCGGUAGUACCGCUUGAAGCCCUCCGCCGUAGUACCGUUGUGGCUUCGUGCUCCUAUCGCCUCGACUCGAGGGCUCUUUUCUCGUGUCGGGUUUUGCGGCACUAGUUGCGGCAGUAGAGGCGGUAGUACCGCUCUUAAGCGGUAGUACCGCCCUUACCACCACGGUAGUACCGCCCUGGGUCCAGGUCCUCCCUUUGCUCCUUGCUCCCCUCUACUGCGCGGCAGUACCCGAGUUGGGGCGGUAGUACCGCUGGCCUCAGCGGUAGUACCGCCCACCCCUGCAGUAGUACCGCUCUCUGCGGGGCUGCUUUGGGGGGUAACGGUUGGAUUGUCUCCCCCCCCCCACUAUAUAAGGGGAUCUUCUUCCCCAAAGUUGACCUACCUCUUCCCCCAAAAGCUCCAUUGUUGCUCCAAGCUCCAUUUUCGCCCGAUCUCUCUCCCUAGCCAAUCAAACUUGUUGAUUUGCUCAGGAUUGGUUGAGAAGGCCCCGAUCUACACUUCCACCAAGAGAAAUUUGAUUCCCCCCACUAAUCCCUAGCAGAUCUUGUUACUCUUGGGUGUUUGAGCACCCUAGACGGUUGAGGUUGCCGCGGAGCCAUAGUCCAUUGUGGUGAAGCUUCGUGGUGUCGUUGGGAGCCUCCAAUUAAGUUGUGGAGAUAGCCCCAACCUUGUUUGUAAAGGUUCGGUCGCCACCUUCAAGGGCACCAAUAGUGGAAUCACGGCAUCUCGCAUUGUGUGAGGGCGUGAGGAGAAUACGGUGGCCCUAGUGGCUUCUUGGGGAGCAUUGUGCCUCCACACCGCUCUAACGGAGACGUACUUCCGCUCAAAAGGAAGGAACUUUGGUAACACAUCCUCGUCUCCAUCGGCUCCACUCUUGGUUAUCUCGUGCCUUUACUUGUGCAAGCUUAUUUGUCUUGUAUCCCUUGCUUGCUUGUGUACUUGUUAGUGUUGCAUCAUAUAGGUUGCUCACCUAGUUGCAUAUCUAGACAACCUACUUUGAUGCAAAGUUUAAUUUGGUAAAGAAAAACUAAAAAUUGUUAGUUUCCUAUUCAGCCCCCCCCCCCUCUAGUAUCAGAGCCUCAUCUCUUUAUUAAGGACUUUGUCGUACGGAGAGUAUGGUUGACACCAUAGACGGUAGGGAGGAGCACUCUAGUGUGAAUCCGAGCUCAUCUACGGGUGAUGGGGGAACUGCGGUGUCUCGUGAGGAAUUCAAUGUGGCUUUGGACACAUUGAAAACCUCCAUGACAACCGAGGUUGAAAGCAUGUUUAAUAAAUUCUUAGAAGGACUUAAACUAUCUACCUCGCCGUUGAAAGUGGGUGAUCCCACUCACAAGGUGACGGAGAAAAGGAUCCUUCUACUAGUGGUAGAAAUGGCACCGGCAUCUUUGCCCAUGUAGCACCUCCAGUUUAUGGAGGACCGAUUCCUUCUACUCAUUUAAAUCAUGUCGGCCCUCCUCCUAAGAUUGUGAAAAAUGAGGACUUUGAUUCUUGGGUAUAUCGCUUCAAGCGUCGUUUAAAUCAUGUGAAUACUAACCUUUGGAGAAUCAUUGAAGAAGGUUUCCAUCCACAUGACCGAAGCAACUUCACCCUAGAGAAGCCGUGGACCAUCAAUUCAAUGAGAAUGCUCUCUUCAUCAUUCAAGAUGUUGUUCUACCCGAAGAUCUCCCUCGUCUUCGACCCUUCUUCAUGGCCAAAGACGCAUGGCAUUGUGUUGUUUCCCUCUAUAAGGGAAGUGCAAGCAUUCAACGCUCCAACUAUGAACUGGUGCAAGAUGAAGCCGAUGAGUUUGCAAUGAAAGAAGAUGAAGAACCUCGUGAUCUCUUUCGGAGAGUAACCAAACUUGCGGUCUCACUCCGAGAUCAUGGGAGCAAGGACACAUAUGACAAUUGGAUCAAGCGCAAGUUCCUCAAAGCAAUGAUGCCUUUCCACAAGGCCUUGUCCUCCGUCAUCCGUCAAAGACCGGACUUCCACUCCUUGACCUCAAAUGAAGUGUUGGAUGAGUUUGUGGCAAUGAGGAUCUUGGACAAGACCGCCGAAAACGAGGUGUUGUGCUCACAAAGGACAAAGAAGCCAACCUUGCCUUGAAGGCCAAGGUUAUUGUGGAAGAAGAGGAGAGCAACCUCGAAGAUACAAAAUAUGAUUAUCAUGAGCACAUGGCUCUUGCUUCAAGGCAAUUUUGGAGCAAGAAGAACACAAGGCCCAACUUCAAGAAGAACAACUCAAGUGGAUUCAAGGGCAAGCAACGUGUGAGAACAUGUUACAAUUGUGGCAAUGUGAGCCAUUUUGUUGUGGAUUGCCCUUAUGAGAAGCGGGAAGGCAAUGGUGGCAAGCUCAUCCAAAAGGACAAAGCCAAGUCCUUCCCAAACAAGAACAACUUCAGCAAAAAGACUCCUACUCGAGGGUUGGUGAUUCAAGAAGAAUACCAUGAGGAUGAUGAUGAUGAUGAUGAUGAAGAUAGUGAAGCCAUGGCCAUGGCCUCCGUUGCCAUUGCCACAACUCCACGGGUGUCCCUCUUCGACUCACCCGAUGAGAACAUCACCGCCAAGUCUCUCAUGGCUAAAGCCACCAACAAGGUAACCCCCAACAUCAAAACCACCAUCAUUACUAAUCCCUCCUUGACGGAUGGCGUUGAUGAAAGUGAGGGGUCUAAUGAGGAAGUGGAUGAAUUUGAGUCUUUUAUGAGUAAGAUCAAGGGCAAAUCCAAGAAGCACUUUGUUGCUCUCUUGGAACAACUUGGUGAAGCCAAUGACAUGAUCGAGGCUCAUGAAGAAACCAUCUGUAAGAUGGAAGGUCAUAGUCGUGACUAUGCCGAUGAGAUAUUGGACCUCUCUAAUUCUCUUGAGGAAGAGUGUGGGCAUUGUUUGGCUCUUGAGGAGUCACACAAUGAUGACCAUGCUAAGUUAAAGAAAGAUCUUGAUCAUGCUCUUGUUGUUUCUCGUGUGCUAACUUCCAAGAAGGCUAAACUUGGCGUUGACCAUGCUAGACUCAAGGAGGAGUUUGAUUUACUCGACAAGGCCCACAAGGUCUUGAAGGGUGCUCAUGCUAGUCUCAAGGAGUCUCAUGAUCAACUCCAAGUUAAGCUAACCAAAGAAAAGGCCACCUUUCCUCAUAUGGUAUUAAUUGAUAAUGCAAAUGCCACUAACCCGUGUUGUGAGCAUGUGCAUCUUGUGGGGGAGAAUGCCAAGUUGAAGGAGCAACUUGAGAAAGGCCUUGUGACAUGCAUACAAGGUGAUAAGAACCUCAACGACCUUUUGAUCAAUCAAAAGGAAGUUGUGGCCAAGGAGGGAGUUGGGUUCGCACCCAAGUCCAAGAACAAGAAGAAGAACGACAAGACCAAACGACCUCCUCCUCUCAAGCAAACUUUUUUGAAGGAGGGAGAGGGUGAUCCUAAGGAGAAUAAGAACAAUGUGAAGGGUGGUGAUGUCAAAAAGGGCAAAGCCACCUCUUCCAACAAAGCUGACGACUUUAACCCUUCUUAUGUGUUGUGUCGUGCUAGUGAUGGGCAUGUUUAUGCUAAAUUUGUUGGUUCUCCUUAUGAGUACAUUGAAUGAUAUAUUUGGGUUCCUAAGACCCUUGUUACUAACAUCAAAGGACCCAUUACUAAAUGGGUACCUAAAACCAAGCAUUGAUCUCUUGUAGGUGUUUUUUCCGGCGGGGGAUCAUGGUUGCUCGAUAGUGGAGCAACAAAUCAUAUGACCGGAAGCAAGGACUUGGUGGUGGACGUACACAAGAUCCCUUCUACGCCUACCAACAUCGAGUGGGGUGAUGCCUCGUCUUCUAAGGUAUUGGGUCUUGGCAAGGUUGUCAUUUCUCAUGAUCUUACGAUCGAGAAAGUCAUGCUUGUUGAGUCCCUUGCUUUCAAUCUACUUUCGGUUCAUCAACUUGCACUCAUGGGCUUUGCCACUUUCUCUGAUAUUGAUAUCGUGGCCCUCUUGUGGAGCAAGACUCUUAAAGUAGCCUUUGUUGGGCAUGUCAAGAACGGUCUCUAUGUGAUUAACUUUUCAGAGCGACCCACUAAGACCGCGACAUGCCUAAUGGCUAAAGUGGGAUGGCUUUGUGUCACGCCCAAUAUGCGACCCUAUCCAAAAGGAACUCGAAGGUCCCACCAAGGAUAGACCCGCAUAUUGAAACGCUUUUGCAAGGUGGAUAUCAUUACAUCAACAUUACAUAAUAUAUGGGGAUACAUACAUAAGGCAUACAAUGCCACAUGAAUACAACAUCAUCAUACAUAAGAUCAUCAUCCGACUAUGGAUGAAACACAAACAGAAACUCAAACGACAUCCACCCUGCUAGCCCAGGCUGCCGACUUGGAACCUAUCCCCUGAUCGAAGAAGCAGAAGAAGAACUCAACGCAAGCAAGCAUCGCUCUCGUGUCAUGAUCAUCGCAUGAACCUGUACCUGCAACUGUUGUUGUAGUAAUCUGUGAGCCACAAGGACUCAGCAAUCCCAUUACCAUGGGUAUCAAGACUAGCAAAGCUAAAUGGGAAAGGAAGGGGUAAAGUGGUGAGGCUGCAGCAGCGACUAAGCAUAUAUGGUGGCUAACAUACGCAAAUAAGAGCGAGAAGAGAGCAAGCAGAACAGUCGUGAAGCUAGCAAUGAUCAAGAAGUGAUCCUAAACUCCUACUUACGUCAAACAUAACCCAGAAACCGUGUUCACUUCCCGGACUCCGCCGAAAAGAGACCAUCACGGCUACACACACGGUUGAUGGCGUUUUAAUUUGGAUCUGGUGUCAAGUUGUCUACAACCGGACAUUAACAAAUUCCCAUCUGCCUAUAACCGCAGGCAUGGCUUUCGAAAGAUUAUACCCUGCAGGGGUGUCCCAACUUAGCCCAUGACAAGCUCUCACGAUCAACGAAGGAAUAGACCUUCUCCCAGGAAGACCCGAUCAGACUCGGAAUCCCGGUUUACAAGACAUUUCAACAAUGGUAAAACAAGACCAGCAAGACCGCCCGAUGCACCGACAAUCCCGAUAGGAGCUGCACAUAUCUCGUUCUUAGGGCAACACCGGAUAAGCUAAGCGUACAGGUAUCGACGUAACCCAAGUUUCCAAGGGAUGGUCCCGCACGGUGCUCUAGUUUGGACCAACACUUAGACAAGCAUUGGCCCGGGGGGGCUGUAAUAAAGAUGACCCUCGAGAGUGCGACUCCCAAGGGAAAAAGGGCUAGGUGAGGCAAAUGUAAAACCAAGGUUGGGCCUUGCUGAAGGAGUUUUAUUCAAAGCGAACUGUCCAGGGGGUCUCAUAAAUCACCCGACCGCGUAAGGAACGCAAAAUCCGGGAACAUAACACCGGUAUGACGGAAACUAGGGCGGCAAGAGUGGAACAAAACACCAGGCAAAAGGCCGAGUCUUCCACCCUUUACCAAGUAUAUAGAUGCAUUAAUAAUAUAAGAGAUAUUGUGAUAUCCCAACCAAAAUCCUGUCCACCAUGGAGCAAUCUUCAACUUCACCUGCAACUAGCAACGCUAUAAGAGGGCUGAGCAAAGCAGUAACAUAGCCAAACAAUGGUUUGCAUAGGAAAGGUGUCAAAGGUUAGAGGUUCAUGGCAAUUUGGGAUGGCUUGAUAAACACAUGAUAGGUAACACAGCAUAGCGAUAGAAUGAAGCAACUAGCAUAGCAAUGAUAGUAGCGAGAUCCAGGGUAGCGGUCAUCUUGCCUGAAAUCCCGCAAGGAAGAAGAACGAGUCCAUGAAGAAGAUGAAGCCACGAAGAAGUACCAAGCGUAGACGAACGAGUCCUCACGAUCGCAACGAAACAGGAACUAUCGAAAAGAAGCACACAACAUGGUAAACACACCACACAUGAACAAGGCAUGAUGCACAACAAGCAUGAUGCAUGACAAGACUACAUGAAGCUACUCAUGGCAAGAGAUGAUGCAAACAAGAGCAACACAUCAAGGCAAGUUUAAAUGAGGCCGGGAACAACAUAUAACAAUUCCGGUAAGUCCUCAUAUGCAUAUUUCGAAGUUGGUCCAGAUCUGAAUAAACCUUAUGUUCAAGUUGUUAAACAGCAAGUUAAGAUGCACAAGGAUGAUCUACAUGAGAUUCUAGUCAAGUUACAUAUAAAGAUCAUUUAAUUCGGAGCUACGGCCUAGAAGAUAUGAGCAAAGCAAGUUAAACAUGGCAUUGAUGCAAAAUACAAUCAAACAUCAAGCAAACACACCAAAACAAGGAUGCAACAUGAUAAUAUGAAACUACAUGCAAUUCUAAGUAAGUUUCAUAUAGAUCACACUCAAAACGGAGCAACGGUUCAACACAUGCACUCUAUACAAGUUUAAAGGACAAGCUGUCCAAAACAGCAACUAGGCAUAUUGCAAGCAUCAAAACAACAUGCUACAGCACUCCAACAUGAGAACAAAAGGCAUGGACAUGAUGUACAGGUAAAGCAUUACAAAACAUGAACACUGAGCUAUCUCCAGAAAUCACUAGAACAUGCUCAAACACACAUGGUAAGAUUGCAAGUAUUAACAAUUCAGACUUUGCAGAAAAUAACAUCAUGUUGCAAUGUUUAGAGCUAUCAAACAACAUGUUACAGGAACUUAUCAUGGCAAACAAAGGAAUGGAAUGAAUCUACUAAUUGCAUAGAUCAAAAGUCCUUUACUGACCAUAAGCCAAAAAGGAUCAGAAAAUAUGAUGGCACCCACGUAAACAUAGCAAGUUAUUAUACAGAUUCAAACAUGACAGAAACAGAAUUAUGAAGGCAUGUAAAUGAGCUUGUACCACUCACCACAGAGCAAUAAAUAGCAUGGCAAUGCAACCAACAGUAAGAAGACAUAUUUGUGAAGCUAAGCAUGGCAAUAUCAAGUUCAUAGGGUGCAUGGAUCACUAGUAAAACACAUGGAAACAACUGAACUUAAUGUUAACAUGCUGGCAGCUACAUUAUGAAGCAACUUUAGAUCAAGAUUACAACAAGCUACAGCAACCUAUAAAUGCAACCAGGGGCAUGGAUGGAUAGAGGAUGACAUGUAGAUCAAAACAUGUUUAUAGAACAUCUCCAGAUUAUGCACAGAAUGACUAGUAGCAACAUGUUUAUAUAGCAUCACAAAAUAACACAUUCAGCCUAGCAAAAUAGCAACAACAAGUACACUACUUAACAAGCUCGAUUCACUCACCACAAGUCAUUGCAUGACAAGAUAAGCAUAGCAUCAUCAAGAAGGCAUGUUUAUGUAACCAACCAAGGCAAGAACAAGUCCAUAGCAUGCAAGGAUCAACUAUAGCAACCUUGGCCAAAUUGAAUAACAUGUAAACAAUCUGCCAGGAAACAUUUUGAAGCAAAAGUAGAGCACGCAAAUGACAUGCUAGACUACUCCAUAAUUGCAACCAAGGGCAGGGAUGGAUAGAGCAUAGCCACAUGUUCAAAACACCCUUACUGAAGUAUCUCAAAAUAUGCAUGGAUCUCUCUGUAGCAACAUGUUUACAUGGCAUCAAAAUAACAGCAGAACAGGGACUAAAAUUAGCAAUAUCACGAAGCCUAGUUUGCAUGCUUGUGCUAGUCACCACAUUGAUCACAAAAAUACAUGGUAAGCACCUCUGUAAAGAAGACAUGGCAUAGAUCAAAACACAUGUAGACAUCAACCUCGUAGGAUGCACACAUCAAUCAUGGCAAAAAUGACAAAAGAGCUCGUUCUGAUAACAGACAGCAGAAAACAUUAUGAAGCACUCUUACGACGAAGAUUCAGGCACCUAGAUGACCUCAAAUGAAUAUGAUGCAAUGGAAUGAAAUGAUGUACUCGUCGAGGCAAACAAUUUGACAUAUUACACGCACGAAACGAAGCUACAGAUGCAGAGAUACGGCAUGAUGAACAUGGCAUGAAAAUUACAAAAAUCUAGGACUUAGCAGGUUUUGAAAAAAAACAGAUGGGCGUCAUAUAGCUAUAUCUCGCACGGGCGGGGAAAAGACGGGCGCUCGCCAAGCGGGCCAAGCCCAGGAGGAGGAGGAGGCAGGAGGUAGGGGAGGCUGCAGCGGGCCUUGGCCGGAGAUGGGCCAGCGGGGGGGCCCACGCGGGGGAGGAGCUCGGCCCCGACCUGUUGCCGAGGCCGAGGAGGGGCGCGACGGCGCCGACAAACCCUGGCGGCGGCGGCGGCUUGAUCCCGCCCGGAUCUCGCCGGAUCCGGGCGCGGUGGCAGCGGGGAGGAGGGAUCCGGGAGGCGGCAACGGGAGGUGCGGGAGGAGGGCGGCGGAGCUCGCGCGGGACGGCGCCCGCGGGAGUCGGCGGCUAGGCGGCCAAGNNNNNNNNNNNNNNNNNNNNNNNNNNNNNNNNNNNNNNNNNNNNNNNNNNNNNNNNNNNNNNNNNNNNNNNNNNNNNNNNNNNNNNNNNNNNNNNNNNNNNNNNNNNNNNNNNNNNNNNNNNNNNNNNNNNNNNNNNNNNNNNNNNNNNNNNNNNNNNNNNNNNNNNNNNNNNNNNNNNNNNNNNNNNNNNNNNNNNNNNNNNNNNNNNNNNNNNNNNNNNNNNNNNNNNNNNNNNNNNNNNNNNNNNNNNNNNNNNNNNNNNNNNNNNNNNNNNNNNNNNNNNNNNNNNNNNNNNNNNNNNNNNNNNNNNNNNNNNNNNNNNNNNNNNNNNNNNNNNNNNNNNNNNNNNNNNNNNNNNNNNNNNNNNNNNNNNNNNNNNNNNNNNNNNNNNNNNNNNNNNNNNNNNNNNNNNNNNNNNNNNNNNNNNNNNNNNNNNNNNNNNNNNNNNNNNNNNNNNNNNNNCGGCGGCUGAUUGGGCGCGGGGGCGGCUGGACGUGUCCGGUCCGGUCCGGACUGCCCGGUGCGGCGCGGAGGGGAAAUUAGGGUUUCGGGGAGAAAUUGAUCCGAAAAUGGAGAGGGGGAGACGUUUUUAUAGGUGGAGGGAGCUAGGAGAGUCCAAAUGGGGAGCGGUUUUUGCCCUCACGAUCGUGAUCGAAUGACCGAGAGCAUGAAGGUGAGUUAGAUGGGUUUUUGGCCACUUUGGAAGGGUGUUGGGCUGCAAAGAGAGAGGGGCUUUACGGUUACCCGGUUAACCAUUGGAGUACCAAACGAACUCCAAAUGGCACGAAACUUGACAGGCGGUCUACCGGUGGUAUACCAAGGCCGCUUGGCAAACCUCGGGCCAUUCCGAGAAAGUUUAACACCCGCUCACAACGAGAGACAAAAAGGGAACGCCGGAGGGCAUAGGAGCGCCAGAUUGCAAAACGGACAACGGGGAAAAUGCUCGGAUGCAUGAGACGAACGUGUAUGCAAAAUGAAAUGCACAUGGUGACAUGAUAAAAUGCAACACGCAAGCAAAUGACAUGGCAACAACGACGAAUAACUGACAGACACCUGGCGCAUCGAAUCCGGGGCGUUACAACAGUCCUCCACUAACAAGAGAUCUCGUCCCGAGAUCUUAGGACCGAGACGGAAGGGAAAAGGGAUGAGGUGAAACAAGAACUCAAGAGAAGAAGCAAGGAAUCAAGGGCACUCGAGAAGAAGAGGGGAACGACGAGAAUUACGAGAAUCGAAAGCUCACGGAAUCAGAUAGACUAUAAAACCACUCUGGUUAGAACGAGAUAAGAAACGAAUAAGACUGAAAGGAUUUAUGCAGCACUCCGACUGAAAAUGGAAGGAUUAGAACAUGAACUUCACAAGAUGGGAUGACACUUGGCGAGAUGAACAACACAAAGCCUCCGGAAGAAUUGAAGAAUGGAAUCAAAAGAAUUUAGAAGGAAGGGUUGAACAGAGUUGUUGAGAAGAUCAACAACGAAAGAAUAAGCUUGUUUUGGUCUUAUAGGUAACAUCUCAAGAUCAUGAGGUGAUAACCGGCCACAAACGGAAAAGAUUGAAUAGCUGAGAAGAACGAAGGAAUGCAAAACUCCACUUCAAAAGAAAAUGAAGAAUUAAUUGCACUUUGAAAGGCAAGAAGGAAAGAUACUAGAACUCCUUGAACAAGAAUCUUGACGAACUCUUGAAGAAUGAAUUAAAUCAUGACAAUCCACCAUGAAGAACUCCGGUAACAAAAGGAUGACGAGAUAAAAUUGAAGGAUGAAAGAAUAAGAUGAGCCUUGCGAUGAUUUAGAUGGAGGUUCCGACGAAAUGGCUGAGGAAAUUUGAACUCCGGUAAAGAAAAGAUGAAAAACACUUGGAGCUAGAAUUUAUUCAUUAAGAACAGACUCCGAAGAAAGGGAUUACUCACUCUGAUGAAAUGAGAAUAAGAUUUAUUGUAUGCUUAUCCUUCAUCAAAUUAAAUUGAUGACAUGGAUUUUGCAUAUUACUUAUUCUUCUUGAAAAGGAUUGAGAAGUGACAUACCGCAAACUUGAGAAAGUCUUCAUGAACCACCGGUAGGAUUGGAAAGAACAAAUGGAUUAAUAUGAUAAUCAAAGAAAACGAAUGUUGAACGAACCACCGUAAGAAUUUGGAAAUGACUGAUGAAAGAGAAAUAAUUGCCGGGAAGAAUUAGAAGAACAAAUAUGCUCGAGGGGAUUAGAUGCAAGAGAACAAAGAGAUCAUGAGCUGAUUAAAGAACACUUGAAUGAAGCACCGGGAUAAAUAGAGAAUGAUAACUGGAAUGAUGGCCUCCGGUGAAAAGAAACAGGCAAACAGAUUCUGACAUAUUCCUGAUGGGUAAGAAAAGGAAUAUUUGACAAAUGAAAUAAAUGAGAGGAUAAAAAGAAGCUAGAACCGCGGAUCUUCGAAAGAACGGACAAGAUUUAGAGGAAAACUCUUCUUCGGUCUUCAAAUGACGACGCGAAACACCAUCGAAAUUGCUGAGAUACUCCGGGAGAAUGAAAAGCAGAGAGGUUGAGCCAACAAUGAAAUGAUUUGAAAUCGAUCUUGAAAGGCAUGUGACUGAUGGAAUCCAUUCUUACGUCACGCUUGAAAAGAAUUGAGAAUAACUCCGGGAAAAUAGAAGAGUCAGGUAAGAUCCUGGGAAAAGACCUGUGGGUUAGGGCCCACUGAAGAGAAAACACCGUUGGAAAGGGAUGUUGAACAGAUAGAUGAUGCACUGGAACAAUUGAAAUAUUUGAAUGAGGUGACAACCUCGAAUUAAUUCGAAGACAGAUGAAUCUCCUGAGAUGUCUUGAACACUCCGGAAGGAUAAACUGGCGAGAGGCGAACGAGCAAGGAGAACACUUGAUCCAAGGAAAAUAAUAUGAUCAACCGAAAACUUGAAUUGAAUCCACCGGAGAAGAAAAGAGAUGAAGAAUGUCCACCGAAACGAGAAUUCACUAGUUGAAAUAAUUUACGAAAGACUGAAGAGGUUUUGCACGAAUGAGAUAGAUGGUCGAGAGAGAGUCAGACUGCGGGAAGAGAAAGGGUGGGAGGGCGGGAAAACAAAGAUAACUUGGAAGGGGAAACCGACGAAUAUCUUGAAGAGAAAAUACCGGUUGAAAUCAUUGAGGAGAGAGAGGAAAGACUUCGCACGAGUAGGAUGGAUACUCGAUUACGGACUCCGGUUCCAAGAUGAAAAAGGGGUGGGCGGGUGGGAAAAAGAAAACAACUGAGGAUUGAACUCAAAGAUGAAGAGGCUCGAGUCAACUUGACGAGAAAUGCACCGGAUGAAAAGAGCUGAGAACCAACGAUUGGAAAAACCAACUGCAUGAUCCUGAAGAAAAAUUUGAAGGGGAAGAGAAGUAAUUCAAAACACCUACGUCAAGAUUCCUUACCAGAGCGACGAAGGGGACUGAGGAGUAAAAAUAAUUCCUACUCUCCGAAAUAACUAGACUCCGAAAACAGUUUUCUUCUAGACUCAACAACGGCCAAACUACACGAUCAAUCAAGGGGGCUCCUAGGGUCGGUAGAGGCUCUGAUACCAACUUGUCACGCUCAAUAUGCGACCCUAUCCAAAAGGAACUCGAAGGUCCCACCAAGGAUAGACCCGCAUAUUGAAACGUUUUUGCAAGGUGGAUAUCAUUACAUCAACAUUACAUAAUAUAUGGGGAUACAUACAUAAGGCAUACAAUGCCACAUGAAUACAACAUCAUCAUACAUAAGAUCAUCAUCCGACUACGGAUGAAACACAAACAGAAGCCCAGGCUGCCGACCUGGAACCUAUCCCCUGAUCGAAGAAGCAGAAGAAGAACUCAACGCAAGCAAGCAUCGCUCUCGCGUCAUGAUCAUCACAUGAACCUGUACCUGCAACUGUUGUUGUAGUAAUCUGUGAGCCACGAGGACUCAGCAAUCCCAUUACCAUGGGUAUCAAGACUAGCAAAGCUAAAUGGGAAAGGAAGGGGUAAAGUGGUGAGGCUGCAGCAGCGACUAAGCAUAUAUGGUGGCUAACAUACGCAAAUAAGAGCGAGAAGAGAGCAAGCAGAACGGUCGUGAAGCUAGCAAUGAUCAAGAAGUGAUCCUGAACUCCUACUUACGUCAAACAUAACCCAGAAACCGUGUUCACUUCCCGGACUCCGCCGAAAAGAGACCAUCACGGCUACACACACGGUUGAUGCGUUUUAAUUCGGAUCUGGUGUCAAGUUGUCUACAACCGGACAUUAACAAAUUCCCAUCUGCCUAUAACCGCAGGCACGGCUUUCGAAAGAUUAUACCCUGCAGGGGUGUCCCAACUUAGCCCAUGACAAGCUCUCGCGAUCAAUGAAGGAAUAGACCUUCUCCCAGGAAGACCCGAUCAGACUCGGAAUCCCGGUUUACAAGACAUUUCGACAAUGGUAAAACAAGACCAGCAAGACCGCCCGAUGCGCCGACAAUCCCGAUAGGAGAUGCACAUAUCUCGUUCUCAGGGCAACACCGGAUAAGCUAAGCGUACAGGUACCGACGUAACCCAAGUUGCCAAGGGAUGGUCCCGCACGGUGCUCUAGUUUGGACCAACACUUAGACAAGCAUUGGCCCGGGGGGGCUGUAAUAAAGAUGACCCUCGAGAGCGCGACUCCCAAGGGAAAAGGGCUAGGUGAGGCAAAUGUAAAACCAAGGUUGGGCCUUGCUGGAGGAGUUUUAUUCAAAGCGAACGGGGUCCCAUAAAUCACCCGACCGCGUAAGGAACACAAAAUCCGGGAACAUAACACCGGUAUGACGGAAACUAGGGCGGCAAGAGUGGAACAAAACACCAGGCAAAAGGCCGAGUCUUCCACCCUUUACCAAGUAUAUAGAUGCAUUAAUAAUAUAAGAGAUAUUGUGAUAUCCCAACCAAAAUCCUGUCCACCAUGGAGCAAUCUUCAACUUCACCUGCAACUAGCAACGCUAUAAGAGGGCUGAGCAAAGCGGUAACAUAGCCAAACAAUGGUUUGCAUAGGAAAGGUGUCAAAGGUUAGAGGUUCAUGGCAAUUUGGGAUGGCUUGAUAAACACGUGAUAGGUAACGCAGCAUAGCGAUAGAACGAAGCAACUAGCAUAGCAAUGAUAGUAGCGAGAUCCAGGGUAGCGGUCAUCUUGCCUGAAAUCCCGCAAGGAAGAAGAACGAGUCCAUGAAGAAGAUGAAGCCACAAAGAAGUACCAAGCAUAGACGAACGAGUCCUCACGAUCGCAACGAAAUAGGAACUAUCGAAAAGAAGCACACAACAUGGUAAACACACCACACAUGAACAAGGCAUGAUGCACAACAAGCAUGAUGCAUGACAAGACUACAUGAAGCUACUCAUGGCAAGAGAUGAUGCAAACAAGAGCAACACAUCAAGGCAAGUUUAAAUGAGGCCGGGAACAACAUAUAACAAUUCCGGUAAGUCCUCAUAUGCAUAUUUCGAAGUUGGUCCAGAUCUGAAUAAACCUUAUGUUCAAGUUGUUAAACAGCAAGUUAAGAUGCACAAGGAUGAUCUACACGAGAUUCUAGUCAAGUUAAUAUAAAGAUCAUUUAAUUCGGAGCAACGGCCUAGAAGAUAUGAGCAAAGCAAGUUAAACAUGGCAUUGAUGCAAAAUACAAUCAAACAUCAAGCAAACACACCAAAACAAGGAUGCAACAUGAUAAUAUGAAACUACAUGCAAUUCUAAGCAAGUUUCAUAUAGAGCACACUCAAAACGGAGCAACGGUUCAACACAUGCACUCUAUACAAGUUUAAAGGACAAGCUGUCCAAAACAGCAACUAGGCAUAUUGCAAGCAUCAAAACAACAUGCUACAGCACUCCAACAUGAGAACAAAAGGCAUGGACAUGAUGUACAGGUAAAGCAUUACAAAACAUGAACACUGAGCUAUUCAUAGAGGAUGACAUGUAGAUCAAAACAUGUUUAUAGAACAUCUCCAGAUUAUUCAUAGAAUAACUAGUAGCAACAUGUUUAUAUAGCAUCACGAAAUAACAGAUUCAGCCUAGCAAAACAGCAACAGCAAGUACACUACUUAACAAGCUCGAUUCACUCACCACAAGUCAUUGCAUGACAAUAUAAGCAUAGCAUCAUCAAGAAGGUAUGUUCAUGUAACCAACCAAGGCAAGAACAAGUCCAUAGCAUGCAAGGAUCAACUAUAGCAACCUUGGCCAAAUUGAAUAACAUGUAAACAAUCUGCCAGGAAACAUUUUGAAGCAAAAGUAGAGCACGCAAAUGACAUUCUAGACUACUCCAUAAUUGUAACCAAGGGCAGGGAUGGAUAGAUCAUAACCACAUGUUCAAAACACCCUUACUGAAGUAUCUCAAAAUAUGCAUGGAUCUCUCUGUAGCAACAUGUUUACAUGGCAUCAAAAUAACAGCAGAACAGGGACUAAAAUCAGCAAUAUCACGAAGACUAGUUUGCAUGCUUGUGCUAGUCACCACAUUGAUCAAAAAAAUACAUGGUAAGCACCUCUGUAAAGAAGACAUGGCAUAGAUCAAAACACAUGUAGACAUCAACCUCGUAGGAUGCACACAUCAAUCAUGGCAAAAAUGACAAAAGAGCUCGUUCUGAUAACAGACAGCAGAAAACAUUAUGAAGCACUCUUACGACGAAGAUUCAGGCACCUAGAUGACCUCAAAUAAAUAUGAUGUAAUGGAACGAAAUGAUGUACUCGUCGAGGCGAAAAAUUUGACAUAUUACACGCACGAAACGGAGCUACAGAUGCAGAGAUACGGCAUGAUGAACAUGGCAUGAAAAUUACAAAAAUAUGGGACUUAGCAGGUUUUGAAAAAAAACAGAUGGGCGUCGUAUAGCUAUAUCUCGCACGGGCGGGGGAAAAGACGGGCGCUCACCAAGCGGGCCAGGUCCAGGAGGAGGAGGAGGCAGGAGGCAGGGGAGGCUGCAGCGGGCCUUGGCCGGAGAUGGGCCAGGGGGGCGCGGCCCACGCGAGGGAGGAGCUCGGCCCCGACCUGCUGCCGAGGCUGAGGAGGGGUGCGACGGCGCCGACGAACCCUGGCGGCGGCUACGGCUUGAUCCCGCCCGGAUCUUGCCGGAUCCGGGCGCGGCGGCGGCGAGGAGGAGGGAUCCGGGAGGCGGCGACGGGAGGCGCGGGCGGAGGGCAGCGGAGCUCGCGCGGGACGGCGCCCACGGGAGUCGGCGGCGAGGCGGCCAAGGCGGCAUGGAGCUCCGACGAUGUCCGGUGGCGGCGGCACGGCCGGACUGCGGAGGAGAGCGGGCGGCGGAGGCGCGGGGCUUCGUCGGGCCCGGCUUGGCCCGGCGCGGGCCGGAUCUAGGCUUGGCGGGCCCGUGCGGUGGGAGGCGCUGACCAGCGGCGGGGUCGGCGACAUGGCGGCGGCUGAUUGUGCGCGGGGUCGGCUGGACGUGUCCGGUCCGGUCCGGACUGCCCGGCGCGGCGCGGAGGGGAAAUUAGGGUUUUGGGGAGAAAUUGAUCCGAAAAUGGAGAGGGGGAGACGUUUUUAUAGGUGGAGGGAGCUAGGAGAGUCCAAAUGGGGAGCGGUUUUCGCCCUCACGAUCGUGAUCGAACGACCGAGGGCAUGGAGGGGAGUUAGAUGGGUUUUGGGCCACUUUGGAAGGGUGUUGGGCUGCAAAGAGAGAGGGGCUUUACGGUUACCCGGUUAACCGUUGGAGUACCAAACGAACUCCAAAUGGCACGAAACUUGACAGGCGGUCUACCGGUGGUAUACCAAGGCCGCUUGGCAAACCUCGGGCCAUUCCGAGAAAGUUUAAUACCCGCUCACAACGAGAGACAAAAAGGGAACGCCGGAGGGCAUAGGAGCGCCGGAUUGCAAAACGGACAACGGGGAAAAUGCUCGGAUGCAUGAGACGAACACGUAUGCAAAAUGAAAUGCACAUGGUGACAUGAUAAAAUGCAACACGCAAGCAAAUGACAUGGCAACAACGAUGAAUAACUGACAGACACCUGGCGCAUCGAAUCCGGGGCGUUACACUUUGGCAUCGCCGUUUAGCCCACGUCAACAUGAGAUCUUUGCAAAGUCUUCUCAAGGGGGACCAUGUCCGUGGACUAACAAAUGUUAGUUUUGCCAAAGAUCGUGCUUGCAGUGCUUGUAUCGAAGGAAAGCUUCAUGAAAAGGCUCACCCUCCCACGACUAUCAUCUACUCGAAGAGACCCUUGGAGCUCCUUCACAUGGAUCUCUUUGGACCUCCAUCUUUUGAUAGUCUUGGAGGUAGAAAGUAUUGCUUGGUGAUUGUGGAUGAUUAUUCAAGGUACACUUGGGUAUUUUUCUUCAAGAGGAAGAGUGAGACUCAACAAACCAUCAUCGACUUUGCAAAUGAAGCUCAACGUCAACAUGAUGCAAAGAUCUUGACAAUAAGAAGUGACAACGGCACCGAGUUCAAGAACUACACCUUGGAUGAGUUUCUUAGUGAUGAGGGGAUCAAGCAUCAAUAUGCUGCAUCAUAUACCCCUCAACAAAAUGGUGUCGCGGAGAGGAAGAACCGGACGUUGAUGGAUGCGGCAAGGACCAUGAUGGCGGAGUUCAAGUCUCCAUACAACUUUUGGGCUGAAGCCAUCAACACAGCAUGUCAUGCAUCCAAUCGGCUCUAUCUCCGCAAGAGCUUGAACAAGACUCCUUAUGAAAUACUUACCGGUAACAAGCCCAACCUCAAGUACUUCAGGGUGUUCGGGUGUAAGUGUUUCAUUCUCAAGAAAGGUGUUCGCCUGUCUAAAUUUGAGGAUAGAGCUUAUGAGGGCAUAUUUGUUGGUUAUGCUACAAACUCUCAUGCUUACCAUGUCCUCAAAAAGUCCACCGGACUCAUUGAGGAGACGUGUAGCAUGGAGUUUGACGAAAAUAACGGCUCCCAAGUGGAGCAAAGUGGUACUUGUGAUGUAGGUGAUGAAAUUCCUCCCCAAGCCAUAAGAAGAAUGGGUGUGGGUCAUAUCCUACCCAUUGAGGAACCCCUUGUGGCCGAAGGAGAAGGACAAUGCUCCACUCAAGUGGAGCCAUCUCCAACCCAAGACCCACACGCUUCCGAAGAACAAAGUGAAGGCCCUCAACCUCAUGAACAAGACCAAGGGCAAGAUCAACCUCAAGAUGGUGGUGAACCACCAAAUGAUGCCCAAGGUCAAGUUCUCCCCCUCGAGCAAGUUCAAGAUCAAGAGCAAGCUCAAGAUCUAGAACAAGCUCAAGACGACGCUCAAGAUAAUCAAGUUAACCCUCCUCCUUCCACAUCCGAGGAGGAAUUAGAGCAUCGUGCCGCGAAGAUUGCUUCCAAGCUCACCACCAAAGGUCAUCUCAUGGAGAAUGUGGUUGGAAGCCUAAGAAAGGGGGUAAGCACUUGUAGACAAUUAGCAAACUAUUGUGAACAUCACGUGUUUGUCUCUUGUGUUGAACCCCAAAAGGUCUAUGAGGCGCUCGAAGAUUCGGAUUGGCUCAAUGCCAUGCAUGAAGAACUCAACAACUUCGAGUACAACAAGGUGUGGAGAUUGUUGCCAAGGCCAUCGGGGAACCACAAUGUCACUGGAACCAAGUGGAUAUUCAAGAACAAGCAAGAUGCUCAUGGGACCAUCGUUCGCAACAAGGCAAGAUUGGUAGCACAAGGCUACUCCCAAGUCAAGGGUAUCGACUACGGUGAAACCUUUGCUCCUGUUGCUCGCCUUGAAUCCAUUCGUUUGUUGAUUGCUUAUGCUUCCCAUCACAACUUUAAGUUACAACAAAUGGAUGUGAAGAGUGCUUUUCUUAAUGGUCCUAUUAAUGAGUUGGUUUAUGUCAAGCAACCCCCCAGGUUCGAGGAUCCCUACUUCCCGGAUCAUGUGUAUCAACUCGAUAAGGCACUCUAUGGCCUUAAGCAAGCCCCACGUGCAUGGUAUGACCACCUUACCGAGUUGUUGCAAGAUCAUGGAUUUGAGGUUGGGCAAAUCGAUCCCAUUCUUUUUACUAAUAAGGUCAAAGGGGAGUUGUUUGUGUGCCAACUAUAUGUUGAUGAUAUUAUCUUUGGUUCCCAUAACAAAGAUUUCAAUGAGGAAUUUGCCACUCUCAUGACCUCUAAGUUCAAGAUGUCUUUGAUGGGAGAGUUGAAGUUCUUCCUAGGUUUAGAUAUCAAGCAAAGAAGAGAAGGUACUUUCAUCAAUCAAGCCAAAUACACUCAAGACAUGCUAAAAAGAUUCAAACUAAGUGAUGUCAAGCCGGCUUCCACUCCAAUGCCCACCAAGUGCCAACUUGACAUUGAUCCCAAUGGUAAAGCGGUGGAUCAAAAUGUAUAUCGCUCCAUGAUUGGCUCCUUGCUUUACCUUUGUGCAUCUAGACCGGAUAUCAUGUUGAGUGUGGGAAUGUGUGCACGGUUUCAAGCCGCACCGAAGGAAAGCCACUUUGUGGCGGUCAAGCGAAUCAUCCGAUAUUUGGCUCAUACCCCAAACUUUGUCUUAUGGUACCCAAGAGGAGCAAACUUCAAGCUUGAAGGAUAUACGAAUUCCGAUUGGGCGGGAGAUAAAGUGGAUAGGAAGUCCACUUCCAGAGGGUGGCAAUUUCUUGGUUGCUCUUUGGUGAGUUAGUCUUCCAAGAAGCAAAGUUGUGUAUCUCUCUCGUCCACCGAAGCGGAGUAUGUGGUGGCCGGUAGUUGUUGUACACAACUCUUAUGGAUGAGGCAAACUUUAAAGGAGUGCGGUGUCAUUUGUGACAAAGUGCCUCUUUGGUGUGACAAUGAAAGUGCCAUCAAGAUUUCUCUCAACCUGGUGCAACACUUCAAGACAGAGCAUAUUGAGAUUCGGUAUCACUUCAUCCGGGAUCACAUUAGGCAAGGGGAGAUCGAGCUCAAGUAUGGCAACACUCACGAUAACCUUGCAGAUAUUUCACGAAGCCCUUGGAUGAAGCAAGAUUUCGCGAGUUAAGGCAUGAGCUAAAUAUCAUUGAUUCGAGCAAUGUGUCUUGAACCCAUGCACAACCCACCAUUCAACUUGUUGUCUAGUUUAGGUGUAGGCAUGGACAUAGGGGGAGUGUUGUUCUCUCAAUGAACUCUCCCUCCCCCCAUUAUGCAUAAAUUGAUCGAGUCUUUCACAUUAACCAUUUUUAUGGUACUUGUGCUUCAAGGACGAGUUUUGGUCAUGGGCCCAAGGUUAAAAUCUUCGCAGCGCCAUACCUCUUGACUCAAAUAUAGGUGGCCUCGGCCACCACCCUCUCUUGAAGAGCUGUGGUUCCUGUCCUCUUGCUAGUGUUCUCGUUGCUGAGUCUUAAUUUCCUCUUCUUACUGUUUGUUUUCCCUUCUUUUUGAGCCGAGCCGUUUGGUGUCUAGUUGUUGAGUCUUGCUGGGUGGUACUACCGCUGGUGGUGCACGGUACUACCGCUUAUGUUGACAAGCGGUACUAUCGUUGAGGGGUGGGACCAGGGGGUUAUGUCGAGGCGCGGGGAGGUUUCGUCUCCCCCAUACCCAUUCGCUCCGCCCCCUUGUUCCUCUUCGUCUCUCCAGCGUCGACUCGCCGCGGGAGGGCUCCGGUGGGCCGUCAUCUUCGGGCCGUCCCUCUCCAUUUCCUUUGGUGGAGUCGAUCCCCACCUCAUCCUCUUGCCAUGGAUGCCAGUAUUGCCCUCGUUUGAACAUGCAACUAUCCCUAGGUGGUUUUGGUAAUUCCUAACAACAUAUAGCUCAUUGAUCUAAUGCUAUUUCAAGAUAAAUAUUUCAGGAAAGCUCAAUGAUUGGCAUGGCAUGGAUGAGAAAAGUGGACCCCUCAAAAUACUAAGGACAAAAGGAUUGGCUCAAGCUCAAAGCUCAAGACUCUACAUUUUCUAUUUUAGUGAUCCAAGGUCACAUUGAGUCUAUAGGAAAAGCCAAUACUAUCAAGGAGGGAUGAGGUGUUGCUUAAUGGCUUUCUUGCUCAAAGUGCUUAGUGAUAUGCUCCAAAUCCCUCAACUACUUUCUCACAUCCACAUAUGACCUAAACCAAAAGACAAACUCGGCCCCACCGAUUCUUUCUAUCCGGAGCCACCGAGUUCAGAUGUCAUAGCCACUGCCACAAACCCUAGGCAAAUCGGUCUCACCGAUAUGGAUCUCGGUCUCACUGACAUGGGAUUGUAAUCUCUCUGUUUCCCUUCGUAACGUUUCGGUCCCACCAAGAUGAGCGAUCGGUCCCACCGAGAUUGCAAUGUAAACUCUUUCUUUCCCUUUCGUAACACUUCGGUCUCACCGAAAUGAGCGAAUCGGUCCCAUCUAGUUUACCUGACCAACUCUCUGGUUAGCUUAUUACCAAAAUCGGUCUCACCGAGUUUGUGUAAUCGGUUACACCGAGAUUACGUUAUGCCCUAACCCUAACCAUAUUGGUCCUACCGAGUUGCAUGUCGGUCCCACCGAAAAUCCUAAGGGUCACUAGAUUUGUUGAAUCGGUCCGAUCGAGUUUCUCAAUUCGGUCCCAUCGAGAUUGGCAAGUUGUGUGUAAUGGUUAGAUUUUGUGUGGAGGCUAUAUAUACCCCUCCACCUCCUCUUCAUUCAUGGAGAGAGCCAUCAGAACAAACCUACACUUCCAACUCACAUUUUCUGAGAGAGAACCACCUACACUUGUGUUGAGGCCAAGAUAUUCCAUUCCUACCAUAUGAAUCUUGAUCUCUAGCCUUCCCCAAGUUGCUUUCCACUCAAAUCUUCUUUCCACCAAAUCCAAAUCCUGUGAGAGAGAGUUGAGUGUUGGGGAGACUAUCAUUUGAAGCACAAGAGCAAGGAGUUCAUCAUCAACACACCAUUUGUUACUUCUUGGAGAGUGGUGUCUCCUAGAUUGGCUAGGUGUCACUUGGGAGCCUCCGACAAGAUUGUGGAGUUGAACCAAGGAGUUUGUAAGGGCAAGGAGAUCGCCUACUUCAUGAAGAUCUACCGCUAGUGAGGCAAGUCCUUCAUGGGCGACGGCCAUGGUGGGAUAGACAAGGUUGCUUAUUCGUGGACCCUUCAUGGGUGGAGCCCUCCGUGGACUCGCGCAGCCGUUACCCUUCGUGGGUUAAAGUCUCCGUCAACGUGGAUGUAUGAUAGCACCACCUAUCGGAACCACGACAAAAUCAUCCGUGUCUCCUAUUGCGUUUGCACUCUCCAAACCCUUCCCUUUACAUUCUUGCAAGUUGCAUGCUUUACUUUCUGCUGCUCAUAUACUCUUUGCAUGCUUGCUUGAAUUGUGUGAAGAUUGCUUGACUUGUCCAAAGUUGCUAAAAUCUACCAAGAACUAAAAUUGGGAAAAGGAUAAGAUUUUAUUUGGUCAAGUAGUCUAAUCACCCCCCCCUCUAGACAUACUUUCGAUCCUACAAGUGGUAUCAGAGCUUUGGUCUCCAUUUGCUUUGAUUUCCAUAGCUUUUGGUAGUCAUAGCCUUGGUUUCACAACCUAGGAGAGUAUGGCGUCUAGCAAGGGAAACUAUCACCGUAGAGGUCCUUACUUUGAUGGUACUAAUUUUGCUAGUUGGAAGCAUAAGAUGAAAAUGCAUAUUCUUGGACAUAACCCCGCCGUAUGGGCUAUUGUGUGUAUUGGCUUGCAAGGUGAAUUAUUUGAUGGGCGAGAACCAAACCGUGAAGCUACCGCGGAAGAGUUGAAGAUGCUGCAAUACAACGCUCAAGCUUGUGAUAUCCUCUUCAACGGAUUGUGCCCCGAAGAAUUCAACAAAAUCAGCCGUCUUGAGAAUGCAAAGGAAAUUUGGGAUACUUUGAUUGAUAUGCACGAAGGUACCGACUCCAUCAAGGAAUCCAAGUUGGAUGUGCUUCAAAGUCAGCUUGACAAGUUCAAAAUGAAGGAUGGUGAAGGUGUCGCUGAAAUGUACUCUAGGCUUGCUCUUAUCACAAAUGAGAUUGCCGACUUACAAAGUGAAGAGAUGACCGACAAAUUCAUCAUCAAGAAGAUCCUAAGAGCUUUGGACAAAAAAUAUGAUACCGUAUGCACAUUGAUCCAAAUAAUGCCCAAUUACAAAGAUCUCAAGCCAAUAGAGGUCAUUGGAAGAAUUGUUGCUCAUGAGAUGUCACUCAAGGAUAAGGAGGAGCUCCAUAACAAGUCAAGUGGUGCUUACAAAGCCUCAUGUGAAGCUCCCACAUCAUCAAGUGAGAAAAAAACCUUCAAUGAAGAAUUGAGCCUAAUGGUGAAGAACUUUAACAAGUUCUACAAGAGUAGAAGCAAAGAGAGAAGUUCCAAGUCAAGGUCCUACAAUGACAAAAGAUCUUCUAGUCGAGAGCAUAAUUGCUACAAUUGUGGAAGACCCGGACACUAUUCCAAUGAGUGUACGACACCCUAUAAAAGAAGAGAAGAUUCUCCAAAAAGGAGAAGUAGAAGAGAAGAAUCACCAUAAAGAGAGAGAAGGAGUAGAGAUGAUCGUUAUGAAUGAAGAACAUCCCGGAGAAGCAAGGAUUUGGAAAGGAAGGACAAGUCAUCAAGGAGCUACACAAAACAAAGACAUUAAGCUCAUGUUGGUGAAUGGGUAUCCGGCUCCGACUCCGACAAUCACUCCGAGAGAAGCUAUCACUCCGACUCCGAAUAUACUCAAGAUGAAGGUGUUGCCGGUCUAGCACUUGUGUCAACCAACUCCUACGACAUAUUUAAUUCACCAAAUGAAGGACUUGGAAGAUGCUUCAUGGCUAAAGGCCCAAAGGUUCACACCCCGAGUAUGUUGAUUUCAAUAGUGAUGAAGGUGACUUGUUAGGUGAUGAUGAUUUACUUGUUGACAACUCUAGUGAUGAAUACUAUGAUGAAACGUCAAUUAAUCAUGCUAAUCAAGAUAAAACGAAUGACAAUGAUAAGGAGAAGAUUGAGCUUCUAACUAAAGAACUAAACACUCUUAAGUUAGCUCAUGAAACUAUCUUAGGAGAUCAUCGAGAACUUUGAAGGACUCGUGAGAAGUUAUGCUUUGAAAAGCUCAACCUUGAGCAAGAGCAUGAGUUCUUAAAGGCAAUCAAUGAUGAUCUUCACAAGAAAAGUUCUUCUUACAUUGCCAAGCAUUUACUCUUAUCCACUUAUAUGCCUCAAGUCAAGUCUAGUAACAAGAACAAGAAAGAUUCUUCCUCUAGUAGUAAUAAUAAUCAUGCUAAAUCCAAUGUUGUUGCUUCUAGUAGUUCUCUUGAUUCCACUAAUGAUUCUCUUAGCCAAGUUACACUUGAGCAAAAAACAGCUUAUUAAAGGGAAUUAUAGAGAAAGGUGUUUACAAAAGCCUUGCCGGGAGUAAGCAACUCAGGAAAUUGUACGCAAUCAAGGAAGGCGCCAGAAGAACCAAGGUGUUGGUUUUGAAUGAAAGUUCAAUGCCAAUGGAGUUGAGUGGGAAGAAGAUCAAUACCCCAAGACGAAGUUUGUUCCUCAACAAGAGAAGUAUGAUCCUACUUCUUUCAAAGGGACACAAGCUCAAGAUGAUCUUCCACCUCAAGACCACAAGCAAAAAGGCAAGGAUAAGCUUCAAGAGGAGAUUGAUGCAUUUGAAGAAGCUCCUAAGGCCUUGGUCAAGUGGGUUCCCAAGACUACAUCAAGUUCUACUUCAUCAAGUACAACUACAACUCCAAGGAUUCCCAUCAAGAUGGUGUGGAACCCGAAGAAGAAGAACUAGAGAGUUCUUGAGGGUGACUCCGCCAACAUACUCCACUCUUAUCAUUUUUGGCAAGAACAAGUGCAAUCAACUUCCACAUCUUGCACUAGUUAAAGGAGUCACAAACCCUCUUGUUGGUAAGACAAGGGACAAGGUAACCUAAUGCUUUCAUAGACAUCAUCUUGUGUGUGCAUCACUCUAUGUCUAUGGAUAUCCUUGUUUGUUCCUUGUGGGACUAACCCGUGUACGUAUUGAAAGUGCAACUCACUCCAAAGGAUUGCUCCAAAUGAUCUACAUCCACAUUGAGCAUCCACAUCUUCAACACCUACAUGAAGUCAUCAUCGACAAAACCCAAGGUUAGUUCAUCCCUCUUAGGGGGGAUCUCACAUCUAGGGGGAGCUUUACUCUAAGAAUUGAGCUAAAGCAACUCUAAUGGUGUGAACACAACAAUGCAUUAUGUAAAAGUUGUAACCCACUUGUGCUUAAACAAUGAGUAUGACCUAUGAUCAAAUGUUCUCAUUUGACUCCUAAGUCAAUAUACUCAUAUAUAGAUGACCUAGUCAUCGCCAAUUGCUUGAUAGAUGCUAGAAUUGGUUGUGCAUGCUUUGCCACAUAUUUCAUUUGCCAUUUUAUUGUGUGAGCAUGUCGUUUGCAUAUUUUACUCAUUCAAGGACAUCCGCUUGUUGUUUUGCUUGAUUGGCUUCUUUUCUUUUGCCAAGUGAAUGGACAAGAAUGCCUAAGAACCCUCUCUAGCUAUCUAUGCUUUUCUUGUCUCAAACUCUAUUCAUUCUACAUCACAAAGUUUGAUCAAGUCAGAUUCGAACCACUCUGUGUGAGGAGCACUCGGAGUCCCCGAUUCGUCAUAGACUUAAACUUCCAAAACUUCUUUGUGCGUUUCGGUCUGACCGAUUCAUCCAUUUCGGUCAUACCGAGAUCACUAAGUCGAUCUAGGUUUUCAAUCUCGGUGCAACCAUUAGAACUUUUCGGUCACACCGAGUUGCAGUAACUGCUUGCAGUUAUGCAUCUCGGUGCCACCGAGUUGUUCCACUCGAUCACACCGACAGGGUCAGGCUAUAUUUAUCCCCGGGCCAAAAUUUGGAAAUUUCUCCAAACCCCUUCGUCCGCGCUUAGCCUGCUCUGCCUCCCUGGGUCUCCGGGUCGUCCUCCUCAUUGCCAGCUGCCUCCCGCCGCUGGUCUCCGCCGCCGUCAACGGAAAUCGUCUCCGCCGUUGCCGCCGUAGCAGGUCCAUCGCCGCACUUAGGGUAUGGACUUGAUCCUUGUGCUAAUCUCACUCCGAUUCCUAGCACAUUGUUUUGACAUGUAUCUUUCCAUGAUUGAGAUCACUCUAUCCAGCGAAAUCACUUCCUAGUUUAGUUGUGGAUUGAAAAUUUAGGGUUAGGUUUCCGCCGAAAUCAUGUCUGACCAACUGAGUUGUAGAAAUCGGUUCCACCAAUUUGGCUAAGGCCAUUGCACAUGUGAUUCUCGGUCUGACCGAGAAUUGCAAAUUGGUGUGACCAAGUUCAGGACUUUGUGAAACCCUAGCAGUCUCGGUGCCACCAAACUAUGACUCGGUCUGACCGAGUUCACUACUUUAGGUUCCAAAAGCUGCUUCGGUAUCACCGAGUUUUCAAAUCGGUAGAUCCGAAAUGCUUUCUGUGGAAAAUUAAAACUAAGUUCUUGACUCAUUCUUUUGCAAAAACCUAUGUACUUUGUGAUGCUCAUCCAAUCUAUCUCAUCUAUAUCUAUUCACAGGGUCUGCUGUCAGUGUUUGCAUCAUGUCAAAUCAGAGUGACAGUCAGAACAAGUCUGAGGAUCAAGUUCACAUGAGUGAGGGCACUAGUCCCUCUAGCAGCUAUGAUGAUGGUAGCAGGAGUACACCCAGCAACUUGUCUAAGGCAGCCACCAGGGCCAGAAAGAAGAGAACCUCAGAUUCUGAGGAUGAGGACUAUGUGGCUGUUGAAGAUGAGGCCACCUCAAAGAAGAAAGUUCUGAAGAAGGAAUAUGGCACAGCUGCUGCCACUAAGCCAGGAAUGAAAACAAAGAUUCCAUUAAGAAGAGUUCCAAUGUCAAAGGCCAGAGCAUCCACUCAAGAAACUUUGGGAUCUGAACCCAAAGAACCAGUUGUGGCUGAGAAGAAAAGGAAAGAAAGGGUCAAGAAGACUAUGGCCAGAGUAAUUGGGAAGCCCUCAAUGAUGGAAGAAGAGGAAGAGGUUGCUGCACCAGCACCUAAAGCUCAAAAGCUGAUGGGAGAUGCUAUAAGGUCAGGGGCUGCUCCAUCUAAGCCCAAAGAUGCUCCCAAGGCUGCUGCUCCAAAACCCAAAGCUGCACCCAAGAGGAAUACGAGGAAUAUUCCUGCUGGAGAGAAGAACAAGGCCCCAGUGCCUGAAGCUGCUAUAGAAGAAGAAGAUGAUGAGUCACAUGUCUUGAGGAAGUUGAAGCCCAAAAUUCCAUAUCACAAUUAUGCUCAUCCAGUAGCUAAGGAUAUGAAGCUCGGGAAAGUUGCAGGAUUCGGACAGUGGAGAUUGACUGAUCCCUAUGCAGUCAGGAGAAGAACUGUUGUGGACUACAGGUUCCAUACAAAGGAACGGCAGGACUCCUAUGAGACAGUGUUGCUUGACAAGAAGCCUAUAGUCUGUGAUAUGAGAUGGGUGGACUGGAAGCACAUCAGGGAAAAUGAAGAACACUAUCCUGGAGUCUAUGAUAGUUUCAAGUCUUGUGGAGUAGAGAACUUUGUUGGGCAGAAGCUCACAAAGUGGAAUGAUGAGCUUAUUAUGCAGUUCUACUCCACAGCUCAUUUCUACCCAGAUGGAAGGAUUGUCUGGAUGUCUGAAGGUACUAGGUACCAAUCAACAGUUGAAGAAUGGGCAAAAUUGAUCAAUGCUCCUAAGGAGAAUGAAGAUGACUUGGAUGUCUAUGCCAAGAAGAAGAAGGAUCACAACUCCAUGGCACAUAUGUACAGAGAGAUCCCAGAUGCUGCUCUUGAGACACACAAAUUUGGAUCGGUACAUUACCUUCUGUCAGGUUUGCCAACAAUCAACUGGAUCCUCAGGCAUACUCUAUUGCCAAAGUCAGGUGAUCACAAGAUGAUUAGAGGCCAUGCAAUUAACCUGCUUCACAUAUUUGAUGUGCCUCAAAAGUUCAAAGUCAUGAGCCUAAUUUUGGAAACUAUCAAGAGGACAGCUGCUGAUCAGAAGAGAAGGUGUGGGUAUGCCCCACAGAUCCAGGAGCUAAUCAACUCCAAGAUGGGCACUGGCACAUAUCUCUUGGACAAGGAACACAUGCCCAUCUACCCAGACUUUGAGGACAACACUGUGGUAAUGGAUGAGAAUGAACCAUCUUAUGUGCAAGCACAAGAGAAGAAGGAGAAGGCAAGGAUUGAAAAGGCUGCAAAGAUCCAACCAUUAAUGAGGCAUCUCAGUAUCUCCUGAAGAGCAAGCAAGAUCAGCUUGGCUACUUGAUUGCCUCCACUAUGAGGAUUGAGAAGGGAUUGGCCACCCCGACUCAAAACCAGGAGAGCUUGGAGAGGAUCAUGGAGCAGAAGUUCUAUGAUUUAGAUGUGAAGGUCACUGAGAUACAGUCAGUUGUUGAGCAACUUCAGGAUGAAGUGCAGGAGAAGAAGGGCAAGUCUACCACUGAUGCUUUUGCUAGAGUGCCCAGAGGAUAGAGAUCUACUGCAGUGCCUGUUCCAGACACCAGAGCUACAUCAUCUGCACUAGCUACAACUUCAGUGCAUCCAGCUCCAGUAGCCACUCCACCAGCUCCAUCUACAUCAACCGAUGCCUUCGUCCUUGGAGUUUUAUCUACACCACCACCUGAAGACCAAGCCUGAGAGUCGAUCUAGCACUAUGCAUUUUUAUGAACUUUUUGGUAACUUGUUGCCAAAGGGGGAGAAAAUGUAUAGAUCAUAGGCUUCGAGAGAGAGUGUUGCUUUUUGUUCUCUCUUGUUUUUGGUGGUUGAACUUUGUUAUUUGCUUGUUUGAGAUACUCUAUGCUUUUGUGUGAUACUUGGAUGAUCAUGUGGUUGAUCAUAUACGAUGCUACCUUAAUGCUUGUUGGAUGACAUUAUCCUUUUGUAUCUCUAUAUGAUCAUUCACUUUGCUUGGUGAUGAGUGCAUGUAUUUAAUUAUUAUCAUUUUGAGCGCUCCACCAAGAUGUAUGUGACAUGGAAGAGUAACCCAUGAUCCUAACUCAUUGUGCAUUUGUAGUCCAAAGCAAAUCUUAAACUAUGCACAAAUUUAGGGGGAGCUCUUGCUUUUCACAUACUUCUCAAAGCGACAAUGUUUUUCACUCUUAUUAUCAUUUGUCGAAGCUUUGAUCUAUAUGUUGUCAUCAAUUACCAAAAAGGGGGAGAUUGAAAGUGCAACUAUCCCUAGGUGGUUUUGGUAAUUCCUAACAACAUAUAGCUCAUUGAGCUAAUGCUAUUUCAAGAUAAAUAUUUCAGGAAAGCUCAAUGAUUGGCAUGGCAUGGAUGAGAAAAGUGGACCCCUCAAAAUGCUAAGGACAAAAGGAUUGGCUCAAGCUCAAAGCUCAAGACUCUACAUUUUCUAUUUUAGUGAUCCAAGGUCACAUUGAGUCUAUAGGAAAAGCCAAUACUAUCAAGGAGGGAUGAGGUGUUGCUUAAUGGCUUUCUUGCUCAAAGUGCUUAGUGAUAUGCUCCAAAGCCCUCAACUACUUUCUCACAUCCACAUAUGACCUAAACCAAAAGACAAACUCGGCCCCACCGAUUCUUUCUAUCCGGAGCCACCGAGUUCAGAUGUCAUAGCCACUGCCACAAACCCUAGGCAAAUCGGUCUCACCGAUAGGGAUCUCGGUCUCACCGACAUGGGAUUGUAAUAUCUCUGUUUCCCUUCGUAACAUUUCGGUCCCACCGAGAUGAGCGAUCGGUCCCACCGAGAUUGCAAUGUAAACUCUUUGUUUCCCUUUCAUAACACUUCGGUCUCACCGAAAUGAGCGAAUUGGUCCCACCGAGUUUACCUGACCAACUCUCUGGUUAGCUUAUUACCAAAAUCGGUCUCACCGAGUUUGUGUAAUCGGUCUCACAGAGAUUACGUUAUGCCCUAACCCUAACCAUAUCGGUCCUACCGAGUUGCAUGUCGGUCCCACUAAAAAUCCUAACGAUCACUAGAUUUGUUAAAUUGGUCCGACCGAGUUUCUCAAUUCGGUCCCACCAAGAUUGGCAAGUUGUGUGUAAUGGUUAGAUUUUGUGUGGAGGCUAUAUAUACCCCUCCACCUCCUCUUCAUUCGUGGAGAGAGCCAUCAAAACGGACCUACACUUCCAACUUACAUUUUCUGAGAGAGAACCACCUACACUUGUGUUGAGGCCAAGAUAUUCCAUUCCUACCAUAUGAAUCUUGAUCUCUAGCCUUCCCCAAGUUGCUUUCCACUCAAAUCUUCUUUCCACCAAAUCCAAAUCCUGUGAGAGAGAGUUGAGUGUUGGGGAGACUAUCAUUUGAAGCACAAGAGCAAGGAGUUCAUCAUCAACACACCAUUUGUUACUUCUUGGAGAGUGGUGUCUCCUAGAUUGGCUAGGUGUCACUUGGGAGCCUCCGACAAGAUUGUGGAGUUAAACCAAGGAGUUUGUAAGGGCAAGGAGAUCGCCUACUUCCUGAAGAUCUACCGCUAGUGAGGCAAGUCCUUCUUGGGCGACGGCCAUGGUGGGAUAGACAAGGUUGCUUCUUCGUGGACCCUUCAUGGGUGGAGCCCUCCAUGGACUCGCGUAGCCGUUACCCUUCGUGGGUUGAAGUCUCCAUCAACAUGGAUGUACGAUAGCACCACCUAUCGGAACCACGACAAAAACAUUUGUGUCUCAUAUUGCGUUUGCACUCUCCAAACCCUUCCCUUUACAUUCUUGCAAGUUGCAUGCUUUACUUUCCGCUGCUCAUAUACUCUUUGCAUGCUUGCUUGAAUUGUGUGAAGAUUGUUUGACUUGUCCAAAGUUGCUAAAAUCUACCAAGAACUAAAAUUGGGAAAAGGAUAAGAUUUUAUUUGGUCAAGUAGUCUAAUCACCCCCCUCUAGACAUACUUACGAUCCUACACCGUUCCUCCUCUCCUUUUGUCUAGAUUUCAGAUCUAGUGUCUUAGGUGCAAUAGUGGUUGCAUCUCUCGAUUUUUGGCUAAAUCUAGGCUUGAGUAGGUUGGAGAAGGCUACUAGACUUUUUGGAUUCAUGAUUGGUAGGAGUAUUUUUGAAUUUGGCAGUCCGGUAGUGCCGGAUUUGACCACGGCAGUAGGGAACCGCCGUUUCCCCGUCUUGAGCAGUAUUACCGCUCCCGGUGGCGCGGUACUACCGCUGUUUUCCCAGUUCCAUCAUGUUCCUGCCAUUUCCUGAUCUUGUUUGUUGUGUUUGUUGGCUUAUGCUCGUUCUUUCUGGUUGUUUCGUGUGUUCGUGUGUUUGGUUCCAGGUGAUGAACAUCCUGAGCAGCAAGCCCGCCGUGUCAACCCCGGUCGUGCAACGUCAAAGUGCUACCACACAUCUGAGUCAGCAGGUGGUUCCUCUAGUGCUCCACUGCCGCCAGCGGGUGCUUCCUCAAGUGCUCCACCUCCGCCUCAACUCAAGAAGAAGUCUGCCAUCAAGCCGAAGCCGAGGGGCAAAACUGUGCCUGAAAUGAAUGCCAAGGAGUUCUGGGCAAGGCGUCGCCGCAACCCCUAUCUGGAAGACCAAGAACCCACUUUGGUCAACCAUCCAUUCUGGAACCGUUUUCAGUUUGCCAUCUUCUUUGAUGUGAUCAAGGCCAAGAAGAAUCUCUAUGUUUAUGUGCGCUCCAUCGACACGGAUUUUAUGGAGAAGGACCCUGAGUACUUUGGUGAAGCCCUUCAGAUGUGCUCUUAGCUAAACAUUCUCAGAAUCAUGCAGUUUAACAAGGACUUUGAUGCAGAUUUGGUGGCUUAAUUCUAUGCCACUGUCCAUCUAGGAACUGAUGAGGAAAGAACUCUGACUUGGAUGACAAAUGGCAAGUCGCUUUCUGUCAAGUGGAAGGCCUUCAUGGAGUUACUUGGGGUGGAAGAUCACGGGAUUGAGAUUCCAGUCGGCUUCCGCCCUCACCGCAAUGCAACCUCCACUCACAAGCAAGCCCUCUGGCCCUACUGUUCUAUGAAGAUUCACCCCGAGACUAAGAAGGAAACCUAUGAGUUGUCUGCCUUUCUGGACAUCCUUCACCAUGUCUUCCGAGAGACUCUCUUCCCUCGUAUCGGGAAUCUGGAUAUGGUCCACUCCUAUCUCAUGGACAUGCUUCUUUUCUGCCGGCAUGAGAAGGAAGCAAACACUAGCGAGUCCCUGGACAUUUCUCAUGUUAUGUGGUCUGAACUUCUAUCUGCUAUCUCUGAGUGCAAGUGCCUGAUCUAUGGACCGUUCAUCAUGUUGCUCAUCGAGAAGGCCUGGGGACAUGCCUAUCCCAGGGUCAUGCUGGAAACUGGAGAAUUGAUUUCUCAUGAGAUCAAGCGUCUGAGGAAGAAGGACAAUUGGGGCACCCCGGCCCCUAAAACUGGGGGUCCAUCUUCUUCUGCUGCCAUGGAGACCGAGGGCGAGGCUGAUGCUGAUGAUGACGAUGACUACGAGCCUUCUGGAGCAGAGCCAUCUUGGGCAAAGAAGCUCAAGCGUAAGAUGAAGAAACUCUUCUCCAUGGAGUCCCAUGGCCAGUACAUGUCUCAUGUCUCUGAGAAGAAGGCCUGCUGCCGUCACAAGGAGCUCAUGCGUCAGUUGGGUGCAACUGUUAACAGCGGGUCUGAGGGCCAGAUAACUGAUAACCCACAAGUGUAGGGGAUCGCAACAGCUUUCGAGGGUAGAGUAUUCAACCCAAAUUUAUUGAUUCGACAUAAGGGGAGCCAAAGAAUAUUCUUAAGUAUUAGCAGUUGAGUUGUCAAUUCAACCACACCUGGAUAACUUAGUAUCUGCAGCAAAGUAUUUAGUAGCAAAGUAGUAUGAUAGUAAUGGUAACAGUGGCAAAAGUAAAGAUAAUAGUUUUGUAGUAAUUGUAACAGUAGCAAUGGAAAAGUAAAUAAGCGAAACACAAGAUGUGAAAAGCUCGUAGGCAUUGGAUCAGUGAUGGAUAAUUAUGUUAGAUGUGAUUCCUCAUGUAAUAGCUAUAACAUAGGGUGACACAGAACUAGCUCCAGUUCAUCAAUGUAAUGUAGGCAUGUAUUCCGAAUAUAUUCAUACGUCCUUAUGGAAAAGAACUUGCAUGACAUCUUUUGUCCUACCCUCCUGUGGCAGCGGGUCCUAGCGGAAACUAAGGGAUAUUAAGGCCUCCUUUUAAUAGAGUACCAGAACAAAGCAUUAGCACAUAGUGAAUACAUGAACUCCUCAAACUAUGGUCAUCACCGAGAAGUAUCCCGAUUAUUGUCACUUCGGGGUUGUCGGAUCAUAACACAUAAUAGGUGACUAUAGACUUGCAAGAUAGGAUCAAGAACACACAUAUAUUCAUGAAAACAUAAUAGGUUCAGAUCUGAAAUCAUGGCACUCGGGCCCUAGUGACAAGCAUUAAGCAUAGCAAAGUGAUCGCAACAUCAAUCUCAGAACAUAGUGGACACUAAGGAUCAAACCCUAACAAAACUAACUUGAUUACAUGGUAAAUCUCAUCCAACCCAUCACCAUCCAGCAAGCCUACGAUGGAAUUACUCAUGCACGGUGGUGAGCAUCAUGAAAUUGGUGAUGGAGGAUGGUUGAUGAUGACGAUGGCGAUGAAUCCCCCUCUCCGGAGCCCCGAACCGACUCCAGAUCAGCCCUCCCGAGAGAGAUUAGGGCUUGGCGGCGGCUUCGUAUCGUAAAACAUGAUGAAACUUUCUCUCUCAUUUUUUUCUCCGUGAAACGGAAUAUAUGGAGUUGGAGUUGAGGUCGGUGGAGCGUCAGGGGGCCCACGAGACAGGGGGGCGCACCCAGGGGGGAGGGCGCGCCCCCCACCCUCGUGGACAGGGUGUGGGCCCCCUGGUCUUGAUUCUUUCGCCAGUAUUUUUUAUAUUUUCCAAAACUUGUCUCCGCGGAUUUUUCAGGACAUUCUGAAAACUUUUGUUUUCUACACAUAAAACAACAUCAUGGCAGUUCUGCUAAAAACAGCGUCAGUCCGGGUUAGUUUCAUUCAAAUCAUGCAAGUUAGAGUCCAAAACAAGGGCAAAAGUGUUUGGAAAAGUAGAUACGUUGGAGACGUAUCAACUCCCCCAAGCUUAAACCUUUGCUUGUCCUCAAGCAAUUCAGUUGAUAAACUAAAAGUGAUAAAGGAAAACUUUUACAAACUCUGUUUCCUCUUGUUGUUGUAAACAUGUAAAGCCAGCAUUCAAGUUUCAGCAAAUAUUAUGAACUAACCAUACUCAUAAUAACACAUAGGUCUCACAAUUACUCAUAUCAAUGGCAUAAUCAGCUAGCGAGUGAUAAUAAUAAAACUCGGAUGACAACACUUUCUCAAAACAACCAUAAUAUGAUAUAACAAAAUGGUAUCUCGCUAGCCCUUUCUGAGACCGCAAAACAUAAAUGCAGAGCACCUUUAAAGAUCAAGGACUGACUAAACAUUGUAAUUCAUGGUAAAAGAGAUCUAGUCAAGUCAUACCCAAUAUAAACCAACAAUAAUGAAUGCAAAUGACAGUGUGCUCUCUAGCGGGUGCUUUUUAAUAAGAAGGUGAUGACUCAACAUAAAAGUAAAUAGAUAGGCCCUUCGCAGAGGGAAGCAGGGAUUUGUAGAGGUGCUAGAGCUCGAUUUUAAAAUAGAGAUGAAUAACAUUUUGAGCGGCAUACUUUCACUGUCAACGCAACAACUAUGAGAUGACGAUAUCUUCCAUACUACAUGCAUUAUAGGCAGUUCCCAAAUAGAAUGGUAAAAGUUUACACUCCCCCGCCACCAACAAGCAUCAAUCCAUGGCUUGCUCGAAACAACGACUGCCUCCAACUAACAACAGCCCUGGGGGAGUUUUGUUUAAUUAUUUUGAUUUGCUUUGAUCUUUUUGGAUCAUGGGAAUGGGCAUCCCGGUUACCGGCCCUUUCUCGUGAAUGAGGAGCGGAGUCCACUCCUCUUGAGAAUAACCCACCUAGCAUGGAAGAUAUAGGCAGCCCUAGUUGAAACAUGAGCUGCUCGAGCAUACAAAACAGAAUUUCAUUUGAAGGUUUGGAGUUUGGCACAUACAAAUUUACUUGGAACGGCAGGUAGAUACCGCAUAUAGGAAGGUAUGGUGGACUCAUAUGGAAUAACUUUGGGGUUUAAGGAGUUUGGAUGCACAAGCAGUAUUCCCGCUUAGUACAGGUGAAGGCUAGCAAAAGACUCGGAAGCGGCCAACUAAGAGAGCGACAACAGUCAUGAACAUGCAUUAAAAUUAAUUCACACCGAGUACAAGCAUGAGUAGGAUAUAAUCCACCAUGAACAUAAAUAUCAUGAAGGCUAUGUUGAUUUGUUUCAACUACAUGCGUGAACAUGUGCCAAGUCGAGUCACUCAAUUCAUUCAAAGGAGGAUACCAUCCCAUCAUACUACAUCACAAUCAUUUUAAUAGCAUGUUGGCAUUCAAGGUAAACCAUUAUAACUCAUAGCUAAUCAAGCAUGGCACAAGCAACUAUAAUCUCUAAAUGUCAUUGCAAAUAUGUUUACUUCAUAAUAAGCUGAAUCAGGAACGAUGAACUCAUCAUAUUUAAAAAAACAAGAGAGGUCGAGUUCAUACCAGCUUUUUCUCAUCUCAAUCAGUCCAUCAUAUAUCGUCAUUAUUGCCUUUCACUUGCACGACCGAACGAUGUGUAUAAUAAUAAUAAUAGUGCAUGUGCAUUGGACUAAGCUGGAAUCUGCAAGCAUUCAACUCAAGAGAGAAGACAAGGUAAUAUGGGCUCUAAGUUAAAUAAACAAUCAUGCAAAUGAGAGCCACUAAACAAUUUCAAUAUGGUCUUCUACUCUCGACCCCCAAAGAAAGAAAAGAAAACUAUUUACACAGGAAGCUCCCAACGAGUAAGAAGAAGAACGAGAAAUCUUUUUUGGUUUUCAUUUUAAUUACUACUACGAGCAUGGAAGGUGAACUAACUAAUUUUUGGUUUUUCUUAAGGUUUAUCAAACACACAAGAAGAAAACUAGAAAAAGAAAAUUAAACUAGCAUGGAUAAUACAAUGAAAGAGUAUGAGCACCAACAACUAGAAUAGUAUGUGAACAUGAAUGAAAAGUCGAUGAGAAAUACGUACUCCCCCAAGCUUAGGCUUUUGGCCUAAGUUGGUCUAAGGCCAAGGGUAGCUUGGCUGAUAUUCGUAGUUAUAAUUGGGGUCGUACUGAGAUGCAACAGCAAAUGCCUCCUGAGCUGCGGCAUGCUGGCGAGCCGCUUCCGCUCUACCCUCGUGUUCAUCUGCUUCCUCCCUGGUAACAACAUAUCUUCCUUUUGCCUGGUAAUCAAAAAGGAAAGGAGCAGGAAGAGUAACAUGGACAGAGCUAUGUCUGUCAAAGAUUAGUCGAUAAUGGAGGAAUUGUUCAUUCCUCCUAAGAAAAUGAUGUUUGACCAUAGCGUCAUAAUCUAAAUAAGCAGGAGGCAACACCAUAUCCCCCUCUCGUGGCGCUAUACCAAGAUAAUUAGCCACACGGGUCGCAUAAAUUCCUCCAAAUAAAUCUCCAGCCCUAGCAUUAUUAUGCAACCUACGUGCAACUAUUGCCCCCAAGUUAUAAUCUUUAUAACCUAACACAGCGCUCUUGAGGACACAAAGAUCAGGGACACACAUAUGACAUGCUUCAUCUUUACCAAUAAUGCAUCUACCAAUGAAGAGAGCAAAAUAAUGUAUAGCAGGAAAAUGAAUGCUCCCUAUGGUAGCUUGUGCUAUAUCCCUAGAUUCUCCCACAGUAAUACUAGCAAGAAAGUCUCUGAAUUCAGAUUUGUGGGGAUCAUUAACAUUGCCCCACUGCGGAAGUUUGCAAGCAGUUGUAAAAUCCUCUAAGUCCAUGGUAUAAGAUCUAUCAUAAAUAUCAAACACGACACUCUGAGAAUUACGUGAACAUUUAUAUUUAAACCUUCUCACAAAUGAAUCAGUCAAUAGAUAGUACUGAGGACACUUAUCUUGUAAGAAGUCCUCAAGAUCGGGAUUACGCACAUAUGCGUCAAAUUCCUCCUUAAAGCGUACUUCUGCGUCCCUCGGUAGUUCAUCGUAUUGCUCACGCAUAGCAAGUCUAGGUCCCUUCUUUAUUGAGGAACCACCUUGAUACAUUCUCCUAGACAUAUUUCUUUUUCUGAAAAAUUUCUGAAAUUUUAGUAACUUCAAAAUAAAAGUGGAUAAAACUAAACAAGCUUGGUAGCAACUACUCCUACAAGUGCCUAGAGCCUAUAUCAUGCAUUAGAAUUACUUGGGACCUCAUAAAUUUAACAUGCAAGCUCAAGAACAUGGUCACCUAUGCAGCAAAAAUUUGCAAUGAAUAAAGCACUAGAGCAAAAACUAAUUGGACCAAUGGAGGAGUCACAUACCAAGCAACAAUCUCCCAAAGCAGUUUUGUAAAUGGAGCUUUGAGCAAGGAGAUCGAAAAUCGCAGCAAAAUGAGCUAGAACUCGUGCUUGAGCUGGAUGGGGAUUUUUUUGGGAAGAAGAUGGAGUGUGUGGGUGCAGGAAUAAGUGGAGGGGGCCACCAUAGGCCCACGAGACAGGGGGGGCGCACCCAAGGGGUGUGGGCGCGCCCUCCACCCUUGUGGCCAGGUGCUUGCCCCUCCUGCAGUGUUUUCAGUGCCUAAAAUCCUCAAAUAAUCCAUAAAAAUCAUGCUAAAUUUGUAGGGCAUAUGGAGCACUUUUAUUUUCAGGAUAUUUUUUUAUUGCACGGAUAAUUCAGAAAACAGACAGAUAAUACUAUUUUUGAUUUAUUUAUUCUAAAUAACUGAAAGUAAAAAGAGGGUACAAAAGGUUGUGCCUUCUAGUUUCAUCCAUCUCAUGAUCAUCAAAAUGAAUCCACUAACAAGGUUGAUCAAGUCUUGUUAACAAACUCAUUCCGAAUAAUACGGAACCGGAGAAAUUUCGGAUAACACUAGGUUACCUCAACGGGGAUAUGAACAUCCCCAACAAUAAGAAUAUCAUACUUUUUCUUGAUAGUAGGAAGAGGAAAUUCAAAACCUCCAAUAAUGAUAGUUGGACUUUUUCCAAUAGAAUUGAUGUUAUGAACUUGAGAUUGUUUCCUCGGAAAGUGUACCGUAUGCUCAUUACCAUUAACAUGAAAAGUGACAUUGCCUUUGUUGCAAUCAAUAACAGCCCCUGCAGUAUUCAAAAAGGGUCUACCAAGGAUAAUCGACAUACUAUCGUCCUCGGGAAUAUCAAGAAUAACAAAGUCUGUUAGGAUAGUGACAUUUGCAACCACAACAGGCACAUCCUCACAAAUACCGACAUGUAUAGCAGUUGAUUUAUCAGCCAUUUGCAAAGAUAUUUCAGUAGGUGUCAACUUAUUUAAGUCAAGUCUACGAUAUAAAGAUAGAGGCAUAACACUAACACCUGCUCCAAGAUCACAUAAAGCAGUUUUAACAUAAUUUCUUUUAAUGGAGCAUGGUAUGGUUGGUACCCCUGGGUCUCCAAGUUUCUUUGGUAUUCCACCCUUAAAAGUAUAAUUAGCAAGCAUGGUGGAAAUUUCAGCUUUCGGUAUCUUUCUUUUAUUUGUAAUGUUAUCCUUCAUAUACUUAGCAUACGGAUUUACUUUAAGCAUGUCAGUUAAGUGCAUACGUAAGAAGAUAGGUGUAAUCAUUUCAGCAAAGUGCUCAAAAUCCUCAUCAUACUUUGUCUUGGAUGGUUUAGGAGGAAAGGGCAUGGGUUUCUGAACCCAUGGUUCUCUUUCUUUACCAUGCUUCCUAGCAACAAAAUCUCUCUUAUCAUAACGUUGAUUCUUUGAUUGUGGGUUAUCAAGAUCAACAUCAGGUUCAAUCUCUACUUCAUCAUUUUUGCUAGGUUGAGCAUCAACAUGAACAUUAUCAUUAACAUUAUCACUAGGUUCAUGUUCAUCACCUGAUUGUGUUUCAGCAUCAGAAAUAGAAAUAUCAUUGGGAUUCUCAGGUGUGUCUACAACAGGUUCACUAGAAGCAUGCAAAGUCCUAUCAUUUUUCUUUUUUCUUCUUUUUGGAAGAACUAGGUGCCUCUAAAUUAUUUCUCUGAGAAUCCUGCUCGAUUCUCUUAGGGUGCCCUUUAGGAUACAAAGGUUCCUGAGUCAUUCUACCAGUUCUAGUAGCCACUCUAAUAGCAAAGUCAUGUUUAUUAUUUAAUUUAUCAAGAAAAUCAUUUUGAGCUUUAAGUACUUGCUCAGCUUGAGUGGCAACCAUAGAAGCAUAUUUGCUAACGAGUUUAAGUUCACCUUUAACUCUAGCCAUAUAGUCACUCAAGCGUCCUAUCUCGAAAGCAUUAUUCUUUAAUUCUCUACCAACAUAAGCAUUAAAACUUUCUUGUCUAGCCAUAAAGUCAUCAAAUUCAUCUAAGCAUGGGAAUUUAGUACAGGGAAUUUCAACUUUAUCAUAUCUAUAGAGAGAAUUUACCUUUACCACCUGUGUCGGGUUAUCAAGACAAUGUGGUUCAUCAACAGGCGGUAUAUUAAGACCAUGUAUUUCUUCAAUAGGAGGUAAAUUCUUAACAUCUUCAGCUUUUAUACCUUUUUCUUUCAUUGAUUUCUUUGCCUCUUGCAUAUCUUCAGGACUGAGAAAUAAAACACCUCUCUUCUUUGGAGUGGGUUUAGGAAUAGGCUCAGGAGUUGGCUCAAUUGGUUCAGGAAUUGCCUCAGGAACUGGCUCAAGAAGAGUCCAAUUAUUUUCAUUAGUCAACAUAUUAUUCAAUAGUAAUUCAGCUUCGUCGACUGUUCUUUCCCUGGAAACACAACCAGCACAACUAUCCAAGUAGUCCUUGAAGCAUCGAUUAGUCCAUUAUAAAAGAUAUCAAGUACAUUUUUCUUAAGAGGAUGAUCAGGCAAAGCAUUAAGUAAUCGGAGAAGCCUCCCCCAAGCUUGUGGGAGACUCUCUUCUUUGAUUUGCACAAAAUUAUAUAUUUCCCGCAAGGCAGCUUGUUUCUUAUGAGCAGGGAAAUAUUUAGCAGAGAAGUAAUAAAUCAUAUCCUAGGGACUACGCACACAACCAGGAGCAAGAGAAUUAAACCAAGUCUUAGCAUCACCCUUUAAUGAGAAUGGAAAUAUCUUAAAGAUAUAAUAAUAGCGAGACUUCUCAUCAUUAGUAAACAUGGUGGCUAUAUCGUUCAACUUGGUAAGAUGUGCCACAAUAGUUUCAGAUUCAAGGCCAUAAAAAGGAUCAGAUUCAACUAAAAUAAUAAUCUCAGGAUCAACAGAGAAUUCAUAAUCCUUAUCAGUAACACAGAUAGGUGAAGUAGCAAAAGCAGGGUCAGGUUUCAUUCUAGCAUUAAGAGAUUGCUGCUUCCAUUUAGCUAACAACGUUUUAAGAUCAUAUCUAUCUUUGCAAGCAAAGAUAGCUCUAGCAGCUUCCUCAUCUAUAACAUAACCCUCAGGAACAAUAGGUAAUUCAUAAUCAGGGGGAGAACUUUCAUCAUCACUAUCAUCAAUAAUAGCAUCUUCAAUAAUUUCAUUCUCUCUAACCCUGGCAAGUUGUUCAUCAAGAAACUCACCUAAUGGCAAAGUAGUAUCAUGCACAGAAGUAGUUUCAUCAUAAGUAUCAUGCAUAGCAGAAGUGGCAUCAUCAAUAACAUGCGACAUAUCAAAAUUCAUAGCAGUAGCAGGUUUAGGUGUCGCAAGCUUACUAAUAACAGAAGGAGAAUCUAGUGCAGAGCUAGAUGGCAGUUCCUUACCUCCCCUUGUAGUUGAGGGCAAAAUCUUGGUUCUUUCGUCUUUCAAGUUCCUCAUAGUGAUCAACAGAUAUAAAUCCCAAGUGACUCAAAGAAUAGAGCUAUGCUCCCCGGCAACGGCGCCAGAAAUUAGUCUUGAUAACCCACAAGUGUAGGGGAUCGCAACAGCUUUCGAGGGUAGAGUAUUCAACCCAAAUUUAUUGAUUCGACACAAGGGGAGCCAAAGAAUAUUCUUAAGUAUUAGCAGUUGAGUUGUCAAUUCAACCACACCUGGAUAACUUAGUAUCUGCAGCAAAGUAUUUAGUAGCAAAGUAGUAUGAUAGUAAUGGUAACAGUGGCAAAAGUAAAGAUAAUAGUUUUGUAGUAACUGUAACAGUAGCAACGGAAAAGUAAAUAAGCGAAACACAAGAUGUGAAAAGCUCGUAGGCGUUGGAUCAGUGAUGGAUAAUUAUGCCGAAUGCGAUUCCUCAUGUAAUAGUUAUAACAUAGGGUGACACAGAACUAGCUCCAGUUCAUCAAUGUAAUGUAGGCAUGUAUUCCGAAUAUAGUCAUACGUUCUUAUGGAAAAGAACUUGCAUGACAUCUUUUGUCCUACCCUCCCAUGGCAGCGGGGUCCUAGCGGAAACUAAGGGAUAUUAAGGCCUCCUUUUAAUAGAGUACCGGAAUAAAGCAUUAGCACAUAGUGAAUACAUGAACUCCUCAAACUAUGGCCAUCAAUGAGAAGUGUCCCGAUUAUUGUCACUUCGGGGUUGUCGGAUCAUAACACAUAAUAGGUGACUAUAGACUUGCAAGAUAGGAUCAAGAACACACAUAUAUUCAUGAAAACAUAAUAGGUUCAGAUCUGAAAUCAUGGCACUCAGGCCCUAGUGACAAGCAUUAAGCAUAGCAAAGUCAUAGCAACAUCAAUCUCAGAACAUAGUGGACACUAGGGAUCAAACCAUGUCAAAACUAACUUGAUUACAUGGUAAAUCUCAUCCAACCCAUCACCGUCCAGCAAGCCUACAAUGGAAUUACUCACGCACGGCGGUGAGCAUCAUGAAAUUGGUGAUGGAGGAUGGUUGAUGAUGACGACGGCGACGAAUCCCCCUCUCCGAAGCCUUGAACGGACUCCACAUCAGCCCUCCUGAGAGAGAUUAGGGCUUGGCGGCGGCUCCGUAUCGUAAAACACGAUGAAACUUUCUCUUUGAUUUUUUUCUCCGCGAAACGGAAUAUAUGGAGUUGGAGUUGAGGUCGGUGGAGCGUCAGGGGGCCCACGAGACAGGGGGCGCGCCCAGGGGGGAGGGCAUGCCCCCCACCCUCGUGGACAGGGUGUGGGCCCCUGGUCUUGAUUCUUUCGCCAGUAUUUUUUAUAUUUUUCAAAACUUGUCUCCAUGGAUUUUCAGGAUAUUCCGAGGACUUUUGUUUUCUACACAUAAAAUAACAUCAUGGCAGUUCUGCUAAAAACAAUGUCAGUCCUGGUUAGUUUCAUUCAAAUCAUGCAAGUUAGAGUCCAAAACAAGGGCAAAAGUGUUUGGAAAAGUAGAUACAUUGGAGACGUAUCAAUAACUGAGGAGGAGUGGAUUCAGCAGCACUGCCCGUGGACAGAUUCUGACGCCGAGCAGUUUCCGACCGAUGACAACGUUGCAGACGAUCCCGCUGGGAUAUGAUGUUCGAGAUCCUCAGCUUGCUAUCACCUGGAGCCGUAGCAACACUCUUUGCCCUUUUUGGUGUCUCGAUGCCAAAGGGGGAGAGAGUUUAGGGAUUUAUGUCGUUGUUGAGUUGUGAGUGUUUCUUUGUGGUGUCGUUGUGUCUUCUCGCCUUUUGCUUUGUUUGGUUUUGUGCCAGUGAGACCUAAGUUCCAGACAUAUGGUGUGAGACAUAUGCUACCUUAUCUUUAUCUUAUCAUUAUCUAUGUCUAUCUAGGCCUUUGGUAUCUUAUGAGUUGCAUGCUUAUCCUGUUAUAUACCCUGCUCUCAUGUCUCCUGCUUAGGUUGUUGGUCUAUAAAAUAUAGGGGGAGUGUUGAUCCUAGUAUGUGUGUCGUGCAGUCCAAAGCACUUAUCUAGAAAGCACACAUCUAGGGGGAGCCCGUCUAUAUUUUAGAGUUGUGGGGUUUGCUUUUGUCCUUUGUCUUUUACCGUUUGUGCAAAUCCCGUAUUGUCAUCAGUCAACCAAAAAGGGGGAGAUUGUAAGGGCAUAUUUAUUCCUUAGGUGUUUUGGUGAUUGAUGACAAUGCGUUUGCGGACUAAUCGUGUGUGUUGAGUUUUUCAGAGAUUCAUCAUUUGGCAUGAGACGAUUCCCUCCCCUCAGAGUGUUUUUCAAGAUAGUGCAACUCUUUCGUUUCUAUUUUGGUGGACUAGUUUCGUAGGAGUCACUGUACUAUAAAGAGGGGGUCCGCUUUGGUAAGGCUAGGGUGGAAUCAACACGUACACAUCCUUGUCACACCCUCUGAGCCUUUCCGCUUCAAUGGAGAGCUCAUUCCCCUUCAUAUGUGCAUCGUUUGGUCCCAUCGGUAGUACCGCGGGCCACAGCGGUAGUACCGCCCGAGUGCUACAAGCGGCAAUACCGCUCCACGGCGGUAGUACCGCUUGAAGCCCUCCGCCGUAGUACCGUUGCGGCUUCGUGCUCCUACCGCCUCGACUCGAGGGCUCUUUUCUCGUGUCGGGUUUUGCGGCACUAGUUGCGGCAGUAGAGGCGGUAGUACCGCUCUUAAGCGGUAGUACCGCCCUUACCACCACGGUAGUACCGCCCUGGGUCCAGGUCCUCCCUUUGCUCCUCGCUCCCCUCUUUUGUGCGGCAGUACCGCGAGGUGGGAUGGUAGUACCGCUGGCCUCAGCGGUAGUACCGCCCACCCCUGUGGUAGUACCGCUCUCUGCGGGGCUGCUUUGGGGGGUAACGGUUGGAUUGUUCCCCCCACUAUAUAAGGGGGUCUUCUUCCCCAAAGUUGACCUACCUCUUCCCCCAAAAGCUCCAUUGUUGCUCCAAGCUCCAUUUUCACCCGAUCUCUCUCCCUAGCCAAUCAAACUUGUUGAUUUGCUCGAGAUUGGUUGAGAAGGCCCCAAUCUACACUUUCACCAAGAGGAAUUUGAUUUCCCCCACUAAUCCCUAGCGGAUCUUGUUACUCUUGGGUGUUUGAGCACCCUAGACGAUUGAGGUCACCGCAGAGCCAUAGUCCAUUUGGUGAAGCUUCGUGGUGUCGUUGGGAGCCUCCAAUUAAGUUGUGGAGAUAGCCCCAACCUUAUUUGUAAAGGUUUGGUCGCCGCCUUCAAGGGCACCAAUAGUGGAAUCACGACAUCUCGCAUUGUGUGAGGGUGUGAGGAGAAUACAGUGGCCCUAGUGGCUUCUUGGGGAGCAUUGUCCCUCCACGCCGCUCUAACAGAGACGUACUUCCCCUCAAAAGGAAGGAACUUCGGUAACACAUCCUCGUCUCCAUCAGCUCCACUCUUGGUUAUCUCAUGCCUUUACUUGUGCAAGCUUAUUUGUGUUGUAUCCCUUGCUUUCUUGUGUACUUGUUGGUGUUGCAUCAUACAUGUUGCUCACCUAGUUGCAUAUCUAGACAACCUACUUUGAUGCAAAGUUUAAUUUGGUAAAGAAAAGCUAAAAAAUGUUAGUUGCCUAUUCACCCCCCCCCUCUAGUCAACUAUAUCGAUCCUUUCAGUGCCCCAAGGGGGGCACCCCUGAGCUCGUGAUCUCUGGUGGGCACCCUCCUGGCACUUCUUCCUGUCAGGACCCCGAUCCUAAGUAACACCGAUCUAGCAUAUAACACAUCAUAUCACUUUGCGGCAUCAAGCACGGUAACCCAUGGCUUCCACCUUUACCUUGGCCUGGACCGUUUGUGUCUUUUGGCUCACGUAUAUGAUUAUGUUGCUAGCAUCCUGCUACCUCUUGAGCUAGCGUUGGUUUUUCCCUUGAAUAGGUAAGGGUGAUGCAGCAAAGUAGCAUAAGUAUUUCCCUCGGUUUUGAGAACCAAGGUAUCAAUCCAGUAGGAGACGACACAUAAGUCACCUCAUACCUGCACAAACAAUCAAGAACCUUGCAACCAACGCGAUAAAGGGGUUGUCAAUCCCUUCACGGUCACUCACAAAAGUGAGAUUUGAUAGAGAUAAUAAAGUAAAUAUUUUUGGUAUUUUUGUUGUAUAGAUUGGAAAGUAAAGAUUGCAAAAUAGUAAACGUGAUGUGAUGUAAACAAAAGAGAUGUAAGAUAAUAGGAAAGAGAUCUGGGGCCAUAGGUUUCACUAGUGUCUUCUCUCAAGAUAGCAUGUAUUACGGGGGGUGAACAAAUUACUGCCGAACAAUUGAUAGAAGAGCACAUAAUUAUGAAGACAUCUAAGGCAAUGAUCAUGAACAUAGGCAUCACGUCCGUGUCAAGUAAACUGAAACGAUUCUGCAUCUACUACUAUUACUCCACACAUCGACCGCUAUCCAACAUGCAUCUAGAGUAUUAAGUUCAUAAGAACAGAGUAACACAUUAAGCAAGAUGACAUGAUGUAGAGGGAUAAACUCAAGCAAUAUGAUAUAAACCCCAUCUUUUUUAUCCUCGAUGGCAACAAUAUAAUACGUGCCUUACUGCCCCUACUGUCACUGGGAAAGGACACCGCAAGAUUGAACCCAAAGCUAAGCACUUCUUCCAUUGCAAGAAAGAUCAAUCUAGUAGGCCAAACUAAACCGAUAAUUCGAAGAGACUUGCAAAGAUAUCAAAUCAUGCAUAUAAGAAUUCAAAGAAGAACCAAAUAAUAUUCAUAGAUAAUCUUGUUCAUAAAUCCACAAUUCAUCGGAUCUCGACAAACACACCGCAAAAUAAUUACAUCGAAUAGAUCUCCAAGAACAUCGAGGAGAACUUUGUAUUGAGAAUCAAACAGAGAGAAGAAGCCAUCUAGCUAAUAACUAUGGACCUGAAGGUCUGUGGUAAACUACUCACACUUUGUCAGAGAGGUAAUGGUGAUGAUGUAGAAGCCCUCCGUGAUCGAUUCCCCCUCCGGUAGAUCACUGAAAAAGGCCCCAAGAUGGGAUCUCAUGGGUACAGAAGGUUGCGGUGGUGGAAAAGUGGUUUUGUGGCUCCCCCUGAUGUUUCUAGGGUAUAAGAGUAUAUAUAGGCAAAAGAAGUACGUCGGUGGAGCUAUGAGGGGCCCACGAGGGUGGGGGGCACGCCCUCCUGCCUCGUGGCCACCUCGUGGAGUUCCAGACUUCAACUCCAAGUCUUCUGGAUUGCUUUUGGUCCAAGAAAGAUCCUCGCGAAGGUUUCAUUCCGUUUGGACUCCGUUUGGUAUUCCUUUUCUGCAAAACUCUAAAAUAGGCAAAAAAACAAAAACUGGUACUAGGCCUCCGGUUAAUAGGUUAGUCCAAAAAAUAAUAUAAAAGAGCGUAUUAAAUCCCAUUAAACAUCCAAAACAUAUAAUAUAAUAGCAUGGAAUAAUCAAAAAUUAUAGAUAUGUUGGAGAAGUAUCAAGCAUCCCCAAGCUUAAUUCCCGCUCGUCCUCGAGUAGGUAAAUGAUAAAAAAAAUAGAAUUUUUGAUGUGGAAUGCUACCUACCAUAACUAUAAAUGUAAUUUUCUUUAUUGUGGCAUGAAUGUUCAGAUCCGAAAGAUUCAAGACAAAAGUUUAAUAUUGACAUAAAAAUAAUAAUACUUCAAGCAUAUUAACAAAGUAAUCACGUCUUCUCAAAAUAACAUGGUCAAAGAAAGUUCAUCCCUACAAAAUCAUAUAGUUUGGCUAUGCUCCAUCUUCGUCACACAAAAAUGUUCAAAUCAUUCACAACCCCGGUUUCAGCCAAGCAAUUGUUUCAUACUUUAGUAUUCUCAAACUUUUCAACUUUCACGCAAUACAUGAGCGUGAGCCAUGGACAUAGCACUAUAGGUGGAAUAGAAUGGUGGUUGUGGAGAAGACAAAAAGGAGGAAGAUGGUCUCACAUCAUCUAGGCGUAUUAAUGGGCUAUGGAGAUGCCCGUCAAUAGAUAUCAAUGUGAGUGAGUAGGGAUUGCCAUGCAACGGAUGCACUAGAGCUAUAAAUGUAUGAAAGCUCAACAAAAGAAACUAAGUGGGUGUGCAUCCAACUUGCUUGCUCACGAAGACCUAGGGCAUUUUGAGGAGGCCCAUCAUUGGAAUAUACAAGCCAAGUUAUAUAACGAAAAUUCCCACUAGUAUAUGAAAGUGACAAAAUAACAGACUCUCUAUCAUGAAGAUCAUGGUGUUACUUUGAAGCACAAGUGUGGUAAAAGGAUAGUAGCAUUGUCCCUUCUCUCUUUUUCUCUCAUCAUUUUUUAUUUGGGCCUUUUCUCUUUUUUAUGGCCUCUUUUUUUUAGUCCGGAGUCUCAUCCCUACUUGUGGGGGAAUCAUAGUCUCCAUCAUCCUUUCCUCACAUUGGACAAUGCUCUAAUAAUGAAUAUCAUCACACUUUUAUUUACACACAACUCAAUACUUAGAACAAAUUAUGACUCUAUGUGAAUGCCUCCGGUGGUGUACCGGGAUGUGCAAUGAAUCAAGAGUGACAUGUAUGAAAAAAUUAUGAACGGUGGCCUUGCCACAAAUACAAUGUCAACUACAUGAUCAUGCAAGGCAAUAUGACAAUGAUGGAGCGUGUCAUAAUAAACGGAACAGUUGAAAGUUGCAUGGCAAUAUAUCUCGAAAUGGCUAUGGAAAUGUCAUAAUAGGUAGGUAUGGUGGCUGUUUUUAGGAAGGUAUAUAGUGGACGUAUGGUACCGACAAUAGUUGCACGGUACUAGAGAGGCUAGAAAUGAUGAAAGGGUGAGAGUGCGUAUAAUCCAUGGACUCAGCAUUAGUCAUACAGAACUCACAUACUUAUUGCAAAAAUCUACAACUCAUCAAAACCAAGCACUACGUGCAUGCUCCUAGGGGAAGGGUUGGUAGGAGUUAACCAUCGCGCGAUCCCGACCUCAACACAUAAGGAAGCAGUCAAUAAAUAAAUCAUGCUCCAACUUCAUCACAUAACGGUUCACCAUACGUGCAUUGCAUGCUACGGGAAUCACAAACUUUAACACAAUUAUUCUUCAAAAUCACAAUUACUCGACUAGCAUGUCUCUAAUAUCACCAUCCUCAUAUCUCAAAACAAUCAUCAAGCAUCAAACUUCUCAUAGUAUUCAACGCACUUUAUAUGAAAGUUUUUAUUAUACCCAUCUUGGAUGCCUGUCAUAUUAGGACUAGUUUUGUAGCCAAAGCAAAUUACCAUGCUGUUCUAAAAGACUCUCAAAAUAAUAUAAGUGAAGCAUGAGAGAUCAAUAAUUUCUAUAAAAUAAAACCAGCACUGUGCUCUAAAAAGAUAUAAGUGAAGCACUAGAGCAAAAUUAUCUAACUCAAAAGAUAUAAGUGAAGCACAUAGAGUAUUCUAAUAAAUUCCGAUUCAUGCGUGGCUCUCCCAAAAGGUGUGUACAGCAAGGAUGAUUGUGGUAAACUAAAAAAGCAAAGACUCAAAUCAUACAAGACGCUCCAAGCAAAACACAUAUCAUGUGGUGAAUAAAAAUAUAGCCUCAAGUAAAGUUACCGAUAGACGAAAACGGAAGAGGGGAUGCCUUCCGGGGCAUCCUCAAGCUUAGGCUUUUGGUUGUACUUGAAUUUUACCUUGGGGUGCCUUGGGCAUCCCCAAGCUUAGGCUCUUGCCAAUCCUUAUUCCAAAAUCCAUCAAAUCUUUACCCAAAAACUUGAAAACUUCACAACACAAAACUUCAAUAGAAAAUCUCAUGAGCUCCGUUAGUAUAAGAAAAUAAACCACCACUUUAAGGCACUGUAAUGAACUCAUUAUUUGUUUAUAUUGGUGUUAAACCUACUGUAUUCCAACUUCUCUAUGGUUCAUACCCCCCGAUACUACUCAUAUGUUCAUCAAAAUAAGCAAACAACACACGAAAAACAGAAUCUGUCGAAAACAGAACAAUCUGUAGCAAUCUGUACCUUUCGAAUACUUCUGUACCUCUAAAAAUUCUGAAAUAAAUUGUUGGACUUGAGAAAAUUUUCUAUUAAUCAUAUGCAAAAAGAAUGAACCUCAAAGCACUCUCCAGUAAAAAAAUGACAGCUAUUCUCGUGAGCGCAAAAGUUUCUGUUUUUUAUAGCAAGAUCACAAAGACUUCACCCAAGUCUUCCCAAAGGUUAUACUUGGCACAAACACUAAUUAAAGCAUAAAACCACAUCUAAACAGAAGCUAGAUGAAUUAUUUAUUACUAAACAGGAGCAAAAAGCAAAGAACAGAAAAUAAAAUUGGGUUGCCUCCCAACAAGCGCUAUCGUUUAACGCCCCUAGCUAGGCAUAAAAGCAAGAAUAGAUCUAGGUAUUGCCAUCUUCGGCAUGCAAUUCUUCAAUUGAACACACAUAAUCCUUAGAGGUUCUUUGGUUUUGUUAAUGAUUAAACUCCUAGGCAAGAAAUUGAGAAAUUCAUUUGUGGCAAAAGGUUCCUUAAUGAUAUCGAAAAAAUUGGGGUGAACACUUAUUGAUUUGAGAUCUUCAUUUUCCUUACUAGAAGAUUCAACCUUAUUCUUAGGAAUGUAAAUAAACUUGGUGACUUUGGUAGGAGGAGUAUUUGAGGUGUUUUUAACAGCAGAAAAGGCGGAACCCAAGUUGGUAAUAAUAUCUUCGAGUUUAUCAAUUCUAGUAGAAUCUUGAUCUAUCUUUUCAUUAACUAUGGGUUCAUUUUCCCUAAUAUUUUCAGAGUAACUCUUACCUUAGAUCCAUAUUGAAUAAUUUGGUUAUGGAUCUUUUUAUCCAAAUUUUCAAUUAACUCAACAGUGGCAAUUUUAUUUUAAAUAACAUCAAGCCUUUGCAUCACAUGUUCCAAAGUUAAAAUAGUUCCAUUGACCAAAAGAGGUGGUGGGCCUAACAAAUCUAUCAUGGCACUAUAAGAAUCAAAGGUAUGGCUUCCCAAGAGAAUUCCCUCCAGUGAUGGUGUCAAGAACAUAUCUAUUCCAAGGAGUAAUGCCUACAUAAAAAUUGCGAAGAAGACCGGAAGUGGAUUGCUUUCUAGUAGAUCUAUUUUGAGCAUUGCAAAUCCUAUACCAAGCAUCUUUUAGAUUUUCUCCCUCCCUUUGUUUAAAGUUGAGAACUUCAUUAUCGGGAGUGCUAACAAUGAUAGGAGGACUAGCCAUGAUGGCAAAACAAAUGAUCUGACAUACGAACGCACAAGAAGCAAUCGAAAAGAGACGAACAGAAAGGGGCGAAGAAAAGACAAAGGUUUUCAAAAAUCGUUUAGAAGUGGGGGAGAGUAAAACGAUAGGCGAGUGGCAAAUAAUGUAAUGCGAGGGAGAAGAGUUUAUGAUGGGUACUUGGUAUGUCUUGACUUGGCGUAGAUCUCCCCGACAACGGUGCCAGAAAUCCUUCUUGCUACCUCUUGAGCUUGCAUUGAUUUUUCCCUUGAACAGGAAAGGGUGAUGCAGCAAAGUAGCGUAAGUAUUUCCCUCAGUUUUGAGAACCAAGGUAUCAAUCCAGUAGGAGACGACACACAAGUCACCUAGUACCUACACAAACAAUCAAGAACCUUGCAACCAACAUGAUAAAGGGGUUGUCAAUCCCUUCACGGUCACUCGCAAAAGUGAGAUCUGAUAGAGAUAAUAAAGUAAAUAUUUUUGGUAUUUUUUUUGUAUAGCUUAGAAAGUAAAGAUUGCAAAAUAGUAACGAGAUGCGAUGUAAACAAAAGAGAUGUAAUAUAAUAGGAAAGAGACCCGGGGGCCAUAGGUUUCACUAGUGGCUUCUCUCAAGAUAGCAUGUAUUACGGUGGGUAAACAAAUUACUGCCGAGAAAUUGAUAGAAUAGCACAUAAUUAUGAAGACAUCUAAGGCAAUGAUCAUGAACAUAGGCAUCACGUGCGUGUCAAGUAGACCGAAAUGAUUCUGCAUCUACUACUAUUACUCCACACAUCGACUGCUAUCCAGCAUGCAUCUAGAGUAUUAAGUUCAUAAGAACGGAGCAACACAUUAAGCAAGAUGACAUGAUGUAGAGGGAUAAACUCAAGCAAUAUGAUAUAAACCCCAUCUUUUUUAUCCUCGAUGGCAGCAAUACAAUAUGUGCCUUGAUGCCCCUACUAUCACUGGGAAAGGACACCACAAGAUUGAACCCAAAGCUAAGCACUUCUCCCAUUACAAGAAAGAUCAAUCUAGUAGGCCAAACUAAACCGAUAAUUCAAAGAGACUUGCAAAGAUAUCAAAUCAUGCAUAUAAGAAUUCAGAGAAGAACUAAAUAAUAUUCAUAUAUAAUCUUGUUCAUAAAUGCACAAUUCAUCGGAUCUCGACAAAACACAUCGCAAAAGAAUUACAUCGAAUAGAUCUCCAAGAACAUCGAGGAUAACUUUGUAUUGAGAAUGAAAGAGAGAGAAGAAGCCAUCUAGCUAAUAACUAUGGACCCGAAGGUCUGUGGUAAACUACUCACACUUCAUCAGAGAGGUAAUGGUGUUGAUGUAGAAGCCCUCCGUGAUUGAUUCCCCCUCCGGUAGAUCGCCAGAAAAGGCCCCAAGAUGGGAUCUCACGGGUACAGAAGGUUGCAGCGGUGGAAAAGUGGUUUCGUGGCUCCCCCUGAUGUUUCUAGGGUAUAAGAGUAUAUAUAGGCGAAAGAAGUACGUCGAUGGAGCUACGAGGGGCCCACAAGGGUGGGGGUGCGCCCUCCUGCAUCGUGGCCUCCUCGUGGAGUUCGAGACUUCAACUCCAAGUCUUCUGGAUUGCUUUUGGUCCAAUAAAGAUCCUCGCGAUGGUUUCAUUCCGUUUGGACUCCGUUUGGUAUUCCUUUUCUGCAAAACUCUAAAAUAGGCAAAAAAAACAAAAACUGGUACUGGGCCUCCGGUUAAUAGGUUAGUCCCAAAAAUAAUAUAAAAGAGCAUAUUAAUGCCCAUUAAGCAUCCAAAACAGAUAAUAUAAUAGCAUGGAACAAUCAAAAAUUAUAGAUACAUUGGAGACGUAUCACAUCCACAUGAUGGGGAACCCAGGUCGACAUGACUGGUCAUAACCAAGGUGGCACAAACUUACAGGGACAACCAUAGGUAACCCAAAAAUGCACAUGUAGUCGGCAGCGAGUGUAACCAAGUCAUAGUAAAACCACAAGGACUCUAGUAAACACCGUGUGACAUUUCCCCAUAUAUGGGAGCAAAGAAGGAUACAUGAUAGUCAAUCCAUGUGUUCCGGAGCAGUAGCGAGCUACCAAGGCUCAGUGGAAGCACUAGGAGGCAUUUCCCUAUAGGAAAGGCUACCAAACACAAAUAACUAGGUGUCGAAUCCCACACAAACCAAUGCAUUUCACAACAUACACACAAUAUGCACGAUAUGUGUAGAUACAACGUGGCAUCACAACAUAACUCUACGACUCAAAGUAUUUAUUUAAGAGGCUCCGAGGAGCCAUACAUAGCAUGAUAUUACAAACAUGGGUCUCAUGACCGAACAUACAAAGGCAUACAAGCAACGGAAGCAUAAAGAUGUCUGAGUACAAACAACUACAAAAGAAAAAGGCUGAGAAGCCUGACUAUCUACAAGACCCUCCAUAGGAACCAAACCUCUAUAUGGGAUUCCCAAGCUAUUCAAUCAAUGUUGAACUCCACAUGGAACUACAAGUAGACUGAAUUCUCCUCUAUAAAACAUAAAUUAAGUGACCAUGAGUACAAAGGUACUCAAUAAGACUUACAUUGAUACAUACACUGGGCAGCAAACUGAUAACCCAAAAGUAUAGGCGAUCGCAACAUUUUUCAAGGGUAGAGUAUUCAACCCAUAUUUAUUGAUUCGACACAAGGGGAGCCAAAGAAUAUUCUCAAGUAUUAGCAGCUUUGUUGUCAAUUCAACCACACCUGAAAGACUUAAUAUCUGUAGCAAAGUAUUUAGUAGCAAAGUAGUAUGGAGGUAACGGUAACGGUGGCAAAAGUAAUAGUAGCAAUUUUGUAGCAAUCAUAACAGUGGCAACGGAAAAGUAAAGCAACAAAGAUCAAUAUGAAACGAACUCGUAGGCAAUGGAUCGAUGAUGGAUAAUGAUGUCGGAUGGCAUUCAUCAUGCAAUAGUUAUAACAUAGGGUGGCACAGAACUAGCUCAAAUUCAUCAAUAUAAUGUAGGCAUGUAUUCCGCAUAUAGUCAUACGUGCUUAUGGAAAAGAACUUGCAUGGCAUCUUUUGUCCUACCCUCCCGUGGCAGCGGAGUCCUAUUGGAAACUAAGGGAUAUUAAGGCUUCCUUUUAAUAGAGUACCAGACCAAAGCAUUAACACUUAGUGAAUACAUGAACUCCUCAAACUACGGUCAUCACCGGGAAGUGUCCCGACUAUUGUCACUCUGGGGUUGCCGGAUCAUAACACAUAGUAGGUGACUAUAACUUGCAAGAUAGGAUCAAGAACACAAAUAUAUUCAUGAAAACAUAAUAGGUUCAGAUCUAAAAUCAUGGCACUCGGGCCCUAGUGACAAGCAUUAAGCAUAGCAAAGUCAUAGCAACAUCAAUCUUAGAACAUAGUGGAUACUAGGGAUCAAACCCUAACAAAACUAACUCGAUUAAAUGGUAAAUCUCAUCCAACCCAUCACCGUCCAGCAAGCCUACGAUGGGAUUACUCACGCACGGCGGUGAGCAUCAUGAAAUUGGUGAUGGAGGAUAGUUGAUGAUGACGAUGGCGAUGAUUUUCCCUCUCUGGAGCCCAAAACAGACUCUAGAUCUGCCCUCCCGAGGAAGAAUAGGAGGUGGCGGCGGCUCCGUAUCAUAAAACCCGAUGAAUCCUUCUCUCUGAUUUUUUUCUCCCCAAACGUGAAUAUAUGGACUUGGAGUUGAGGUCGGUGGAGCUUCAUGGGACCCAUAAGACAGGGGCGCCCCUCACCCUUGUGGAUAGGGUGUGGGUCCCCUCUAGUUGAUUCUUUCGCCAAUAUUUUUUAUUUAUUCCAAAAAUAAUCCCCGUGAAGUUUUAGGUCAUUCCGAGAACUUUUAUUUCUGCACAAAAAUGACAACAUGGCAAUUCUGCAGAAAACAGCGUCAGUCCGGGUUAGUUCCAUUCGAAUCAUGCAAAUUAGAGUCCAAAAAAAGGUCAAAAGAGUUUGGAAAAGUAGAUACGAUGGAGACGUAUCACAAAGGUCGCCACCAGUGCAUACAAACACGCCAACAAAAUAAUAUACAAAACCAAGAGCACUUCAACACAGUUCAAGAAACGUUAGCCCUACCCCGGAGGUGCACCGCAAGCAACGGAACAAGCCGAUGAGACCUCAAUUGUCUAAACCACAUAUCCUCCAGCUCUAGCCAUGUAGCAAGAAAGCACGCACAACUAUCCUCAAUGAUCUUCGUUAGAGAAUGGACUACAAGUCGGACCUGAGCUGAACCAAGUAUUUCCGCUUUAAGUUGAGACUGAAGAUAUUGAACUGAUUCAGGCGACAACUUCACUGAGGUUGUGUCACAGCUGCUGGUAUGUAGCUUGAACUCACUAUCUUCAUCAAGACAUGACCUUGGGGUCAUCUUGCUCUCUUCAAGAUGGUUUGGCUCACUAUCUUCCCUAAAGUUCUGUCUGGCAUCAGAGAUAUGACUUUGAAAGAGAAACAAGGAGACAAAUAAUAGGUUCCAUAAAUAUACAAGCAACAAUGGCUAGUGUGCUGACAAUUCCAGCCCAUUUUUAUAUUGGCAAAUUCAGAGAUAUAAUUUAAAAUAGCAUUAACAUAAUAUGGCAUUGUCCGUUUCAUCAGCAAAAUCAGUUAAGACAAAGCAGGAAAUGAGAUGAUGUAGGCGUGGAAAGCUACACCACACCACCGGAUUAGAGAUAUAGAACACAUGCAUACAUGCAGGGCUAAAGAAAAUCAAUGGAUUUGUACUGAUUAAUGUGGAUGGUAUGAAUAAGGAACAUGUUUUUACAACUAUAGUUUGAAACCGGCAGUUGUUGCAAACAUCCAAUCUGGUGCAAACACCAAAGUAAACAGUAGUGGAGGAAAUGAUGCCUAUUCAAAUCUAUACUAGAACAAAGUUUGAAGGCUUGAGAAUGAUGGACUUACAUUACAUGUUAACACGGGCUCGACAAAGCCCUUCUCCAUGUCGAUGGAAGGAUAAUUCAAGAAAUUCGCCAAAGAAACUCCUUCACAAGUGUUGCUUUUAUUCUACAUUUUGUAAAGAGUAAAUAUAGAUCUAAUAAUAUUGGAAGAAAUAGGGGAUAAUGAAGCUCAUAUGCAGAGUGAUGAUACAUAAUCAAAUAGCUAUCAAUUAAGUACAACAUUACAAGGCAAAAGGUGCUGACAAGAGGAAUGCAUACCUCAACUUGUCUAGUGGCAUUGGUUUUAUUCAACAUUUUGGUAAGAGUAAAUGUAGAUCUGAUAAUUCGAAGAAAAUGGAGGGCGGGGCUGAUAAGAUGCAGAGUAAUGCUAGACAAUCAACUAUCUCUCAAUGUAAGUACAGUAAUAUGACCUUCGUCCGGAAUUACUUGUCGCUCAAAUGGAUGUAUCUAACCCUAAUUUAGUUCUAAGUACAUCCAAUUGAGCAACAAUUAAUUCGAUACGGAGGGAGUGCAUGGCAACAGGUACUUACAAGAGCAAUCCAGAAUUUCAUAACCAUUGGGUUCAUUCUACAUUUAUGUAAGAGUAAAUAUAGAUCUUAUAAUUUCGAGCAAACGGUGGAUAAGGAAGCGAACAUUUACAUUGAUACUACAUGAUCAAACAACAAUGAGUGUAAGUAUGGUGACAAAGCAAGAGGUACUGACAAGAGCAACAAUGCCCAGUACUGUUGUGAGAUCCUAUGAUCCCUUGAGAAUGGAUAUUCAUCUGCAAGUAGUUUUCAUACAGAAAGAGAUGGUAAGGCACGUGCAAAAAUGUAGGAGUUCAAUUUUUGAUUUGAUAUCAUAGACAUUACCUGACGCUGGGCUCUCUGUAGUUCUAAUAGGGCUUUGGUCAGUGGAGUAGGUGUAAAGUGUGCUACAGUUGGGGCCGUGUUUUCUGGGGCUGGUGAUCUAUCUGAUUUAUCAGGUAUCACUGCCUUUUCCAAAUACUUUGUUUGUACUCCUCCAGGAUCUGCACUCACCCUCUUCCUUUUGGACAUCUAUUACGAAAGAACAACACUUGGCUGGAAAAACAUGGUAUGAUGACACAUGGAAUAGGUACAUAAAAUGGAUAGGCAUGUCAUAUUAUCAUAUAUGACGUGUCAACUAAUCAGAUGGUGGUGUAACAAAGUAGAAGUAAUGAAAGACAUCGUAUGCAAGAUACGUGCGACUAAUACAACCUUGCUAAGUCAAAGCAAGCACCUUGAUGGGUGAAUAAGAUAGGCCAUCCUCCAUCAUGCCCAGUUUGUUAGCCAGUGGAUUGUUCUACAAUAUUCCUCUCGUGCACCAAUUAUGAUAUUCAUUAUGAUCAUGUUCAAUACCUACAUGCAUGAAAACAUAAAAAUAAGCGAGUAUCUUUGUAAUGCAUAGGGGAUUCUAAUCCAAUAGUGCCUCCCUGUAAACCCCUAUGUGUUAUCUCUGUCUCAGAGAUGCCAUGUGCGCUGUAAUUUUGUGUGUGCAUUAAUAUAAUGUGGCCUACUAAUCAAAAUAGAGGCUCCUUGUUGAGAGUUUCAGAAGUAAUGAUACUUCGCAGAUAAUGGAUCGCCUUGUCUUAAACCUCUCGUAGGCUUGAAACUUUCAGUUUCUUCAUCAUUAAUUCAAAACAUAUAAUCAAUAGUGAAGACGCAUUUCAUCAUAAGAUUGAUCCAUCUUUCCUGAAAACCAAGUUUUAACACAACCCUUCAAGAAAGGCAUUCAACUCGGUCAUAAGCUCUGUGCAUAUCAAGCUUGAUCGCGCAUAAACCCUCUUUUUAUUCCCUCUUAUUUCUAAUAGUAUAAAAGCUCUCACGGGCCACUAAAAUAUUGUCCAUAAUCAUUCUCCCGAGCACAAAAGCACUUUGGGUGAGACUAAUAAUAUGAGGCAACAAAACUUUCAAUCGUGCUGCCAAUAUAAUGUGGUCUAAACUAGUUUACCUUCUCUCGGGUGAAUUGACCUUAGGGAUCAACACAAUCGCAGUGUCAUUCCAUCCCGAUGGAAUUGUGCAGGUAUUCACCGCUUGCAAGACCUCAUCAACCAAAUCAUCCCGUAGCAUGGGCCAAAAUAUUUUAUAAAAAAUAGCAUGAAGUCCAUCUGUCCCUGGAGCCUUUAAUUCUCCAAUAGAAAAAAGAGCCUUACGAACAUCAUCAAAAGUAUAAGGGCCAAGCAAAGCAUUAUUCAUCUCUACAAUCGCUCUACUCCGGACAAGGGACAAGACUUCCUGGUUUAGGUUUAGAACAUCCGAGGUAAAAAAACUGGAGAAGUAAUUCAUAAUAUGUUCCUUCAUAUCAUCAUCCAGAAGUUUCUUAAUAUUGUUCCUUUUUUUCCUGGCAGUUGCAGCAUUAUGAAAAAGCGAUGUAUUGCGAUCCCCAUGUAACAACCAGUUUGCUCAACCUCUUUGUAACCAGAAAAUUUCUUCUUGAUCCAAAAGAUUUUCAAUGAGUACUAAAAUUUCCUUCUCCCUCAAACGUGAUUCCCGACUGAUAGGAACAUGCUUCAACCUCUCUAAUUCCCCACUAAUAGGAACACACUUCAACCUCUCUAAUUAUUUUUAAACUUAUUUAUUCUCCUUUUUCGUCCCUUCAAAGUAACUCGGUCCCAAGCAUGUAAAUCCUCAUGCACCGUUCUAGUCCGUGCAGAGAUUUGAAAAAAACUUCAUUUGGAUUGGUGCAUUGAGUACCUAUACCAGUACCCCCUCCCAACUAAAUGGUCCCACGUCGCUCCCGUACCAUUGCGGCUUCGGCCGUGUUGACCAUCCCUUAGUAAGACGACUUCACCAAAAAGGUGCUUGGCUUGGUGAGGUUCAAUGCCAUAACUCGACGUUAGACGCUCAAGACACACUUUGCUUUGAUAGCCCAAAAGGUUUUCGAACCUAUCCAGUCUUGUAAUUUCAUGGUGCUUUCUUCAAGAAAGUUCCCAAGCAAAGUCCUGGACGGGGUGCAGGCACACUCCUAGGUCCCAAAUGUUAAAAAUGUUAAUGUGCUUGCCAUUUCCAUUCGCCGCACAUGCCUUUUAUCAUUGCACUUACUUCAAGCAUAAUAUUUUGCCGACUAGAGGAGGAACCCUAAUUCCGUGUUUGUCUUUAUCCCAAGACCCUGUCUUUUUCUACCAUUUUUUCUUAGUGAAUGUCAUUUCUUCUCUUCUUUUAGAACAAAAUGUUAUUUCAUCUCAAAAAAGUAGAAUGGCGGCCUUUUCACCUUGACCUCCUUUUCCCUGACUUAUGUGGGAAAUAGAGAGGAAACACGCCACACCUUUCCUUCGCACUAGUUUUCGGUCGGCCCAUAUGAGGGGCGAGGCUCCUCUAUUUUUUGUGUUUUCUUCUCUGUUUUCUUUGCUUCUUAAUUUUUUUUUCAGGAUUUCAAUUUUUUCUCAAUUUCAUUUUUUCCAAAACUCAUAUUUUUUUCACAACAUUUCAAAAAAUAUGGAUUUGAAAAUAUCUUUGUGGAUUUUAAAAAUAUCCCACAUUUCAAAAAAAUCUUUAUGAUUUGAAAAAAUGCUUGGAAAUUUUCAAAAAUCUCAAAUUUCAAAAGCUAUUCAUGAAUUAAAAAAAUGUUCCAAAUUAAAAAAAUGCUCACAACCUUGUGAAAUGUCCCUUGAUUUAAAUAAAUAUUCAUGAUAUUGAAAACAUGUUCAUGUAUUUCAAUAAGUGUUCAUGAUUUUUCUAAUGUUCUAAAUAAAAAAAUUCAGAAUUGUUUCCAGAUUUCGAAAAUUGUUUGUGAAUACAUAAAAGUAUUCAUGAUUUAUUUAGAAUUGAAAAAAUUUCAUAUAUUUCAAAAAAACUAUAAAAUACAAAUAGAAAACCGAAAAUGAAAAAUACUAUCCGCCGCCCUACGCGAGAAAUAGGAAUCAUCGUUUUCACAAGCUUCCCUGUUGGACUAGGACACAUGUGGGCCGCAGUCGUUAAAACGCUGGUUUUGAAGGCCCACACUAGCCCAGUCCACGUUGCAACGCGGCGUGAUCAUCAUGGAUCUAAAUGGGCACUACCUGAAGGACCAAAAUAUAAGAAAGCCCUCAAAUAAGUGGAACCCCAGAACCCUAACCAGACUCUUUUCUAUCCUCUCACCACUCGCGCCUCUCACGCCCUUCCCGCCGCCGCCGCCGCCGCCACUCCCCUCGCCGCCGCAGCAGCCGCAGCCAUGGGGCGCAUGCACAGCCGCGGGUAAUCCUCACCCCCUUCACUGCCACCGCAAUACGGUGAAUUUUCUGGUCUAAUGGCGUCUCCGCGACUCUGUGACGCAGGAAGGGCAUCUCAUCGUCGGCGCUGCCGUACAAGAGGACUCCACCGAGCUGGGUCAAGACCGCCGUCGCCGAUGUAAGAAGAAGCCUCACCUUCUCUUGGCCCCCUCGAUUCGAUGUGAUAUGGCUGGCUGAUGCGUGCGUCGGGCUCGUGUGCAGGUGGACGAGUUAAUCACCAAGGCCGCGAAGAAGGGCCAGAUGCCGUCGCAGAUCGGCGUCCUGCUCCGUGACCAGCACGGCAUCCCCCUCGUCAAGAGCGUCACCGGGAGCAAGAUCCUCCGCAUCCUCAAGGCCCAUGGUGAGAAGUAGAUUAGAUCCCCCCUCGUCUUUCUCAGAUUGUUCUUUGCUUGAUGAGUGGAUUGAUUGUGUGAGUGUUGGUGCGCAGGGCUGGCACCAGAGAUCCCGGAGGACCUCUACUUUCUGAUCAAGAAGGCGGUGGCGAUAAGGAAGCACCUGGAGAGGAACAGGAAGGACAAGGACUCUAAGUUCAGGCUCAUCCUUGUGGAGAGCAGGAUCCACCGCCUCGCUCGCUACUACAAGCGCACCAAGAAGC